UGCUAUAACUAAUUUAUCACAUGACUAUAAUUUCCAGAACACCUUGCGCUUGUCCAAUGGGUUGUUCAACUUGAGGAGGAGCUAGCAGAUGUGCGUUGACAGAGGUGACAAUGAAGACAGCGAGUAGUCGAAGCCAGUAGAAGAAGUGCUGAAACAGAGAAGCGAACAUUGCAUAACAGAGUGAUAAGACUAUGAGGCACAAAUACGCUACCAAGAACAGAGACGGAGCCAAAAUGACAGAGGCCACUGCCGAGACAGCCAACAGAACAGAGAGUUCUCCACAACUCACGGAAAUGGGUCGGCUCACUUUGAGAGGAACUCUGAUGGGUGUGAGGAUGAAGAGCAGUAAUGGGAUGACAAUGACAGGAAUCAGGAACCAUAACUGAAGCUUUAAAAUUGGAUACAGAAGUAUCUUACUUGCACCAUCUUGGACGUUCCAAGAGUUGCCAUCCUGAGACUUGAGGAACAGAAAAAAGACUAUAAGAUUCAGCAAUGGAAGAAAUAGAAACCUCAAAUCGAUUGAAAAGUCCAUGCCUGUGAAUAAGAUUUGGCGGAGAUGAUUCAGUUUAAUUAUUAUGAAUAAGAUUUGGCAAUGGCGGAGUUGAAUGAAUACGAUGGAGUUUAAGUUGCGUGAUACUAUCAGGAAAUAUUUAUAGAGCCCUUUUGCUUAUUGUUUUCUUUGUAGCUUGAGGGUAAGAAACAAAGCAAGUCAAAAGGAUUUGGUGCCGUCCUGGGUAGAUCGUUAAUACGACGUGUCCCCUUUCUUUGGAGAAAUUUAUUUGUGACCUGUUUAGUAUCUUUCGCAUUUUACUUAGUUAAUAAUUUAAUUAAUUUUAUGCCUUAUUUUCGUUUUACCACUUUAGAAAUUAUAAAAUAAUAAAUUGGGUAAAAGCCUAUUUAGUUCUUGUAUUUUAAGAUUAGUAUCCAUUUAGUCCUUGUAUUUUUAAAAAUAUCUCGAAACAUUCAUGUCAUUAAAGUAUUGAUACCCCUACCGUUACUUUUUAUUUCUUUUGGCUUACUUUUACAAUAUUAUCCUUUUAUAAUAAUUUUUUUAGAUAUUAAUAAAAAGAAAAUAAUUAAAUUACUAAUUUAACCUUAAAAAAUUAUAUUAAUUUUUAAUUGUCAAAAAUUGUAUGCAAACUACCAAGUGUGCAAAUGAUGCUUGCAAAAAAAUUAAUAUAAUUUUUUAAUUUUCUAAGAUUAAAUUGGUAAUUUAAUUAUUUUCUUUUUAUUAAUGUCCAAACAAAAAAAUUAUUAUAAAAUAGAAACCUCAAAUCGAUUGAUAAGUCCAUGCCUGUGAAUAAGAUUUGGCAAAAAUGAUUGAUUUUAAUUAUUAUGAAUAAGAUUUGGCAAUGGCGGAGUUGAAGCUCCGUGAUACUACGAGGAAAUACUUAUGGAGCUAAUUUGAGGGUAAGAAACAAAGCAAGUCAAAAGGAUUUGGUGCCGUCCUCUGUAGAUCGUUAAGACAACGUGUCCUAUUUCCUUAGAGAAAUUUAUAAGUUUAGUAUCUUUCUCAUUUUACUAAGUUAAUAAUUUAAUUAUUUUUAUUCAUUUUACUAUUUUAGAAAUUGUAAAAUAAUAAAUUGGUGCGGGAAGUAAUAGGAUAUAACAUUUUACACCAUAAUACUUUAGGAAUUGUUGAAUAUCCUCAAUAAACCUCACAUUUUACUACAAUUCUGUUACUUAAAAUUCACUUGUAAAAUACUAAUUUUACAUGUAAAAAAGAAUUGAUAAUUAAUCAAUUAAAUUGUUCUUAUAAUCUUUUUUUAAUUAAUUAAACUUUGGUUUGCCAGCUGAGGUUGUUCUAUGGUAAGUCUAAUUUGACCUUUUUUUAAUGAAAUUCCAUAAUUUAACUUAUAUAUACAUAUAUAGUAGUUUUCUAGUCCGGGAUCAUAAAGUGCGGGAAACGUCUGGGAAAUCUUUAAAACCGCAAGAUUUUAAAGACUUAAAACUUAAAGUGCUUAAACCGGACGGUUUAUGCAUUUUUACGGACAUUCUUGCACUUUAAAAUUCCGAACUAAAACAUUUCUUUCUCUCUCUCUCUCUCUCUCUAUAUAUAUAUAUAUAUAUAUAUAUAUAUAUAUAUAUACUUCUGGAUGUGUUUUCGUUGGAAAUCAAAAUUAAGAACUCAAAUAAUACAAUGCUUGGAUUGGGUCGGCUUUGUCAAAUUUUUAAAAUAAAUUACCAGCUUUUGAAUUAAUAGAGUUGCUUUGGAACGCGGUUGGUCAGGUUUUAUGAAAGGUACGUGGCGUUGUAUCUAGAUCGAUGCAGAGCCAGGUCUGCCUUUGGAACCAGAUCUGACUUAGAACAUAUCAAUAUCCUGCACGUUCUAGUUUCCAGCCGAUAUACCAAAUUUAUUUACCAAAUCUUUAUUAAGUUUUUUAAGCAAGCCUAGCAACAAACAUACAUCUAAAGGCUAGGGUGCAUACACAGUACCAGAUCUGGAUCCUAGAAAUGGUGCUCUGAAGGAGUGGGGGGAGAAGAGAAAGAAUACAAUUGAGGAUUGAGAUCUGGUCUCGUUGCCUCAGAGGAACGUAGCAGUUAUAUGACAGAUCUGAUAUAAACCAGUCUGCAAAGGAUGCAUGAAAUUUAAAUGCUUUAAAAUAAAUUGUAGAAUUUAAAGUACAUAAAUUUAAAUUUACAUGGAAAGCUUUAAAUAAAACUGGAAAUAAAAUGCUUACAUUGACUGAUUUUUCUUUGUAGAGAAAAGGGAAAUUAAUCGUGAAGGUAAGGAACUAUUCUGUAAACAGAAAAAUUUCCUUGAACCCUUCGGAUUCCUGAUUCCCAGAGAGAGAGAGAGAGAGCAGAGGAAGAAGAGAGAGAAGUUCUAAACUUAAAAAAUGAAAAAUCUGAGGAGUCUAAGUCUUCCUCCAGAUUUAUAUACAAAACGAGCUUUACACUGUAGACUGUAGCGGAGCUGUAGCAUACAAUAAUCUUUGGAACUCUGCACUGUUCACUGUAGCGGAGUUUGAAGCAAACAGUAAGCUUUGGAUCGUAUGUAACAGUAAUCUUUGGAGCGUAUGUUGGAAUAGUGACUUUGUAAAAAUACAAUACGGGUGAAGAGACAUGUGCGCUCUCACUUGUGUCCAAGGGACCACCCGAUGGUGUAAGAAUAUAAAAUGGAUAUUUACUUUUUUUUUUACAAUAAUUAUUUACAAUGCUUUAUUGGAGAGAAAAUUCUGAAACAAUCAUCUUCAUUUUCAUCUCCAAGGGAAAUAAAAGGCUCUUCAUCUUCAUCUUCAUCAUCAUCUUCAGAGGAGUCAGCCACUGAUGAUCUUGAUCGAGAGGUGAGAAGUUGUUUCAUGACUUUGAAGUAUUCUUCUUCUAUUUUGGCGCUCGCCAAAAGAGAUUGGGCAAGGAAUAUUUGUUGGGCUUUGGAUCUUUUUAAGGUUGGUUGUAGAAAACCUUUGGAAUUAAGCCAAUUUUUGAUGAGGGUGUCAGUCAGUUUGGUUUGCUCAUCAAAUUUUGACCACCAUUUAACUUUAAAGGUUCUUUGAAGGAUAAGCUGGGAAUCUUGGGUGUGAAAACGCAGGUUCCACAUCCAUAUCCCUGGUAGAAAGAAGUUUGUGCAAAAACAGAGAAAGGGGGGAAAUCUUUUCUCUGAGUCAGAGGGUAUAUAAUGAGCUUUGAAGAGGUUUAGACAAUUCGUGGCGUUUGGAGUUAAGAUUUGUGGUAUUGGGUGACACAACUUAAAAGUAAAUUUUAACUCCCAAGUAUAAGAGUGUCUUGUUGUAUUAUAACUCGGUGAGUCCGAGGUCGAUCCACAGAGAAAAGAUUUAAUUAGUUUAUUUUAUUUUAUCUAAAAAUUGAAAUUAAAACUUGAAUAUAAACAAGUUAAUUUAAAUGAAACUAUGGAAUUGAACUAGUUAGGGUUAUGGAUCCACUCUUACAAAUAAAUAAAACUUAAUAAAUUCUUUUUGCCAAUUUGUUUUAGAUUUAUUACCCAAAAGAUUAAUUAUACAAAUUAUUAUUAUUUUCCCUUUAAUUUUAUGAUGGAUUAAGUAUUUAUUGUGCCAAAAUUUAAUUUGUCCACAAUAAGUCAAAAUACCAUUUCACCAUACCUUAUAUUAAGAUCUUAAGAAUUUAUUGUGCCAAAUUCAUUUGUUUGUCUACAAUAAAUCAAAUUUUCAAAAUAUAAAACAUGUAUAAAAUUAAAUAGAAAAUAAUUUAAUUUAUAAAAUUAAACAUAGAAUUUAAUUAAGUCAUAUUUAUUUCUUAAGAGUUUCACCUUCCCCUAACUAAUAUUAUUUAGUUAAGCAUAAUUAAAAUAAAAAGUAGUAAAAUUGAAUUACUUAUAAUUAAAAGAAAUAAAAACAACUAAAAUUGGAAAUAAAACUAAUUUUAUUAAUGAAAAUAAUUAUACAAAAUAUUAAAAACACACCUGGAAAUCAAGAUUACAAGGAGAUGGAGAGAAUUUGAGAAGAAGAGAGUUGUAGAGAGAUGAUUAAAACAUAAAAAUGAGGCUCUAUUUAUAGAAAAAUAAAUUCAUAAUCCAGUGCUUUGCGGUCCAUCAUAGGCUUCAUGCAUGUGCUCCUCACAACCCUUAGAUCAAGAUCCAAUGGCUGGUCAAACUUCAAAAGUCAACAUCACACAUGGCAUCAUUUGACUCGUCUGAUUUACCCAAAGAACGGUUGAGAUUUGGCGGGUUAAUGGGUGGAUUGGGUCGACCCGAAUACAAAGAUUUGGAUCCUCCAACUUGCUUCACCAACCAUUGCCACGUGGCACAAUCAUGGCAUUUGAAUCAUGAACGGUUGAGAUUUAGUCAAGAUUGCCAGUUAUCCCAUGCACUCAUAUCUAUUGUAAGCUCAUUUCAUCAUCCAAUCAGUGCUCGGUCAACAAGAAAAGUCAACUUUUUUUACACAAGCCUAAUUUUAAGCCGAUCUUGACUGAUCUUAAGGUUUUCGGACCUCCGGAAUCCAAAUUUGACCUCCGUUUAUCUGUUUGGAGCCUCGAAGUACGUGAAAUUAAUAAUUUUCCGAAUAAACACAUAAAAAUACACAAAAUUAAAUAUAUUUAAAACAUAAUUAAUAAUUCAUAAUAUAUUACAUAAACACAAAUAUAAAUUAUAACAUAAGCAUAAAAUAACAUAUUAUCGCUUGAUAAUUAAACAAUUUUUAAUACUAAUCAUUGGGCCAAAGAAGUUCCACCAAUGUUGAAAACAGUUUGGGAGGCUCUGAACGGUUAUUUUUGAAUUAAAGAAAAAUAACCAUGAAUGAGAUUUCUUUGGGUUUUGUAAGAAGAAUGUGUUAUACCAGGCUUAUUGGUAAUCCCAGUAAGUGUAGGAUAAACAAUGUGGUAAACGCAUUUGGAAAUUUGGAGGGAAAUGUUUAAACUUGUGAAGUUGAUCACCCCACUGAUUUGGGCUCAAGACUUUUAGAAUGGUAGGCGUUGAAUAGGCUGGUUCUGAAUGGGUUUCACUGAUAAAGAAAUGUUUGAAUUUAACUGACUCAGUAGCUUCUAAAAUGCUUUGAUAGUAAGGCUGGUGUUUUGUUAAAUCCCAUGGUUUGAAAAACCAGCCUUUAGGGAAAAACUUUGAAAUUGCCUGAAAAGGAUCAGUAUGGUAAAAUCCAUCUUCUAUAGAUAAAAUGUUUUGAAAAUGGGUUUUAUCAAACCAAUCUAAAGAUUUCUUUAAAGGUGUUGGCUGAGAAAGCACAAUUUGAGAAGAUGAGCUUUCACCAGAAACAAUAACAUUUUGGGAAGAGGGCUUUGAAAUUUCUUUUGAAACAAGUUUUUCUUCUUUAAUAGGGGUUUGGCUUUGAGAGAGGUUUUGAAAAGCGAGCAUAAGCUCAUGUGAUUUUGUAAUGGAACUCAUCCAUUGUUUUACUUGGUCAUCAGAGGAAAUUGUUUUGUACUGGGCUUCAUGUUCUUCAACCAUUUCAAUCCAUGAUUUGAUAGGCAUGCAGAAGAAAGCAAUUUCUCUUUAGGAGUUGGUUGGGGUUCUUUAGAGGUUGCUUGAGAUUCAGUGUCUUUAAGAACUGCUUUACCUUUAUCCUUCUUUUUUGGCGGUAUUAUCUGUUUUGAAGAAAUUCUCUGGUCAGAAAAUCAGGAAUAGAAUUUGUAUCUCCUUUAAUAAACUCAAUAUCAAAAUAAAAAACACUUAAAAUGGCUUGCCAACGUACAAAAAUCUGUUUUGAUGCAAUAUUUUGAACAUCUUGUUCUAAAACAUGUUUUGCAGCUUUGCAAUCAAUUCUAAGUAAAAAUUUUUGAUUUAGCAAAUCACUUUGAAAUUUGGAAAUACAUAAAACAAUAGUAAGAAUUUCUUUUUUGAUAGUAGAAUAAUUCUUUUGGCAUUCAUUCCAAUGUGCAGAAACAUAUUGGACUAUCUGUUCUUUAUUAUUAUCGAUUUGCUUUAAUAUGCCUCCAUAGCCUAAAUUAGAUGCAUCAGUUUCAACUACUUUAGGUAAUGCAGGAUUAGCAAGAUAUAAACAUGGAAUGCUUUUAACAGAAUUCUUUAUGAGUUUAACAGUUUUAGUAUGCUCAUCAGUCCAUGCAACAUGAUUCUUUUUUAAUCGAUCAUGUAAAGGUUUAGACAUCCUAUUGAUAUUAGGACAAAAAUCAAAAACAUAAUUUAAACUUCCUAGAAACCUCUGUAAUUGAGUUUUAUCUAGGAUUUUGUCUGGGAAUUUGUCUGCAAAGACAAGAGAACGCUCAAUAGGGGUAAUGGUUCCUUUGGAGAUAUGGUGACCUAGGAACCUGAUCUUUGUUUGGAACAAAGAGACUUUAGUACUAGAAAUUGCUAAACCAUCUUUUCUAGUGGCGAAGUAAAAAGUCUUUAAAUAUUUGAAAUGUUGGUCGAUGGUUUGGGAAAAAAUCAAAACAUCAUCUAUAUAAACAAUGCAAAACUCAGAAUAAGGGUUAUAAAUAUCAUUAAUAAUUCUUUGAAAUUCUGAAGGUGCAUUUUUUAAACCGAACGACAUAACCGUCCACUCAUAUUGUCCAAAUGGCACUAUAAAAACGGUUUUAUAACGGUCUUUAGGAUGAAUUUGAAUUUGCCAAAAACCCAACUUCAUGUCAAAUUUUGAAAAUAUGAAAGCAGAAUGCAGUUUUUGAAGCAAAUCCUUUUUAUUAGGUAUUGGGUACCUAAUCCAUUUUAAUACUUUAUUAAGGGGUUUAUAAUUUAUAACUAAUCGAGGUGUUCCUCUUUCAAUCUCGAAAUUCUUAUUAACAUAAAACGCGACACAAGACUAAGGAGACCGAGAUUUUACAAUAAGUCCUUUGGACUCUAAGUCACUUAUUUCAGCUUUACAGUGUUGUUCCAAUUCCAUGUUCAUCUGGAUUGGACGGGCUUUAGUGGGAAUCUGUUUUUCAUCAAAAGAAUUUUCAUAAGGUAGAUCUACCGGGUGUUGUUUUCUAUUCCAAAAAGCAGAUGGUAGAUCAGCACAGAUUUCCUUUUCAAUGAGAGUUUUGAAAUCAGAAAUUUUCUUUUGUAUAAAAUCAUUUUGUAAUUGGCUUUCGAUUCUUUGUAAACUCAAAUCCUUUUGUAAAAACAUUAGGUCACUUUGUCUUGUUCUGAGAAGAUUAUUGAUUUGAUUCUGAUAAACAGAACAAGCUUUGACAAUAUUCAAAUUCCUUGUUUUUGGCUUUUCAAUAAAUGGAAAAACAAAUCUUUUAUUUUUUGCUUUGAAAGAUAUACUGUCGUAAUUGACAAUAUAAGGAGUAAUAAGAUUUAUAAAAGGGGUUCCUAAAAUGACAGCAUGGUGUAUGUCAUUUGUAAGAACAAAAGAGGUUUUAAAUUCAAAAUCAUUAUUAUAAAUUGAAGCCUCGACUUUAGAAUUAACAUUAAGUUUUGAAUUGUUGGCGGCAGAAAGUCUUUCUUUUGUUUUCUCAUGAAAUCUUUUGGGGACAAUGUCUUCUCUUAUGCAAUUCAAAUCGGCACCAGUGUCAAAAAGGGCAAUGGCAUCAAUUGCAAAAUCAUCAGAAAAAAUUAAGGUAAUUUUAAUCAAAUAUUUUCUCAUAGUGAUUUGUUUUAAAACAAAUAGAAAAUCAUUGGGUACAGACUCAAUGUUUUCUAGAUUUUGAUCUUCUUUAUCAUUGUUAUCAGAAUUGGAUUCAUUAUCCGAAUUGUCUUGUAAUUGUUUUUGCAAAAGAAGUUGGAUGGUUUGAGAAUCAUUCUUUUGCUUUUCUUUUAACUCUCUUAUCUCAAAUUUAAUGUCUUUGAUUUCUUUCUGAAGAUCCUGGAUAUUGGGGAUUAUCUUUUUUGUUUUCUUUUAUCCAAAAUUUCAGUAAGAUCAUAAGAACUCUUUUUAACAAUUGGGAUUUUGGAAGUCUCUGCUUUAUUAAAAUCCAGAGUUUUCAAAAGCUUAUCAAGAUACUCCUUUUGAAGAUUUGGAUCAGAAAUAUGCUUUACGAGUUCAAGAAAGGUUUCUUGAUCUUUAGUUAAAAUAUUGAUUUUCUUUAAAUAAGAAUUUGUUUCAGAAUCACUACUGCUAGAUGCAGAGGUAUCUGAGUCAAAAAGCUCAUCGACCUGAAGAAGGUCACUAUCUCCUGACAUGGAAGACUCAGAGUCAGAGGACUCUACAAGGAGAGGGGUGACUUUGGAAAGGAUAUCUUCAUCAAGGCCAAGCUCCUAGAGCUUUUUGUUCAUUCUGCAAUAUUUUACAGUAUGGCCUUUUAUACUACAAUUAUGGCAUAUGGCUUCUUUGUAGUUGAAAGGGGCUUUGUGUUUAGGUUUAAAUUCCUUUUUCUUAGAGAAGUUGAGCUUCUUAUAAGGCCUCUGGGGUUUCUUAUAAAAAGAUUCUUUAAACUUCUGGAAUGGCUUUCUAUAGCUCUUGGAUUUGUAAUGUCUCUUGUGAGGUUUGGAAGAACAGUCACCAUUACAACCUUUGGAAAUGGAAGUUUUAAAGGGGUCAUAAUUGAAUUGUUUACAGAAACUACCUAAUUCUUGCUUAGACUUCUUAAGCUCUCAUUUAAGUCGUUUCUGUAAUUUCAAAUCUUGAGAGAUCUUUAAACCUUCUUUGUUGACAAAACUGACUAACUCGCCAUAAGUAAGUUCGUCAUAGGGAAUGCGAUUGUCAUAAAGGGCUUUUAUGUAAUUCCUAACCUUUUCUCCUAAAAGGGUAGGUAAACCUACUAAGAAUUUUUCUUUCCAAGUUAUAUGAUUUGCAUCAUCUCUUAGAAAGAGUCUGGUGAAGAAGGUGGUUUUGUAAUCUUGAAAUUCACUAAGUUUUCUACAUCUUAAAUUAUGUAGUAACUCAGCAUUUUUAUCUCUAAGGUGAGAAGGGUCACCUAUGAAAUGGAGGGAUAUGGUUAGAAUCAGGGUAGCUACGGCAGCCUAAAUUGGGUUAUUAAACUUGUCAAGAAUGGGGGAUCCAUUCUCGUCUAUUUGGAUAGCAUUAAGGAUAUCUGACUGUUGCUGCUUAGUGAGAAGGUGAUCCUACCAACCUUUAAGUUGACCAGUAAAACCCGCAAUGAGAAUUUCUGCAAUGGCUUUGUCAGAAGUUCCUGACUGGAUUUUAUAGGCAUUGGCUGCCAUGGUCAUCUGUUGCAACAAUCCUAGGAUAUUAUACUCGGACAUUCCAUCUAUAUUCCCCUCAUAGACAGAGGAUGCAUUAUAUCGAGACUGAUUUAAUGCACUAGGCCUAUUGUCUAUGGUCAAAUCAGGUGGAGACUUGACAGUGGGAAGGGCUAAUUCCCAAUGGAUUUUAUUGGCUUUAGAAACAGGUUCUUCUGUGAAGGCUUCUAUAUUAGAAGAGGCUAUAGACAUUUGGUCUUGUUCUAAUACUCCAAUCUUGCUAGAUUGGGGAGUAUCAGGGACUAUUUGAACUUUGCUAGAUGAGGAAGAAGCUACUUCUAUCCUAUCUAAUUGUUCUCUAAUGGCUUUAGCAAAAUUUGAUUUUGACUCUUGGACAAGCUUUUGACUAGUUUUCGAAACCUGAAAAGGUUUGAAAAUAGGCUCCUUGUGCUUUUUGUCAGAAUCCGAUUUUGAUGGAACAUGGGAAAUGGAAGAAAUAGCUAUGGUUGACUUUUGGAAUUGAUUUUCUAUACGGGUCAAUUGCUUUCCAAUAGUAUUUAAGUUAGUAUUACAGAAAUUAUUCUGUUGGAUAAUACUACUUAAAUUUGCAGUUAGUAUUACAGAAAUUAUUCUGUUGGAUAAUACUACUUAAAUUUGCAUCUGUGUCAUUUGGCUUUGGGAUUUUAUAAGGUGAAGCUCUAAUUUGAACAGGAGGUUCACUGUGAUCAACGGUUAAACUCCGAAGAGGUGGAUGCUCAGAUUUUAUGAUUCUCUCACUAUCAGAAAGUUUCCAUUCAGGAAUCUUCUUUUUAAUGGUAAUAGGGUUUGAUUCUUUAAAGGGAUAGUAAAUGUUGUUCUCAAAAGAAUAUAUUUCAAACCAAUCAAAAAACAAUAUAUGAACUUGAUGUAGAUUUACAAAUUCAUAAUAGAUUUGUUGGAUUUCUUUUCUUUGGUUCAAAAAAUGUUUGAAAAACCAAGUUCUUUUUUCUUUAUUAUUUUCCGAAUAAAAAUCAUUAUGAAGAAGAUUUUUGUCUAAUUCAAAAUCCUUUUUAAUGACAUUAAUAACAUUUUCGGUGAUAGCAGAAAAUGUUGGGGAAGUUGGAGGAGAAGGUUCCUUCUUUUCCUGUCUUUGUUCAUGUUGAUUGCUAGUAUAGAUUGAGUGUGGGACACUAGUGGUAUAGUCAACAGAACGUAUGGAAGAACUAGGUACAUCCGAGGUGGAAAACCUAGGUUGACUCUUUACUGUUUGGUAAGGGAGAUUUAUGACAGAAGGGACUUUUGUGAAUUUCCUUUCUAAUGAAGGAAUGCUUGAGCACGACUCUUUAUCAGAAAAUCUGGAUGAAGUAGAUCUCCUGAAAGAUAGUUUUACUCUACCAUCAGAAUACUGAGUCACAUUUUGCAACUCUGUAUUAGGCUCAAGUUGUUUCGGAAUCGCUGGAGGAGCGGCUCCUUCAAGAAUCCAUUCUUCUGGAAGAUUGACGUCUUUCCACUGGAUUGGUUUUAGAAUGACAGUGUUGGCUUUGGACAAAUCAGUCUGCAAGAGAAGAGUCUCAUCUCUUUUUGACUGGAAUUUGUGUUACGUACUAAAUGCAGAAAUCAUGGCUUUAUAAGAAAUUUUAAAAAUUAAUGCUACUGGGACAGAUCCCUCAAUCAUAUUAUAAUUGUGGGUUUUGAUUUGUAAAAUCAUGCUUUUCAAAAUGUUUUUGUCUUUAAGGGAAAUUGUUAUGUUUGGAUAACAAUCAAAAGAUAUGGGACCUUUACAGAGACUCGAUUCAAUACUAUUUAGUAAAGAAUCAUCAAAAGAGAUGAAUCGGCCAUCUCUAAGGACAAUGAUGAUAGAAGUAUCCAAGCCUUCUUUGGUUAAUGUUUUUAUGCCUACUUGGAUCAAUCCUAUAUGAACAUAAUUAAAAUUCUUUUCUUUUAAUUUCUUUAAUGAAUGUUCUAAAAAUAAUUGGAUUGUUUCAAAUGGCUUUAAAAGAGUUAUGUCACGUUCUUCAGUCUUUAUGACAUAAUCAUUUUUGAAAAAAUCAAGUUUUUUUGUUUUAUAAAUCUUUUCUUUAGAAACUCUUGGAAGUUCCCAACAAUCAAUUGCUUUAUCAAAGUUCUCAAUAACGAAUUCUUCUGAACUCACAACAUGCUUUGAAUCACUAGUCUUCCCGGAAGAAGAGCUAGAAAAGGAUGAUGUUCUACAGAGUAGAGGGUCCAUGGGUAAAAACCUAUGGUCUAUUUUUGGUUUUGUCAGGAUGGCUACAGGUAUGGUUUUACAGCCCUAAGGGGAAAUCUUUAUCCUAAAACGGGACUUACUACCAGUAAGGAAUUCACCACACAACAAAACUUCAAAAUAAAACACAAGUCUUUAAACACGUUGACUCUAAAAAGUAAUACACUAUCCUCCCCUUGGCUCUGAUACCAGAAGGAAAUAGGAUCGAAGGAUGGAUGUGUUUUCGUUGGAAAUCAAAAUUAAGAACUCAAAUAAUAUAAUGCUUGGAUUGGGUCAACACAUUGUUCAUGCAAAAACUUUGAUACCAGAAUUUUAAAUUAUGUUCGAAAUUUUAAAUCCAAGCAUUGUAUUAUUUGAGUUCUUAAUUUUGAUUUCCAACGAAAACACAUCCAUCCUUCGAUCCUAUUUAAACCGGGACAUUCCAUAUAUAUAUAUAUAUAUACUGACACCUUAAUCCGAAAUUGGCUCUUUGCCAAAGGAUUUCUUGAACCAACCAUUAAGCACUCCAAAGCCCAACAAACUUUUCUAACCCAAAAAUCCAAAGCCCAAUCUCUUUUAGCCAGUGCUAAAACUGAAGAAGAGUAUUUUAAAGUUAUACAACAACUUCUCGCCACGAGGUCUGAAACAUCUGUUGCAAGUUCCUCCUCAAGCACCUUCGGAGAUGAAGAGCCUUUUAUUUCAAAGCCGACGGUUUAAAAUGUCAUUCAUACUUUAAAUGUUCUUUGUAGAAUAAGUUGGGUGUCUUGGGCAUGAAGUCUGAGAUUCCACAUGCAUAUGAUGGCAUUAAGGAUAUCUAAUUGUUGCUGCUUAGUGAGAAGGUGAUCCCACCAACCUUUAAGUUGAAGAGGGGCAACUUUAGAGAGGAUUUCUUCAUCAAGGCCAAGUUCAUGAAGCUUUCGAUUCAUUCUACAAUACUUUGCAGUAUGGCCUUUUAUACCACACUUAUGGCAUAUGGCUUUUUUGUAGUUGAAAGGGGCUUUGUGUUUAGGUUUAAAUUCCUUUUUCUUAGAGAAGUUGGGUUUCUUAUAAGGCCUCUAGGGUUUCUUGUAAGAAGAUUCUCUAAAUUUCUGGAAUGGCUUUCUAUAGCUUUUGGAUUUGUAAUGUCUCUUGUGAGGUUUGGAAGAACACUCACCAUUACAAUCUUUGGAAAUGGAAGUUUUAAAGGGGUCAUAAUUGAAUUGUUUACAGAAACUGCAUAAUUCUUGCUUAGAUUUCCUAAGCUCCCAUUAAAGUCGUUUCUGUAAUUUCAAAUCUUGACAGAUCUUUAAACCUUCUUUGUUGACAAAACUGACUAACUCACCAUAAGUGAGUUCAUCAUAAGGAAUGCGGUUAUCAUAAAGGGCUUUAAUGAAAUUUCUAACCUUUUCACCUAGAAGAGUAGGCAAUCCUGCUAAGAACUUCUCUUUCCAGGUUAUAUGAUUUGCAUCAUCUCUGAGAAAGAGUCUGGUGAAGAGGGUGGUUUUAUAAUCUUAGAAUUCACUAAGUUUUCUACAUCUCAAAUUAUGUAGUAACUCAGCAUUUUUGUCUCUAAGGUGGGAAUGAUCACCUAUGAAAUGGAGGGAUAUGGUUAGAAUCAGGGUAGCUACGGCAUCCUGCUUUAAAACAAACAGAAAAUCAUUGGGUACAGACUAGUUGUUUCGGAAUCGCUGGUGGAGCGGCUCCUUCAAGAAUCCAUUCCUCUGGAAGGUAGACAUCUUUCCAUUGGAUUGGUUUUGGAAUGACUGUGUUGGCUUUGGACAAAUCAGUCUGUAAGAGAAGAGUCUAUUCUCUUUUUGACUGGAAUUUAUGUUGCGUACUGAAAGCAGAAAUCACGGCUUUAUAGGAAAUUUUAAAAAUCUAGGCGACAUGAAUUGAUCCCUUAAUCAUAUUAUAAUUAUGUGUUUUGAUUUGUAAAAUCAUACUUUUCAAAAUGUUUUUGUCUUUAAGAGAAAUUGUUAUAUUUGGAUAACAAUCAAAAGAUAUGGGGCCUUUGCAGAGACUGUAUUCAAUACUACUUAGUAAAGAAUCAUCGAAAGAGAUGAAUCGACCAGCUCUAAAGACAGCGAGGAUGGAGGUAUCCAGGUCUUCUUUGGUCAAUGGUUUAUUUCGACUUGGAUUAAAACGAUGUGAAUGUAAUUAAAAUUCUUUUCUUUUAAUUUCUUUAAAGAUUUUUUUGAAAACAAAUGAAUUGUUUCAAAUGGCUCAGAAAAAGUUAUAUCACGUUCUUCAGUCUUUAUCACAUAAUCAUUUUUUAAAAAAUCAAGCUUUUUUGUUUUGUAGAUUUUUUCUUUGGAAAUUUUUGGAAGUUCCCAACAAUCAAUUACUUUAUCAAAGUUCUCAAUAAUAAAUUCUUCUGAACUCACAACAUACUUUGAGUCACUAGUAUUCCCGGAAGAAGAGCUAGAAAAGGACGAUGUUCUACAGAGUAGAGGGUCCAUGGGUAAAAACCUAUGGUCUAAUUCUGGUUCUGACUGAAUGGCUACAGGUAUGGAUUUACAGCCCUAAGCGGAAAACUUUAUCCUAAAACGGGACUUACUACCAGUAAAAAUUCACCAUACUUGUUAUAAAUUAUAAACCCCUUAAUAAAGCAUUAAAAUGGAUUAGAUACCCAAUACCUAAUAAAAAGGAUUUGCUUCAAAAACUCUAUUCUGCCUUCAUAUUUUCAAAAUUUGACAUGAAGUCGGGUUUUUGGCAAAUUCAAAUCCAUCCUAAAUCAGUCUAUAUCGAGACUGAUUAAUGCACUAGGCCUGUUGUCUAUGGUCAAAUCAAGUGGAGAUUUGGCAGUGGGAAGGGCUAAUUCCCAAUGGAUUUUAUUGGCUUUAGGGGUAGGUUCGUCUUUAAAAGCUUCUAGAUCAUAAGAGGCUAUAGACAUGUUGUCAUGUUCCAAUAUUCCAAUCUUGCUAGAUUGGGGAGUAUCAGGGGCUAUUUGAACUUUGCUAGAAGAGGAAGAAGUAGCUUCUAUCCUAUCUAGUUGUUCUCUAAUGGCUUUAGCAAAAUUUGAUUUUGACUCCUGAACAAGCUUUUGACUAGUUUUUGAAACCUGAAAAGGUUUGAAAAUAGGUUCUUUAAGCUUUUUGUCUGAAUCCAAUUUUGAUGAAACAGGAGAAACGGAUGAAACGGCAAUAGUAGUCUUUUGGAAUUGGUUUUCUAUUCGGGCGAAUUGUUUUCCAAUUGUAUUUAAGUUAGUAUUACAGAAAUUAUUCUGUUGAAUAAUACUACUUAAAUUCGCAUCAGUAUCAAUUGGCUUUGAGAUUUUGUAAGGUGAGGCUCUAAUCUGGACAUGAGGUUCUCCGUGAUCGACGGUUAAGCUCCAAAGAGGUGGAUGCUCUGAUUCUAUGGUUCUAUCACUAUCAAAAAGUUUUCACUCAGGAAUUUUCUUUCUAAUAGUAAUAGGGUUUGACUCUUUAAAAGGAUAUGAAAUGUUGUUCUCAGAAGAAUAUAUCUCGAACCAAUCAAAAAACAAUAUAUGAACUUGAUGUAGGUUUACAAAUUCAUAAUAAACUCGUUGGAUUUCUUUUCUUUGAUUUAGAAAAUAUUUAAAAAACCAAGUUCUUUUUUCCUUAUUAUUCUCUUAAUAAAAAUCAUUAUGAAGAGGAUUUUUGUCCAAUUCAAAAUCCUUUUUAAUGACAUUAAUAACAUUUUCGGUAACAGCAGAGAAUGUUGGAGAAGUUUGAGGAGAAGGUUCCUUCUCGUCCUGUCUUUGUUCAUGUUGACUACUAGUAUAGAUUGGGUGUGGGACACUAGUGGCAUAAUCAACAGAAUGUAUGGAAGACAUAGGUAUAUCUGAGGUGGAAAACCUAGGUGGACUCUUUACUGGUUGGUAAGGGAGGUUUAUGACAGAAGGGAUUUUUGUACAUUUCCUUUCUAAUGAAGCAAUGCUUGAGUACGACUCUUUAUCAGAAAAUCUGGAUGAAGUAGAUCUUCUGAAAGAUAGUUUAACUUUACCAUCAGAAUACUGAGUUACAUUUUGCAACUCUGUAUUUGGCUCAAGUUGGUAUCAACUGACACCUUAAUCCGAAAUUGGCUCUCUGCCAAAGGAUUUCGUGAACCAACCAUUAAGCACUCCAAAGCCCAACAAACUUUUCUAACCCAAAAAUCCAAAGCCCAAUCUCUUUUAGCCAGUGCCAAAACUGAAGAAGAGUAUUUUAAAGUUAUGCAACAACUUCUCGCCACGAGGUCUGAAACAUCUGUUGCAAGUUCCUCCUCAAGCACCUCCGGAGAUGAAGAGCCUUUUAUUUCCCUUGGUGACGAAAAUGAAGACGACUGCUUCGGCAUAUUCUCCCCAUUAAAGCAUUCCAAAUAAUUAUUGUCCUGAUGUGAAAAAAAAAAGUAAAGUAAAAAGUAAAUACAUUUUGCUAUUACUUUGAUUAUAUAUCUUCGGGUGGUCCCCUGGACACAAGUGAGAGCGCUCAUGUCUCUUCACCCGUAUUAUCCUUGUAUUUGUAUUUUCUUGUUACAAAGCUACAGCUCCGCUGCAAUCUACAGUGAAGAGUUCCAAAGAUUACUGUUUGCUACAGCUCCGCUACAGUGAACAAUGAAGAAUUCCAAAGAUUACUGUACGCUGCAUCUCCGCUACAGUCUACAGUUUAAAAUUUUUUGUAUAAAAACCGAAAGGAAGACUUAGACUCCUCAAGGUUUUCAUUUUGCAAAUUUGAGAGCUUCUCUCUCUUCCUUCUCUUUCUUCUUUUCCUCUCUCUCUCUCUCUCUGGGAAUCAGGAAUUCGAAGGGUUCAAGGAAAUUUUUCUGUUUACAGAAUAGUUCCUUACCUUCAAGAUUAAUUUCUCUUUCUUCUCUACAAAGAAAAAAGCAAUUGAUGUAAGCAUUUCAUUUUCCAGUUUUAUUUUAAAAGCAUUAAAGCAUUUGUAAAUUUUAUUUAAAGCUUUGCGUGUAUGUUUAAAUUUCUGCAAUUUAUUUUAAAGCAUUUAAAUUUUUGCAUGCUCUGCAGACUGAUCUAUAUCAGAUCUGCCAUACAACUGCUACGUUCCUCUGAGGCAACGAGACCAGAUCUCAAUUCUCAGUUGUAUUCUUUCUCUUCUCCCUCCAUUCCUUCAGAACACCGUUUCUGGGUUCCAAAUCUGGUACUGUGUAUGCACCAUAGCCUUUAGAUGUAUGUUUGUUGCUAGGAUUGCUUAAAGAACUUAAAAAUAUUUGGUAAAUAAAUUUGGUAUAUCGGCUGGAAACUAGAACGUGCGGAAUAUUGAUCUGUCCUAAGUCAGAUCUGGUUCCAAAGGCAGACUUGGCUCUGCAUCGAUCUAGAUACAACGCCACGUACCUUUAUUAAAACUUGACCAACCGCGCUCCAAAGCAAAUCUAUUUAUUUCAAUGGAUUUUACACUCUUUAUUUCCUUCUGGUAUUAUAGCCAAGGGAAGGAUAUUGUAAUCUUGUUUAGAGAUUUCGUGAUUAAAGAUCUAUGUUUUAUUUUGAAGUUUUGUUGUAUGGUGAAUUUUUACUGAUAGUAAGGCCCGUUUUAAGAUAAGGUUUUCCGCUUAGGGCUGUAAAUCCAUACCUGUAGCCAUUCAGUCAGAACCAGAAUUAGACCAUAGGUUUUUACCCAUGGACCCUCUACUCUGUAGAACAUCGUUCUUUUCUAGCUCUUCUUCCGGGAAGACUAGUGACUCAAAGCAUGUUGUGAGUUCAGAAGAAUUUAUUAUUGAGAACUUUAGCAGUGGGAAGGGCUAAUUCCCAAUGGAUUUUAUUGGCUUUAAGGGUAAGAUCGUCUUUAUAUAAAAAGCCUUUAAAGUAUGAAUGACAUUUUCUCAAACCGUCGACCAACAUUUUAAACAUUUAAAGACUUUUUACUUUGCUACCAGAAAAGCUGGCUUAGCAAUCUCUAGUUCUAAAGUCUCUUUGUUCCAAACAAAGAUCAGAUUCCUAGGUCACAAUAUUUCCAAAGGAACCAUUACUCCUAUUGAAUGCUCCCUUGUCUUCGCAGACAAAAUCCUAGACAAGACUCAAUUACAGAGGUUUCUAGGAAGUUUAAAUUAUGUACUUGAUUUUUGUCCAAAUAUCAAUAGGAUGUCUAAACCUUUGCAUGAUAGAUUAAAGAAGAAUCAUGUUGCAUGGACUGAUGAGCAUACUAGAACUGUUAAACUCAUAAAGAAUUCUGUUAAAAGUAUUUCAUAUUUAUAUCUUACUAAUCCUGCAUUACCUAAAAUAGUUGAAACUGAUGCAUCUGAUUUAGGUUAUGGAGGCAUACUAAAGCAAGUAGAUAAUAAUAAAGAACAUAUAGUCCAAUAUGUUUCUGCACAUUGGAAUGAAUGCCAAAAGAAUUAUUCUACUAUUAAAAAAGAAAUUCUUUCAAUUGUUUUGUGCAUUUCCAAAUUUCAAAGUGACUUAUUAAAUCAAAAAUUUUUACUUAGAAUUGAUUGCAAAGCUGCAAAACAUUUUUGCACGAUGGCAAGCUAUUUUAAGUAUUUUUGAUUUUGAUAUUGAAUUUAUUAAAGGUGAUAAAAAUUCUAUUCCUGAUUUUCUAACUCGGGAAUUUCUUCAAAACAGAUAAUGCCGCCAAAAAGAAGCAACAAAGGAAAAGGCAUUGCCAAAGACAUUGAAUCUAAAGCUGCUACUAGAGAACCCCAAUCCUCUCCUCCUAAAGAAAAACUACUCUCCUCUGCCAUGCCAAUCAAGUCUUGGAUUGACAUGAUCGAAGAUGAGGAGGCAAGAUCUAAAGCCCUUUCUACCCAAGACCAAGUUAACCUAUGGAUGAAAGCCAUUUCCAAAUCUCCUGAGCUUAUGCUUGCAUUACAAAGCUUCUCCCAAAGCCAGGAAUCUCCAAAAGAGAUCUCUGAAAAAGAAAGCUCCAAAGAAAUUACAAAAUCCUCUCAAAAUAUUAUUGUUUCUGGUGAUAGUUCAUCAUCACAAAUUAUUCUUUCACAACCAACAAAGAAAACCUCGGUUUGGUUUGAUAAAGCCCAUUUCCAAAACAUUUCAACAAUCGAAGAUGGGUUUUACCAUACUGACCCAUUUCAAACACUUACGAAGUUUUUCCCUAAAGGCUGGUUUUUUAAACCAUGGAAUUUAACAAAACCUCAGCCUUAUUAUCAAAGCAUUUUAGAAGCCACUGAGUCAGUUGAAUUCAAAAAUUUUUAUCUCAGUGACUCCCAUUCUGAGCCGGCCUAUUCCACGGCCACUGUUAUGCAAAUUUUAAUGUACUCGCAAACGUACGAAUCUUUUGUAGUAUAGAUCAAUGGUGGCGAGUGUCGAUCCCACGAGGAGGUGGAUUUUAAUUAUAUGUAGAAUUAAUUUUGUAAAUAGGUGGUUGAAAUUGUGGUGGAAGUGAUUUAAAUUAUCCUAAAAUUGGAAUUGAGAUUCUAAAAUUGGAAUUGCAAUGACGAGAAUAAAUUGAAGCGAAAUAUAUUGAAAUGACGUACUUGGGUGUCUAAAUCCGUAUCAACAUGCAUCAUGGGCUAAAUAAUCCGUAUUAAUGCCAAUUAAAUCAUGAGGGGGGAAUCCACACCUCAUGAACCACGCUCUAAUCAAUAUGGUGCUAAGGGCUUAUCGUGCCAAAUAAUAAUAACCUUGUACUAGAGGGCCGGUGAAACCAAGACGGUACUAGACAAGAAUAUUAUUAUUUGUCGACGAGAAGUCAAAACAUCCACAAAAACUAAAGGGGAAGAGAAAAUAAAUUUAUCAAAUUAAGCCCAUGACACAUGUUGAGAAUUCACCUUCAACCCAAGCUUGAAAGAAAAUUAGCCACUCAUAAUUGAACUAGGGGCAAAAUGGGAAUUUAUUAAAAUAUGAAGAAAAUACAAGAUGGAGAAGGAAUUACAGAAAAUGGAUCCCAAAAAUGGAUUCAGAGAUAUCAAAUUAGGGGGGGAGGCCCCCUUUUUAUAGAUACAUGGAGUAAAUUAUGGCCAUCAGAUUAAAAACAGUUUGGACGCUCAGGAUUGCACCACGUCAUCAGUCAACAGUCCACGGUUUGACCACGCGGAUGAACAGUAACACAGUUUGACCCGGAUGAACAGUAACACGGUUUGGUUGAAAAUAAUCUUGUGUGAUGCAUGCACCGUACGCGAGAUUUUUCGUCCACUGAUAUGCUGCCACGUCACCAUCAACAGUACAUAAGAAUUUUAGUCCAACAGGAUCGUGACACCUCAUCAGUCAAUGCCACAUCAUCGGUCAAUGCCACAUCAUCGAUCCGUCUAUGUGAACAGUGCUAUGAACAGUAACGUAUACAAUACCGUAUACGUGAAUAGUACCGUACAUGUGAAUAGUGCCAUUUUUCCUUUUAUGCUCCUCCUAAGGUUUUCGACCGUCCUGAGUUCAAAAGUGAUGUCCAUUUUGCCGUCUGAUCUCUCCUUUAUUGUGAAAUGACUAUAAUGCCCCUAAAAUACAUAAAUUACUUAAUUAAAAUAAAAUACACGUAAUUAAAUCACAAGAAUGUUAAAAACAUAAAAGUAAGGGUUGUUAGUAAGACUUGAAAUAUAAAAUAACGGUUUUCUCCUUUAUAAAUAUGCAUUUUCUAACACUCAACAGCCACUAUCUUAAAAGUCUUGAGCCCAAACUAGUGGGGCGACCAACUCCACAAAUUUAAAUCUUUCCCUCCAAAUUUCUAAAUGCGUUUACCACAUUGCUUGACUUUUUCCUAUUGGGAUUAUCCACAAGCUUGGUUUAACACAUUCUUUAUCCAAAAUCCAAAGAAAUCUCAUUCAUGGUUAUUUUUCUUCAAUUCAAAAAUAACCGUCCAAAGCCUCCCAAAUUGGUUUCAACAAUGGUGGAACUUCUAUGGCCCAAUACCCCAAAUCCUAACUCCAAAUGCCACUCAUUGCUUAAACCUCUUCAAAGUUCAUUAUGUCCCUUCUGAAUCAGAGAAAAGAUUUCCUUUUUUUCUUUGCUUCUGUACAAAUUUCUUCAUUCCAUGGGUAUGCAUGUGGAAUCUCAGACUUCAUGCCCAGGAUACCCAACUUAUUCUACAAAGAACAUUUAAAGUAAAAUGGUGGUCAAAAUUCGAUGAACAGUUUAAAUUGAUUGACACCUUAAUCCGAAAUUGGCUCUCUACCAAAGGAUUUCUUGAACCAACCAUUAAGCGCUCCAAAGCCCAACAAACUUUUCUAACCCAAAAAUCCAAAGCCCAAUCUCUUUUAGCCAGUGCUAAAACUGAAGAAGAGUAUUUUAAAGUUAUGCAACAACUUCUCGCCACGAGGUCUGAAACAUCUGUUGCAAGUUCCUCCUCAAGCACCUUCGGAGAUGAAGAGCCUUUUAUUUCCCUUGGUGACGAAAAUGAAAACGACUGCUUCGGCAUAUUCUCCCCAUUAAAGCAUUCUAAAUAAUUAUUGUCCUGAUGUGAAAAAAAAAGUAAAGUAAAAAGUAAAUACAUUUUGCUAUUACUUUGAUUAUAUAUCUUCGGGUGGUCCCCUGGACACAAGUGAGAGCGCUCAUGUCUCUUCACCCGUAUUAUCCUUGUAUUUGUAUUUUCUUGUUACAAAGCUACAGCUCCGCUGCAAUCUACAGUGAAGAGUUCCAAAGAUUACUGUUUGCUACAGCUCCGCUACAGUGAACAAUGAAGAAUUCCAAAGAUUACUGUACGCUGCAUCUCCGCUACAGUCUACAGUUUAAAAUUUUUUGUAUAAAAACCGAAAGGAAGACUUAGACUCCUCAAGAUUUUCAUUUUACAAAUUUGAGAGCUUCACUCUCUUCCUUCUCUUUCUAAUUUUCCUCUCUCUCUCUCUCUCUGGGAAUCAGGAAUCCGAAGGGUUCAAGGAAAUUUUUCUGUUUACAGAAUAGUUCCUUACCUUCAAGAUUAAUUUCCAUUUCUUCUCUACAAAGAAAAAAGCAAUUGAUGUAAGCAUUUCAUUUUCCAGUUUUAUUUUAAAGGCAUUAAAGCAUUUGUAAAUUUUAUUUAAAGCUUUGCGUGUAUGUUUAAAUUUCCGCAAUUUAUUUUAAAGCAUUUAAAUUUUUGCAUGCUCUACAGACUGAUCUAUAUUAGAUCUGCCAUACAACUGCUACGUUCCUCUGAGGCAACGAGACCAGAUCUCAAUCCUCAGUUGUAUUCUUUCUCUUCUCCCUCCAUUCCUUCAGAGCACCAUUUUUGGGUUCCAGAUCUGGUACUGUGUAUGCACCCUGGCCUUUAGAUGUAUGUUUGUUGCUAGGCUUGCUUAAAGAACUUAAAAAUAUUUGGUAAAUAAAUUUGGUAUAUCAGCUGAAAACUAGAACGUGCGGAAUAUUGAUCUGUCCUAAGUCAGAUCUGGUUCCAAAGGCAGACUUGGCUCUGUAUCGAUCUAGAUACAACGCCACGUACCUCUAUUAAAACUUGACCAACCGCGCUUCAAAGCAAAUCUAUUUAUUUCAAAGCUGGUACUUUACUUUAAAAUUUUGACAAAGCCGACCCAAUCCAAGCAUUGUGUUAUUUAAUUUCUUAAUAUUUGAUUUCUUACGAAAGCACUUUCAUCCUUCGAUCCUAUUUCCUUCUAGUAUAUAUAUAUAUAUAUAUAUAUAUAGCAUAUGUAAUUCAUUCAAAGAUUGUAAUAAUUUUAAAUUUUAUUACAAAGCAUGUAUGUUUUAAAUUCUCGUAAUUUAUUUAAAGCCUAUUUACAUUUCUUUAUAAACUGUUACGUAUCCUCGAAGGCAUAGAGACCGGAUCUCUAACCUUCGUUGUAUUUCUCUUCUCCCUCCAUCAAAUCAGAGUACUACUUUCCUUCUAGUAUCAGAGCCAUGUACUGCUUUUUGUNNNNNNNNNNNNNNNNNNNNNNNNNNNNNNNNNNNNNNNNNNNNNNNNNNNNNNNNNNNNNNNNNNNNNNNNNNNNNNNNNNNNNNNNNNNNNNNNNNNNGAGGGUUACCGUGCGAAACAUCGGCAUCCAAGGGUGGAUGAGUUUUAUGAAGAAUUAAUAAAUUAAAACUAAUAAAGCAGAAAGUAGUACGUGGCGUUGUUUUACCAGAUCAAUGCAGAACUUAAUCUGCCUUAGAAACCAGAUCUGACUUAGAACAGAUCAAUAUCUCGCAUGUUCUGGUUUCCAGCCGAUAUACCAAAUUAGUUAAACAAAUAAAUUUAAAAUGCUUUAAACAAACCUAGGCAACACAAAGGCUCAUAGAUAGUACUAGAUCUGGAUCCUAGAAAUAGUACUCUGAUUUGAUGGAGGGAGAAGAGAAAUACAACGAAGGUUAGAGAUCCGGUCUCUAUGCCUUCGAGGAUACGUAACCGUUUAUAAAGAAAUGUAAACAUGCUUUAAAUAAAUUACAAUAAUUUAAAACAUACAUGCUUUGUAAUAAAAUUUAAAAUUAUUACAAUCUUUGAAUGAAUUACAUAUGCUUUAAAAUAAAUAACAAAUGCUUACAUGAGUUGCUUGAAUCCGAAAGCUUUAUAAACAGAAAGUGUUUUACAUAAGGAGAUAGAGGGGAAAAUCAGAAGACAGGAAAAUUUCUUCGAUGUCUUCAGUUCAUGUUUUCCCAAGGAAAGGAAAGAGAGAGAGAGAGAGAGAGAGAGAGAGAGAGAGAGUUCUAAAAGAAGUGCCGAGUAGAAGAAGAAGUGAUAAGUCUCAGUCUUCAUCCACUCUUUUAUACAAUAAUUAUUUUUCAAAAGAAAAUGCUACAGCUGGUCUUCACAUGCGUUGGUGGAGAGUGGGGCUAACAAUAGUAAAAGUAGUAUGAGCUUUUGGAACGUGGGAGACAGCAUCAUUUGAGGCAUCUUCUGCUUUAGGAAAGCUUCACAUGGGAGUAGUAAAAAAUAAAAGAAAACGUAUACUGUUAUAUAAAGAAAUGGAAAAUUACACUUUUUUUUAAAUUACAUUAUUUUAUUUACAAUGCUUUAUUGGAGGCAGGAUCCCGAAGCAAUCGUCUUCGUUAUCAUCUCCAAGGGAAAUGAACGGCUCCACUUCAUCUGAAGAACUGGCAACGGACGGUUCAGAUCUCGAGGCAAGGAGCUACUGCAUUACUUUAAAAUAUUCCUCUUCAGUCUUUGCACUGGCCAACAGUGAUUAGGACUUAGAUCUUUGGGCGAGGAAUGUGUUUUGGGCUUUAACAUUUUCUUGUCUUGGGACAAGAAGGCCUUUUGAAGAAAGCCAGGCUUGGACUGUGGCUUCAGAUAGUUUUGACUGUUCGUCAAACUUGGAUCACCAUUUGACUUUGAAAUAUCUUUGAAGGAUGAGUUGGGCUUCUUGAUUAUGGUAUUGAAAAUUCCACAUCCAGACCUAAGGAAGAAAGAAAUUUGUACAAAAGUAGAGAAAAUGAGGAAACCUCUUCUCGGACUCAGAAGGAACAUAAUGGGCUUUAAAAAGGUUUAAACAAUUUAUGGCAUUUAGGGUUAGAAUUUCUGGGCUUGGCCCAAAGUAUUUCCAUCAUUGUUGGAACCAAUUUGGAAGGCUUUGGACAUUUAUUUUUUAGUUAAAGAAAAAUAACUAAGAAUAGGUCUUUUUGGGAUUUUGAAUAAAAAAUAUGUUGAAUCAGGCCUAUUGGUAAUCCCAGUAAAAAAAAAGAUAGGCAAUGGUUUAAACGCAUUUGGAAAUUGACGGGAAAGGUCUUUGGUUUGUGGAGUUGGUUACCCCACUGUUUUGGGCUCAAGACUUUUAAGAUGGUGGCUGUAGAGUAAGCCGACUCAUGGUGAAAUUCACUAAGAAAGAAAUGUUUGAAUUUUACAGACUCAGUGAACUCAAGAAUGUUUUGGUAGAAAGACUGGGGUUUUGAUAAAUCCCAUGGUUUGAAAAACUAGCCUUUCGGGAAAAUCUUUGUAAUGGCUUGAAAUGGAUCAGAGUGAUAAAACCCAUCUUCCAUAGAUAAAACAUUUUGAUGAUAGGUUUUAUUAAUCCAAUCCGAAGAUUUUUGUGAAAGUUUCGAUUGAUAAAUAAUAAUUUGUGAAGAAGAGCUUUCACAAGAAAUAACGUUUUUAGAAGAAGAAGGCUUUGAAAUUGCUUUAGAAACAGAUUUUUCUUUCUCAGGAACUUGAGAAAGAGCUUUAUUUUGGGAAAUACUUUGUAAAGCUAACAUAAGUUCAGGGGACUUUGUAAUGGAGUUCAUCCAUUCUUUACCUGCUCAUUGGAAGCAAUGGCUUUAGACUGUGCUUCUUGCUCCUCGACUAUUUCAAUCUAUGAUUUAAUAGGCAUGACAGACGAAAGUAAUUUGUCUUUAGGAGGGGUUGUUUGGGUUUCUUUAGAGAGUGUUUGUGGUGCAAAGUCUUUAAGAAUGGCUUUGCCUUUGUCUUUUUUUUUUUUGGCGGCAUUAUUUGUUUUGAAAAAAUUUCCUGGUUAGAAAAUCAGGGAUAGAAUUUGCAUCUCCUUUAAUAAACUCAAUUUCAAAAUCAAAAACACUUAAAAUGGCUUGCCAUCGUGCAAAAUUUUGUUUUAAUGCAAUGUUUUGAACAUCUUUUUCUAAAACAUGUUUUGCAGCUUUGCAAUCAAUUCUAAGUAAAAAUUUUUAAUUUAACAAAUCACUUUGAAAUUUAGAUAUGCAUAAAACUAUAGAUAAAAUUUCUUUUUUGAUGGUAGAAUAAUUUCUUUGACAUUCAUUCCAAUGUGCAGAAACAUAUUGUACUAUCUGUUCUUUACUAUUAUCAACUUGUUUUAGUAUUCUUCUAUAACCUAAAUCUGAUGCAUCAGUUUCAACAAUCUUAGGUAAUGCAGGAUUUGCAGGAAAUAAACAUGGAAUAUUUUUAACAGAAUCCUUUAUCAGUUUAACAGCUUUAGUGUGCUCAUCAGUCUAUGCAACAUGAUGUUUCUUUAAUCUAUUAUGCAAUGGCUUUGAAAUCCUAUUGAUGUUCGGACAGAAAUCAAGAACAUAAUUUAAACUACCUAGAAAUCUCUGUAAUUGAGUUUUAUCUAGGAUUUUAUCAGGAAAUUUAUCUGCAAAUGCAAGAGAUCUUUCAAUAGGUGUUAUAGUUCCUUUGGAAAUAUAAUGACCAAGGAACCUAAUCCUUGUUUGAAACAAGGAGACUUUAGAACUAGAAAUGGCUAGACCAGCCUUCCUAGUGGCAAAAUAAAAAGUCUUUAAAUGCUUGAAAUGUUGAUCAAUUGUUUGGGAAAAGAUCAAUACAUCAUCAAUAUAAACAAUGCAAAAUUCAGAGAAAGGAUUAUAAACAUCAUUCAUAAUCCUUUGAAAUUCUGAAGGUGCAUUCUUUAAUCCGAAUGGCAUAACAGUCCAUUCAUACUGUCCAAAAGGAACAAUAAAAUCAGUUUUAUAACGGUCUUUGGGAUGAAUUUGAAUUUGCCAAAAUCCAGAUUUUAUAUCAAAUUUUGAAAAAAUAAAUGCAGAAUGUAGUUUCUAGAGCAAAUCAUUUUUAUUAGGUAUGGGAUACCUAAUCCAUUUUAAUGCUUUAUUAAGGGGUUUGUAAUUUAUGACUAAUCUGGGUGUCCCUUUUUCUAUCUCAAAAUUCUUAUUGACAUAGAAAGCAGCACAAGACCAUGGAGACCUAGACUUGACUAUGAGACCUUUAGAUUCUAAAUCUUUUAUCUCAUCUUUGCAAUGUUGUUCCAAUUCCAUGUUCAUUUGGAUUGGACGGCUUUAGUAGGUAUUUGCUUUUCAUCAAAAGAGUUUUCAUAAGGCAAAUCAACAAGAUGUUGUUUUUUGUUUCAAAAAGCAGAUGGUAGAUCCGUACAUAUUUCUUUUUCAAUGAGGUCUUUAAAAUCAUAGAUUUUUCUUUUUACAAAUUCAUUUUGUAAUUGGUUUUCGAUUCUUUGUAGACUCAAAACCUUUUAUAAACAAACCAGGUCAUUUUGUUUUGAUUUGAGGAGAGUAUUGAUUUGGUUCUGAUAAAUAGAACAGGCUUUAACAAUAUUCAAAUUUCUUAUUUUAGGUUUUUCAAUAAAAGGGAAAACAAGUUUUUUGGUUUUUGCUUUAAAAGAUAUACUAUCAUAGUUAACAGUAUGGUGUAUGUCAUUUGUAAGAAUAAAAGAAGUCCUGAAUUCAAAACCAUUGUUAUGAAUAGAGGCGUCAACUUUAGAUUUGACAUUAAGUUUUGAAUUAUUAGCAGCAGAAAGUCUUUCAUUCGUUUUCUCAUGAAACCUUCUAGGGACAAUAUCUUCUUUAAUGUAAUUUAAAUAAGCACCAGUGUCAAAAAGGGCAAUGGUGUCAAUUUCAAAAUCUUUGGAAAAAAUCAAGGCAUAUUUUAAUCAAAUACUUUCUCGUGGUGAUUUGCUUUAAAACAAACAGAAAAUCAUUGGGUAUAGAUUCAAUAUUUUCAAGACUUUGUUCUCUAUUACCACCAUCAUCAGAUUCUGAUUCGUUAUCAGAAUUAUCCUAGAGUUAUCUAUGUAAGAGAAGUUGAAUGGAUUCAGAAUCAUUCUUUUGUUUUUCUUUCAACUCCUUAAUCUCAAGUUUGAUUUCUUUAAUCUCUCUUUGAAGGUCUUGGAUAUUGAGAAUUAUUUUCUUUGUUGUCUUUUUAUCCAAGAUUUCAGUUAGGCCAUAUGUAUCUUUUUAAUGGUAGGGGCUUUAGAAGUUUCUGCUUAUUUCUAAUUCUAAGGGUUUUUAUAAGCUUAUCAAGAUACUCCUUUUGAAGAGUAGGGUCAGAAAUGUGUUUAACUAGCUCAAGAAAAGUUUCUUAUUCUUUAGUCAACACAUGAAGUUUUUUUGUCUUUAAAUAGGAUUCUGUAUCAGAAUCACUAUCACUAGAUACAGAUGUGUCUGAGUCAAUUAACUCAUCAACCUGUAGAGGCUCACUGUUUCCUGACAUGGAAGACUCAGAGUCGGAAGACUCUACAAGCAAAGGGGCCACUUUAGAGAAUAUCUCUUCAUCUAGGUCAAGUUCAUGGAGCUUUCUGCUCAUUCUACAGAACUUUGCAGUAUGACCUUUCUUUCCACAUUUGAAACAUGUGGCUUCUUUGUAAUUGAAAUGAGCUUUUGAUUUUGCUAUGGUAUCUUUCCUUUUAGAGAAAUGAGGUUUCCUAUAAGGCUUCGAUGGUUUCCUAUAGGAAAGUUCUCUAAACUCAUGGAAGGGUUUCCUAUGGCUUUUAGACUUAUAAUGUUUCUUGUAAGGUUUCGAAGAACACUUACCAUUACAAUCUUUAGAAGUGGAGGCUUUAAAUGGGUCAUAGUUAGAUUGUUUACAUAAACUACCUAGUUCUUGCUUAGACUUUCUAAGCUCCCAUUUUAAUCGUUUCUGUAGUUUCAAGUCCUGACAAAUCUUUAAACCUUCUCUGUUAAUAAAACUGACAAGUUCACUGUAGGUGAGCUCAUCAUAGGGAAUACGGUUGUCAUAAAGGGCUUUAAUAGAAUUCAUAACAUUUUCUCCUAAUAGGGUAGGUAAACCUGCAAGGAAUUUUUCUUCCAAAUUAUAUGAUUUGCAUCAUCCCUAAGGAAAAGUCUGGUAAAGAAUGUGGUUUUGUAGCUUUGAAAUUCACUAAGCUUCCUACAUUUUAAGUUGUGUAGUAACUCAGCAUUCUUAUCCCUAAGGUGUGAAGGAUCACCUAUGAAAUGAAGGGAUAUAGUCAGAAUCAUGGUAGCAACUGCAUCCUAAAUUGGACUAUUGAAUUCAUCAUAGAUGGGGGCUCCAUUCUCAUCUGUUUAAAUUGAAUUUAAAAUAUCUAAUUGUUGUUGUUUGGUGAGGAGAUGAUCCCACUAUCCUUUAAGCUGACCAGUAAAGCCAGCAAUGAGAAUCUCUGCUAUGGCUUUGUCAGAGGUUCCCUGUUGGGUUUUAUAGGCAUUAGCUGCCAUGGUCAUUUAUUGUAAUAAUCCUAGGAUAUUAUACUCAGACAUACCAUCUAUGUUCCAUUCAUAGACAGAGGAGGCAUUAAAACGAGAUUGGUUUAAGGCACUCGGUCUGUUGUCUAUGGCUAAGUCAGGUGGAGAGCUAACAGUAGGAAGAGCUAAUUCCCAAUGGAUUUUAUUAGUUUUAGGAACAUGUUCUUCUUUAAAGGCUUUUAUGUCAGAGGAGACUAUAGACAUUUGGUCUUGUUCUAGUACACUAAUUUUGCUAGAUUGGGCACUAUCUGGAGCUAUUUGAAUUUUACUAGAAGAGGAAGAAGAAGCUUCUAUUCUAUCUAGUUGUUCUCUAAUGGCUUUAGCAAAAUCUGAUUUUGACUCUUGAACUAACUUUUGACUAGUCUUCGAGACUUGGUUUGAAAAUAGGCUCUUUAAGUUUCUUUUCAAAGUUAGCCUUUGACGUAAUACUAGGAGAGAUAGCUAUGAUUGACUUUUGGAAUUGGUUUUCUAUCCUAGUCAACUGUUUUCCUAUUGUAUUUAGAUUGACAUUACAGAAAUUAUUUUGUUGAAUGAUGCUUUCUAAAUCUGUUUCUGGAUCUUUGGGUUUAUGGAUUUUAUAGGGUGAGGCUUUUAUCUGAACAGGAGGUUCACCAUGAUCAAUGGUUAGACUCCUAGGUAGAGGAUGUUCAGAUUCUAUAAUCCUAUCACUAUAAGAAAGAUUUCAUUCAGUAAUUUUCUUCCUAACAGUAAUGGGAUUUGAUUCUUUAAAAGGAUAAGUAAUUUUGUUAGCUGAAGCAUACAUCUCAAACCAAUCAAAAAACAAUAUAUGAACUUUAUACAAAUUUACAAACUCAUAAUAGACUUGUUGGAUGUCUUUCCUUUGGUUUAAGAAAUGCUUGAAAAACCAAAGUCUUUUUUCUUUAUUAGUGCCAGAAUAAAAAUCAUUGUGAAGAAAGAGUUUUAUCUAAUUCAAAAUCUUUUUUAAUGACACUAAUUACAUUUUUUGUGACAGUAGAAAAUGUAGGAGAAGUUGGAGGAGAAGGUUCCUUCUCUUCCUGUCUUUAUUCAUGUUGACUGCUAGUGUAGAUUGGGUGUGGAACACUAGUGGUAUAGUCAACAGAGUGAAUAGAGGAACUAGGUAUAUCUGAUGUGGAAAACCUAAGUUGACUCUUUACUGGUUGGAAAGGGAGAUUUAUAACGGAGGGAAUCUUUGAAAAUUUCCUUUCUAAUGAAGGAAUACUUGAACAUGAAUCUUUAUCAGAGAAUCUAGAUGAUGUAGAUCUCCUAAAGGAUAGUUUGACUUUACCAUUUGAAUACUGAGUCACAUUUUGUAACUCUGUAUUUGGCUCAAGUUAUUUUGGAAUCACUGGUUCAGUGGCUCCUUAUAAGAUUCAUUCUUCAGGGAGGUUGACAUCCUUCCAUUGGAUUGGUCUAGGAAUAACUGUAUUGGCUUUAGACAAGUCAGUCUGCAAGAGAAGAGUUUCAUCUCCUUUUUACUGGAAUUUAUGUCGCAUAUUGGUAAACUCAGAUAUCAUGGCUUUGUAGGAUAUUCUAAAAAUUAGGGCAAUUGGUACAGAUCCUUCAAGCAUGUGAUAGUUAUGGGUCUUGAUCUGUAAUAUUAAGCUUUUCAGAAUGUUUUUUUUGUCUUUAAGGGAAACUGUUAUAUUAGGAUAACAACUAAAAAAAAGGGGUCAUUUACAAAGGCUUGAUUCAAUACUGCUAAGUAAAGAAUCAUCAAAAGCGAUGAAUCGGCCAUCUCUAAGGACAGCUAGGAUUGAAGCAUUCAAUCCUUCUUUAGUCAAUGGUUUUAUUCCAACUUGAAUUAAACCAAUGUGAACAUAAUUAAAAUGCUUUUCUUUUAGAUUUUUUAAAGAUUGUUCUGAAAACAAGUGAAUUGUUUCAAAAGGCUUUGAAAGGGUUAUGUCACGUUCUUCAGUUUUUAUGACAUAAUUAUUCUUUAAAAAAUCAAGCGUUUUGGUUUUGUAAAUCAUUUCUUUAAAAAUCUUUGGAAGUUCCCAACAAUCAAUUGCUUUAUUAAAGUAAUCAAUUGCUUUAUUAAAGUCUUCAAUUAUGAAUUCUUCUGAAUUCACAACAUUCUUUGAAUCAUUAGUUCUUCUAGAAGAAGAGCUAGAAAAGGAUGAUACUCUACAAAGUAGAGAAUCCAUGGGUAGGAACCUAUAAUCUAGUUUUAAUCCUACAGGUAUGGCUACAACCCAAGGCUAAGAGUUGGUUUUACUGCCCUUCAACCAAAUCAGGACUUACGACCAAAUACUACCAAGGCACCAGAAGUAACACUCACCACACAAGUAAAAUCUUAACUAAACUACAAGUCUUUAUACAAGCCUGUUUACAUUUCUUUAUAUAUAUAUAUAUAUAUAUUACUGAAAUUCAAUAAUUUUCAGUUCUCCAUAAUUAAAUAAACAAAAUUAUGAAUGCCUUAUAAAUUUCAUAAGUAUAAUGUCAUAAAUAUAUAUUUCAUAGUCACAGCAAGCUUAGUUUACAUGUUCAAUUAAUUCACCCUCAACUUUGAUCUCAUGAAACCUCUAAUGAAAUUACUAUAAAAGAUAGAUGCUGUGUUGAUAUUUACUUACCAUUCAAGCUCAACCUCCCUAGAUUUUUUGUUACAUGUACUAAGCGUCAAAUGUUCUUAUCUUUGUGGAAAUAAAAUAUUCCAUUCAUUCGACAAGGCUUUGACGACUGGCGAGAAAUACAACACAAUCUUAGAUUCUUAAUAUAUAUUGUUGAUGCUGAAAUCUGGUCGCCCUUUGCCCGACCAAAUUAUUCCACCAACGCUCGUAUUGACAACGGAGAAGAGGUUGCACUCUCCCUGUUCUAGUGAUUGCCCAAGCUCCUGGGAGCCAAAUCACUCUUUCUCUUCUAUCCAAACCUGCGUUCACAGAAACAAGUUAGAGACGCCGGUGGUUUGCCAGUGUAAACCCUCCGAUGCUUAAGUUAGUACAAGGUGUUUACGGGAAAAUAAUGUGACUUAAGUUGAAUAAACUCACUGUAAUAUUUUCAACUCAAUGUGUAUCCAAAAUCUGUAUAGAAUAAAUUCUGGUUUCAAUUUGGCAGAGUUUUCCCUUCUCCCCCUAUUUUUUCGUCCCCUGCUUCAUCGGUUUCUUGGCCUUUUAUAGGCAAUCAUCCCACGUUUUUUGUUAUUCUUCAUGUCCCAUAUUUUAGGGUGAUGACAGACCUUUACGGGUCUCCUACCAUCGAAUCGUGGGUAAACGUGGGAUAUCAUGCUCUCCUUAGCGGCUUGGGGCAUUGUGAAACUGUCGUGAGUUCAUGAGAUCGUGUCCUUUUUCUUUGGGUAAUAAAUAUCUGGUCGGUACGCACCUUUGGUCGGUACUCGUUUAUAGUUGGCAUAUACCCCAUACAAAAUGUAUUACCAGAACUCUGCUCGUGCCGUUUAGCUGAGGAGAUUCGCCCCAGGGUUAAGGUGAGAAGAUAGCUGAGCUCGUACUUUUCAUUUAAUUUUCAGUUUCUUCUUCAGUCUAAAAGAUUGAACUUUAUAAAUAUACUAUUUUAGCCCGGGGUUCAUAGGCACUUUAUAUGAUAGAUGAUCAACCUUUUAAAAAAAUAAUAAUAAUAAUAAAUGAUAAACUUAUAUAUGAGAGUAUUGUGUGUCGAUACAAAUCUUUAAGAUAGUGUUUACUUUCUGGAGUGGGAUUGUGGAGUGUGGAGUGUGGAGUGUAGAUUCCUUCUACUCCAAUGUUUACUUACCAUUUUUAAGGAGGGAGUGAGAUUCUCACUCCGUAGGUCCCACCUAAUUUUGGAGUGGGGGGAGGUGGGAGUGGGAAUCCACUCCUCCCUCUUCCCUUUUUACCCUCAUAAUUAAAAUAAGUAAAUAAUAUCAUAUUUAUUAAAAAUAAUAAUUAUAAACAUAUUUAUUUUAUUAAAUUUAAUAAAAUAAAAAUAAAUAAAUAUUAUAUUUAAAUUAAUAAUAUUAAACAUUAAUUUUAAUAAAUAUUAAUUAUUUAUUUAAUUAAUAAUAAUAAAUAUUUUAUUCUAAGAAAAUAUUAAUUUUGUACUAUAUUAUCAAUAAUAAUGUUUCAUUUGUGUUGCUAUUAUUAAUAAUUUUUAUUCACAUAAUUUAAAUUAAAAUUAAUAAAAAAUAUGAUUUACAUAAUUAAGAAUAUUAUUAAUUAUUAUUAAUUUAUAAAUAUAAUAAAAUAUUUAUUUUAUUUUCCAAAUAUAUUUUUUAUUAAUUUUUUAAUUACAAAUUAUAAUUCUUUAAAUAAGGGUAAAAUUAUAAUUUAAAACUAUUUACUCACAAUUCAAGACAAUGUAAACACAUAAAUUGGAAUUAAUAAUAUUACUAUAUACUCUUUUUAUUUGAAAAUAUAAUAUUAUUAUAUUUAUUUAAUAUCAGUAAUUAAUAAUAAUCAAUAUUUUAUUCUAAGAAAAUAUUAAUUUUGUAUUAUAUUAUUAAUAAUAAUAUUUCAUUUGUGUUGCUCUUAAUAAUAAUUUUUUAUUUACAUAAUUAAAAUUAAAUUUAAUAAAAAAUUAUUUACAUAAUUAAGAAUAUUAUUAAUUAUUAUUAAUUUAUAAAUAUAAUAAAAUAAAUAUAUACUCCCAAUUCUAUACUCUCAUUCCAAUAUAAGUAAACAAUCUACUCCCAUUUUCACUCCACACUACUAAUCUCAAGAUUCUCACUCCAAUUUAAAAUGUAAACGCAGCGUAAAAGAAGAGAGAGAGAGUGAGUGACGACACAAAUGUUGAGACACACACGGAGAGGGUGAUGAUAGAGCUGGCAAAACGGGUCAUCGAAUCGUGUUCGUGUCGUGUCGUGUCAGAUUCGUGUCGUGUCAAAUUUAGGUUGACCCAAACCCAACCCAUUUAAUAAUCGUGUCAAAAUAUUGAGACCCAAACCCGACACGGAAAAAUAAUCGGGUUACCCAAUAACCCGCUUAAUAUCUAUAUAUUAAAUAAAAGUUACAUCAAAUAUUUACACUUUGUUAUACAUAUGUAUGCACAUACAUACAUACAUCCAUACAUACAUACAUAAUUUAUCAAUAUUAUAAAAUAUACAUAUCUACUAAAAUAUUACACACAUUAUUGAUGUUUUAAUUAUAUAUAUGUAAAUAAUAGUAUAUAUCAAUAUUAUAAAAUAUACAUGUCUACCAAUAUUUUAUACAUUUACACUAUUAAAGCUCUAAAUGUAUUUAAAAUUUUAUAAAUAAACUAUUGUGUCUAUAUUCAUCCUUUUAAAGAAUAAAAAAAAAUUAUCCUAAUAUUUGAGUUUUGAUGACAAGAAUCUGUAAAUUAUUUUAAAAUAGAAAAUAUAAUCGGGUCAUUGAUCGGGUAAAUGGGUCAAGAAUUUUAACCCUAACCCGAUACGGAAAAAAAUCGUGUUGACCCGGACCCGACCCAUUUAAUAAUCGUGUUAAAUUCGACGACCCAUACCCAUUUAUUGGUGUCGUGUUCGUGUUGGGUAAUUGGGUCGUGUCAAAUUUUGCCAGCUCUAGGUGAUGAUACAAAACGAGAGAGAAUCAUAGAAGGGUAAUUCUGGCACUCAGAGAAAAAAAAUUGUAUCGACGAUUCCUAGGCCCGCCUUUCUCAAAUAUCCGCUUCGUUAUUUGAGGUAGAAGGGAGAUUAUGGGAUUCAGAGAAAAACAUACACAAUGAAAGGAAUAAAUAACAUUUGUAGACACAUAAUAAGUGAGAAUUUUCUUGUUUAUUUCUUCUCUUAAUCUUGCAAUUUAUUUUGCUACAACCUUUCUGGCACCUUGUUCCAUUUUUUCUAGACCGAUUGUUUGCACAGUGUUUAUAAAAGUCAAAUCGGUUCUGAAGCACAAAAUCUACUCGACUACAUUAUAUUAUAUGAAGUAAACUACCAAACAGACCCUCUUGAAAGUAUGUAUUUCCAUAAAAACCCUCAUAAAUUGAAAUAAUAAUUGUUAUUAUAGCUAAGUGUUCUUAAUGUCAUUUUGAAGCUAUAAUAUAUUAUGAUGUGAUGGGUAUAAAAAAAAAUGCACAUAACACGCAUAUUGUGAUCCGAUGGAUAUGAAUCAAAAUGAUUAAACUACCAAGCCCAUUGAAAUUUGUUGAUGCGAAAAUUUGAGAUGAGUGGUGUGUAAUUGACAACUACUUGAGUUGGAUUGUAGCCCAUCAACAGUUGUUUUUUUAAUGGAAGUGUCUCUCUUACAAAAGCCGAAGCAAUUGAACGGGGAAUAUAGGAGACAAUAAAUUAAUGUACACCUAUCGACAGUCAUUUUUUAAUUUAUUGACUUGGCAAACUCGACAGUCCUUUUUUCUUACAUUUAUAUAAGUUCACCAGAUUAACUCGACUCAUAAGCUAGCUCAAAUACUGAGGAUUAUCUCGAACUUAUAUUAUUAACCUAAUAACUCGGCGAAUGUAUGAUAACGUCUUCAAUAAGAAUCCCAUAAAACGGUGCCGUUAGGCGACGAUACAUGUAAUGGUGGGCAAUCUGUGUGGCUGAAUCCAGUACCGUCGCGUUAAGGUUGGCUCAAAUUAAAUGUUGAUGCUGCAAUGAAUCUGACGGCUGGGAUAGCCGGACUUAGGAGACAACUCUCUGCUUAGGUUCUAGGCCUAUUCCCUUCUUGGGCUUCUCUCCGUCUUCAAACCAGUGUAAAGAUACUAACACCCCUUCACUAUCCUCAUUACACCCUUUUCUUGGAAAUUACAUUUUUAGACAAUCAUACAAUUCUAAUUAAACUCAUUUGUUGUUCCUCUCUCUUCUAAGAAACCCACACAUUCUAUUACUUAUUUUAUCUGCAAAUUCCUUCAUUACAUAGACAUGUCAUUUUCUUUUCUUUUUAAUGUUUGUGACUCGUCAUACAUCCGAUAUUUUAUCGAAAUAACCUUUGCUUCUUUUCUUUUCUUUUCUUACAAAUUUAUUAUUCUCAUGUUUUUUCAAAAAAUAAUUAUUCUCAUACUUAAAGUACACUUUUAAACUAAGGAAAAUUCAAAUAUAUUUAUUUUAGAUCAGGGUUAUCACCCAGAAAUAUUAUUUGUGUGGAGGUAGAAAAUAAGAUUGUAAGAGAAGAAAGACUCCAUUUUAUUUUAGGAGUGAGAAAACACCACCAAAAAAAAAAAAAAAACAACAACAACAACAACAAACAAACAAACAAACUAAAUAGGGUUUAAGAAGAAAAGUGUAUUUUUAGUAUUAAAACUAGUAAAAUUGGAAAUAGUUUCAUCAGGAAUUUAGAAGGGUGGUAGAAGCUCCACUCUUAAAACUAGUUGUUUUUCAUUGGUUAUGGACCUUUUCGUCUUCUUCCGGGGCUUGUUGUAAUUUUCUUUUAUGCCGGGUUUAACCAAUUGUAAUAAAAUGAAAUGCCAUUCAAGAGAGUGAGAUUUCAAUACGAUCCCACAUCUACAAACAUACAUCAAAAUUGAUUAACAUAUGGGUCCGCCUACGUUACAUUUAAUGUAACGUACAGUCAGCCUGUGAAAUUUCAUCCAGCCCCUUAUACUCUAUGUUAUUUAUAUUUUAUUCAUGAAUAUUAUAAAUUUUUUGAAAUNNNNNNNNNNNNNNNNNNNNNNNNNNNNNNNNNNNNNNNNNNNNNNNNNNNNNNNNNNNNNNNNNNNNNNNNNNNNNNNNNNNNNNNNNNNNNNNNNNNNAUAACAAUUUUUAUUAUAAAAAUAAGUUUUAUACCAAAUAUUAAAAAAAAUCUAGAUAAUCAUUAAUUAUUAUUAUUAUUAUUAACAAUUUAAUAAAAAAUAUUAUUAAUUAUUGUUAAUAGAUUAAUUAAUUAUAAUGCUUUUUAUUAUUGUUAUUAAUAAUAACAAUAAUCUAUUUAAAAAAAUAUUUAUGAUUAUAAUAAAUAAUUAUAAUAAUUAUAAUUCAUUUAACAAUAAUUAUAUUUUUUAAUUAAAUGGAGGUUAUUUUGAGAAUUUAAUAUUAUAGGGGCGAAUUCAUACUCUAGGGUUUUAAUAAAAUAAAAUUGAGUAUAAGGGGUUAAACGAAAUUUUAUAUUUCAAAAAAUUUAUAAUAUUCAUGAAUAAAAUAUAAAUAACAUAGAGUACAAGGGGCUAGAUGAAAUUUUACAGGCUGACUGUACGUUACAGUAAAUGUAACGUAGGCGGACCCUUAACAUAUUAUUUAUUACAAGUAGACAAUGGAUUAUAUUAAGGUAUUUUCAACUGAGUAGACACAUUCUAAAUUUUUUUAUGUCGAAAAAUUAUCUCAAAUGAUGUGACAUUCAUUAAUUAGUUAGUGAAACAAAUAAUCAAUUCACUUAAAUCUUAUAAACAUUUACUAACCAACCACUCAAUAAAUGCUAUAUCAUUGGAAUGAAAUUUUGUAUAAAAAAUUUGGGAUGCCUAUCAUUAUUCUUUUUAAAUAUGACAAAAAAUAUAAUUGUACUAUAUGAACAAGUGAUACACUAAAGAGAUACGAAUGAAUGAUUCAUGUUCCAACAAAAUGGAUUCAUAUAACAAAUUAGAACUAAUUAGGAGUUACAACUCUUUCUAAUUAUCCGUCACCUUCAGAUUAGUGGUACAUGAAUAGUAGUGUUGAGAAAGGAACAUACCAAAAAUAAACUACAAUAAUGAGCAAUUAAGCUACAUUUUUUCUCUAUCAGCGCGUAUGUACAACAACAUAACUAUAGGAACUAAUUGAUAUUAUUAUUAUGCGAAUAUGCUUUCCAUGACAAUAUCACUAGUCGCAUGACCAAAAAAUACCGACAUUCACAAUAAUCUCUCAGAGCCCGUUCAGAAGAAAUCAUUCAGUGUGGAGAUAUGAGACAUGAAGAAAUCAAACGUCUCUAACAAUAUAAAUAUGCUUAGUCAUCAAUUUACCCCUUACUUACCAACUAAGAUUUUUUUUUUUUUUUUUAGUUUGGAGAAUAAUAAAGAAGAGAGAAUCUUGAAAACUCCUUCAUUUGCUACAAAACGUGAACUGUUUUCACCUAUACGAGAGAGACGUGAUCUUCUCUUUUAUCUUCAAAAAUACAACGAUUCAUUUCUUUAAUUUGCCUAGUAACAAAAAAAAAGAGGUAGAACGUCAUCAUACUGCCCAGGAACCUUACUAGCUUUCUUUCCUUGCCCAAAAGGAAAAAUAUUAUUCUCCAUUAACAAACAGCUACAAAGCUUGGAACAUCCCGAAACAUUGUUCUCCAUUUCCCCAUCUUUUUAUUAUUCAUGGUAGCAUUGCACUCUAAUUGAGAUAAAUGCAUGUAUCCGCAACUAUAUUAAUUGAGGAGACAAAUUACAAUUUCCCAGGCAUGAUGAACCAAUUAUCCACAGGUACAAUUAAAAUUUCAAAUGGACAUAUUUAUGUAAUUCCUAAAGCCUACCAAGCUUCUUAGUUAAUCUGCUCAAAAUAGAAUAUUCUAUAGCCACAUUUUGAUAAAUUGGGGUUGUUCAAGUCCUAUAUUCUUUGAAAGCUGAUUCUUGGAAUUGGUUGCUGAGUUUCCAAUUAUUAAUUGAACUAUAGUGAUUAACACACACACAUAUUUAUGAUUAAGGUACAGUCACAUGUAAUCUUUCGUUUACUAAUAAACUACAACAUGUUUCUUUUGCUAGCUAGCUAGUUGGUUUUUAAACAUAUAUAUGAAUUAUCUAACAGUAUAUAACAAUACGCAUAAUCCAGGUUAAACUAGAUUAAAUUAAACCGAAGAAUUAUGAAGCUUAAAAGUCACAAAGUAGGCUUUUCUAUUACAGUACUGCAAAGAAUGCAAAUUCAAUUUACCUUCUCAGAUCUCGUAAAGCUAUAUCAUUAAUUGGACCUUAAUAAAUAACCGAAGAAGGAAUUAUAAGAACCCAUAGAUGUAUUAAGUACUUCUCCCCCGAAAGCUUAUAUUCAUGGAACAAAGCAACUUGAGACACUUCCCAAUAAGCCAACAGAGGGACAAAUCCACAAGUCAACAAGAUUUUCCUUUUUCAUGAAUUAAUAGGUCUACCAUUACUCAACAUGCAUUAUAAAUCAUCCAAAAACUAGGAUAAGUAUGGAAAGAAAAAAGAGUGUGUGUGUGUGUGAGAGAGAGAGAGAGAGUUAAAAGGAAUCUGCAUUCAAAAAAGGAAAAAAGGGAGAAAAUAUCGAUCAAACCUCUUCUUCAGGUGAUUUCAAACGGGGGGCAUUGGUUUUUGAUCUAAAGAUGACUCCAUGGAUAAUUAAUUUACUGAAACACCAACACACUAUUUGAAUAUUUAUUUAUUUAUUUAUUGGUUAUGUAAGAAUUAUUUUCAAUAAAAGAACUCGAAUACGGGAAGAGAAAGCCAGGAGACGACACAGAUAAGAGAGUGACUUACAGUCCUGAUGUGCAAUAUGGUCCAAUUCUUCUCAAUGAAGAAAACGUACGACUCUUGUUAUCUUCAAGAAUUAUGGACCAACUUAAACUUGUUAACUGUCACAUGCAUGCGGGGCCCUUUUUUUUAUAUAACACUGUUAUGCCAAUGAUAUUAUAAAUUAAUAAUUUGCUAAAAUAUUAAUGUAAUUGUUAUGAUAAUUUAUUUAAUAAAAUAUGGUAAUAUUAUUAUUAUUUUUUCUUGAAACUUAAAUAUAGUUGAAUUCCUUAUUUAAUUUUCUUAUUGCAUCUAGAAGUUUUGGGAUUCAACUCUCAAAGUAAAAAUUUUGAAUUUAUUUUUUGAAUAAUUUAAUACAUAUUUAGUCGAUUAAUCCAUUUUUAAUGGAAUAGAUUGGUAAAUAUAAUAGAUUUCUAGUUAAUUAAAUACAUGUUUAUUGACUUGCAAAUACAUCAAUUAACUAAUACUUUUUUAAUUAAUAGAUUUUAUAUGUUUCAACACGUUUUACUUCGUUACUGACUGUCGCCAGGGUGCUGGAUAAAAAUGAAAAGCAGAAUAAAUCUGACGCAAAAUUUUAUUAAUAUACCGGUCUCCAUGUCAUAGCCAAUUAAAACAGCCGCUGCUUUCUUGGAAAAUCAUAAAUAUUGCAUUUUAAGAAAUAAGUGAAUAAAUAUUGAAAGAAGUAAAAGAAAGCAGACAGCGUCUAUCAUCGUUUCGUUUUGCUUAUAGAAAGGUGCUUUUCAACUCUUUUCUUCAAAUCAAGCCGAAAUAGUAACUGACAACAACUGCGAAAUAGAAACCUUUCCUUUUUUUCUUUUUUCUUUUUUCUUUUUUGUUGUUUGUAUUCCACGUUGUCGUUAUUAACUAUGAAAAGGAAAGAUAACAUGAAACUCACAAUUCAAUAUUUUGUUGCCCUAAUAGAUACUAGGAGCUUUGCAGUGGCACCAGCUAAACGGAAUAUUUAAUAUCAAAUGACGACCACAACUUCCAGAUUAUCUUCAGACUUUGAACUUGGCUGCAUGUAAUUUUGAAUCUUGUUAGUUUACUGCUAUUAAAAUGUUACACAAGAAAAUAAAAUAAGCAAACAGGUUGUGGUUACGUACCUUAUUUAUAAUUACACUCGAAUAAUGUUCACUUCAACUUGGGAAGGAGCUGGUUUGACAGUACAGGCGAUGAAGAUAGUUGGAAUGGAUGUUAUUACGGUGCUCGUGAGACGUAGAAACCGGUCGAAGCAGCGCUUACACGGAGAGGCUAACACUGAAUAACAGAGUGAUAAGAUUAUGAGACACAAAUACGCCACCAAGAAAAGAGAUGGAGCCAAAAUGAGAGAGGCAAGUGUUGAUAUUGCCAAGAGAACGGAUAGUUUUCCACAGCGUACAGAAAGUUGGCGACCGAUCCUGAGGUGGAGUUUGACGGAUAUGAAGAGGUAGAUCAAUAGUAACAGCAGGACAAGAAUCUGAGAGAAGAAGGGGAGCUUCAAAAUGGGAUAUAACAGAAUCUCACUGGUACCAUCCUGGAUGGCCCAAGAAUUACCAUCUUGAGAUUUCAGGAACAUAAAGAAGAUUAUAAGAUUUAGUAAUGGCAGAAAUAAAUACCUCAAAUCAAUAGAAAAUUUCAUGCUUAUGGUGAUGCUCAAGUUUUCUAGGGGAAGAUGUAUUUAAUUUACAAAAAUGCUAAAUGUUAAGAGAAGAAUGAGAGAAAGGUGAGAGAAGAAGGCAUGUGCUGAGAGAAGAGACAGAGAGAGAAGCAAAACGGCAGACUCACUUUUCUCUCAUUCUUCAAUUUAUAGUGAGCUUUUUAUGUCAUGAAAAAUUGGAAAUUGCGUGGCAAAUUCUUUUGACCAGUUGCACAUGCUGUCCUGUUGAUUGGUUGGUUUUUGGAAACUCGAUCAUCACCGUUUAUUCAAGCAAAGACCCAAAUGGUGAACUAACGGUGAUGAUCGAGUUCAAAAAGAGAAAAAGAAAAAGAAGUAAACAGUGAUGUCUUCAAACUUUUUUUCCCCCCUGAGAAAAAGGCUUUUAAUACAGUUCUUUUCUUUUUCCACAGAUUGGUAUUAUUUCUCAGUGUUUGCUUAAUUUACUGCAAUCAUUUUUCAAAAAGUGUUCAAUAAUAAUGAAUUUUCAACCAUUAUCCUAUACGAAUCAUUAAAUUAUUAAUACUGAUGUUAAUCAAAUAUCAAGUAGAAUUUGUUUUUAAUAGAUCAAUUAGUUAAAGCACAUUUGGUACACUAUUUAGAACUUAUUUUUAUCUAAAAAUUGAUAAUAGGACCAAAUGAAGUAAAUUGUAUUGCUCAUGUCACUGGUACAACAAAUAAAUGAUGUAAUACUAUAUGUUCAUGUAUUUUGAAAAAGUAACAUAUAAGUAGUAAUUAAAUUAAAUUGUACUACUCAUGUCACAUAUUCAAUAAUUUAUUAUAUUACCUCUAAUGUAGGAUAGAUUUUCUCAUUCUCAAUAUAUGCUUAAUUGUAAUAAUUUUUUAACAAUUGUUCAAAGAUAGCUUUGCUCCGGCUGUGGAUAGGGAUGGCAAAACCCGGGUCCGGGUCCGGGUUUUACCUUCCCGGUUCCGGACCCGGACGAUAAAUUUUAAUACCGGACCCGGAUGUAAACCCGGAUAUUUUUCAUCCGGGUCCGGACCGGGUUAAACCCGGAAAAAUCCGGGUUUCCGGAUUCCGGGUUUAUAACCCGGAUGAUUGCUAAAAGAUGCAAUUUCCCAUCUCUUUCUUCAGUGAAGAAUUCCUUUCUAAUCUUCUAUUUAUUAACACCAAUAAUGGAAAAUAAUUCAAAAUCAAAUACUUAGAUCAAAAAUAACAUAUUACACAAAUUCAAUUAUCAAAGAUAAUCAUGAUGUCUCAACCUUGAUGAUGACAAAUUUGGCAAUGAAUGAGGAUGACAAAUUGGGCUUUGUGGGGUUAGGUCAAGAAAAGGGGAAGGAUAAAUGGCGGCUGAUUUUUUUUUUUCCUUCCAAAAAGCAAAUGAACAAACACUGGGAAGGUGUAAAUGAAGAAACAGAGACAAACGCAUUCAUAAGUUCCUGUCAAUUUAUCACAAAGAAGGUUUGGAGGACAAAGCAAAACACCAGGGGGUAGAAGUGUUGGCGGCCAAAUCGAGAUCCCGAUUUGCGAAGGUGGACAAAUGGAAACGGCGGCCAAAACUCGUGACAUAGCUGGACAAACGGCAGCUGAUGAUGAAGAUGAAGAUGAACACGACGAAACGAUGAUGGGCAACGAUGAUGAUUUGUUGAAAAGAAGGGCUAAAGAGAGAGAGAGGAAAUGUCUGGGUUUGGUAGUUUGGCUGCCGCGGCUGUGGAAGGGCAUUAGGGCUGAUUUUUUCUAAUUUUUUUAAUUUUAAAAUGAUUUAAAAAUUAAUAUUAAAAUAGUUAUCCGGGUCCGGGUUCCGGAUAUACGGGUUUAUCUAAAUCCGGACCCGGAUCCGGAAACGUCCGGGUUGAAAAUAUUAAAUCCGGAUACCGGAUUUUAUUCACUCCGGUACGGGUUGAACCCGCCCCGGAUUUUCCGGGUUCAUCCGGGUCCGGGCCGGGUCCGGGUUAAAUUGCCAUCCCUAGCUGUGGAUGUGAUUGACAAAUUUAUUAUUAAAUUGUACAACAACGAAAAAGACAUAAGUUGAAAUUGUUCCCAACGACGUCACAUGUUGACAAUAUGCUGUCCAAAAUUUGACUAUAUCAAAAUUUUCUGUUCAGUAUUAGAAUAGAUUGUGCAUGAUUGGAUGCUAUAGGCUGCUUUUUGUUUUGCAAGCGUUAAUUUAUUUACAAUGCAUCUCUUAGUCUUUUUGUUAGCGGAUUAUAAUAAUAGCUGCAUGCUUGAAGAAGUGCCCAUGGGGGGCAGGUCAAAAUUUUCAAUGGUCAAAGUAAGAGAAGAGGAAGUUGUUUCCUUCCUUUUUUUUUUAAUUCGAAAGUUAUACUGGCGUUUUCUUACUCUUACUUUUUUUCCCCCUUUCUUUCUUUCUUCUUUUUGUGCAUAUGGUAGUUUGUUUUAUAGGCGUUUUUGGCCUAUAAAACAAAAGAAUUUUUAAAAGUUGUGGAUCGUUUUUUCUCUGGACCCAUUAAUUAUUUCUCCAACUUGUACUUGCCCACCUAAAUCUCCGUCCAAAUUUUCAUUGGAUAAGCAACUUCCUCUUCUCUUACUUUGACCAUUGAAAAUUUUGACCUGCCCCCCAUGAGCACUUCUUCAUGCAUGCAGCUAUUAUUAUAAUCCGCUAACAAAAAGACUAAGAGAUGCAUUGUAAAUAAAUUAACUCUUGCAAAACAAAAAGCAGCCUAUCCCUAUAGCAUCCAAUCAUGCACAAUCUAUUCUAAUACUGAACAGAAAAAUGAAAUUAAAUAAAAUUGCUCAAAAUCAAAAUCAAUAAAAUUCAUAAAUUUCAAAAGAAUAUAAAACUUUGAAAUAAUUUGCAAAAAGGUCCUCAUUGUACUAACUUUUGUACCCACUUUUGUGAGAAUAUCAUUGUUGUUUUUUGUAAGGUAACACUCGCCAAUAAGAAAACAAAGUUAAAAACGUUGAUAGAAUGUACCUUGUGGUCAAAUGUCAGACCUGACUUCUUCGAACGAAUUAAAGGCCAACAAUAAAAAUUUCACAUAAAAACAACCAGAAUACCUAUAAAACAGCUUAAAUUAAAAGUUUUCUAACCCGUUCAGUAGGGUUGGCAAUCAAGUCGGAGUCGGACUCGAUCACACAAACAAAGUGCCCGAAUCCAAAAAAACCCUGACUGUUUCACAUUCGGAUCAAGCUAGGGUCAAGGUUGGGCUAAGACUUUCCUGAGCCCAACCAAUUUUUUUUUUUAAUUUUUUAAUAUUUAAAUAAUUUAAAUUUAUAUCCCCUAAUACCAUGGUGGUGGCUGGCACGGCAGCAAGUGGUGCCGAUGAUGGAAGUUGCAACAAUGGCUGUCGUGGGCUCGUGAACUGAGUCGCAAUUUCGGUCAAUUUGGUGGCGGGUUGGUGGCAUGAUGGAAGUUGCAGCAAAGGCCGGAGGCUGACUUCUCUUGCAUUAGGAAUUAGAAUGGGAUAUGUGUUCGUGUGGUGUGAGUCGUAUGAAUGUGAAUAUGUGAUACUGUGAUCAUGUGAUGUGAGUGUGUGUGUGUGUUGUGUGUUCAUGUGCACUGUGCAGACAUCAUGCGUGCGUGAGAUUUUUUUUUUAAAUUUGUUAACUAAUUGGGUUGGGUUGACCCUUAAACUGAAUUUGAUCAGGCUUUUUAAGCCUAAGCCUGAAUUUUGACUCUUAAAUUCAAGUCAAAUCUCAAAAAAUUUGGGUUAUGUCAAUCGGGCCAAAAUUCGAUAUGGGAUUUUUUACUAUCUCUCUCGUUCAGAGAGAUGCCAACAAUUUUGGAAACUUUUUGUUGGACCUUACAUUUAUUUUUUUUUUGGUGUAUUAAAUCAUCUGGUAUUCGAAGGUUUCAUUGGGCCCCGACUAAUCCAGAUUCGAGUUGAGUAGGACCACUAGAGUGGCAAAACUCUCUCAGUAAGUAUUUAACGCAGCUGCAAGUCUCGAACUGAAGAUCUUUGUUAAGUUAGAACAACCUCAUGCUAGUUGAUCUACGCGCUUAUUAGACCUCACGUUUAUACUAUAUCAUAACUUCCUCCACCAAUCUGACAACAUCACAGAAAACAAGCAACACCACAUUUAAUUGUCCUUUUAAGCUAUGAAAAAGCUUCAAGUUUUGCAGGUGCCAGGAUAUAAUGCGAAGGACCACUAGAGUGGCAAAACUCUCUCAGUAAAUCUUUAACGCAGCUGCAAGUCUCGAACUGAAGAUUUUUGUUAAGUUAGAACAACCUCAUGCCAGUUGAUCUACGCGCUUGUUAGACCUCACGUUUAUAAUAUAUCAUAACUUCCUCCACCAAUCUGACAACAUCACAGAAAACUCUCUCACCACAUUUAAUUGUCCUUUUAAGUUAUGAAAAAGCUUCAAGUUUUGCAAGUGCCAGGAUAUAAUGCGAAACCAAUCAUAGAAAAUGUCAUAAGCAAGGGCACAAGCAGAGCAAAGAUCUUCAGUGCCUUAGUGUGAUGAUAAUAAUCAUGAAACAAUAUCAACAGAUGUGAUUUAGGGAUACAUCUCAUAAAAGCAAUAGAUCGAUAUAAAAUAAAUAACUUCAUAACAAAAGAGUUUACAUUGGGAAAAGAAAAAAAAAAUACUGAGGUUAAAGGUUGCGCUCUGGUUAUUGUACUUUCAUUCGUAUGUAAAGUCUCCCAAAUUCUUUAGUCAUGGUGUAAUAGAUUUUCUUAUAUAUAUAAUGAAUAAUGCGGUUGAAAGUAGCCCCUGAACUUAGAAUUACUUCCACUUGUUUAAAAUCUUAGUUAUAAUAGGGCAAGAAUGAGCUUUGGUAUAUUUAAUGAGAUACAGAAAGGUAUUUACACUAUUUUAGCUUGCAAAUUCAACACCUGGUAAGUCUCUCGCAAAACCGGUAUUUAGACGAAUGGACUUCAAAUGAAAGAAUUUUCUUACAAAAGCUAAAAAAAAUGCAACGGCAUAGUCAAAAUUGGAAAAUGAAAAUAUAAAGCAAAAGAAAAAGAUUCCAUCUGAUAAGACAAAUACAAAAAAUCUAAGUUCUAAUUUUGCCAUGCAAUAUUAUUCAUGCAGAAUUACUCUAAUUUAUUUUUCAGUUGUGGAUAGUAACAAUUUAUCUGUAAAUAUCUGUAAAUUUAUCUGCAAUCCAGAUCAGGGAAUCAAACUAUCAUGAGAUAAAUGAUUAAUAUGAAGUAAGAAUCUGAUAAGUAUUUUUUACUGGGUUCCUGCAUUUUUGCCUCAAACCCUGUUUGAUAAAUAAUUAAAAGAGCUUACUCAGUGCUUUCAGAACCAGCCAUGUCAACAAGCCUCAGCCAUCCUCCCGCUGCUGAGAGUUGGGACAGUGAGGAUUUUGUGUGAAAUUCCUCAUUCUAGUGCCUUAUAUAAUUAACAGUUUGGGAGCAAUGCUAGAAUAUUGCACUGUAAUUGAGAUCAACGCAUGUAUCCAGCAAGCAUUCAUUUAGGAGACAAUUACUUUAAGAAACGACAUUAAAAUUCAAGUAGACAGACUUAAAUACCUAAGUAAGUAACAAGGUUCCACGGAUGACAAGAAAGACAAUUUCUAAACAGUGCAAAUGAAAUGACAGUCUAAAACAUGCAUUCAUGCACAACCCAUUAUGUAAUACUACAGAGAAUGCAACUUCACUUUAACUUCAACAUCAUUUAAAAGAUAAUCCAAACCAAAUAAUUUAUACCCCUUCAAUAUUCCAAUAACAUACGGAAUGGAAGACCUGCAGACAGAGAAGGUAUGGCUGUUAAAAGAAUUUAAGAACCCGUAGAUGCAUUAAGUAAUUCUCCUAAAGCUAAUAAUGAAACAAAACAACUUCAUGAAACUAUCAAUAUGCCAUUAGAGGAAUAAAUCCAUAUGUCAAAUCCACCGCCACCUUAAGGUUGGUUCAAAUUGAAUGUUAUUGCAAUGAAUCAGACGGCAGGACAUAGGAGGCAACUCUCCGAGUAAGUUCUGGGCCUUUUCCCUCUUGGACUUCUCUCCAUUUUCAAAUUGAGUGUUGCUAUUAACACCACUUCACUUAUGAAAUUACACUUUUUAGAAACUCUUAUAAUUCUAAUUAAACUCAUCUAUUGUUUCUCUUUCUUUUAACAAAUCCACGCAUUCUAUUAUUUGUUUUUUCGGCAAACUCCUUCAAUACAUUAACAUGUCAAUUUCUAUUCUUUUUUAUGUUUGUAAUUCCUCAUCUAUCCAAUAUUCUGUUGAAAUAACUUGUUUCUUUUAUUUUCCUUACAAAUUCAUUAUUCUCAUACUUGUAAAAAAAAAUUAUCCUCAUACUUAUACGCAACUUCUAAACUAAAGCUUAAAUAUGCUUAUUUUGAAUCAGAAUUAUCACCUAGAAAAAUUAUUUGUGUAGAGGGUAGAGAAUAAGAUUGCUAGAGAAGAUAGAUUUCAUUUUAUUUUAGGGGGGAAAAAUAUUUUAAGUAUAUUUUUGGUAUUAAAACAAGUGUGAUUGACAUGGGGUCGUAAGGAAUGUAGAGGCGUCUUAGAAGCUCCACUCUUUAAACUAAUACUUUUUCAUUUGUUGUGGACCUGCUGGUCUUCUUUCGGCCCGAGCUUGCUGUAAUUUAAUCAAUUGUAAGAGGGAAAUUAUCUCUGAACGUAUGACAAACGAAUUACCAGCUCUAUUUUUUUUAUAAAAAAAAACAACCAUAAGGUGGGGGGUUAGGCAGGACCCCUACCUGUAAUAUAAAUAAGAAACUGAAAUGUACAAAUAAGGAGGGGGAUAUAGACCAUGACCUCCAUAGUAAAUGAAAACACAUGAAAAACCAAGAAUAAAUGGAAGAGAAAGCUAUCAAUGCUAGCGCCUAACAUGAGGGAUAGCCUGAGCAUCUAAAUGGAGAAUAUCCAAUAAGCCGACAAGAAGAUCUUGGGGAGAAGAAAAACGCCUACUGACACACCGAGAACAUGCCCAAUUAGCCAGAAAAUCAGCAGUAGAGGUAGCCUCGUGAAACACAUGUCGGACCAGAAUAGUCGAAGAGGAUAUGAGAGAGCACACCCAACGCAACAAGUGUACUCCCAACGAACAAGACCCUGGGAAUGGAUCCAAGAAACGAUCGUAGCCGAAUCCAACUCCACCUCAAGCGUGAGAUAACCCAUAUGAGCAACAAGCUCCAACCCCUCGCACACAGCCAUGAGCUCAACAUAAAGAAUCGGUUGGCGGCCAAGAAAGGAGCCAAAGGCAGCCAAAACCACACCUCGAUAAUCUCGCAAAAUACCUCCUCAGACAACCAUCCCAGGAUUACCCCUAAAACAUCUGUCCACAGUUAGCUUCAACACCCCAGGAGGCAGCCUCAUCUAUGAAACCAAUCGAAUCAGCCUCUCAGGAGGAGUCAUAACAUGCAAACCCUUCGCAAUCCGAGAACCUAAGACUUCCCUCAGAGCGGAAGGCUUAAAGCCAAAAGUAGAACUAGCUAACCUGAGAUCUGAAUCCAUUUGAAAAAUGAUCGCCUCAAUAGAGAAAGACUACAAACUAAACCGAAAAGCAUUGCGGGCCUUCCGAACUUGCCACAAAAUAAAGCAAGGCAGGAGGACCCGAAUAUGAUGCUGAGAAGGAGCACAUCUCCGCCAAUGAAAAAGCAAAGCAUGAGAAGUAAGAAACCUAAGAGCUCGCAUAUCAAAAAUCCGCUGGAAAUGAUCCCAAACCUAAUGAACCUACUGUCAAUCAACAAAUAAAUGCCUAAGGAUUUACAUAUGACAAAUGAAAUGUCAUUCAACAAUCAACAUAGUCACAGUUCAGUACGAUCCCACGUCUACGAACAUACAUCAAAAUUGAUUAACCGAUUAUUUACUACAAGUAGACAAUGGAUUAAAAUUACAGUAUUCUCAAAUUAUGAGGAAAAAAAAUAACUGAACGAAAAAAAUUUGAGACAAGUGAUACAAUAAAGGUGUAUUUGUCACACUGUAAUGCAUUACAAUGUAUUACAUUAUUUAAUGUAAGCUAAACUAUAUUAUUAUUGUAUUAUAUUAAUACUGAAUAGUAUUUAGCAUUACAUUGUAUUAUAUUAUAUAUAAUCAUAUUUUAUAUAAUUAUUUGUACAAAUUAAUAUGAUUUUGAUUUAUUAAUAUUUUAAAUUUCAUAUUGUUAAUUAUAUAAAAUUUAAUAUUAUUAAUUAUUUCAAAUUUUAUAUGUAAAAAUAAAAUUACUCAAUGCAUUAAUUUAAUAAAUAAAUAUAAAUAAAUAAAAUAUCAUUAAUUGAUUAAACCAAAAAAAGGAAAAUUUACGAAAAUAACCAUAAAAUUUUUGCUAUUUUCACAAUUAACCCUCUCAACUUUUUUCUAUCAAUAUUAGUCAAACACACGCUUUUCUCCCCAAAUUACCCUUCUUUACAGACCAAAAGCAACUUUCUUUCUCCCAUAUCGUCAAACCAAAGGUAGCUUUCCACUCUUGAAUCAUCAACCAACGGCGACGGCAAAAGACAACGAUAAAAGUGAAAUCCGAUCAUAAUCUAUCCGGAUCCAACACUAAUCGGCAUCACUUAGUGGUAUGAGUUAUUUUCUGAACUUGCUCGAGAGUUUCAGUGAAUUGAGUCGUGGGUGAAUCUGGCGACAGCCUUGGUGCGAUAGGCUGGAGAUUCAUUAAAACUGUAUUAAUUUGAUAGGGCUCAAAUAUUUUUUUUUUAUAAUUUUAGGCUUAAUGGAUUCAGUUGUACUUGAUUUGUGUUACGAUGGUUGUGGGAGACAUUAGAGGAUGGCCGUAUGGAGUAUGUGAAUGGUAAAAAUCGAGCUUUUUUGGUUGGGAAAAAUUUUCUGUUUGAUCAGUUAUUGGCAAGAGUAUACGAGGUGUUACAAAUAAACGCUAAUGAAUAUAAUAUCACAAUGAAGACAACUUUGAGGUCUAGUAACACAUUAUAUCGUAUAUGUGCACUGCCCAUGGAUAUAUUUGAUGAUGAAAUGGUGAGGGUUGUGUUGCAUGUGGCAUCCGACGUAGCCAAUUUUGGAUGCAUUCCUAUAUUCGUGACCACAUCACCUCGAGUUCCGAGCGAAGCUAUUGAACCACAUGUCGAUACAGAAACUUCGUUUAGAGCAAAUAUGUUUGGCCCCGAUAAUGAAGAAGAGGUGUUGCCAAGGACAAUAUUGCUACAGCAAUAUUACUCUCCAAUCCACGACAAUUAUGACAACAUUGAUGAUAACGGCGUUACAUUACAGGAUGUUGGAGCAACGGUAUUUCCAAUAACGACGUCGUUGGAGUAAUGGUAUUCUCCGUAUUACAACAAUGAUUUUCGGGACAAUGAUGAUUUUCAUGAUGAGACAGAAGGGGAUAAUGUUUAUGCAGAACCUUCUAAUAAUACUAGGGGCACUUAUUUCAAUAAUGAUGGUGAUGAUGGAGGAGCCGGUCCUUUGAAUGUUCUGUCGUUUCAGUAUGAGGAUGAGUGUGAAGACAAUACUCUUGUGAAUAACAGAGGCAAUAGACCUAUUCCUUCUAUGGUUCGGUUGAGAAGGAGAAUUGACCCUUACAAGUCUUGCUUCAACUUUGCCUUCGAACAUGGUUGCUCCAAGCUUUGUUAGCAGUUGUGACUCAGAUGAUAUAAGUGUGGGUAAGCUAUUUGCUGAGAAGAAUGAGUUUAUAUUACAACUACGCAAGGUUGCCUUUAGGGAUAAGUUUGAUUUCAAGAUUGCGCGGUCUACUAUGACACGUUUCGAGGCUCACUGUUGUUCAGAAUAAUGUAAAUGACGUAUUCGAGCAACUAGAUGUUCGAACGAGCAAAAUGUUCCUUGGGCGGUGCAGAGAAUUGACAAUGUACACACUUGUCAUAAUGAGGUAUUGGUUGAUAGACGUCAUCAAGUAAGGAGCCGGGUUGUCGAUCAUAUUAUCAUAGAAAAAUAUAUUCAAGAUAAGAGGAUUUAUACCCCGAAUGACAUAAGAGCAGAUAUACAAUAAGAAUACGGUGUUCAGUUAACAUACCAGCAGGCAUAUCGGGCGAGAGAAGUUGGUCUUGAAAUAGUUCGAGGCAACGCUAUAGAGUCAUACAACUUGCUCCCUAAAUACUCUCACAUAGUAACUACAACGAAUGAGGGUACAAUUACUCACCUCGAGUAUGAUGGAGAUGGUAAUUUCUUGUACUAUUUUGUAGCACUCGGAUCUUCCAUCAAGGGUUUUAUGCAAUAUAUUCGGCCUGUCAUUGCUGUAGAUGGUACUUAUCUGAAGGGACUAUAUCGUGGAAGCAUGUUCGUGGCAACAUGUCUUGAUGAUAACAAUCAAUUGUAUCCGUUAACCAUUGGGAUCAUGGAUUCAAAAAACAAUGAUGCUUGGGAAUGGUUUAUGAUGAAGUUACACGGAGUGAUUGGCGAUAGACCUGAGUUGGUAAUUAUCUCUGAUCGAUGCACUGCCAUAAGGAGAGUCGUUCUUAAAGUAUUUCACAAUGCAACUCAUGGCAUUUGUUUUUACCACAUCAAAGGUAACAUUAAGUCAUAGUUUAAAAUGUCCAAAGCUCUUUGGGAUGAAUUUGAGCCUCCCUUUAUUAAUGCAGUAAAAGCAUAUGGCCACGAGGAAUUUAAGAGACAACUUGAAGGGUUGUGGAUUAUCCACUCGGGUGCAGCUGAUUACCUAGAAAAUAAUGUCGGUACGUGUAAUUGGGUAAGGUCUCAGUUUGAAGGUAGGAGGUAUAGCAUACUUACCACCAACAUCGCGGAGAGUGCUAAUUCUUUGAUGAGGGAACCUCAAAAAUUUUCUGUUACUCAUCUUGUUGAUCACUUUAGGAAAACAUUGCAGCAAUGGUUUUAUGAUAAAAAAAUUGUGGCUGAAUCAAUGACUACUUGGCUAACAACAUGGGCGAAUGAAAUAGUCACUGAGAGGAGAACUAUAGCUGAAAGAAUGAUAGUUCGGCCGGUGUCUCUGCAUCGAUUUCAAGUUAUAGGUGGUGGGCUUAAGGAAGGUUUGGUUGACUUGCAAAAAAAAACUUGCUCCUGCAGAGUGUUUCAGCUUUAUCAGCUUGUAUGUGCUCAUGCAAUUGCGGCGUGUCUAACACACCGGGUGGAUUUUAUUAACCUUUACUCGGACUUUUACACUACAGAAUUGUUGGCGAUGGCUUAUGCAUAACCAAUGGAGCCAGUUGGUGAUGUGGCUGAUUGGGAAGUUCCAGAUGAAAUUCAGGAUAUGCAAGUAUACCCACCAGUUGAGGCACCACCACCUGGCCGUCGUAAAGAGCUCAAAAUACCCUCGGCUGGCGAGGACGUUAAUCGGCGGACUGUAAGAUGCGGGCGGUGUCAUGAACUGGACCAUAAUCAUAAGCGAUGUAAGAAUCUCAUUGUGUCGACUCGAAGUUAGUUGUAUUAUUUCAAUGAUUCGUUGGUUAAAAUUGUUGUUGUUUUUUGUGUUUCGUUGGUUAAAACUGUUAUUGUUUUUUGUACAUUGUACACUUAUAUGUCAUAAAACUUUAUUUUAUUUUAAAUAUUAAAAUGUGAGCAUUAAAAUUAUAUAAACUUAAGUGCGCAAAUUAAAAUAAAAAUUCAAGUUUCAACAUUCAAAUUACUACAACUGUUUACAAUAUAAUAUCGUCAUUAAAUAUAUCAACCGCAAUCUUCUUUCUAAAGUACUCGACAUGACUAUCGUUAAACUCCAAUCUAAGCCUGAACAUUAAAUACAUCGUAACCAUCAAUACAAAAACACCGCAAUUACCAGUUCCGGACUCUUGUUGUGGCGCGCUCUUAACUGUGAUAACUUUCCAGGGGUCUGCACUCCGCAACUCAGGUCGGAUGUUGUAGAAGCCAACAUAUUCCAACCAUCGAGGGAAUAUAACUUCAAGUAGCUUGAAUUUCAACUUGUACCUUUUGUCAUCGCGAGAUGUGAGUAAUGAGUCAUAAAUCCAGACUUUAUUUUUCCGAAAGUCAACUCGUGCUACUACCCAAUGCGCGUCGUCCAAGUUAACAGGGAUGAGUAACUGUAUAUAAAAAUUGAAAAAUAUGUUCGUAAUAUAUGAAAUUAAAAUACAACUAAGAAAAAGCGACAACUUGGAUAUUUUCCUUAUGGAGUAUGUGAAAUGCAAUAAAAAACAUACCAUAUCGACAUCCGUCAUUGAUUUGGACAUUGUGUGUUGUCGCCCACAAAGAUAACUAUUCAAGCGGUCGUCGAAUACUAAUGAAUCGACCGCACAAUCCCUGUUGCUUCAUAACUGAUUCAAGAACACCUAGUACAUAGAUAACCAAGAAAUGUAUAAAUUAACAAAACUUAAAGGCAAUAAUUAAAAAAAUAAAUAGUAUUUAUAAGUUUUGUCGGCACGUUACCCAAAAAACAUGUAUCAGUAUGUUUGACACGUUGAAUUAAGGCAUUCAGAUACAGCCGUUGUUUCUCACUAAUCAAGCGGAGAUACUCGUGAAUAUGCUGUAGAGAAACAAAAACAUUACGAUUUAAAAGAUAAAAUUUAUAAACAAAUCCACAACACUCAAAAAACUUCAAAAAUAUAAUUACCUUAUCGCCUAGCCAUCCCAUCAAAGUUAAACCCAAAAGUAUUUGAAAGAAUGACUGCGGGUACUGGACUCUCCAAACCACUGUCAUAUCACCAGCGAACCAUCGAUCAAACUCAGCAAACAGACUAGAAUCCUCCAAUCCUCUCAUUGGAUUUAUAUCUACACUCGUAUUCAUAUCUUGGGUAUGGUCCAUGAUUUGGGGUCGAGGUAUAGGUCGGGCGUUCUUUCCUCGCCUGAGUGGAGGAAUCAUGUAAGGACUAUUAUAAACAUACGACGGUAUGUACGCGCGGCCGAACUCACUAAUGCCCGAAGGCACCUCGGAGAACACCUGCACGCUCUCCCCACUAACAUCCCCGUAGAAACUAUACAAUGACGUGGGCGUAGACAAAUUUUGAUUGCCCACGUCAGUAUACACUCCAUAGUCAUCCGGGGUCUGUCCAUUCGCCAAGAUGAACAUAUUAGACAACUAUUAAAUUAAAAGUUAAAUGAACAUAAUUAUUAAAUUUAAUUAUGCUCACCGCAUACGAGCGUCCGGUGGGAGAAUCUUUAUUUGGACGUGUAGAAAAUGUGUCAAUAAAGCCAACCAUGGUUUCUUUAAAAUAGUAUAUCCGACUUCAAUUCAUACACGUUCCAAUCAAUCUUAUCCAGCCGUCGUCGCACGUAAUCAUUAAACUGCUUUGUCCUCGACUAUUACAAAAGAAAAUAAGUAAAAAUUUAGCAUAACAAUAAAACAAUAAUGAUUAAUAAAAGAAGAAUAUCGUAUAUUAUUUAUAACCUCAAAAUCAUGUGCGUCAUCAGAGUCGGCAUGUGUCUGCUCCUGGUGGUCAUCAACAGCCACCUCAUCCUCAGAAGUGUCAUGACACUGCUCUGGUGUUGGGUUUUGUAUGUUGUCAUGCUCGUCUGAUUGCCUUGAAACUGACGGCAUCGCAUUAAUUGAUGGUUGGUGGUGUAUAAAGUAUCAUUUAAAACUAAUAAAUGAAAAGUCAAAAAUUUUGAUUAAAUAUAAUUUAUAGUACUUAGAUUUAUAACCGACCUUAUGAACCCAAUCUGGAAUGCUUGGCAUGUAAUCUUUCAUAGUGAGCCAGUAUUUUCUGCUACUCUCCUUUGAAUUUGGCUCAAGGGUUUGUAAAACAUCCACUUGCCAUAAAUUCAAUUGAAACUUUUAAGUAUACAUAACUUAAAUUUAGUAAAGUUAAAAAAAUAACUAAUACAUAUUACUUACAAUACAAGAUUUGUCGUUGAAGAACGAAUAAACCUCAGCAAAGUUGAUUCUCGAAGACGCCAUGGGCUUCCAUUUGACGAUGCGGGGAAUCUUGUUCUUCGUUUUCAUGACCCAUGUUGACGGCAAACCUCCGAUCGCUUCGUAAAUCCAAGCCUGCAACAACCAAAGUAAAAAACCUAUUAACACAUCUAUCAAAUAUUUAAUACUAUAAAACUUAUUAAUAAACAAAAAAAUAACGCACUUGAACCCCGGACGUAAAGCCGUAAAGAUUUUACUUUUCAAUGUUAUGAUCUGGGUUUUUCAACCGAGUCGUCUUAAAUUUCUCGUCUUUCUCGAACAGUGUAUCGUCAAGACUAUCGUAUACCAUUUCCCACGACACACGACCCCAUGGACGGUUUCGGAAGUACUGUAUAUCAUCAACUUCGUUAAGCCAAUCGAAAUUGAUUUGACAGUGAUUUUUUCUUACAUUUAGUACUCUGUCCGCAAAAUAAAAGAGCGCAAUCUUUAAUGAGUCCAUAUCAUCCAUUUCCUCGAAUUUCAACUCCUUAAAUAAUGCAUCGAAUUCCUUAACAUUGAUCUUGCGAUGCACACCACCAAAGUACGUUUUCCAUAGCCUAUCUAUUUUUUUGUCAUCUCUUAGUUCGGUAUCAACACCAUAUGAAAGUCCAGUAACCAGGCACCACUUUACAAUUGACAAGCGAAUCAAAUGCUCACUAAUUUGAAACCAUAACUGAUCCUCACGGCUAUCUUCUUCAUGGGCCACUUGCCUCAGUAAAAGAUUGUGCAAAAUUACCCCACUAAAUGGAAAACUUCGACACUCCAAGAAAUGCCCAAAUAUAUCCUUCUUGAACAUAUUCAACUACCGCUUUGUUAAUUUUUCAUCGAUGGCCUUUACGACCGAAGAUAAAUUAUACAUACUCGAAAUUCGACCCGGAAAGUGAUCGGCAUAACGAAAAUACAUCCUGCCUACUUCAAUAUCAGACGAUUCUGAUUUCGUCAUGUAUCUGUAAUAAUUAUAACAUUAUUACAUUGUAUUUACAACAAAAACAAAAUAAAUUGACUUGACGAAAAAAAAAUUAUAAAGCCACUGUAAUUUGGUGCAACAGGCGCGGUUGUCACACCAUUUUUGAUGUGACAGGCCGCGCCUGUCGCACCAAAUUGGUGUGACAGUACCCAUGUGCGCGCGUGCCCAGUAAUGGGUACGCGCGCGUGCCCAGCAAUGGGUACGCGCGCGCACUGCUGCCCAGCGAUGGGCGCGAGCUAGCGCCCGUCACUUGGGCGAGCGGCACGCGCUCUAGCGCCCUUCGCUGGGCAGCGAUUCCCUCCUUAAGAAACACUCCCAAAUUGAGAAAGAAACACUCCCAAAACAACAAUAACCACCACAAUCACCACCACCACCAUUAUUCUCAAACUACAAACAUUAUUAUUCUAAAAUUUCAAUUUAAAUUAAUGAAAAUAAAAAAAAAUAGCUAACUUAGGUUUUGUUGAAGACUGUAGAUGGUAGAUCGAACGCCGAAGAGGAAUGAAGCCGCUGCCGAUGAUGGGAGUUUGUUCGGUUUGGGAGAGAUGGGUGAAAGAGAGUGUUGGGGGAGAGAUGAGAGAGAGGGGUAUUUUGGUCUAAAAGGGUCUUUUAUGACUAAUGUUGAUAGAAAUUUGUUUGGGGGGUUAAAAUGAAAAAAGCCAAAAUUAUUAUGAUUAUUGGUGUAAAUUUCUUCAAAAAAAAGGGCUUUAAAAAAUAAUUUAAUGCAUACCGCGGUGGGGAACGGUGUUUCAUUUUUGCAGAAAACCCGCAUAAAGCUUUUAAUUAAUGAGGUACAAUGCGUCUCAUUUAUUUCGCCAAACACUUCAGUUAAUGUAGGACCUACUAAUAAUACCAUCCAAUGCAUCAUGCCAAACAUGGCUGAAUUCGAACGGUGUCGGUAUGUCAAUUUGCCAAUAAAAGAGAUGCAUUUAACAAAAUAGAACUAAUCGGGAGGUAUAACUCUUUCUAAUUAUCCUCCACCUUUAGAUUUGUUCCACUGAUAUAUGAAUAUAGUAUUGGCAAAGGAACACACCAAACCUAAACUAUAAUUGCGCGUAAUUAAGCUAAAUUUUUUUACUAUCAGUUUGACCAAAAUAAGAUUAUGUACAACAAAUAUAACUAUAGGAACUAAGCGAUAUUAUUAUAAUGCGGACCAUAUUAUAAUAAUAUGAGAGCGGAAGGAAUCAGACUUUUUUAAAAAUAAAACAUUAAAGAUUAAAGAUUUUCUUUAAUGUAUCAGCAGCAACCAUCAAGAUUUUCGUUCGUUCAUGUCAGCUACCACACGAGCAGAAAGGCAAACAGUAUGUGAUUAUCAAUCUCAAUAUAGAUGCAAUGAUUUUCAGCAACUUGCAUUACCAAAGUCAUUCUCUCAAUUUUCUCUAUGCUUUAAGUCAUCAAUUUAUCCCUUACUUACCGACUAAUAUUUUAUUUUUUAUUUUUUAUUUUUUUAAUUUGGAGUCUAAUAAAGAAGAAAGAAUCUUGAAAACUCCUUUAUUUACAACAACAGUUCAAAGCCCUAAGGGGUAGGUGACACAAAAUGUGAACUGUUUUCAUCUAUACUAGAGAGACGUGGUCUUCUCUUUUAUCUUCAAAAUUAAUGCAAAUUAAAGUCUAGAAAAAUUGUGCAGCCAAAGACUCCAAAAUCUUCAUGCAUGUAAGUGACUAUGCCAUUGUGUUGGACUUGAGGAAGGAAUCAAAGAAAAACAUAACCAUUAAAUUCUACAUGAAAUUAUCUUGAAAUCUUACACAUAUAAAAAUUCUUUGGUCAUCUUCAACUGCUAGUUCUUCAUUAUUAACUGGCACAUCUGUUUUCUCGAUAAUUUUAUCUUGCACAUCAUGAAUAGUAUAUAUCUCACCUCAAGAAAUUUCCCAGUUAAUGGAGAUCAAUUUAUACAUCCACAAGUAGGGGCGGAGACAACAUAUUGAUUAACUGGAGGUUUAUUCAACGGCGAUAUAAAAAAAUUCAAAAAGUAAUAAAUAUAUAAAUUUGAAAGAUUUAUCCUACUUCAAUAUAUGUUUAAAAUUGUUCUUUACGAGUUUUCAUACAUUGAUAACGUUGUAUUAUAACUUCAUUAUCAAUAUUAUUAAAUAAGUCUUUUUCUAGGUAAACAAUCAAACUAUCAUUCAUCCAUUACUCUUCCAUUUGGUUUCAUAAUUGAUUCUUCAAAAUCUUCAUGACUGAAAAUGCUCUCUCUACACUAGCAGUGGCAACAGGUAAAGUCAAUGCUAAUAUUUUAAUAAGUAAACCAAUAGACAUACCUUAUGUCUCUUAGUCUCGACCAUUUGCUUUGCAAGAUCAUUAAUAUCUUUUAAUUGUGAAAACUCACCACUAGUGUGCAUAUCCAAAAUAUAUGUAUCAAGUUGAAUUCCAAGAGCCAUGAUAUCAAUUGCAGAGAACUCAUCUGGAUACAACUGAGCUAGCCGUAAUAGGUUCUGCUUGUUGAAAGAAAUUAAAUCAUCUGGAUAAAUUAUUCUAAUUCUAAUUCCUCAUUUAGAUUCUAGAUAUUUCGAUUCUAACUCAUUAUGUUUUCAAUUAAUUUUGAUUCCUGUGCUAGUGAAUGCAUCUUAAAAUUCAUAAUACUUAUAAAAAAUUGUAAAUAAUAUAAAGCGGUCUAAUUGAAUAUAAAGUGAUUUACAGUUUUAUAGUGCAUUCACUAAACAGGAAUCGAAAUUAGCUGGAAACAUAAUGAGUUAGAAUUAGAAUAGCUAUAAUUAAAAUGAAGAAUUGGAAUCAAAAUAAUUAAUUUACUUGAACUGUAGAAAUCGUAAAUAGAAUAAACUGUAUUACUAUAUAUGUGUUUACUUUGUCUUAGAAUAAAUAUCGAAAUGAGUCAAAUUGUAACAAAUUACUAUAAAUACUUAAUUAAUUUUAUUAUAAUUAUUAUUUUGUAUUUUAAUUAUUGUUAUUGGUAUUAUUAUUAUUGACAUUUUAACUAAAAAUUAUUAUUAAUUAUUGUUAAUAGAUUAAUUAAUUAUAAUAUUUUUUAUUCUUGUUGUUAAUAAUAAUAAUCCAUUUAAAAUUUAUAAUUACAUUUAUAAUUAUAAUAAAAUAAUUAUUAUAAUUAUAAUCUAUUUAAUUAUUAAUAUAUUUUUUAAUUAAAUGGAGGGUCUGGACAAAUUGGUACUCUAAGGGUUUCAAUAAAAUAAAACAGAGUAUAAGGGGCUCAACAAAAUUUUACAAUACAAAAAGUUGUAUAAUACUUAUGAAUAAAUUAUAAAUAAUAUAGAGUAUAGGGGUUUGAAUGAUAUUGUUCAGGUCAGCCGUAAGUUACGUUAAAUGUAACGUAGACGGACCCCGUUAACAAUAUAAGCUUUCGCACACGAUCCAAGGUCUUGACGAUUGACCAGCGUACGUAUCUGUCUUGAUGAAAACUUUUUCUGAAUGAUGGAUUUGAUGCUAGGACGCAUCACUACAUUACCCUUCGCAAUACGCUACAUGGUUUUAUCAUUUGAUGGUGAGACUUAGCUACAAUAUAACAAUGGUACGAUACCACUUCUUUUAUUUUUUGUGGCAGCACUCCUGUAAAUUUACAUAUAACCCCUUUUACUCAUUUUUAUUUAAACUUUACUUCAUAAAUAUUAAGUUAAUUUCUACUGCAUCCAUAUAAAGUAUAAACAUUUUAAUUAACACCUUGUACUAUUUACUAUUUACUAUUUACUAUUUACUAUUUACAAAUUUUUUUCUAUAUUGCACCAGUAUCACAAUACCCUAUCUCUUUACUAUUUUGAGAUUAAAUAAUUAAAAUGUUUAAUAUAGAACCUUACAUUUUUUUUUAAUAUUAGGAUUUUUUUUAAAUCCAUUAUCAAAUUUCAUUUAACACUCUACACUCUUUCUAUUAUAAAUUUUUAAUAAAUAUUCUAGUACAUUUUACUUACAUGCAUAAUAAAUUAUGUAAUCUCAAUAGUCUUAUUACAAAAAAGUUUAUAAUUUAGCACUCAUUUAAUUUACUGUUGUAAAUUUUUUUCUCCUUUAAUUUAUUGUUAUAAACAAUAGUUCAUCAUCUUUAAAUGAGUGCUAAAGUAAUUUUAUGUAACAUGGAUUGACAUUAUAUUAUUAAAGAAUUUUAUUACUAUAUAUGAAGGAUAAAUUUUUUUUUAGGAAAUUAUCAUUCAUAUACCCUAUAUUUAUUCUGUUAUCAAAAAUACUACAAUAUUUUAAGGGUGUAUCAAUCGUCCACCCUUAGUUGACAAAAUGUAUCAGCCGACCACCAAACCGUUAGUUGCCGUUUGAAAGUUAACGAAGUUACAGUGAAUUGACGAUUUUACCCUUGAAAAUUAUCACUUGUAUACCCUUAAAUUCUCUUUUUAUCACUUGUAUCAUAUGAAAAGACCAAAUUACCUUUCUGACGUCAUCAUACUUAAACGGCAAGUAACGGUUUGGUGGUUAGCUGAUGCAUUUUGUCAACUUAGGGUGGACGAUUGAUAUACUCUCAAAGUGUUGUAGUAUUUUUUAUAAUGGAGUAAACUAAAGGUAUACAAAUGAUAAUUUCCCAAUUUUUUUUAUGGAAUUAUAGUAAAAGCAGCUCCCUUUAAGGAGAAAAAUUUCAGAGCAAAAAUAUGAAUAACCGUACAAAAACAUGGAAAGUUCCACCAAACAGUGCAGUUUACUGAUGUGAGAAGACAGAGUCAAUCAAUUUCCCUGACUUCCAACCUUCAACUUAAUGCAAUCAAAGUCAUUACCCUCCUAUCCUCACAAUAGGAUAAGAUUUUCCAUUUAUUGCGUAUUUAACUACAGUUCUAGACUAUAGUGUUAUAGAGAUUGUUGGCAAAAGAAAAACAGAUCAUUCUUGUUAAUUUCCCUAGAUGAUCAGUAUGCUCUCAAUCUCUAUUAGGGGUGUUCAGAAUCUAAUUCAAUCCGUCUUAUCUGUAGAAAUUCGAUUCGUGGAUUGGUGGAUUGGAUUAGAUUGAAAAUUUAAUAAUUCGCAAUCGGUGGAUUGGAUAUGAAUCUACUUCUAUAAAUCCGUAAAUAUCCGCGAAUCUGCAAAAAAAAAUAAAAAUUAAGGAAAUUAUCAACCAUAUUCCCUUAAAUGACAUCAGUAUCAAACAUGCUACAACACUUUUCAAGUAUAUCACUCGUAUACCCUAAGUUGACAAAACACUUCUGCCGUCCACCAAUCUGUUAGCUGCCGUUUGCAAGUGCUGACAUCAUAAGGGUAAUAUAAUCUUUUUAGAAAAAUGACAUGUCAUCCCAUUUAUCGGAUAAUUAUUAAUAAUUGCUAAAAUAAAAAAAGCUACUUUACAACUGAAUCUACUCCUCCAAAAUUUAAUCUAAAUUUUUGAAGAUCUAUUCCUCCAAACUUCAACUGAAAUUUUUUAUGGUAUAAUAUGUAUAAUUGUAAAUUAUAUGUUGUUAAUAAUUUUUUAUGACAUAAUAUGAAUAUGUUUUACGGAUAAUUGUUAAUAAUAUGUACCAUUAAUAAUUCAUAUUUUUUUAAUAAAAAAUAUAUUGUUAAUAACAAAAUAAAAAAAUUGUGUAUUGAAAAUUUACAUUAAUUUUUAAGGUAAAUUUAUUUUUUUACCUCAUUUUGAGUUUCAAGGGCGAAAUAGUCAAUUUGCCACAAUUCUGUUAACUUUCUAACGGAAGUUAACGGAUUGAUGGACGGCAGAAGUGUUUUGUCAACUUAGAGUAUACGAGUGAUACACUUGAAAAAUAUUGUAGCACGUUUGAUACUGAUGUCAUUUAAGGGUAUAUGGCUAAUAAUUUUCCUAAAAAUUAUUUAUUUAAUUAAAAAAUAAAACUUGUAAAUAUGGCAUUAGUACUUUCUAGUAAAUAAAUAAGUUAAAAUAUAGUUACAUUAACACUAUAUUAUAUCUUAUCAGAUAAUAAUAUAAAAUAAACAAUAACUAAAUAAACAAAUAUAGAUUUCUAAAUAGUUAAUUUCCAUGUACUGAUCUAAACAAAUGUGUUUUUUUUUUUGAUGUGUUAUAUUUUCAAACUUUAAAUGUAUUUUCUAACCUUAUUUAAACAAUUGAUUUAUUUAAACCUUAUUUAAUUUUAAAUUUGAUUGUAAUAAAAUUAUUUUUAUAUUAAAAAUUUUUAUUUAGUUAGUUCGUGGAUUGGAUAAAAUUAAAAAAUUUCGGUCUGCAAACCAAUCCGCAAAAUGGUGGAUUAGAUAUGGAUUGGGUCAAAUCCGCAUCUUAUCCGCAGAUGUACGGAUUGGAUUUGGAUUUGGAUUGAAUUUCACCAAUCCGUGUAUUGGAUUGGAUUGAAAAUUUAUAAUCUGCAAAAUCGUAGAUUGGGUAUGGAUUGAUGUCUAAUUCGUAAAAUCCGAUCCACGAACACCUCUAAUCUCUAUGCUUAGUCAUAGAUAUACAACCAUGUCAAAAGCUAGCCCCUCCCAACAAAGUCCAAACUGAUGACAAAAAGUGAACAUUGUCCCACUGACAAGAAACUUGGUCUUCCCUCUUAUCUUCAAAAAUGCAAUCUUGCCUAGGAAUGGCAAAAGGUCGGGUCGAGUUGGGCUCGGGCUUGACCAAGCCCGAACCCGACCCGAUUAAAAAAAUUUGAAACCCGACCCUAAAAAAACCCGAACAUUUUAUAGUUAGGGUCAAGUCCGACCCGACCCGAAUCGAGUCAACGUCGGGUCAGGCCCAACCCGACCCUACUGAAAUAAUUUUCAUAUUAUUUUAAUAUUAAACUAUUUUUUUAAUGUUUUGUUUUAUAUUCAUGUUAUUUUAAUAUUUUCUUCUAUACAUGCACCUUAAUUCAAUAAUUUAGCAACUCAAAUUUGUAAAUAUCUUGUAAUUUUAUGACCACAUCCCAAAUUCAUUCAUGUUACUUUUUAAUUUUUGUUCUCUUUCUAGUUAUAAUACCAUGAAUAUAAAACAAAAAUAAUAAUUUUUCUAAUUUAAAAUAAUUAACAAGACAAAGGCAAAAUAUACAAUAUAAUUAAUCACAAAAUAAUUCACAAAACAACCAAUUAAUAGGAAUAAUUUUUUAAAUUUAAUUCCAUAAUCCAACUUUAAACACACACAAUGCGAUUAAAUUAAUAAAAAAAACACAAUUCAAUUCCACAACCAUUUCAACCACACACACAAAUCAAUUCCAAAAUGAAAAACAUGAAAAACACACAAUGCAAUUAAAUUAAAAACACACAUGUAAUUCCAUAACCAUUUUAGCCAUACACAAUUCAAUUCAACAACCCAACAUAAAAAAUAAAAAAUAAAAAACAAAAAACUCACGUCUUAUACAAAUAAAAACACACAAUUUAAUUCUACAACCCAACAUUAAAAAAAAAAUCUUAUACAAAUAAAAACUCAUAUUUCGGGUUGGGUGAUGUUGUGAUGUGUGGGUGUGUAAAACUUGUGUUAGCUUUUCUUUUUCUUUUUUUUUUUUAAAUAGGGUUGGGUCGGGCCGGGUCAGCUUAAAGCCCGACCCCGACCCAAAAUUUGUUAGGGCCUAAAAAAUUUGACCCUAACCUGAUCUGAGACCUGAAAAUUCAAGUCAAAACCCUAAAAAUUAAGGUCGGAUCAGUCGGACAAAAAACAAGGUCGGGCCAAAUUGCCAAGCCUAAUCUUGCCGAGUAACCCAAAAAGGAGCUAGAGCCUAAGAACCUUAGCUUUCUAUCCUUGCCCAAAAGCAAAAACAUUUUUCAUUAGCAAAGAGCUACAAGAACUUGGAGCAUCCUAAAACCAAUAACAUAAUUGAGAAUCAAUGCAUGUAUCCGUAAGCAUUUAUUUAGUACCAAAACCAAUUUUAAAUAUCUGAUAGGCUUACUUAAUUGCCCAAAUUCUACCAAGCUUUUCAGUUAACCUGCUCAAAAUAAAAUCCACAGGUACAUUUAAAUAAAUUGGGUUAUUUAACGCCUAUAAUCUUUGAAACCUCAUCAAAUUGCUACCAGAAGUAAUCCAUACCAAACAAUCAACACAUGAAAUACUAAAUACUUCUCUUAUUACUACUCAUGGCACAAAACAACAUCAAAAUAGGCUCAAUAUACCAUUAAAAUAAUAAAUCCAUACCAAUGACAAGCUAAAUAUGACAUCUUUCUAGAAUUAAUAAUUCUGCAACCAAAAAAGCACAAUAAUUAUCUACAUUCUAAAUAAUCCUAAAAACAGGACAAUGACUUAUUUAUGUCAUAAAAAGGACCUACAGACACUUAUCUUUUAAUCUAUUUUAUUUCCCAGCAAAAUCAAUAUUCUUCUAUUCUUUCUUCAACAGGAAAACAGGUUAUGUUACGGUAGUCGUUAGGCAGUAGGCAAAACACUUGAUAACUAAAUAUAUAAAAAGAAAUAAAAAAGAGUUAAAAAAAUUACAAAAGUUAAAAUCGAAAAUACAAAAAGAUUAAAAACGAAACUGCUUGUGAAAAAUGAAAAUAUCAAACCCCUUCUUCAGAACAAUUCAAAGAGGGAGUUGCUGGUUCUUAAUGCAACAGUAAGUAACAUGCCACUGAAACCCCAACCUUUAAACAUAGAACUUGAACUCAGGAAGAGAUAAAAGAAAAAGACAACGAUGACUGAAAGAGUCAGACUGAGAGAGAGUCACCAAUAUACGGCACUGGUCAGCUCCCAGUUGAAUUUGCAAGUUUGGGUUCGAGUCCCAGUCCCACAGGUAGUGAAAGUAGGUAGUUAUCUUAAGUUCCUAACCAGCUGAAGUAUCAAAACCUGUUUGUAUAAGCCUGCACAAUACAAGUUAACCAUCAGCAAACGAGGGGGCUGCAGCAAGAAACACACAUCAUGUACUAAUUAUAAAACAUGCAAAAUUAACCUAUUUUAUCAGUCACAAAACCCUUUUUCUUUAGAGAUAAUAUCCCCAUAGCAACUAUAAAUAUGGAAAAAAAAAAUGACCACAAAGUAGAACAGUCUCCUCCUUUUCUCCAAACAAAUACAACCAUUUCAGUUCACACCUAAGCUGAGAACCAUUCUAGUUUCAAUUUUCAACCAAUGAAACAACCAUAGUAUUCUUAUAAAAAAAAUGAAAUAACCAUAGAAUAAAAUAAUUAUACUCUAAUUCAAAUAUUGCUUCAGAACUUAGACUCAAUUGGUCAAACCUAUGGAAUUGGAAUGACGCAUUUAUUUAACCCAAAAGGUGAAAGUCAAGCUUAAGGUUCUUACAUAUCGAAAUGAUCAAAUUUCAUCCAUUCUGAACACGAGAUGCAACUUUUCAAGUUAUUCCAAGAAGCAUUAAAAGAAAUUUGUCCGUCCUACAUGGGCUAAGUAGUAUACUUUAGCUAGUAUCAUGCAUCAUCGGUUAAAUCAUUUGGAUUAUUAACAUUGAUACUUUUUAUUAGCUGAAUUGAUAACUUUUGCACCCUAACUUAAGGGCAUAUGUGAUAAGAAAAUUUUAUCUACAUCAGGUGCAAGUAUAAGCUUUUAACAAUUAAGCUGUGACUGUUUGCUUUCAGGAUCAAACGUAUACUAAUAGAGAUGAAUAAAACCCAGCACUUCAAGAAAAUUUUGACAUUAUAUCCCCUAAAUGUGGAUAUUAUCCAAUAUAUCAAACCAGCAAUUUUUAUACCCGGCUGCUUAAAACUUCAAAAAUAAAAAAAGAUAAAACAGAACCUUCUCAAGUCAACACUACUAUGAGCAUUGGUUAAUACGACAUUUGGGGCCUCUGGUACCCUAUUACUAUAACACUAACAGAUAUAAGUGCAUCCUACUAACGUAGCUUAGUCAUUCUAAAUACAUGUAUUAAAAAGCAUAAUAUCUACAAAAAGGUAGCUUACUAAGUUUACUAGGCCAGCAAUGCCAAAGCACAACCAGAACAGUAACAAAAAUAGAUGAAGACGGUUCUUCAUUACAAAACACAACUUUCAAAAGAUGUAAUCUCCAUGUUAAACCCCAAAUCGAAAUCAAUCCUCCACUCACCACAAUAUUUUUCACCAUCAUUGCCCAAACCUGAAAAGUAAGGGGUGAGCUAACGCACAGUUUGUAGUUACACACAACAAAGGAUCUUUUUUUUUUUAAACACCCAAAUAAUUCGCACAACUUCGGUACAUUUCUAACAUAAACCAUUUAUAUGUAUAUAAAUAUAUAUAAAAUAUUAAUUUCUUAAACUUUUUAAGUUUGAAAGUUGGUAUUCAACAGAAAUGUCAUAAGACAAGAUCAUAGCAACAUACACACAUACAAAUAUAGUGUUGCUCAUGCUUUCGGUAGUUAUGCAUAAAGAAAUCCUAAAAUUACUCUUUCAAUUAUACAAAAUAAAAACAUGCCUGACAAGUCCGUAAGCUGUAAAUCCUCAGCAAACAUUUUCCCCCAAUAUUAAUUUUGAAAAGAAAUACCUCACAUACUUUUGGGGCAUUAUUCGCAGGGCCACCACCCAUGAUUUCUUUUGUGGACUUUCACCGCGGGAUAGAAAUCUGACAAAGGUCAAUCCAGCAUAGCGUACUUUUGGGGCAAUAUUCCCAGGGGCCAUCGCCCAUAAUUUCUUUUGCGGACUUCACCUCGGGACAGGAAUCUGCCUAUCACCUAUCAACCUUCUCAAACCUCAACUUAAAUAAAAGGAAUAAAAAUUAUUAUUUCAGUUUCCUUACAAUGACACACCAGACCCAUGAUACUUCUCAAUAACAAUAGUUAUAGAUAACAGAACCUCAUCACAUCCCCAGUUUAACAACACAUCCACAAACUUAAACCGCAAACAUAGCACCAUAUCAUUGCAGGAUACAUAAACACAAUUCAGCUACACUUCCUUAUGAACGGAUUUGUUCUUGGGACGCCCAUACACCCCAAAACGCGUCUUGCCAAUUAAGGUGUGGAUCACCCCUUAUAAACCCAGCAUCUCUCCCGUGCUUUGCCGAUGUGGGAUUCGCCUAGGGUGUUACAUACACCCCCCCUUGGGGACUCAGCGUCCUCGCUGAGGUUUGCCCCACCAUCGCUCAAGAGGACACGCGGAGCCGCUCUGAUACCACAAUGUCAUGACCCAACCCAGACCUGGCAAGAUAUUGUCCGCUUUGGGCCUUAACAAGGCCCGCACGGAUUUGUUCUUGGGGCGCCCAUACACCCCAAAACGCGUCUUGCUAAUUAAGGUGUGGAUCACCCCUUAUAAACCCAGCAUCUCUCCCGUGCUUUGCCGAUGUGGGAUUCGCCUAGGGUGUUACACCAACAAUUUCCAAAACUUUUUGUUGGACCUCACAUUUAUAAAUUCUCAAAACUUCCUCCACCAAUCUGACAACAUCACAGAAAACAAGCAACACCACAUUUAAUUCUCUUUAAGUUGAUGUGAGGAUAUAAUGAGAAACCAAUCAUAGAACAUGUCAUGAGCAAGGGCACAACCAGAGGAAAGAUCUUCAAUGCCUCAGUGUGAUGAUAAUCAUCAUGAAAAAACAUCAACAGAUGUGAUUUAGGGAUACAUCUCAUAUAACAACCUUCAAAUGAUCUUAAUAUACAGCGAUUGAUAUAAAAUAAAGAAAGAGUUUACAUUUUUUUUUUGGGGGGGGGAAGGGGGGGAAUUACUGAAGUAAAGGCUGAGCUUUGGUUACCGUUCUUUCAUUUGUAUGUAAAGUCUCUCAAAUUCUUUAGUCAUGGCGUAAUAGAUUCUCCUCUAUACAUAAUGAAUAAUGCUGUUAAAAGAAGCCCCUGAACUUAGAAUUACUUCCACCUCUUUAUAUUCUUACUUAUAAUAAGGCAUGAGUGAGUUUUGGUGUAUUUAACGGGAUUUUGAAUGGUAUUUACCCCCAUUUUAUUUUGCAAUUACAAAACCUCGAAAGCCUCUUGCAAAACCUGAAUUUAGAUGAAUGGACUUCAAAUGAAAGGAUUUUCAUGCAAAAGCUACAAAAUACAAUGGCAUAGUGAAAAUGGAAAAAAGAAAAUAUAAAGCAAAAGAAAAAGUUUCCAUCUGAUAAAACAAAUACAAAAAAUCCAAGUUUCUUAUUUGCCAUGCCAAUAUUAUUCAUGAAGAACUAAUCUAAUUUCUUUUCCAGAACUAAACCAACUUGGUUACUACGACAUUACUCUUUCGCUUCUACGACAUUAAUCUAAUCAUCUUUUCUGGUUAAGUGAUUUCGUCAGCAAAUAAGACAAAAUAGAAAUUCUGAAAUAAACCUAGGGUUUCUAGCUUUGGGAAUUUACCUAAUGAGAAAUCAGUCUCACUGUUUCUAGAUUUGUAACCUCAGUAUCAUGGCGGCGCGACCUCGAUCAGCUGAGAUAAUCAGAUUUCGUACCGGCGACGAUGCAAAUGUUUGGGUUUGGGUUUGACGAUGGACGAAGGAAUGUUGGGGUUUUGGGUGGUUUAAGGAUUUUAUUUUAUUCAAGCAAAGUGACCAAAUUAACCUUUCAAAAUAAUUAAAGUAUCUCUAGGUUGUUAUACACUGAGAGGGGUAAAGAGUCUUAACUGUGACUACACCCUGAAUUUAAAUUAAUCGAGACCAAUGCGGUCGUCGAAAAUCGGGUGGUUUAAAUAAAAAUAAAUAAAUAAAUUUCUGCUCGUGUAUUUAUGGUACACGUGAGUUCGUGUGGAGAAAAACGAAAACGGGAUAAAAGAAAAAUUCGACGCAAAUUUUUAUUAGUAUGCAUAUGUAAGUACAUUAUCGAAUAUGCCUUAAACAACUGCCUUUUUUCCUGGGACAAUAAAAAUAAAAGGGGCGGAUGCAGCACAUGACCAGUGGGGGCUUGAGCCCCCACUGGCCAAAAAAAUUUAAAAAAAUAAAGGAGAACAAAUUUUAAAAAAUAAAAUAAUUAAGCCCAUUAAAUUUAUUAAAAUAGUCACUAUCAAAUAUAAACCCAAUAAAAUUUAAGUUUUGACUUUUAAGAAAUAUAAAAAUUUAUAUUUUAAUUAAAAAUAAUGAUAAUCUACCAGUUAAAAUAUUUUAUAUUUUAAAAAAUAUGAUUAAUUCUUCCAGUUUAUAUAAUAAUAGUGAAAUGAAUAUUUUCAGUAACAAAACUCAUGAAGAAUCAUCUUUGCAAUCAGAUGAGAUAAGUGAUAGUUUAAUUAUUUAUAUAAGAAAUAAUAAAUUUAAUAAUAUUAAUAAUGAGUUUAUUACAUAACAUUUUUAAAAUAUAAAAAUGCAUAGAGACUAAUUAUAAAUGUAUUAAUAAAUAUUUUAUAUAUUCAAAUUUUUAAUUUUUUAUAUUUUACUAUUAUCUAAUUUAGUUCUCGAUAAAUUAUUUUUCUAGAUCCGCUUAUCAAAUUAUAUAUAACAAAUAAUACAACAAAAGAAUAGAAGUACAAGUAGAAAGGCAGUAUCUAGGUUGUCUGCUACUCGGCUUCUAGUUCCACCCAAGAUACAUCUUCGUUCCGGUAACCAAGCACAGACUCUGUUACUGCUAUAACUAAUUUAUCACAUGACUAUAAUUUCCAGAACACCUUGCGCUUGUCCAAUGGGUUGUUCAACUUGAGGAGGAGCUAGCAGAUGUGCGUUGACAGAGGUGACAAUGAAGACAGCGAGUCGUCGAAGCCAGUAGAAGAAGUGCUGAAACAGAGAAGCGAACAUUGCAUAACAGAGUGAUAAGACUAUGAGGCACAAAUACGCUACCAAGAACAGAGACGGAGCCAAAAUGACAGAGGCCACUGCCGAGACAGCCAACAGAACAGAGAGUUCUCCACAACUCACGGAAAUGGGUCGGCUCACUUUGAGAGGAACUCUGAUGGGUGUGAGGAGGAAGAGCAGUAAUGGGAUGACGACGACAGGAAUCAGGAACCAGAACUGAAGCUUUAAAAUUGGAUACAGAAGUAUCUUACUUGUACCAUCUUGGACGUUCCAAGAGUUGCCAUCCUGAGACUUGAGGAACAGAAAAAAGAUUAUAAGAUUCAGCAAUGGAAGAAAUAGAAACCUCAAAUCGAUUGAUAAGUCCAUGCCUGUGAAUCAGAUUUGGCAGAGAUGAUUGAGUUUAAUUAUUAUGAAUAAGAUUUGGCAAUGGCGGAGUUGAAUGAAUAUGCUGGAGUUGAAGCUCCAUGAUACUACGAGGAAAUACUUAUAGAGCUAAUUUGAGGGUAAGAAACAAAGCAAGUCAAAACGAUUUGGUGCCGCCCUCUGUAGAUCGUUAAGACAACGUGUCCUCUUUCCUCAGAGGAAUUUAUAAGUUUAGUAUCUUUCUCAUUUUACUAAGUUAAUAAUUUAAUUAUUUAUUCAUUUUACUAUUUCAGAAAUUAUAAAAUAAUAAAUUGGUGCGGGAAGUAUUAGGAUAUAACAUUUUACACCAUAUAAUACUUCAGGAAUUGUUGAAUAUCCUCAAGAAACCUCACAUUUUACUACAAUUCUGUUAAUUAAAAUUGACUUGUAAAAUACCAAUUUUUCAUGGUAAAAACUAUAAAUUAAUUAAAAUAUCUCGUUGUUUGUAUAUACCAAUAUAUGAAAUUAAUUUUGAGAAUCGGUUCUCUCUAGUUUUCAAUUAAUUACUGAGUUUAAAUUUUUCCACUUGCUUCUUGUUUAAUAAUGCAUGCAUGGAUAUGUAUAUUGAUAUAAUAAUGCACAUAACACGUAUAUCAUGAUCCGAUGGAUAUGAUUCAAAAUGAUUAAACUACCAAGCCCAUUGAAAUUGUUGAUGCGAAAAUAUGAGAUGAGUGGUGUGUAAUUGACAACUACUUGAGUUGGAUUGUAGCCUAUGCCUAUCAACAGUUGUUUUUUCAAUGGAAGUGUCUCUUUUACAAAAGUCAGAAGCAAUUGAACGAGGAAUAUAGGAGACAAUAAAUUAAUGUACGCAUCGACGGUCAUUUUUUAAUUUAUUGACUUGGCAAACUCGACAGUCCUUUUUCUUACAUUUAUAUAAGUUCAUCAGAUUAACUCGACUCAUAAGCUAGCUCAAAUACUAAGGAUUAUCUCGAACUUAUAUUAUUAACCUAAUAACUCGGCGAAUGUAUGAUAAUGUCUUCAAUAAUAAUCUCAUAAAACGGUGCCGUUAAGCGACGAUACAUGUAAUGGUAGGCAAUCUGUGUGGCUGAAUCCAGUACCGUCGCCUUAAGGUUGGCUCAAAUUAAAUGUUGAUGCUGCAAUGAAUCUGACGGCUGGGAUAGCCGGACUUAGGAGACAUCUCUCUUAUUAGGUUUCAGGCCUAUUCCCUUCUUGGGCUUCUCUCCGUCUUCAAACUAGGGUAAUGAUAUUGACACCCCUUCAUUAUCCUCAUUGCACCCUUUUCUUAGAAAUUACAAUUUUAGACAAUCAUACAAUUCUAAUUAAACUCAUUUAAUGUUUCUCUCUCUCUUCUAAGAAACCCACACAUUCUAUUACUUAUUUUAUCUGCAAAGUCCUUCAUUACAUCAACAUGUCAUUUUCUUUUCUUUUUAAUGUUUGUGACUCGUCAUCUAUCCGAUAUUUUAUCGAAAUAACCUUUGUUUCUUUUCUUUUAUUACAAUUUAUUAUUCUCAUGUUUUUUCAAAAAAUAAUUAUUCUCAUACUUAAAGAACACUUUUAAACUAAGGAAAAUUCAAAUAUAUUUAUUUUAGAUCAAAGUUAUCACCCAAAAAUAUUAUUUGUGUAGAGGUAGAGAAUAGGAUUGUAAGAGAAGAAAUACUCCAUUUUAUUUUAGGAGUGAGAAAACCCAAAAAAAAAAAAAACCAACAACAACAAACAAACAAACAAACGAAAUAGGGUUUAAGAAUAAAAGUGUAUUUUUAGUAUUAAAACUAGUAAAAUUGGAAAUGGUUUCAUCAGGAAUUUUAAAGGGCGGUAGAAGCUCCACUCUUAAAACUAGUUGUUUUUCAUUGGUUAUGGACCUUUUCGUCUUCUUCCGGGGCUGCUUGUAAUUUUCUUUCAUGCCGGGUUUAACCAAUUGUAAUAAAAUGAAAUGCCAUUCAAGAGAGUGAGAUUUCAAUACGAUCCCACAUCUACAAACAUGCAUCAAAAUUGAUUAACAUAUUAUUUAUUACAAGUAGACAAUGGAUUAGAUUAAGGUAUUUUUAAAUGAGUAGACACAUUCUAAAUUUUUUUAUCUCGAAAAAUUAUCUCAAAUGAUGUGACAUUUAUUAAUUAGUUAGUGAAACAAACAAUCAAUUCACUUAGAUCUUAUAAACAUUUACUAACCACUCAUAAAUGCUACAUCAUUAGAAUGAAAUUUUGUAUAAAAAAUUUGGGAUGCCCAUCAUUACUCUUUUUAAAUAUGACAAAAAAUACGAUUGUGUAUAAAAAUAUAUAUAAACCAGUGAUACACAAAAGAUAUACGAAUGAAUGAUUCAUUUUCCAACAAAAUGGAUGCAUAUAACAAAUGAGAACUAAUCAGGAGAUAAAACUCUCUAAUUAUCCUUCAUCUUCAGAUUUGUUCCAGUGGUACAUGAAUAGUAGUGUUGAGAAAGGAACAUACCAAAAAUAAACUUCAAUAAUGCGUAAUUAAGCUACAUUUUUUUCUCUAUCAGCGUGAUCAAAAUGAGAGUAUGUACAACAACAUAACUAUAGGAACUAAGUGGUAUUAUUAUUAUGCAAAUAUGCUUUCCAUGGCGAUAUAAAUAUACUCUCCAUGACAAUAUCACUAGUCGCAUGACCAAAAAUACCGUCAUUCACAAUAACCUCUCAGAGCCCGUUCAGAAGAAAUCAUUCAGUGUGGAGAUACGAGACAUGAAGCAAUCAAACGUCUCUAACAAUAUAAAUAUGCUUAGUCAUCAAUUUACCCCUUACUUACCCCCUUACUUACCAACUAACAUUUUUUCUUUUUUUAGUUUGGAGAUUAAUAAAGAAGAAAGAAUCUUGAAAACUCCUUCAUUUGCUACGAAACGCGAACUGUUUUCAACUAUACGAGAGAGACUUGAUCUUCUCUUUUAUCUCCAAAAUUACAACGAUUCAUUUCUUUAAUUUGCCUAGUAACAAAAAAAAAAGAGGUAGAACGUCAUCAUACUGCCCAGGAACCUUACUAGCUUUCUUUCCUUGCCCAAUAGGAAAAAUAUUAUUCUCCAUUAACAAACAGCUACAAAGCUUGGAACAUCCCGAAACAUUGUUCUCCAUUUCCCCAUCUUUUUAUUAUUCAUGGUAACAUUGCACUCUAAUUGAGAUAAAUGCAUGUAUCCGCAACUAUAUUAAUUGAGGAGACAAAUUAAAAUUUCCCAGGCAUGAUGAAUCAAUUAUCCACAGGUACAAUUAAAAUUUCAAAUGGACAUAUUUAUGUAAUUCCUAAAGCCUACCAAGCUUCUUAGUUAAUCUGCUCAAAAUAGAAUAUUCUAUAGCCACAUUUUGAUAAAUUGGGGUUGUUCAAGUCCUAUAUUCUUUGAAUGCUGAUUCUUGGAAUUGGUUGCUGAGUUUCCAAUUAUUAAUUGAACUAUAGUGAUUAACACACACACAUAUUUAUGAUUAAGGUACAGUCAGAUGUAAUCUUUCGUUUACUAAUAAACUACAACAUGUUUCUUUUGCUAGCUAGCUAGUUGGUUUUUAAACAUAUAUAUGAAUUAUCUAACAGUAUAUAACAAUACGCAUAAUCCAGGUUAAACUAGAUUAAAUUAAACCGAAGAAUUAUGAAGCUUAAAAGUCACAAAGUAGGCUUUUCUAUUACAGUACUGCAAAGAAUGCAAAUUCAAUUUACCUUCUCAGAUCUCGUAAAGCUAUAUCAUUAAUUGGACCUUAAUAAAUACCCGAAGAAGGAAGUAUAAGAACCCAUAGAUGUAUUAAGUACUUCUCCCCCGAAAGCUUAUAUUAAUGGAACAAAGCAACUUGAGACACUUCCCAAUAAGCCAAUAGAGGAACAAAUCCACAAGUCAACAAGAUUUUCCUUUUUCAGGAAUUAAUAGGUCUACCAUUACUCAACAUGCAUUAUAAAUCAUCCAAAAACUAGGAUAAGUAUGGAAAGAAAAAAGAGAGAGAGAGAGAGAGUGUGUGUGUGUGUGUGUGUGUGUGUGUGUGUGUGUGUGUGUGUGUGUGUGUGUGUGUGUGUGUGUGUGAGAGAGAGAGAGAGAGAGAGAGAGACACUACUAGAAAAAUGGGCUACCAUGACAGAGAAUAUCUGUCAUCCGACCCCUCCUAUGACAGAGUUUCCAUCUGUCAUUGUAGCCCGUCUCACAAAUCUGUGACAACAUUUUAUCUAUCACAUGUUCCCAUGACAGUGUAUAUUUAUCACACAUGUGUCACGAACCAAGCGACGUCAUUUCGAAAGACUUUCGAGAAUUAAUUGGAAAUUUUAGCGGGUUAUUUAAAUUAUUUUGAAUUUGAUGGGUUUCUUCAAAAGCUGUCAUAUAUCAAUGAUUCACAUUCUCUGUCAUGAGAUUUAAGGUUUAAAAAAGAAUAAAAUUAUUAUUUUUAAUUUUGAAAUUAUAAUAAUAUUAAUUAUUAUUAUUAUUUAAAUUCCAGAAUUUUGAAAUAAAAACCACAUUUAAAACUUGAAUUAAUUGAAAUAAAAAUUACAUUCAAAUUCAUAAAAACUAUCAAAUACCAAAUUGUGUGAUGCGCUAAAAAUUUCAAUCACUUGAAACUUCCAACAAAUAGCAUCACAAAAUAUAUGGUGAAUCAAAUCCGUAUACAAUAUCUAAUAAAUCCUUUACAAUAUCCAAUCACCAACACAUCACUAGAAAAACAAUUAAUCCAUAAAAAAAACACUCUUAGAAAAUUCCCGAAAGCCACCAACAUCACCUGAAACAUAGGUUACAAUAAAAUGAGUGCCAAAAAAAUACAUAUUAAUAUAUUGCCCACUUACAAUUAAUCAAAUUCAUAAUAAAAUUCAUCAGUGUCUAAUUGAUUUAAUCAGCUUUGAUACUAAAGGGAAAAUGAGAAUAAACAACCCAAGAGAAAAUAGAAAAUCACAUUCGACAAUUGACAUAAUGAAGCAGUAAGCUCACAAGCUGUAAAAGAGAAAAAGGGAAGAAAAUAAAAAUGAUGAUAAAGCAGUAUAACCUGAAUGCUUAUGUAGCAGUGACAGUUGACUAGGUCUUCCUAAGAGUUGCUGGAUUAUAAAAGAUUAAGUAUAAACAAAAUAUUUUGCAACAUAGUACAUAGUAAAGAGAAAUAUAAAACCAAGUGCAAUUAAUGCCAAAGACGAGAAGAGAACUUUUAGUCUAGCCUUCUACAGAUUUCAAUUCUAAAUUUCUAGAUGAAUUUUUUUAAAGAGUAGUUUUUCAAGACUACAAUUUAAUUAAUGCACAACAUCUAACCUUCCAUAUAUAAUUAAAUAAAAUCCAUCAAAAUCAAGCUAAUAAAAAGAAAGGAAAAAGUUCUAAAAAUACAAAAGAUAAAGAGAAAAUGUAGAAAAUUCUGGAAUCACCAGAAUCUCCUCAAUCUACCAACUUUAAUACCAUGAUUGUAGGCUUGCCAAUCUAAGCCCAAAGCGUAAAGCAUAAUCUAAAGUUUCCAGUGGGUGAAGAAAUGAUGAUCUCUCAAUCAAUUCAAAAGGCAAAGACAUUGUCGAGCGCAUAAAUUGUUAGCUUCUCUUCUACCACAUCAGAUCCUUGAUGCAAAAUUCAAUGGGCAAGUAAAGGGACACAUUGAGAUAAAUAUUGGUCAAUUUAAGAAUUGAAAAUGGUGGAAAGAAGUUUAAAUAUUAGGACAGUCCAGACCAGGGGUUAACAUGAUAAUGAAAAAUUAUAAAUCUCAUGAGUUAUAUAUAUACAAAAACCAAAAAAAGAUAGAUAGGCUGGAAUCUCUUGGUUCUUAGGAGCAAAAGUAUCAUUAUUUAUGGACCAGCUGUUUCAAUUUUUCCAAAAUUACAUCUUCAAUUUAGCUUUACAAGACCAUUCUUUGCUCUGCUAGUUUACCUAGUCACCAACUCUGAUUGUCCAUUUAGGAUUGAAUCUAUAUACUCUUAUAUAAUGUCUCUUCUGGAGGAAAUAAGCAGAAAAAAUAUUCUAACUAGAUGAGACCCUUUAGUGUGAUGAUGCUACGCAAUGGAUGCUUUAAAUGCAUCCAAUUUAAUUUAUGAUGCUAAAGGACCACCGAGUACUGAGGACUAGUAAGUGCAACAUGGACCACAAACCAAAACAUUUCCAAUUAACAUAGCACAAUAUGUGACAAAUCAAAUUGAAAAAAAAAAUCUUCCAAAAAGUUCAACAUGUCAAUUAAGAGAAAAAUAAUAGGAUGCACAUUAAUACAUCCAUAAACAGCCUAGUUUCUCUAUCAACAAGUUAGUCAUAAGCACGAGUCAAAAUAAAUCAUUUGACUGAAAUGGUAGAAGACCAAGCAAAUAAAUGCAAGUACCACCACACAAAGCAUUUGCAUUUCCAAAAGUGAAUUUCAUAAAUUUUUUGCAGAAGAUAUCUUUCUAAUAAAAAAAAUAAACACAAGUACCAGUCAAUUGUAAUGGGUUUGAGAACCACAUAUACCUCUAAAUUUGAUUAAAACCUUGAAGUCACAGAGGAAAUUUUUCAGUGUGUUAACAACAUUGAUAUUCAGCAAGGCUUUGUGUAUGAGAUUCAGCUUGUGCAGCUUGGGCAGUGACCUGUGCUAGGGCCUGCUAGUGCUUCAUUCUAAAGGCUCCCUAGGUUGCAUCCAAUGAAUCAGGGAAAUUAGUAAUAGAUGAACGCAAAAUUUGGAUACCCAAGUAACAUAAUGCCAGUGAGGCAUGACAUACAAAGCAAUAUAGACAAUACAAGUUAUCACUCACUCAUUCAAGCUCUGGUCAUCAAAUUAUAACCGGAAGCUAAUACUCUUUCAUUCUUGGUUGCUAAUAAAGUUGUGACUAGAUUGGAGAAUUUCUCACAUAUUUGGCUUAAAGCUACAUAAAGAUCUCUAUAUCUUAGAUAUGGGAGUUAAAAGUGUUCACUGUUUACAUGAAGACAAUUGGAUCUCCAACACUAGUAAUACCAAGAGCUUUUCUUUCAUUAAUUGUUUGCAUUAACCAUAUGCUUCAUCUAAAAAGGGAUGAAACUAAAAUCAGGAAAGAAAAAUGCCCGAUUACCAUUAAAACUUGACCUGGAUAGCCUACUAUCCAGUCCAUUUGGAUAUUUAGAAUACCAAAACAAGAUGAGAUUAUCUCAGCAAUGCACAAUCACAUUACAACAUUGCUCAAAAUGUUCUUCUUUCAGAUUAAUUAAGUCAAGAGUUUUUAUCCCAAUUACAGGGCACAUUUAUAAAUUCUAUAGUAAACGGUUCAGCAAGCUCUAAUUCAAAAUUCCAUAGUAAAUGCUUCAGCAAGCUCUAAUUCAAAAUUCCAACCGACUGCUAACAAAUCAAGGCAAUGAAGAAAAUUCUCCAUCCCUCCAAAAAAAAAAAUCAAAAUUCAAACCCAAGGAUUAUUAGAAUUUAAAUGCGAAACCCAAUAAAAAUGAAAGCUUUCCUAAACAAGCUAAAAUCUAAUGAAUAAAUGAAGAAACUUUAAGUCUGACAAAGUUAAAUUGAAUUACCUGUGUAGGCGAAAGCAAACUGAAAUUUAGCGAGUCAAGCAGAAUUGCGGGGCUCAACCUGGGCGGCACCUCAAAAAUCGACGGCGGUUGAGCAAUCACCAGACCAGCCGAUAUAUUCUGAUCAGAAAACCCCAAACCCUAGUGUACAAAUGAAGGAACCCAUCAGCUUACUUCUCACAAAAGAAGACAGUAACAGCAACUCGAACUCGAAGAAAAUCUAAAUUAAGAAGACAUUAGCUAUAGCUCGGAGUUGAAGAAGGUAGCAGGCUAACGGCAACAACCAUUAAGUUGCGAAACAAAAGGAAAUGGGAAUAGCCAGCAAGCUAGAGAUCGGGGAUGAGGACGAAGACGAAGACGAAGAGCAGCAAUUUGUUGUCGGCAAGCAGCACAGCAGAUGACCAAAUCUGUGUAGGCAGCGUGAUUGUGUGUUUGUGUGUGAUUAGGUUUGGAUUAAGAAAUUAGGGCUUGCCAUGUGAAGCCGAAGGGGAGUCCAACACUUAAAUUUUUUUUAUUGGUAUCAAGAUACGGUGUCGUUCCAUGCCCAAAUUGGCCCAUUAUAAAUUCAAUGUUUCAUUAAAUAUUAAUAUGCUAUCAUGUGUAUUUGAUAGAUAAAUAAACUAUCACAAAUCUAUCAUGUCUUUACGAUAUAUGAACAUUCUAUCACAUGUCUGUCAUAUUUUUAUGAUAAAUGAUUAAUUUUUUAAAAUCUAUCACAAAAAUUCUAUCAUAGUAGCCUAUUUUUCUAGUAGUGAGAGAGAGAGAGUUAAAAGGAAUCUGCAUUCAAAAAAGGAAAAAGGGAGAAAAUAUCGAUCAAACCUCUUCUUUAGGUGAUUUCAAACGGGGGCAUUGGUUUUUGAUCUAAAGAUGACUCCAUGGACAAUUAAUUUACUGAAACACCAACACACUAUUUGAAUAUUUAUUUAUUUAUUUAUUGGUUAUGUAAGAAUUAUUUUCAAUAAAAGAACUCGAAUUGGGGAAGAGAAAGCUAGGAGACGACACAGAUAAGAGAGUGACUUACAGUCCUUAUGUGCAAUAUGGUCCAAUUCUUCUCAAUGAAGAAAACGUACGACUCUUGUUAUCUUCAAGAAUUAUGGACCAACUUAAACGUGUUAACUGUCACAUGCAUGCGGAGCCCUUUUUUUUAUAUAACACUGUUAUGCCAAUGAUAUUAUAAAUUAAUAAUUUGCUAAAAUAUUAAUGUAAUUGUUAUGAUAAUUUAUUUAAUAAAAUAUGGUAAUAUUAUUAUUUUUUUCUUGAAACUUAAAUAUAGUUGAAUUCCUUAUUUAAUUUUCUUAUUGCAUCUAGAAGUUUUGGGAUUGAACUCUCAAAGUAAAAAUUUUGAAUUUAUUUUUUGAAUAAUUUAAUACAUAUUUAGUCGAUUAAUCCAUAUUUAAUGGAAUAGAUUGGUAAAUAUAAUAGAUUUCUAGUUAAUUAAAUACAUGUUUAUUGACUUGCAAAUACAUCAAUUAACUAUUACUUUUUUAAUUAAUAGAUUUUAUAUGUUUCAACACGUUUUACUGCGUUACUGACUGUCGCCGGGGUGCUGGAUAAAAAUGAAAAACAGAAAAAAUCUGAAGAAAAAUUUUAUUAAUAUACCGGUCUCCAUAUCAUAGCCAAUUGAAACAACCGCUGCUUUCUUGGAAAAUCAUAAACAUUGCAUUUUAAGAAAUAAGUGAAUAAUUAUUGAAAGAACUAAGAAGUACAUGAAAGCAGACAGUGUAUCAUCGUUUUGCUUAUAGAAAGGUGCUUUUCAACUCUUUUCUUCAAAUCAAGCCGAAAUAGUAACUGACAAAAACUGCGAAAUAGAAACCUUUCCUUUUUUUCUUUUUUCUUUUUUGUUGUUUGUAUUCCACGUUGUCGUUAUUAACUAUGAAAAGGAAAGAUAACAUGAAACUCACAAUUCAAUAUUUGGUUGCCCUAAUAGAUACUAGGAGCUUUGCAGUGGCACCAGCUAAACGGAAUAUUUAAUAUCAAAUGACGACCACAACUUCCAGAUUAUCUUCAGACUUUGAACUUGGCUGCAGGUAAUUUUGAAUCUUGUUAGUUUACUGCUAUUAAAAUGUUACACAAGAAAAUAAAAUAAGCAAACAGGUUGUGGUUACGUACCUUAUUUAUAAUUACACUCGAAUAAUGUUCACUUCAACUUGGGAAGGAGCUGGUUUGACAGUACAGGCGAUGAAGAUAGUUGGAAUGGAUGUUAUUACGGUGCUCGUGAGACGUAGAAACCAGUCGAAGCAGCGCUUUCACGGAGAGGCUAACACUGAAUAACAGAGUGAUAAGAUUAUGAGACACAAAUACGCCACCAAGAAAAGAGAUGGAGCCAAAAUGAGAGAGGCAAGUGUUGAUAUUGCCAAGAGAACGGAUAGUUUUCCACAGCGUACAGAAAGUUGGCGACGGAUCCUGAGGUGGAGUUUGACGGAUAUGAAGAGGUAGAUCAAUAGUAACAGCAGGACAAGAAUCUGAGAGAAGAAGGGGAGCUUCAAAAUGGGAUAUAAAAGAAUCUCACUGGUACCAUCCUGGACGGCCCAAGAAUUGCCAUCUUGAGAUUUCAGGAACGUAAAGAAGAUUAUAAGAUUUAGUAAUGGCAGAAAUAAAUACCUCAAAUCAAUAGAAAAUUUCAUGCUUAUGGUGAUGCUCAAGUUUUCUAGGGGAAGAUGUAUUUAAUUUACAAAAAUGCUAAAUGUUAAGAGAAGAAUGAGAGAAAGGUGAGAGAAGAAGGCAUGUGCUGAGAGAAGAGACAGAGAGAGAAGCAAAACGGCAGACUCACUUUUCUCUCAUUCUUCAAUUUAUAGUGAGCUUUUUAUGUCAUGAAAAAUUGGAAAUUGCGUGGCAAAUUCUUUUGACCAGUUGCACAUGCUGUCCUGUUGAUUGGCUGGUUUUUGGAAACUCGAUCAUCACCGUUUGUUCAAGCAAAGACCCAAAUGGUGAACUAACGGUGAUGAUCGAGUUCAAAAAGAGAAAAAGAAAAAGAAGUAAACAGUGAUGUCUUCAAACUUUUUUUCCCCCCUGAGAAAAAGGCUUUUAAUACAGUUCUUUUCUUUUUCCACAGAUUGGUAUUAUUUCUCAGUAUUUGCUUAAUUUACUGCAAUAAAUUUUCAAAAAGUGUUCAAUCAUAAUGAAUUUUCAACCAUUAUCCUAUACGAAUCAUUAAAUUAUAAAUACUGAUGUUAAUCAAAUAUCAAGUAGAAUUUGUUUUUAAUAGAUCAAUUAGUUAAAGUACAUUUGAUACACUAUUUAGAACUUAUUUUUAUCUAAAAAUUGAUAAUAGGACCAAAUUAAGUAAAUUGUAUUGUUCAUGUCACUGAUACAAUAAAUAAAUGAUGUAAUGCUAUUUGUUCAUGUAUUUUGAAAAAGUAACAUAUAAGUAGUAAUUAUAUUAAAUUAUAUUUCUCAUGUCACAUAUUCAAUAAUUUAUUAUAUUACCUCUAGAUUUUCUCAUUCUCAAUAUAUGCUUAAUUGUAAUAAUUUUUUAACAACUGUUCAAAGAUAGCUUUGCUCCGGCUGUGUGUGUGAUUGACAAAUAUAUUAUUAAAUUGUACAACAACGAAAAAGACGCGAGUUGAAAUUGUUUCAACGACGUCAAAUGUUGACCACAUCAUUUUUUGGGCUUUCUCUCAUGGGCUAUUUCUUUCUUCUUCUUUUUUGAAAAAUCUCAUGUGGUAUUCAUUAGUGCUUUUAUUUAUAUUUUUAGUUAGUCAAUCUACUUUUAUUGAACUGGGAAACAAAUUGUAGUGUAAGGAAUAAAUUUAUGUUUAAAAAAAUCAAAACAAAAAAAUGAUAAUAAGAAUAAAUUUAUAUUAAAAAAUCAAAAUUAAAAUAUGGAUGGAUAAGAUUUGGCAGAGAUGAUUGAGUUUAAUUAUUAUGAAUAAGAUUUGGCAAUGGCAGAGUUGAAUAAUUGUGGUGAAGUUUAAGCUCCAUGAUACCAUGACGAAAUAAAUAUUUACAGUACCCUUUACAAAAUUUUGGUUGCCUCUAUUUAAUUUAACCCAUGCUCAGUUAAUUUCACUCUUUUUUAUUUAACUCUUAUUAAAUCCUUCUUAUUUAAAUCAAAAGGAUUAAACCUCAACGAGUGUUUCCCCGUAGGCUGUAUCUCCUCAUAAGUGACUUAACAAGUGUUUUGUGAAUGAAAAACUAUGUAAUCAAAAAGAAAGGAGAAAAACUAACUACUAUACAAUACAAGUGACUUAAACAAAAACGUCAUACACAAAAUAGAAUCCCGAUCCAGGAUUACCUCUGAUGUCAAAGUUAAUUUAUGGCAAAGGUAUUCUGGAAUUUGUGCAUGAAGGUUGUGGUCACCUCUUAGCUUAUAUGUUAUGUGAAUUUUGUGUUCUAAUUACUAAUUUGUCUUGACUUUGUGUUCAAACGUCAUUUCACAGUUCACACGCUUGGGCAUGUCCAGUGCUAUCAUUUUUAAUUUCCCAAUGGCAGGGCCUUGAGUUUUGAUUUAUUUAUUUUCUCCCCUUUUUUUGUUUUCUUGACUUUCUUUCUCUCUGCCGGGACCGGGGAGCUUGAGCUUGAGUUUUGAGCUUUAAUUAGAUUUAUAGUCUAUAGUUUACGGCAUUCACAAAUGUGACACAUUGCAAAUGUUUGAAUUAACAUUUGAGAAUACAAUAUGUCACAUCUGUGAAAUGUCUGAAUUGACAUUGGAGAAUAUAACAAAAGCCGAGCCCCACAUUUGUGAAUUCAGACAUUUCAAUCGGGAUCGCCUUCUACCACGUGGCUGCCGAUGGAAGAAGUUUUAAUCAUUUUGUGAAAUCUUGGCCCUUGGGCGUCCUGCGUCCAUGUCCUGUCCAAGGGCCAAGAGUUAAUAAUCAGCUUAUAAUCAGCUGAUUCCUAUUAUAAAUUUGAAGUGCAAAAUAUGAAGUCUAAUGAAGGGCAAAAGAGACUUUAUUGAAAUGAAAGAAAGAGAUUUAAUCAUUUUGAGGUGGGAUUUGCAGGAAAGUACCUGGAAAUACCCUGAAGUGCAUAAUAUGAAGUCGUAUGAAGGGCAAGAGAGACUUUAUAUAAAAGAAAGAAAGAGAUUUAAUCAUUUUGUGAAAUCUUCUGGUCGUCAAGCAAAGAAAUAACCCGCGGAUUAGUACCCUUUAUUCGCACUAUCUUGGUAGACGUCAACAAGACGCAACCUAACACCGGCCAUUUUAUUUUACAACAUUAUAUGUAAUGUCGAAGUAAUUGUUACUAGUUGGGGCGCAUUUUUAUUGGAUAAAAUUGUGGCAUUUUCUUAUACAAUAAAACCCAAGGCGCACCACAUUUUGAAAUCAAAGUAAUUGUUAUUAUUAUUUUUUUAAUUUUUUUUUUUUACAAAAUUUUAUCCAACAUAUUAUUCUUGGUUAUUCAGAAUUACUUUUAAUAAGAUGUAGAACAGCAGAAGUUAGACCAAAUUAUCUUUAAUAAAUGUAUGAAACUAUGAUCUAAUUGUAAACCAUUUACUAAUAAAACCAAAAUAGGCAGGCGUUUUCAAAUUGAUAUUGUUUUAUUAGCAGGUUGCCCACACUUGUCUUCUUUGAUUCCAUUUCUUUACAUCCGUUGGAUUAAAGUUUUGAUAUAUAUUUUCCUUUUUCUUUCUUUCUUUUUCUCUGCUGAUAAAGUUGUAGGUUGAAGAUGCCAGGAGCUUUGAGUUUGAAGAGGAUUUAUAUAGCUUUGAGGUUGUGUAUGCAAUUAAAAUAAAGAUAGAUAGACAACGUUGUCUAUCUAUCUAUCUUUUUAUUUCUUAAUUGUCUAUCUAUUCAUCUUUUCAUUAAGGAAAUGCUUACCGGUAAAUUUCUUAUGUAAAUUAAAUAGACGAUUGGUUACGGAGAAAAAGAGGAUGGAAUCAUAUUAAAACGAGUGGUUAUGGAGAAAAAAGAGAAUGGAUGGAAUCACAUUCAUAUGCAUGAGAAGCGCAUAUAGCUAUUCCAAUCAACAUCACAUUAAUUUCCUUUGACUCUACGAAAGCCUUCCCAAUUAAAUAGAAAUCACUCAAAACUCAAUUAAACAGAAAUUACUUUGAUUUUUCAAACAAUUAUUUAGUCUCCUGUCCAAUUGAAAAGUCAAGAACACUAUGUAAGCUUAAUUAUAUGGAAACAAUCAUUCCACCAUAAUCAUAAUCCUUAAGCGCUCGUAGGGAAAAAAAACAAAUAUAUAUAUAUAUAUAUAUAUAUAUAUAUAUAUAUAUAUAUAUAUAUAUAUAUAUAUAUAUAUAUAUAUAUAUAUAUAUAUAUAUAUAUAUAUAUCUUUGAAACUAUGAAUAUAUUGUUUCUUUUUAUCAUUACAAACAUGAUUUUAAAGACUUCAAAUUUUUUCAUAAUCUCGGCAAAUGUAAUUUGGUGCAGACUUUUAUUAUUUAUAAUGUAUGAUUAAGAUAUAAUUAAUUUGUAUACUGUUAUCCACUGAUUUGUUAAAGCAAAUUUAUAUAAGAGAGAUUUUAAUAUUUCUUUGGAGAUUUAUUAAUUGAUGAUUGAUAAAAAUAAAAAUCAUAAAAUAAAAAUCUAAAUCAUGCAUGAUUAAUAACAUAUAAUAUCAAAAAAUUGUUAAAUGGCAAGUAAAAUCUAUAAACAAAGGUUGUAGAUUUUGUUUUUGUUGUUUUAUUUAAAAUCUAAAUGUUUCUUAAGUUUGAAUACCAAUAUUUGAAAAAUAAGUUUGUUUUUCUUUUUCUAACAUUUGAAUAUAAGUGACAUCUUAUUUAUUUUUAUAAAUAAAAAAAAAUUCUCAACAUUAUUUGACAAUUAUAUCCUUAUAAAUAAAAAAAAUGAUUAGGUUUUAUAAUUUAGAAAAUGAGUAUAUUUAAUAUGUAUAUUUUUAAAAUAUAUUAUUUACUUCUCAUUCGGAUAAAAAUUAUAAAAUUUUUUUUAUAAAAAUUAUAAUUUUUUUUUUAUUCAAAUGUAAAUGUCUAAAAAGAAUGAGGGCAAAGCAAAUAACCCAUUCUCAUUACAAUCGGGACACCUCAGGGCAGCAACCUUCCCAUGCAGUUGCAUAUUGACGAUCAAUUUACAGCUGCCAUUGCAGCGAAAACAGGGGAAAAACCUGACAUCAGCACAGCCUUGACACACACAUUUGAGCUUCCUGAUGGAUAUGCCUUCAAUCAAUUCAUCAUACCAACCCUAUUCAACAUCAAAUUAUCAGGAAAUAAAAAUGAAACUAAUAUGAUUUUUUUUCUUUUUUGAUAAAAAGGUCUCCCUUUUAAACAUUCAACUAGUGAAUAAUAUAUAAAAGGUGGGCUGGAUUGUUAUUCACCCAAAAUACAAUUUCAGAUUGCUCCAAGGCUACAUUCCUGGCUUUUGGAGUACAUCGAAUUGAUUAUGUUGUUGCCUUUUAAUACAAGAUUUCAAAUCAGAUAUAACCCAAAAAAUUUCAGCUCUUGUGCUUUUCUUGUUCAGAACCAGGUCUACAACCUCCCGUGAAUCAGUUUCUAUGAUUAGUGGCCAACAUCUCACCUUUUCUGCAAUUUUAACACCAAGUCUUGCAGCUUCUGCUUCUGCAUAACCUACCUCCAACUGAAAAGAAGAAGGUUUCGUAGCUGCUGCUAUCACUUUGCCUCUAGAAUCUCUAAUCACAGCACCCUAAUUACCAACUCUUUUCUGCUCAACCGCAACUAAUGCAUCCACAUUUACCUUAAAACAACCUGCUGGUGGGGGUCUCCACUUGUUAUCUACAUUAGACUUUUCCCUCAACGAUGUCUGCAAUUGUGACAGCUGGAUCUUUUUGUAUGAAUGCACAACUGCAUCUGCUUUAGCUGCUGAUAAUUGGGAAUCUAUGUAUGUAUGUAUGUAUGAUAUUGCUGGUGCCACUGUAAGGUCCUAGUACCUAUUAGAGUAACAAAGUGUAGAAUUAUAAAACAUAUGUCAUCUUUUCAUCUUUCCAUUUUGUAAUUAAAUAAGUCAUCUCUCCAUUUUGUACCUAUUAGUCUGUUGUUACCCGACCAAGUUUUAGUUGCUAUCUUCGGCUUUUUCUUAAAGUACUUUUAGCGGUAGCGGACGCAGCUAGAUUCUCUUUUUUUUUGGGCAUUACUGUCCACUUGAUCAACGGUAUAUUUGACAAAAUUCCGUGUCUAAAUUUUUAUGCUAAAGAAAAAUUAACCGUUUAACUACCCUGAGCAUUAAAUGUGUAACGACUUUUAUAGAUAUAUAUUAUUGCUUGCAACUUUUGCAUGGCUGCUGGUUAAAAAUUAUUAUAUAGCAGAUUUCUAAUUAAAUUAGAAAAAUACUAAAGCAAGCACAGCAGCUUGAAUCGAUCACUGCUAGGCUUCGAGUCUUUGAAACUGACCCCCGAAACUGCUAGCUGCUUGAACAUUCAUAGUGACGACAACAAUAUACAUACAUACAUACAUACAUACAUGUAAAUUAAUUGGUUUAUUAAAAAUAAUUAGCGAAUGAAACCAUGAUAGUGAAACGUCGAUAAAAGUUGAAGCAGAGCUUAAACAGAGAAGCUAACAUGGCAUAACAGAGUGUUAAGAUUUUGAACCACGAGUAGGCCACCAAGAAAAGUGAUGGAGCCAAAAUGAGAAUCAAAUGUUGAUAUUAUACAAAAGAAUCUGAUUAGUACCAUAACUUCCCAGGAUUACUAAUCGAAAACUAAUACACAAAUAUUUUGUCUGAAAAAGCCAAUUAAAGAGCAAUAUAAAAAAAGCCAAUAAUUAAUGCAAAUUAAAUUCUAGAAAAAUUGUUCAGCCAAAGACUGCAAAAUCUUCAUGCAUGUGACUAAUUGACUAUGCCAUUGUGCUGCAUUUGAGGAAGGAACCAAAGAAACACAUAACCGUUAAAUUCUACAUGAAAUUAUGUUGAAAUCUUACACGCAUAAAAAUUCAUUGGUCAUCUUCAACUACUAGAUCUUCAUUAUUAACUGGCACAUCUGUUUUCUCGAUAAUUUUGUCUUGCACAUCACGAAUGGUAUAUAUCCACCGGUGUCACCUCAGGAAAUUUCUCAGUUACUGGAGAUCAAUUUAUACAUCCACAAGCACUGAUUUACACAACAAUUAUCUCCCAAAACCUAAUGUAAAUUUCAAAAAGACUAAUUUGAUUGCCUAAACCAUAACAAAUUUCUCAACAAUCUGCUCCAAAUAGGAUCCAAAUGUUUCGAUAUGCGUGCACCGAAAAACGGUCUUAGAAAGAGUGAUUUUGAUUUUUCAUUCAACAAGAGUGAGAGUGAUACAAACAGAUUGUUUUUACUGAAACAUAGAACGAAAUGAGAAGGAAAUAGAAUAUAGAAGAGUGAAAAUAGAUCAAUUUGAGGGAGUUUAUGCCGUCAAAAUAAAUAUGCAGUGUUCUAGAAACCAAUAAACUUCCAAAUUCAACUUAAUUUGCACUAAAAUUAUAAUCAUUCCAUGCUGUAUCUUAAUCCAACUAUAUUUAAAAGUAAGGGACUUCAUAACUGAUAACUCCCUCAUCUCAAAUUUCCUAUAGACAAGUGGAACUUUUACUGUCUUUUGGCAUCUCAAAUUAAGAUUAGCUCUAUAUAAACAUGAGAAGUGUUUACAUUGGCUGAGGAAGCUCCUUCUUGUUUCCACAAAGGUAAAUAUAUUUGGAAUUCUUGACCUUCUGGAGGACUCUAUACCUUCAGGCUUAUGAGGGGAAGAUGCCAGCAGUCUUCAGCUAACCCAAUUGAACACACCCUCCUCUCCUCUAUUGACAAAAAAGAUUGCACUGCGGGGAUCUCGUAAUCAGGCUUUGGUGUGGGGCUGAAUCCAAUUAAGGCUUUAGAUUUAUAGAAACCCAUGGUCUAAUUCAACCCAAGAACUAGUUUACAAAUAGAAAAUUUCUCAAAUUCAUACAGUUAGCCUAGUUAUUAUUCUCUUCCAACGUGAGAUAAUAUCCUCAACAAGAUUCCCAUCUUACGGCGCUGUUCAGAUAUGGUACAUAUAAUGGUAGGCAAUCUGUGUGUGGGGCUGAAUCCAAUUUAGUGUAAAUCAUUUUUUGGCCACUCACCACAACACCAUCAAGGCAAAUUUUGAGGUAACUUGGGUCCUGCAUGUCUAUGGUGCAAGUCAUUUCUCUUAACAAAUUGUCUACCUAUACUAUUUACUUUGAAGUAAAUUGAAGUUUGAUUCAACAUAGAGAGAUUUGAGUACCAUCGUAUAUCUACUGCAAACACGCAUCAAAAUUGAUUAACAGAUUAUUUAUUACAAGUAGACAACGGAUGAAAUUAUUUUAUUUUCAAAUUACGAGAGGAAAAAAGACUAUUUAUGAAUGCAAUGUAUAUUCAUUCUUCUCUUAAUCCACAGGUAAUUAAAGUUUCAAAUAGAUGUGCACAUGUACUGGCCUAAAGUCUACCAAGCUUCUAAGUUAGUCUACUCAAAACAAACUUUUCAACAUUCACAUUUUGAUAAAUUGGUUACUGAGUUUCCAAUUAGUAAUUGACCUGUGGUCAUUAAUACACGCACCCGCUUAUAUGCUUGUGGUACAGUCACACCGAAUCUGUUAUAGACUAAUUAAAUACAAUAUGUUUCUUUUACUAGCUAAAUGAUUGGAUCUUCAUUAAUGACCGAAGAAGAAAUUAUAACAACCCAUGCAAGUAUUAGCACUUCUCCUAAAGCUAAUAUUAAUGAAACAAAACAACUUCAGGUAUUUCCCAAUAAGCCACUAGAUCAGGAUCACGUCCACAAUUCAAUAUUCCACAUGAUUUUUCCAUUUCAUGAAUUAGUAGGUCUGCAAUUACUAGAUUAAAAGGUAAUAAAAUUAAUUACUUAACAUGCAUUCUAAAUCAUCCUUAAAUUUGAUAUGUUGGGUUCCAGCUGUAGGCAAAACUUUGGAUAAGUACAGAAAAAUAAAAUAAAAAAGAGUAAAAACGAAAAAGGAAGAAAAUAUCGAUCAAACCUCUUGUUGAGGAGAAAUCAAACGGAGGGGCGGCGCUGGUUUUUUUAUCUAACCCUUGAAGCCCCGACGCGCUAUUUUUUUUUUUUGGGUUACGUAUGAAUUAUUUUCCACAAAGAACUUAAACUCGGGAAGAGAAAGACCAGGAGACAUACAUAGCCAAAGGCAUCGACUCAAAGUCCUGGUGCCGCAACGUGAUCCAAUCCUUGUCCCUGAUGAUAUAACGUAGUCACACUUGUCAUCUCAAGAAUCAUUGGACAAGGCAUACUAACCGUCAUAUACAUGUGGGGUCCAUUUUGAAAACAUUAGGUGGAGUAUGUUAUUUUUUUUUUAUUUUAAAUUUAUAAAUGUAAAAUCUUAAUUUAUAAAGCUGAAUGGGUAUUACAAAUGGGGAUCUGGAUACCUUGCCACAGUUGUAAGGGUGUGUUUGAAAUUAAGGUUGGGCAGCUGUAUUUUAAAAAUUAUAAUACUAAAGUGUUUGGUAAACACUAACUCAUGUAGUUUGGAAAAUACAUUAAAAUAUAAUAAUUUUGUCAAAAUUAUUAUUUUAAAUUUAUAUUUAUUACAUAUUAUUAACUUUUAUUUCAUAAUUACAGUUUUUUUCCUACAGCAGUUGUAAUUUAAAAGGUACAUCGCCUCAAUUCUAAACACAUCCUAAGGUGCCACUAAUUUUUUCUUUUGUGACAUUAAAUUUCAUUUGACCACUUAUAUUAUUUUUUAUUUAUAAGUUUUUGUUCUUUGGCUGGUGACCUUUUAAAUUGUAGUUUUAUUUAUUUAAGAUUAUUUAAUUUUUUAAAAGAAUAAUAUAAUAAUAAGCAAAUGACUAAAUAAUAUUUAUUUUUUUAAGACUCACUACUAAUUAAACAAUAUAAAUUUGAAACAAUCUGAGCUUAUGUGUUUACGAUUUUAACUCUUCAUUUUUUUUGAGUUUUUGAUAAAUAUUAGAGAGUAUAAUGUUAAUAAUCAAUUAGACAAAUCUUUACGGUUGAGACUAUUUUUUUCAUUAAAUCUGACGAUGAAUACCUGAAAUAAUUUAUAAAAAAAAAUUGGUGGUACCUUAUAACUAUUGUAAGGUAGCUAGAUCUAGGUAUAUGAAUAGAAAACAAUCAAUCUAGCUACUAAGAAAAAAGGGUGGGCAAACUCAAUCUAACCUAAUGGACCCAACCCAACCCAAUCGAACCCAACUUAAUUUUUACAGGUUGAGUGAGUUAUUAUGAGUUAAUUGGGUCAAUUUUUUUUAACCCAAUUAACAAUUGGGUCGGGUUCGGUUAAUUAGUGGGUUGUGUUAGUUAUGAUGAUCACAUUUAACCCAACCCAACCCAACCCAUAUAAAUAAUAAUAAUAAUAAUAAUUCUCAAUUUACAAAAUCCUAAAAAUCUAAAUGACUAAUCUAUUUUUAUCCUCUUUUUAUUCUUUUAUAAAAAAGACUAUUUUUUUCUUGAAUUUACUAUCGACUCUACUAUCAAAACUAAAAUCACUCUCUUAAAUCUUAAUUCUCAGUCAACUAAGGUAUUUCUCUGAUUUAUUCAUUCUAUAUUCUUUACUUUUUUCAAACAGUAGACCAUGAAUAGAAUUUUCAUGCGAUAAUAUAUUUAUAUUUGAUUUCAAUAAGUUUUAUUAAAAGUUUCAUAUCCUUUUCUUUAUUUAAUUUUUAAUUUUGAUUCAAUUUUCAAAUCUUCAACCCAACCCAACCCAGCUCGAUGAUUUAAGGGUUGGGUUGGUUGAGUUGAAUAUGUUUUAUUUAAUGAGUAGAGCUAUUGGCACCCCCUACAUUAUUCUUACAAAACUCCACUUCAAAUAAAAUUACAAUUAAGGACAAUUGAAAUUUAAACACAUAUAUAUUUUUUUUCUAGCAAAUUACUUAAUUCAUAAUCAAUCUUUUCAAAAAAAAAUUCUUUAUGUUACUUCCUAUUUAACUAAAAUAAAUUGUACAAAUUUAGAAUAAUAUAUUGUUUUCUUUUGAUUUCUUAUUGAUUAAAUAUUUUUAUACUUAAAAUUGCUUUGCAAUUAUAAUUUCAAAUAUGUGUUAUUUCAGUUAAUGAUUAAUACUAAAAAACUUAUCACCUAUAUAACUUUUUAAUUUGUGUGUAGAUUAAUAGUAAAAUUAAAAAUAAUUAAAAAUAGCACAGUAAUACUUUAAGUUUUAAUAAUCGAACAAAUGAAAUGAAAAUUGAGAACUUAAAAAAGUGUAUCUAAAAAAAAAGACAUUUUCGAAAAUAAAAUGAAUAUAACUAAAAAAGGAGUUUAUGAGGAGAUAAGAGGGGUGCCAAUAGUCCAACUCUUAGUUAAUUGGGUUGGAUUAUUUUUAUUUCAACUCAAUCAAUAAUGGGUUGGGUUGGGUUUUCAUAAACCAUAUCCAACUCAACCCAUGCCCACCCCUAGUACUAAGAAGUAAAGUGGGUCUACAUUUGGCUAUUAAUAAUUUGUUCAUUACUCUUGCCAUAAGCCAAUUCUCAAUAUUUAUAUAAAAUUUUAAUGGCUAUUAGUGAGUGUACGAUCCUGGAGUCCGAAUAUAUAAAAAUGAAAAGGCCAUGGCUAAUUUAAAUCAACUCCAACAUAGAGCACAAAUCACAACCACACACGCAAAGUGAUAAAUAUUUAAAAAAAUACAUUAUAACUUUAAUCAUGUGACUAUGAAAACAUGUUAUACCUUAAAACGGUUUCAACAUAACGAAACCCUAUAAAUUUAAUGCAAAUUUUUAUUUAAUAUACUGUUCUCAAAAUCAUAACUAAUUAAACCAUCGGUUCUUUUUUGGAAAAUCAUAAAUUACUACAAUGAAAAAGACAAAAAUAAACGAAUCUGGAAAUAAGUACAAGAAGCGCUAUAUAUCUAUCAUUGGUUUGCUCCCAGAAUCUGGGGAGUGCUUUUCAAGUCUUUUCUUCAAUAAAGCCGACAAUAGUUAGCAGCUAAACUAAAAGGACAUAGAUACCUGCCAUUUCAUGAUAUCCACGGACAUUAACCAUGCAGAACCAAACACUUUCCAAACGAAAAAGGCUUGGAUUCCACUUUAUCAAUAGCAAUUACAAUUAUUACAUGAAAAAUGCUUGGUGCAGAGAGAUGUGAAAAAAAAAUGAGAGAAAUAAAGAAGAAAAGGGAAGAGAGAGAGUGGGAGAUAGAGAGAAAGACAAACUUCUCUCAUUUUUCUCUCAUCUUUCCUUACACUAAUCACAACUCUUAAGAUAAAAUAAGUUUCUUUAAAACAUCACAAUUAGAAGCAUCUAUCCUUUGUUAUUUUAGAAGGGACAUAUACGUUGUCAUAUGCAUAAAUAAAACAACUCAUUUUUACGUUUUUUUUUUAAACAGAGGCACUUAAGCAUAUAUAUAUGCCCUAAGCAGUUGCAUGGAAUAUCAAGUCCCAAGUAAAAUCACACCAGAUCCUCCGUCGGACUUGGCUGCAGGUCUUGGAUGAGCCGAUCACCUUCAACUCCAACGUCAACUUCAACUUCAACUUGAUCAUCAGGAGGAGUUGCCACGGCAGUGCGUCGCUUGCAGCAGCGCUUAAACAGAGAAAUUAACAUUACGUGAAAAAGUGAUAGGAUUAUGAGACACAAAUAAACCACCAAGAAAAGGAAAGGAGCCAAAAUGAGAGAGGCGAUUGUGGAUAUUGCCAGCAGACAAGGGAGAUGGUCUCCACAACUCACGGACAGAGGGCUGCUUACACUGAGAGGAACUCUGAUGGCUGUGAGGAGAAAGAGCAGUAAUAUCAGGACGGCAAGACCUAGGAAGGGGAAUUGGAGCUUUAAAAUUGGGUACAAAAGUAUGUGGUUGGCUCCAUCCUGGAGGGACCAAGACUGACCAUCUUGAGAUUUCAGGAAGAAAAAGAAAACUACAAGAUUCAUUAAUGGUGGAAACAAAAAUCUCACAUCGACAGGACAAUUCAUUUCUGGAAGUUUAAUGUCGAAAGAAAAUUUCAUACUUUUGCAAUGGAAGAAGAUUUGAGUGCUCAGCUAACCGUUAGAAAGGGCUGCUAGUUGAGCUCUUGGGGGAUUUAUGGGAUGGCAACAUUCCUCACGGCCUCAUUUUCAUAAAACAAAGGGGAUAGUAAAAACAAGGAAAAGACAAAAGAGAUGAUCAAAUCUCUGAGACACACUCACACACACAAUUGCCUUUCAACCAAGUCAACUAAUUUCAAAUUGUCCCACAAGACCAAAACCCUUCUGAAACUGAAAUUCCAGAUCUACCCCUUUGAUUAAACUUUAGAAUUUACUUUUAAAAGACGCUUAGCAAAACGCAUGAUCAACUUUUUUAAAAAAAAGAAAAAGUUCAAUUGGUCAUGAACUUAUACAUAAGAGUGUUGAUACAAGUCUUUUUUUAAAAAAAAAGCACCAAAAAAAUUAAAAAAAGAAAAGUGGGAGUGCUGAUACAACACAAGGGAAUACAAAACCAUUAGAUGAUGGGGAAAAAAAAAUGUUUGUCCUCACGAGAUAGAGGGUAAUUCUGGCAUUUUGAAAAUUAACGAAGUUGCGCAGAAGUUUCUUGUAUCUCGGGGAUCGUUGCUCUCUUGCUUAAGCUUUGAAAAACAAAGAAGCAUUGUAAUUAGUAGUUUGUUAAUUUUUUUAUAUUGAGGCAAAGUUUUCCUUUUUGUUUGAAAAAAUUUCCAAUAGCCCCCACCAUCGUCCUUGUAAUUUUCUUGCAUGUUAUAAGCGCCAAAUUAAUGUUAUUAUUUUUGUGGAAAUAAAAUUAAUAUUCCAUUCAUUCGAUGGAAGCUUUGGCACUGGCGAGCAGUAAUAAAACAUAAUCUCGGAUUCUUAAUAAUUUUUUUUCUUUCAAUUUUUAAUUUCUUCUUCACUCUAAAAGAUUAAAUUUUCAAAAAAAAAUAUUAAAUUUUAAAAAUUUCAAAGAAACAUUACUUUAAGUGAGCUUUAAAAUUUUAAACUAUAUGAGAAAGGAAUUAGUUGUUGGUUAAGGCCUUUGCAAUGAGAUAUCUCAUUAGUUUAGAUCCAGCAUUGACGAGAGUUGUGUUGAUCAUUUUAAAGAUCUUUUAUUAUGUAUUUAUUUAUUAUAUUAGAUGGGUAUGAGUUAAUUACAAUAUAUGUCAUGAAAAUCAUUUUUACCCAUAAAGGGUCUUCCGCCAUAGUUCUUUCUUUCUUUGGCGUUAUAAACAUUCAGAAAUCCAUUUGUGAUAUUCAUGGAUAAAGAAAAUGCAUAUUAUUUGAUCCAAUUAAUUAAAAGAGCAUACUUUUCAUAUUCGUGCACUAAGGGGGAACGUUUGAUCUAAUUUGUUGAUCUAUAAAAAUUCACGGUCUAACUAAACCCAAAAACUAGCCUAAAAAUUAAAAAUUCUUCAAAUUACUAUUCUCUCUCAAUGUGAGAUAAUAUCCUCAACAAGAUUCCCUCUUAGGGUGUCGUUCGGAGAUGAUACACGUAGUGGUAGGCAAUUGUGGGGCUGAAUCCAAUUUUGUUACCGCCACUUUCAGGCUGGUUCAGAUUGGAUAUAUUGAUGCAGCAAUGAAUCCGACGGUUGGGAUAGCAGAGCUGAGGAGACAGCCAGAUGCUGGACCUAUUACCUUGCUGGGCUUCUCUCCCAUUUUAAACUAGUAGCUUCAUAGACAUAUUUGUAAUGGAAAUGUUGGUCUUCUUAAUUAAGCCAGACCUUGCUCCUAGUUUUUCUAGUCCAAGUUAUAGCAAGAAAUGACAGGAGUCGCUCUAACCCAUCCCAAUCCUACACAAGAGAAAAUAAAAGAUAAAUUAAUAAUAAAGGAGCGAUGAUAUGCUUACUUAGUUGAGAUAUUUAUUUUGUAUUCUAACUAAUGUGUCACCAAUAGAAAUGUAUUGUUUAGAUUAAAAAUAAUAAAAUUUAAUAAUUAUCUGUCACUUGAAUCAAUCAGACAGUGACAUAUCAUUUCCCAUAUCAGUUGAAAUAUAAAUUAAGUAUUUCAAUUAAAUAAGUGUAGUAUUGUUGAUAACAAAGUUGUCUCAAAUAUUGAAGGGUUCAUCGGUGGGGUGCAAAUCAUUUUUCAUAAUCAAUUGUCUACUUUACUAAUUACUUCAAAACAAGUUGAAAUUUUAUUCAUCAUAGAGAGAUUUGAGUACGAUCGUACAUGUACUAUAAACACACAUCAAAAUUGAUUAAUUGAUUAUGUAUUACAAGCAGAUUAUUGUAUUUUUAAAUUAUGAGAGGAAAAAAGAAAACCUAUGCACAAAAGAUAUAUAAAUGAAUGAUACAUCUUCCAAUAAAGAGAUGCAUGUAACGAAUUAGAACUACUUAUGAGACACAAAAUCUUUUUAAUUAUCCUUCACGGUUAGAUUUAUUCCACAUCUUCCUUUUUUUUCAUUGUACUUCUAUUUUUAUUUAUUUAAUGUAGAUUUUAAUUCUCCAAUGGUGGGGACAGAUACUCCAUAAGUGACUUGUUGAUACUUUUUUUCGUACAUGAGUCAAUCAAGCGCAAAAGAUAGAGAUGUACCUGCAUACACAAUAAUAAACAAAUAAAACAGUGAGAUAGGACUAGAAAAAUUGGCUUUCGAGGAUCCCACUUUGAUACUUAAGUCAAUGAGGUGUCUUUUUAAUUAAAAUCCGAGAGGUUUUUUUUAAUUUUCUCAAGUUCUCAUACCGUUUUUUAAUUCACUUCCUCCUUUGAGAUCCUAACCCCCUCAAGAUGGUAAAAGUAACUAAAUCCAUAUCAACACACGAGUCAACAAGCUUUUGGUAAAAAUAUAGACAAGACGCCCAAAAGCUGAGGUGUCAAAAAGAGAUAGGAAAAAGGUCUCGUCUUUCAAUUUUUCUCCUUGUAACUUCCUGUCUCUUUUUUUUUUAUUUGCCUCGAAAGGAAAAAACUGGUCAUGGUUAAAUGGUGAAUACACGAACGUUUUUUGAGGGACUCAGCUUGAUCUGAAUUCAUUCUUCUGUAAUUUUUACUUUUUAUUUGCAUAAUAGGAUCGCCUGAGUUCACGCUGGUUAAAUGUAGCAGCGUGGCAACAAAAUUUGGCACGGAUGCAUCCUGCUUUUAUGAAUAAAUGAUACUAUACUAAAAUUAAUGAACAAAAUAUUAAAAAUUUUUAUUUAAUAAUUUUUAAACAACAUUAAAAGAAAAGCAAAAAAAAAAAAAUUACUCUUUUUGUGGUAGUCGACUGUUGACGUGAAGGACCGAAAAUCUUGAUGUUUGCCGCCAGAAGAUGAUGCGAAAGUCCGUUAAUCUGACGUGACGUCAUCGUUUUUGUGAUGCCACGUAAUCACCCAUGUUGUUUUGUGCGGACCUCAGAGCUGAGCUUGUCUUUCAUCUCCUCAAUAAGGCAAACGUGAUCAACUGUCACGUGCAUGCGGGGUCCAUUAGAAGAAGAAGAAGAGCGUGGUUCUUCUUCCAGUUCUGAUUUUUGAUUAUGUACGACAAAUAUAAUUAUAUGGAACGAUGAAUUUUUUUCAGUUAUGAUAUUCUCACUUUAAUAAAAUAAAAAUAUUAUAAAAAAUAAAAACUUUAAUAUAUUAAAAAUUAUAUUUUUUAAUUUAUUAAAAUUUGUUUGAUUUUUUAAGUGACAAUAUUUUUAUUAAAAAAUAAUGAAUAAAACUAAUAUUUUGAUAUGACAAAUAUAAUAAUAAAUGCGAACCAUAUUAUAGGGAAAAAUUAUGUUAUAACAGUGGUACAAUAUUACUGUUACAACUAGCCAUUAAAUUUAUAAUUAUGUAGUUAUAUUAGUAAAAUUUAAUAAGCUAAAAACAACAGUGAUACUGUAUCACUGUUGCAAGGCACCAUAUUAUAUGUACAGGCUCUCCAAUGACAGCGUCGAUAAUGGCAUGACUGAGAACACCGGCCCACGUAAACUGACAAUCAAUAGUUAGUUCUUCAAUUGUCAAAAGUAAUUCACAUAUAGGGACCUGUCUAUGGUACAGAUUCUGUAACAAACAUCUCCCGUCAUCCCACCAUCCGAUUUUCUAUUGUUUAGUUUCUCACUCCACAUCCAACGGCUGAUGCUGCAGUCUGUAGCUUACAGAAGCUGUAAGCUAGUCGAGUCCCACAAAUAGGUUAUUGUAACGCGUGUCGUUCUAAUAUCCCUCGUCCCACUAGAGCUCUAUCGUUCAUCAAUUUCGAAAAAGUAUGUUGAUGCUCAAUUAGCGGAGACUUCAAAUGAUCGAAUUUUGAAAAUUUAAUAUUCACAAUCCACAGUAGGGACAUCAUCUUGCGAACAGGAGUCAAAAAUGGACGGCAAAAAUGAACAUUGAUUACAUGUCCCCCGGACUGACUUACAAGAUUUCGAGUACAUUAUGAAGAUUAAAAGAUUUGAUAUUGGGGAAAUAAAAAUCUCAAAUCAAAAAGGUUCAUAAUGAAUGUUGUUAAGUCAUCCUGGUUAAGGUCUUCUCGGGAUUGGGAAGCCCCAUACGACUUUUAUAUAAAGCCCAUUGGAGCCGCCUGCUAAACAAAGUAAUGCCCGUAUUCAAGCAAAAACACACACACACAAAAAAAAAAAAAAAAGGGGGGGUUAAGAGUACGAAAGCACCAUUAUGAUUUAUGCCUUUCCCCGCCCCUCACACCAUUCAUGUAGCAUUUGGAUCAUUUCACAUUUGAGCAUUGUUUAUGAUUAAUGGCUAAGAUUUGUCCCUCCUAUGUCUUUAAUUUGUUGACCAUUUUACCAAUAAGGUGCCCCACGUGAUGAGAGGAGAUAAAAGAGAUGAAUUGUAAAUUAAUUAAAGCUUGCGAAAUAAUUAAAACAAGUCUAAAGCAUAAAAUCAUGCACAAUCAAUUCUAACAUCGAGAAUAGAAAAUGCAACUUUGAUUCAACCCUUGUUUUUAAUUAUAUAAAUUAUGUACUGUCAAAAGGGCAAAACUAACGUGGGUUCUUUCUUUUUUUCUUUUUCAAGAUCAAUUACAAUGGAAUCUUAUUAUUUGUUAUAAAAACAAAAAAAUUAAAAAUUUUUAAAUUUUUACACAUUAGUCCUAUACCCAAAAAUUUUCAAAUGCAUUAAUGCUUUUGGAAGCCACGAUUUGUUUAGAAUUCAAACUCCUAUAAAUUCAAGCACUUACUCUCUUUAUACACGCAAACAUCAGUAAAUUAAAAGAAAAGGUUUUUGAGUUGUGUGAUUGAAUUUGAGGCGCAAUAACUUUAAUAGGAAAUAAAGGCAAUUGUUUGCUUUCUUUUCUGUUUUGUAAAACUCCUAAUUUAAUAACCCGGUUAUGACACAAUUAAUUAUUCUAAUUGACUUAUAUUUUAAUUCAUAGAUAUGUGCUGAAUUGGCAUCUCUAUUGUUUUGCAUGUACGAUAUUAGCCAGAGAGAAUAAAGAAUAGAAAAUAUUUAUUUUUUAGUUUAUUUUUUCUAAGAAAAUAUUUAAAUUAUUUUCAAAUAGAGUAAUUGUUUGGAAUUUUUUAGUUUUGUAAAACUCCUAAUUUAAUAACCCGGUUAUGACACAAUUAAUUAUACUAAUUGACUUAUAUUUUAAUUCAUAGAUAUGUGUUGAAUUGGCAUCUCUAUUGUUGUGCAUGUACGAUAUUAGCCAGAGAGAAUAAAAAAUAGAAAAUAUUUAUUUUUUAGUUUAUUUUUACUAAGAAAAUAUUUAAAUUAUUUUCAAAUAGAGUAACUGUUUAGAAUUUUUUUUUACCCUUCUCUUCAUUAAGUUAAUGAAAGAUCUCAAUCGUAUGGAUGUAUGCUAAUGACUAUUUAAACUACUGGGGUGAAGUAGCAAAUAUCAAUUUAUUUAAGUGUGCAAUUAAAUUGAUUAUUUUUAUUUAAAGACAAAAACUCAACCAAAAAUAAAAACCCUAUUUUUUUUCUUAAUUCAUGAAUGCUAUAAUCAAGAAGAGAUUGAAAGUGGUUUGGAAUGGGAGAAGGGGUAGAGAGAGCACUUAACAAUUUUUUUUUUUAAAGUAUCGAUGCAGGGGUUUAUUAAGAAAGUACAACAAAUUAGGAUUAUUUUAGGAAUUAAGAAGAGUAUGUAGAGAAAAGGGGUUUAAAAAGAAUGUUAGAGGUGUGCCAAUAGUCCAUGUUAAAUAAAUUUUAUGUUACGAAAAAAAAUUAACUACAUAGAAUAUCAAAUUAAAUUUAUUUUCUUAUUUUGUACAUUACAUUUACUUGAGAUAGUAAAAUCUCGUGUUGGAAUAAAAAAGGUUAUGAGAUUUGAACCUUAGUCACAUGGGUGAGAAGAAAAUUAGUUGUCGUUAUGUUAAAUUAAAAAAAAUUAUAUUAUAUUUAUCAUUAAUUAUGGUUCGUAAAUAAUAUACAUAGUUUAACUAUAUAAUAAAUUAGUUAAUUUUUUAAUUAAUAAGUAAAUUUAUUAAUUUAAAUAGAUAUUAAUAAAUGUAAGAAUAAGUCAUUUAAUUAGAAAUCUAGUUCAAUAAUGUAAAAAAAAUUAGAAUAUUAGGGAUUUAUAUAUCGUAAUUUUAAAACUCCUGAUAUUUCUUAUUUUUUUAUGAAAAAAAGAGCUUUUAAUGUUAAUAACUUAAAAUCACAUCUAAGCCUUUAUAAAACUCCUCGUUACAUCUAAAGGUGAAUUUGAAGAAGACAAUAAAUGGGGCACAAACCCAUGGGUGACGUAGCCGGACCCCUGUAAAAAAAAAAAAAACAGCCUGCUUUCAUCGCAAUUACGUCAAGGGAGCAGAUUAUCUUAUCCGCAAGAAAUUUUAGUCAAGAAUAAGUAAUAUUCUACAUUUCUACUAGGUAUAAGAGUGGGAUCUCUUUCAGAGGAACAGAACAGCACUUACUCAUUACAAAAUUCAAACCAAAUCAAUAUAUCUGUCACCAUUUCACGUAAUGUGUGCAAAUCAGUGCUUUCACUUUUGUAGACAUCAAUUCGGAUUAUCGGGGUCGACACUAUAUAUCACUUUUUCUAGGUUUAGAAUUAUUCGCUCAAUUUUGAAGGACCUUUAGAACAAAAAUGAUGUUAAAAUCAAAAAGAGAAAUGUAGAAUAGAAGUAUCCUUUUAUAUGACAUCGCGGACCCGCACGUGAGUUACUCUUUGAACUCUUUUGGAUGCGUGUCAGCUUUUGAUUAAUUUCUACAACGCAUCAGCUUUAAAUAAUAUUGGAAAUUGCCUUAUCAUCUUUGUAUUUUGUCGUGAGUUUGUGGCAAAAAUGUCAUAAACUAAGCUACGAGCAUGCGUAAGGCCUUAGGGGUACCCUUUUAUCCUAUCAAUGUGACCGCAAUAAUCUCUCGGAACCUUUAAAUCAGUGUGGGGACAAAUGAGAUACGAAGGAAUUAAGCAUCUUUGAAAGAAAAUAUAUAUAUAUAUAUAUUUGAUGUAUUAAUUCUUUUGGAUUUUUAGCAACUUGCAUUGCCCAAAUCAUUAUCUCAAUUUUCUCAUCAAUUUACCCCCCUCGUUAACAAUAUAAGCUUUCGCACACGGUCCAAGUUAUUGAUGAUUGACCAGCAUACAUAUCUGUUUUCUUGAAAACUUUUUCUGAAUGAUGGAUUUGAUCCUACAACGCAUCAGUUCAUUACCCUUCCCCAUAAGCUACAUGGUUUUAUCAUUUGAUGAUGACAUUUUAAUAUGUAAUUUCGUCCAAGACAUUCCUUUGCGACUGAUACUACACAAUCCCUAAUUGUAUUCCCAUCAUACAAGGGUCACCCACCCUUAAAAGAGAAAGAAAAAGGGAAAAAAAUAUUAUGAAACUUAUUAAGAAGUUUACUAGUAGAAAAUCUCGGGGAAAAUACUUCGAAAAGCAUGAAUUCUUUUGCAAGCGCAGCUCAUAUAACAACUUUAAAACAUUUUAAGGAGAACAAUUUCCUUGCAAAAAAUAUGAAUGACCGUACAGAAACAUGGAAAGUUCCACCAAACAGUGCAAUUUACUGAUGUUAGAAGAUGCAAUCAAUCAAUUUCCCUGACUUCCAAGUUAUUAAUGGAGGAGACAAAUUAAAAUUUCACAUGCAUAAUAAACCAAUUAUUCCACAGGAACAAUUAAAAUUUCAAAUAGAUGUAUUUAUGAAAAUGCAUAGAGCCUACCAAACUUCUUAAUUAAUCUGCUCAAAUUGGAACAUUUGACAGCCACUUUUUGAUAAAUUGGGUUAAUUCAAAUUCAAUUACAAUCCCUUUACUAUUAAAAAGAUUCUCCUACUUUCAACGCAUUUUUUUUCUCUUAGAAUUGAUACACACACACAUAUAUAUAUAAACACAUAUUAUCCUCACGGGAUGGAGGGAAAUCCUACGCUUAAUCCUAACUUCCAAACAUAAUCUUAAUGACUAAGAUUUGUCUUUGUUGACCUCUGAUUCAGUGUUAACCAAUAAGGCUUCCCACAUGAUGAAAGGGGAUAAAAGAGAUUAAUUGUAAAUAAAUAAAAGCUUGCAUAUUAAAAAGCUGUCCAAAACAUCCGAUAAAAGAGAUAAGGUUCAGAAUGUCUCAAUUAAAUAGAAAUGACUCAAAACUCAAUUAAAUAGAAAUGACUUUGAUUUGUCUAACAAUUAUUUAGCCUUCUGUCCAGUUGAAAAGUCAAGAACACUAUGUAAGCUUAAUUAUAUGGAGACAAUCAUCCCACCAUACUCAUAAUCCUUAAGCGCGUGUAGAGAAAAAAUAUAUAAAAAUCUUUGAAAUUAUGAAUGCAUUGUUUCUUUUUAUUAUUACAAACAUGAUUUUAAAGACUUAAAUUUUUUUUCAUAAUCUUGGCAAUCUUAAUUUGGUGCAGACUUUUAUUAUUUAUAAUGUAUGAUUAAGGUAUAAUUAUUUGUAUAUUGUUAUCUACUGAUUUGUUAAAAUUAACAAAUUUAUAUGAGAGAGAUUUUAAUAUUUCUUUGGAGAUUUAUCAAUUGAUGAUUGAUAAAAAUAAAAAUCAUAAAAUAAUAAUCUAAAUCAUGCAUGACUAAUAAUAUAUAAUAUCACAAAAUUGUUAAACGGCAAGUAAAAUCUAUAAACAAAGAUUGUAGAUUUUGAGGUAGCUNNNNNNNNNNNNNNNNNNNNNNNNNNNNNNNNNNNNNNNNNNNNNNNNNNNNNNNNNNNNNNNNNNNNNNNNNNNNNNNNNNNNNNNNNNNNNNNNNNNNNNNNNNNNNNNNNNNNNNNNNNNNNNNNNNNNNNNNNNACAUAGUUAUUUGAUAUUUAUAUCCCUAUAAAUAAAAAAAUGAUUAUGUUUUAUAAUUUAGAAAAUAAGUAUAUUUACUAUGGAUAUUUUUAAAAUAUCUUAUUUACUUCUCAUUCGGAUAAAAAUUAUAAAAUUUACUUUUCUAUUUAAAUAUAAAUGUCUAAAAUAAAGAGGGCAAAGCACUAAUCCAUGGAAAUACAAAACCAGUAGAUGGUGGGGAAAUAUAUAUAUAUAUAUAUAUAUAUAUAUAUAUAUAUAUAUAAUCCUCACGAGAUGGAGGGUAAUUCUGGCAUUUUGAAAAUUAAGGAAGUUGCACAGAAGUUUCAUGUCUCUCGAGGAUUGAGAAAGCAACUUAUAUUAUUAGCUAAUUAAUUUUAUGAGUCAGUUUAACAAUUUACGGCACAAAUAAAAUAGUUUUUUAAGCACUACAUAAAUAUAUAUGUUGUAAUUUCAUCUCAAAGCAACAUGCGCAUGAAGUGGUAACGAAAUACAACCAAAAAAGUUGUUAAGCGAUAAUUCUCAUGUUGAAAUUAGAAUUUGUUAAUUGGCCUAAGCACUGUUUAAUAUUUACUUUUAAAAAGGAUAUGGCAUUAAAUUCACUUGCUAAGAUAUUGGAGUAGUGUUGAUGCAAUUUUCUGUCAUGCCUGCAGAUUCAACUCGCUAAGAUUUCGGUUAUGCCUUCAGGUUCAAGUAUUGUUGCUGAUUUAUGCGAGCUGUUGGGAUAAUUGAGCAUGGCUUUAGAUUCAAUUUGAGCAAAUAUAUUUUACAGAUAAUCAUUUUUAUUUAACACAGGUGAACAUUUCAGUAACGCGUACGUGGCUUUCUAAUUCUACACGUCCCUUCUUAUAUUAUAAAUAAUUACAGUUAUAAACCAAAAAAAAAAAAAAUGCAUGUACAGCAACUACAAAUACGUAUUAGACGCCCGCAUUAUUAUUAAUAUUUUAAUGGGGGAAAAAAUGACAUGCAGAGAAGAGGCAGCCGCCUAAUACUUUUGACUUGAAAACAAAUCUCGUGCACACCGUGACAUAUCUGUUGCAUUUCAAUCUAAGGAAUAAUUCAAUAUGCACACCGUGAAUCAUCGCAAAAAUAAUUCAAUAAAUAUGCUUUCGAUGGCUAAAAAAUACCGACAUUCACAUUAAUCUCUGAGGGCCCAGCUUUAAGAAGAAAUCUGAUUAGUGUGGAAAUAUGAGACGUGAAGGAAUCAAACGUAUUUCAAAAUAAAACAUUUAAAGGGACACGUCAUGAGAGAGCCAAGUAACAUAGAAAAGAGCUAUAACAUCAAAUGUCCCCAAAACCUUAUUAACUUUCUUUCCUUGCCCAGAAGCAAAAACAUUAUUCUCCUUUAACAAACAGCUACAAGAACUUGGAACAUCCCAAAACAUUAUUCUCUAUUUCCUCAUCUUUUUAUUAUUCCUGGUAACAUUGCACUAUAAAUGAGAUAAAUGCAUUUAUCCGCACACAUAUUAAUGGAGGAGACAAAUUAAAAUUUCCCAUGCAUAAUAAACUAAUUACCCACAGGUACAAUUAAAGUUUCAAAUAGACAUAUUUAUGAAAAUGCCUAGAGCCUACCAAACUUCUUAGUUAAUCUGCUCACAAUAGAACAUUUGACAACCACUUUUUGAUCAAUUGGGUUAUUAAUCGCCUUUGUGUUCUUUGAAACCUCAUUCUUGGAUUUGGUUGCUGAGUUUCCAAUUAUUAAUUGAACUCUAGUCAUUGAUACAUAUGAAUGCUUAUGGUACCGUAAGAUGGAAUCUGUCAUAGACUGAUUAAUUAUUUCAUGUUUCUUUUACUGGCUAAUUGGUUUUUUAAACAUAUAUAUAUAUAUAUAAAUUAUCUAACACUAUGGAAGAAGAGUAUCACAAAAAAACUCUUUAGAUUUUAUUUUUUAAAUAUCUAUUUACUUACCUAUGCGGUAAAUAGAAAAGUGAAAAAAUAAACUCUCCCCUAAAAAACUCUUCAAAUAAUGCAAGAUAAUAUUAUUUUAAUUAAAUCUUUUUCUUUACCACAUUUAAUUACUCUUCAUUUUAUCACUCCAACUAUUUUAGUCAAAUCUUUACUGCUAAGUAAUUUUAUGUUGAUUUUAAAUGUCGUUGUCAUUGUUGUUGUUAUAUUUUAAAUAUGUUUAUCUUUUAGUAAUUCUAUUGAUAUGCCCUUAAUAUGUUUUUAGAUUUUAUGUUGAUUUCACACUCCUGUAAGGUCCAUUUUGAAAAUUUUUUACUACGUUUGUGACCAUUAUUAUUAGGUUGAAUAUGUCAUUUUUUUAAUCUUAAAUUUUAAAAAUAAACGCAAAAUCUGAAUGCACAAAGCUGAUGGAUUUGGCGCAUAUAGAAAUUAGUUUUUCGAUAUUUUGGCUGUGUUUUAUUCUUAUAGAUAAAUAAUCAAAUCCUACAUGUAUAUUGGUCAAUUUGGCUUUAGUUACAUGACAUAAUUUUUUUUUUUUAAUAUAUAUGGAGUUGAACUAAGAAGAAAGAAUCUAUUUGCGAAUAUUCAAAUGCCACGUGCUGGUUCAUUGGUCCAUUUAGCUUUAGUUCAUCGUCCGUGGGUAGGUGACAUACUUGUUACUUACCUGCAUGCACCCCAAAAUCGCUAAAUCGUACCAAUUUUUUUUCCAUGUAUCCAUUUGCGAGUAGGAAACAGUUAAUCUCACAACCGAUAAUUAAAGUGGGUCUGCAUUUAGCACACGCUUUAAGCUCUUUCUAUUAUUUUGUUAAUUUUUUUAUAAUUAAUACUUAGUUCAUUGGUCCUGCCAUAAGAUUUUUGCAUUGGUACAGCGCGCGAUUGACUUUAAGCUCUUUCUAGUUUGUUUUUUUUUUUUUUUUUGUUUUUUGUUUUAAUGAAACAAAAUCAAAAUCAAAAUAAUGAAAGAGGUAAAGGCCAUUGGACUCGUUGCCGAGAGCAAAUGGCGCAUUUCAACGUCAUUCACGCGUACAGCAACAUUAUUGAAGAGCUUUUGGAUAAAACUGCGCCCUUCUUGUACUUCAAAAAUCCUUUGAUCAAGUUAGCCUUGCUUUAAUUUGGCUAUUGAUUACAUAUUAUUUCCAAUUUCUUCUAGAAAACCGUUGGUUUUCGGCAUAGUUAAGAGAUUAGAAAACGAAAAUCAAAAUUUGGAUGGAUGGAUGAUAGGAGAUUUCUUGGCUCGUUCCCGAAAGUAAAGGGAAUGCUGUGAAAGUCAUAAGUAGUCACUUUCACUCGUUUAUCAAUUUGAUUCAAUUUCUCAAAAGUAAUCCACAAAGAGAUUGUAAUACGUUUUGUCAUAAUCUCUCGUCUCACUAAUUGUUCAUGGUUACUGAUGGAAUUUUCACAAUUCCACUCAUACAGACUUCCCGUGGAAGACAUCAACUUGCAAACAGGAAAUAAUAAUAAUAAUAAUAAGAAUAAUAAUGAAUUAGAGUAAGAACGCAUUGCAAACAUUAAAAUAAAAAUUAAUAAUAUGUGAUAAAUAUAAAUUUUAAAUAAUAAUUUUGACAAAAUUAUUAAAAAGAUAAUAGAUUUUCUAUCAUACAAAUGAAAAAUUGUAGCAACAUAUUUUCUUAACUACAGCAAUUAGUAUUUAUUAAACAUUUUAGUGUUGGGAAAAAUUUAAUUAGUAGAAAAUCUUGGGAAAAAUACUUCAAAAUCCAUCAAUUGUGCAUGAAAAGAAACAACCAUUUUUAAUCUUUUGCAAGCAUAGCUCGUAUAUCAACUUUAAACAUUUAAGGAAAACAUUUUCCUUGCAAAAAUAUAAGCGACUCUACAAAAGCCUGAAGAGUUCCCCUAAUCAGUGCAGCUUACUGAUGUUAAGAGACACAUUCAAUCAAUUUUCCUGACUUCCAACCUUCAAUUUAAUGCAAUCACGGUCAUUAGCCUCCUAUCCUUACCUUAGGGUAAGAAUUUCUAUUUAUUGUAUAUUUAACAGCAGAGCUAGACUCUAUCGUUAAAAAAUAAUUAUUUUCAUACUAAAGACUAGUUUUAAACUAAAGCUGAAAUCUGUUUAUUUUAAAUAUAUCUUUUAUGGACCUUUUGGUCUUCUUUAAGCGUGAGCUUUAUUUGCAACAGAAGUCCAUGAUUGAAAAAAACCAAACUGUAUGUGAUUUAUUUUUACUGUUCUUUCACUACCACAUGAUUUAUUUGCAUCUCAAUAUAGAUGCAAUGUUUUUCAGCAUUACCCAAGUCAUUCUCUCAAUUUUCUUGGUCCAUUUGGCUUUAGUUACAUGACAUAAUUUUUUAGAUAUGGAGUUUAAUUAAGAAGAAAGAAUCUAUUUGCGAAUAUUCAAAUGCUACGUGCUAGUUCAUUGCUCCAUUUGGCAAAUGGAUACAUGGAAAAAAAUUGGUACGAUUCAGCGAUUUGGAGAUCAGUGCUUUACUUUUGAAGACAUCAAAGUUAAAAGAAUAAAUAUAAUAAUAAGUCUAUGACUAAAUAAUAUUAAAUAAAAUAAAUAAAUAAUAUUUAUUUUUUAAGAUUCACUACUGAUUAUUUUAUUUUAUUUGAUAUUAUUUAAUUUUUUAAAAAAUAAUAUAAUAAUAAGUAAAUGACUAAAUAAUGCUAAAUAAUAUUUUUUUUAAGACUCAUUAUUGAUUAAACGAUAUAAAUUUGAAACAAAUCAAACUUAUAUGUUUAAGAUUUUAACUCUUUUAACUUUUUUGAGUUUUCAAUAAAUAUUAGGGAGUAUAAUCUUAAUAAUCAAUAAGACAAAUCUUUACCAUUGAAAUUAUUUUUCAUUAAAUCCAACGGUGAAUGUCUAAAAUAAUUAAAAAAAUUUGAUAGUAACUGACAUCUAUUGUAAGGUAGCUAGAUCCAGGUAUAUGAAUAUAAAACAGCCAAUCCGACUACCCAGAGGUAAAGUGAGUCUGCAUUUGGCUAUUAAUAAUUUGUUUAUUACUAUUGCCAUAUGCCAAUUCUCAAUAUUUAUAUAAAAUUUUAAUGGCUAUUAGUAAGAGUAAGGUACUAGAGACUAGAGCUGGCAAAAUUUAACACGACCCGAUUACCCAACACGGACACGACAUAAAUAAAUGGGUAUGAGUAGUCAAAUUUAAUACGAUUAUUAAAUGGGUCGGGUCCGGGUCAACACGAUUUUUUUCCGUGUCGGGUUUGGGUUAAAAUUCUUAACCCAUUUACCCGAUCAAUGACCCGAUUAUAUUUUCUAUUUUAAAAUAAUUUACAUAUUCUUAUAAUUAAAACUCAAAUAUUAGAGAUGAUUUUCUUUUUUUUUCUUUAAAAGGGUGAAUAUAAACACAGUGUUUUAUUUAUAAAAUUUUACAUACAUUUAGAGUUUCAAUAGUGUAAAUGUGUAAUAUAUUGGUAGAUAUGUAUAUUUUAUAAUAUUGAUAAAUUAUGUAUGUAUGUAUGUAAGUAUGUAGUUAUGUACAUACGUAUGUAUGAUAGUGUGUAAAUAUUUGAUGUAACUUUUGUUCAAUAUAUAUAUAUUAAACGGGUUAUUGGGUAACCCGAUUAUUUUUCCGUGUCGGGUUUGGGUCUCAAUAUUUUGACACGAUUAUUAAAUGGGUCGGGUUUGGGUCGAUCUAAAUUUAACACGACACGAAUACGACUCGAUGACCCGUUUUGUCAGCUCUACUAGAGACUGGAUAUAUAAAAAUGAAAAACAGAAUAAAUCUGACACAAAAUUUUAUUUAAUAUAAUAUACCCCUGUCCAUAUCAUAACCAAUUAAAUCACCGCUUCUUUUUUGGAAAAUUAUAAAUAUUAAAAUUAAAAAGACAAGAAUAAACAAAUCUAGAAAAAAGCACAAAGAAGCACUACGUAUCUAACAUUGGAUUGACCCCCGGAUUCAGAGAAGUGCUUUUCAAGUCUUUUCUGUGAUGAAGCCACCAAUAGUUGAGCAGCUAAACUAAAAGGACAAAAGAUACCUGCCAGUUCAUGAUAUCCACGGACAUUGGCCAUGCAAAACCAAUCUCUUUCCAGACGAAAAAGACUUAGAUUCCACUUUAUAAAUAGUAAUUAUAAAUAUUACAUUUAAUAUGAGGGUUUUGAUAGAUAUUUAUCAAAACAGCUUCAGGUUCCCAAUAAGCCACCAGAGGAACAAAUCCACAAGCCAAUAUUCCAAAAGAUUUUUGCUUUUCAUGAAUUAAUACUAUUAAUUUAAUGGGUCUGCCAUCGCUCCCUUAUCUAUGUCUUAAUUAUAAUUAUGUGACUAGAACUUGAACAAAGAUUGACUUGUCGAUGUGUUGUCCGGCCGAAUCCACUUGUUGGGCAGUGAGGGUAAUUGCUUCCGGUGGAAAAAGAAAAAAAAAGCUUAAAUUUAAUGUUAAUUUUGGGAUAAUUAAUUUCAGGAGUAAUUUUUUAAAGAGAUGAAUCAAUUUUAUAAAUUGUCUUUUUGCAGUGGGGAUAAAUUAAUAUUUUCUAUUAAUUAUUUUAAAUCAGAGUCAUCACCUAGAAAAAUUAUUCUGUAGAGGAUAAAGAAUAAGAACAAGAUUGCAAGAGAAGAAAGACUCCAUUUUAUUUUAGGAGUGAGAAAACUGAAAAAAAAAAACCAGAAAAACAAAACAAGACAACAGAGUAAGUGGGUUCAAGAAGCAUUUUUUUUUUCUAUACGACAUUGUCCACACGAACUUGAGGACCCUUUGAACUCUUUUAAUGCGUGCCAGCUUUUGCUUGAUUUGUAUACCGAAUUUCUAAAACGUCAUCAGCUUUAAAUAAUAUUAAAAAGAAGAAGGUACCAUUUGCCUUAUCGUCUUUGUAAUUAGUUGUGGGUUUGUAACAAAUUUAAACUACGAGUAUGCGUGAGGGCAAUAAUCUCCGCACCAUUUAAUCACUGUGGAGAUACAUGAGAUGUGAAGGAAGGAAUUAAGUAUCUUCAAGAGAAAAUAUUUACUGUUUUGAUUCUUUUGGAUUUUCAGCCACUUGCAUUACCAAAAUCAUUAUCUCAAUUUCUCAUCAAUUGACCCCUUUGUUAAGAAUAAGGUUAUUAAGAAUUAAAUUAGUAGAAAAAUCUUGGGAAAAAUACUUCAAAAUCCAUCAAUUGCGUAUGAAAAGAAACAACCAUGUUUAAUCUUUUGCAAGCAUAGCUCAUAUAACGAUUUUAAACAUUUAAGCAAAACAUUUUCCUUGCAAAAUAUAUGGAUGACUCUACAAAAACCUCAAAACCAUCAAGAUUUUCGCUGUUUCACUACCACAUGAGAAAAAAACAAAUGGUAUUUUCAAAUUAAUUAUGAAAAGAAAAAAAAGUUGUUCAGAAAAUAUAUGUGAAUAAAUUAUGCAUCUUCCAAUAAAUAGAUGCGUCUAACAAAUAUAAUUGAUAUAAUAAUGGAUACAAUCAUAUUAUAUGUAUAAGCUUUGUGUGCUAAUAUCACUAGUGUCAGUGACAAAAACGACCAACAUACACAAUAAUCUCUAUUAAAUUUAGAUGGAUCUAAAUUACCAAUUUUGUAACUUAAUUAGACCCAAUUAAUACACAUACAUACAUACAUACAUACAUAAAUAAAUAUGUAAGCUCAUAGUACAAUCGUUUUUGCGCUAUUCAUUAGUUGUUUUUAUUUAUAUUUUUAGUUAGUCAAUCUACCUUUUAUAGAACUGGGAAACAAAUUGUAGUUUAGGGAAUAAAUUUAUAUUUAAAAAAAAAUUAUUCUGUAGAGGAUAAAGAAUAAGAACAAGAUUGCAACUUGCAAGAGAAGAAAGAUUCCAUUUUAUUUUAGGAGUGAGAAAACUGAAAAAAGAAACAAAACAAGACAACAGAGUAAGUGGGUUCAAGAAGCUUUUUUUUUUCCUCUAAACGACAUGGGGCCUUUGUGAGGAUAUCCAAAAAGCAGUACGUAGGUUCUGGUGGGGGACAAAACAGGAGAAAAAGAGUAUCAUUGGGCGAGGUUGCUGCCUGCUCGUGUGGAGAUAUGAGACGUGAAGGAAUAUAACAUUAAAAAUAAAACAUUUAAGGGACACGUGAUGAAUCAUCUUGUGGCAGCAAUUCAUCAAGAUUUUCGAUCGUUCGUGCCAACUCCCACAUGAGCAAAAAAGCAAACGGUAUGUCAUUAACCAGGAGCUGGCUAGGUUACAGAUUCUGUAACAUACAGAUCCAACUUAGCCACCUCCUGAUUGGUUAGCUAGCUACCAAACAAACCAUCUCAAUAUAGAUGCAAUGAUUUUCAGCAACUUGCAUUAGCCAAGCCAUUCUCUCAAUUUUCUUUAUGCUUUUAGUGAUCAAUUUACACCUCACUUACCAACUAAGGUUUUUUUUUUCUAAUUUUCUUAAUUUGGAAUUUAAUAAAGCAGAAAGAAUCUUGAAAACUCCUUCAUUUGCAACAGAAGUCCAAAGGGGUCGGUGACACAGAAUGUGAACUAUUUUCACACGUACGAGAGAGCCAAGUUACCAAGCAAAAAGCUAUAACGUCACAGUUUAACUUUCUUUCCUUGCCCAGAAGCAAAAACAUUAUUCUCCAUUAACAAACCGCUACAAGAACUUGGAACAUCCCAAAACAUUAUUCUCUAUUUCCUCAUCCUUUUAUUAUUCAUGGUAACAUUGCACUAUAAAUGAGAUAAAUGCAUUUAUCUGCACCCAUAUCAAUUGAGGAGAGUCUGGUGGUGGGUAUGGGUUGGGUUUUAAGUCAAUUCAAACCAAACCAUAAAAAUUUAAGCUCAACUCAAACGAGUCAAACCAACCCAAAUAUUUUUAACCUGGCCCAAACUAACCUAUUUAGGUUUGGUUUGAAUUUUAUAAUAAAAAUAUUUUUAUUUUAAUAAAUUUAACUAUAUAAAAUUAUAAUUAUUAUUAAUUAUUAAAUUAAUAUUAAAAUAUGAAAAAAUAUAGCGGAUAAAAAUUAUGAAUAAUGGAUUUUACAAUAACUAUGUUCUUAAAUAUUAACCAUAUUACAACAUAAAUUCUAACAAUGUCAAUACAAAUUAAAGUAAGAUAAGAUAUCCCAACUCAAGUAUCAAAGCAAUCCAUCAAAAUUAAAUUAUUUAAUUUUAUAAAUUUAAAUCUUCUGAGAUAAAUCUAAAAUUUAAUGUAAUUAAAAAAAGCGCCAAAAUUUUAAAUGCAGUAAGAAAAAUUAAACAUGAAAUCUAAUUAGGUUUAAAUUUAAUUAAAAAAUAACAAUAGAAUCAUAUUUUAUUUGAUAAAAUCUUAUAAUCAAUUACAUUUUUAAUUUUAGUAAGUUACAAUACAAAUAGGACUAUAAAAUUAUAUUAGAGGAUUUCAUAAAAAUAUUGUUUGAGUAAUUUAUUAAAAUGUUAAUUUAGUCUUGUAACUCAAGUUGAGACUGUAAAAAAUUGUUAUAUAAUAGUGUAUAGUACAACCAAUUGCAUAUGUAUUUGCCAUGUGUAGCACUUCUAUUAUUAUUAUAUAAUAAUAAUUAGUAGUGGUAUAAUUACUAUAUAAUAAUAGUUAUUAGUAGUAUAAUUAUUAUAUAAUAAUAAUUUUAAUAAAAAAUAUUAUUAAAAUAUUGAUUUAACCUUUUAUUUUUUAAUUUAUUUUUCAUUGAUAUGUUACUUUGAAUUUGUUCAUGACCCAUGGGUAAACCAUACCCAAUCCAUUGUGAAAUGGUUUCUUGCAUAAAAACCCAAAUUUAACCCAUUACCUGAAUUAUCCAACCCAUACCAUUUUAUUUGGUUUGAGUUUAAGUAAGCCCAUGGGUUAUGGGUUGUGGGUUUAUACCCACCCCUAGAGGAGACAAAUUAAAAUUUCCCAUACAUAAUAAACCAAUUAUUCCACAGGCACAAUUAAAAUUUCAAAUAGAUGUAUUUAUGAAAAUGCCUAGAGCCUACCAAACUUCUUAAUUAAUCUGCUCAAAUUGGAACAUUUGACAGCCACUUUUUGAUAAAUUGGGUUAUUUAACGCCUAUUAUACUUUGAAACCUCACUCUUGGAAUUGGUUGCUGAGUUUCCAGUUACUAAUUGAACUAUAGUCAUUAACACACACGUAUAUUUACGCUUAUGGUACAGUCGGAUGGAAUCUGUCGUAGACUAAUUAAUUACGACAUGUUUCUUCUGCUAGCUAGUUGGUUUUUUAAACGUAUAUAUGAAUCAUCUAUAACACUAUGUAACAAUACAAAUAGGGGUGGCAAAAACGAGUAAACAAAUUGAAUUCGAAUCGAAUCGUAAACGAAUUGAACUAAAAUUCUAUUGAUUCGGAUUCGAUUCAUUUAAUAAAUGAAUCGAAAUAUCAGGAUUUGAAUUCGAUUCGUUUAUUAAAUGAACAUUCAGUUUGAUCUGUUUAAUAUAAUUAAUAAACGAAACGAAUCGAAUCUGAAUUCGUUUGCUAUUUGUUUAUUCUUAUGAAUCCAUAAUUAAUCGAAUCGGAUUUGGAUUCAUUUACAAUUCAUUUAUAAAAUACAAUAUUAACCUUCAAAUUUUUUUAAAAAAAUUAAAUAAAUUUAAAGACAAAAAGUAACUCAAUUAAACGAAUUUUAAACGAAUGGACCAUAUUCGAUUCCUUUAUGAUCCAUUUAUUAAAUGAAUCCUAAAUGAAUAAACAAAUUAAUAUUUUCAAACGAGAAUUUAAUUUAUUUAAUUAGCGAAUCAAAUCGAAUUUAUCCAUUUAUUAAAUAAAUUAAUUUUUUUAAAUCUAAAUCUAUUUAAUUUAAAUCGAAUCGAAUCGAAUAUACGAAUUCUAACCCAAAUUGCCACCCUUAAAUACAAAUAAUCGAGAUUAAACAAGAUUAAAUUAAACGGAAGACUUAUGAAGCUUGAAAGUCACAAAGCUUUUCUAUUAUAAUUAAUACUGCACAGAAGGCAAAUUCAAUUUAACUUCUUAGAUCUCCUAAAGCUGUAUGAUUGGAUUGGAUCUUAAUUAAUAAUAACUGCAGGAGGAAUUAUAAGAACCCACCCAAGACGUAUUAGAUACUUCUCACGAAGUAUUAACUAUUAAGUCUACCAACAUACAAAAGAAUAUUUCACGUGCCUGCAGCAGGGCCAUUUUUGGAAAGCUUUUAGUACGGUUAUCCGUUUGCGACCAUUAUUAUUAGGUUAAGUGUGUUAUUCUUUAUCUUAAAUUUUAAAGAUAAGAGUUAGAAUAUUGGCACCCUCCUGUUAUAGUCUUAAAACUCAUUUUUUAAAUAUACUCUAUUAAAUAAUUUGAAACAUCAGAUAACUUUUAUGGAGACCCUCUUUUAUUCCACAAAUAUCCUUAUUUCACUUUUUCUCUGAACAAACUCCAUUCAUGAUGUCUCUUUUCUUAAUUUCUUUAGGUACAUGAACAAAAAUUUAUAUAUUUAAUACUAAUUGUGCAUCUUAUAAAAAAGAUACUAGCUAAUUUCUGUUUGGGAUUGAUUAUUUUUAUGGCAGUUUGUCUAUUGUUUAACUUUACAUAGACUUAAAAUUCAAAAUAAGAAAAAAUUGAAAUUUGAAUGUCUUGAGUGCAUUUAAAUGCUUACAAUAAGUCAUGAGAUAUUUUCAUCUUCAUCUAUUUUUAUUCAAAAAAAAUUUCUAGGGUUGGACCAUUUCUUUACGCAUCAAAACAGGAUACAAUUGACAUUUUUUAAGAUAAUUAAAAAUAAUGAAUAGUCCAGUGAAAAUUAAUGGAUUUACUUUAGUUAGUGUAAAUUAGUUUUGCCAAGGGUAAAUAUAAUUCAAGCUCAUCAAACUCUUUAAAAGAGAAAGAAUAAAUCUGCAACUAUAAAUGUGGUCUUCAAAUUUCAUUUGCACUUUGGCAUUGGAUGAGGUACAUGGGGUUUUUUUUUCGAUUAGGGAUAAAUUUGCAAACAAAAAUAAGAGGGGUUUUAAGAGGAUAUUGGAGGUGUGCCAAUAGCACCACUCCAAAGAUAAAUGCAAAGUCUUCAUGCAACAGAAAUAGAAAUAAAUUUUUCGCUUUUUUUACUGUGUUUUAUUCUUAUCGAUAAAAUACCAAAUGAUUGAGUCCAAUCAUGAAUAUCCGACUAAGGUGGGCGUCAUUUUAUUCUUAUAGUGCGUGAUCGUUUUUAACCAUUUAAUGAUUAAACUACAGAGUUUUAUCAUUUAAUGCUGAAAUUUAAAUAUGUAAUUUUUUCCAUGACAUUUCUUUGCGAUUGAUAGUACACAAUCCAUAAUUGUUUUCCCAUCAUAUAAGGGUCAUCCACCCUUAUGAGAAGAAGAAAAAAAGAAAGAGUUCAGCUACGUUGGAGCAUCUCUAAAUGCAAAGCAACCCCCACAACCAUUCGAUGGAUAUUGUUACAAUUGGAAAUGCUCCAAUGUAGUCGCUGCCAAAAAGAAAUUAUGAAACUUAUUAGGAACUUAAUUAGUAGAAAAUCUUGGGGAAAAUGCUUCGAAAAGCAUAAAUUGUAUAUGAAAAGAAACAACCUUGUUUAAUCUUUUGCAAGCAUAGCUCAUAUAACGACUUUAAACAUUUAAGCAAAACAUGUUUCUUGCAAAAACAUGAAAAGUUCCACCAAACAGUGCAGUUUACUGAUGUUAAAAAACACAUUCAAUCAGUUUCCCUAACUUCCAACAUUCAAUUUAAUGAAAUCACAGUCAUUAGCCUCCUACUCUUACAAUAGGAUAAGAAUUUCUAUUUAUUGUAUAUUUAACUUCAGUGCUAGACUCUAGUGCUACAGAGAUUGUCCGCAAAAGUAAAACAGAUCAUUCUUGUUAAUUUCCCUGGAUGAUCAGUUUCUUUGGUAAAAUAACUCUAGCACUUGCAGCCCCUGGGACUUCUUAAAAGAGAAAAUACAUAAUGGUGAAGUUAGGACCAUAAAAAAUACUCUUGGAAUUGAGCAACAUCAUGACAACCACAUUGCUUUCCAUAACAAUGACUAGUGGCAUGAUCAAAACAAGAGCAUAGAAAACAAUCUCUCAGCCAUUUAUAAGUCAUCAAUCAGUGUGAAUAUAUGAGAUACGAAGGAAGCAUGCACCUUUAAGAUAACAAAAACACAUAUAUAUCUUAAUAAAUACAAUAGUUCAUUCUCAUUGGAGUUUCAGAAACUAGCAUUAUCGAGAUUAUGCUCUCAAUCUCUGUGCUUAGUCAUCGACAUACAACCAUGCCAAAAGCUAGCCCUUCCCAACUAAGUCCAAACGGAUGCCAAAAAGUGAACAUUGUCCCACAGACAAAAAGUGAAUUGCUACCAAAAGUAAUACACACCAAACAAUCAACACAUGAAAUACAGGACCUUUAGACAGGGUAAAUAGGGCUGAAGAAGAAACUAAAAACCCAUAGAAGCACUACGUUCUUCUCCUAAUACUAUUAAUGGACCAAAAAAACAUCAAAAAACACUUAAUAUACAAUUAGAGGAAGAAAUCCAUACCAAUGACAAGCUAAAUAUGACAUUUUUCUAGAAUUAAUAAUUCUGCAAACAAAAAAACACAUUAAUUAUCUGCAUUUUAAAUAAUCCUAAAAAGGAACAUAUCAUUUUCAUUUAUGUCAUAAAAAGAACAUACAAACACUGAUUUUUAAUCUAUUUUUAUUUCCAAGCAAAAACAACAUUCUUCUAUUCUUUCUCCAACAAGAAAACAAGUUAUGUUACAGUAGUCACUAGGCAGUAGGUAAAACACUUGGUAACUAAAUAUAUAGAAAUAAACCAAAAAGAGUUUUUAAAAACAAAAAAAAAUUGAAAAUAAAAAAUGAUUAAAAAAGAAAUGAAAAUAUCAAACCCCUUCUUCAGAACAAUUCAAACAGGGAGUUACUGGUUCUUAAUCCAACAGUAAGUAAUAUUCCACUGAAACCCCUCCACCAAUCUGAAAACAUCACAGAAAACGAGCAACGCCACAUUUAACUGUCUUUAAGUUGUAAAAAAGCUUCAAGCUUUGCAGAUGUGAGGAUAUAAUGAGAAACCAAUCAUAGAACAUGCCACGAGCAAGGGCACAAGCAGAGGAAAGAUCUUCAAUGCCUCAGUGUGAUGAUAAUCAUCAUGAAACAAUAUCAACAGAUGUGAUUUAGGGAUACAUCUCAUAUAACAACCUUCAAAUGAUAUUAAUAUACAGCGAUAGAUCGAUAUAAAAUAAAUAACUUCAUAAAGAAAGGGUUUACAAUAGGGGGAAUGAAAAGAAUAUUGAGGUAAAAGGCUGAGCUCUGGUUACCGUUCUUUCAUUUGUAUGUAAAGCCUCUCAAAUUCUUUAGUCACAUCGUAAUAGAUUCUCCUAUAUGCAUAAUGAAUAAUGAUGUCAAAAGAAACCCCUGAACUUAGAAUUACUUCCACCUCUUUAUCUUCUUAGUUAUAAUAAGGCAUGAGUGAGCUUUGGUAUAUUUAUCUCGCAACUCCAAAACCUGGUAAGUCUCUCGCAAAACCUGAAUUUAGAUGAAUGGACUUCAAACGAAAGGAUUUUCUUACAAAAGCUAAAAAAAUAUAACGGCAUGGUGAGAAUGGGAAAAUGAAAAUAGAAAGCAAAAGAAAAAGUUUCCAUCCGAUAAGACAAGUACAAAAUAAUCCAAGUUCUUAUUUGCCAUGCCAAUAUUAUUCAUGAAGAACUAAUCUGAUUUCUUUUCCAGAUAAGGUUAGUAACAAUUAAUCUGUAAAUAACUGAACCAACUUGGUUACUACGACAUUACUCUUUCGCUUCCGCACUCAUUUUCUGCACAGUUGCGGUUCAUCAACGGCCGCGUUCACCAAAACGAGUUCACUCUCCCCACUUCACUUAUUUCCCCACCGUUAUGUCUCUCCAAGUGCAGCAGCAAGACAUGAACUCCUAUCAUUAUAAGCAAUAUAAAAAGCCCUCCUAAAAAUCCACCACCUGUUUGGCCAGAGAAACUCCAUUACUCAUUUCCACACUCUCAAUUUUCAGCCCUUUCAUCAAACAAAAGCAUUACUUACCCAUGUUUAGACAUAACUGACUUCAGCACAUAAAUUACGACAAGCUGGUCAAUUCACGUAAACAAGGAAAAAUUAACUCAAUCAAGUGAAGUAGGCACAAAAUGACCUCAAUGAGACAUCAGAGACCUCUAAAAUCAAAUCAAAUUCAGUUAAACAAAGAAUCACUGAUCAAAGAUAAGCAAAAGAAAAAAAGCAAUGAAUAACAGAAAGAAAUUUCUUAUAAAAAUUCAAUAAAAUUAAAAAAAAAAGCUAAUCAUCUUUUCUGGUUAAGUGAUUUCGUCAGCAAAUAAGAGAAAAUAGAAAUUCUGGAAUAUACCUAGGGUUUCUAGCUUUGGGAAUUUACCUAAUGAGAAAUCAGUCUCUCUGUUUCUAGAUUUGUAACUAUCAUGGCCGAGCGACCACGAUCAGGUGAGAUAAUCGGAUUUUGCACCGGCGACGAUGCAAAUGUUUGGGUUUGGGGUUGGGUUUCGGUUUGACGAUAGACCAAGGAAUGUUAGGGCUUUGGGUGAUUUAAGGAUUUUAUUUAAUUCAAGUAAAGUGAAAAUAAUUGAAGUACCCCUAAGUUGGUUACGCAUUUAAUGUCCAGAAUAGUUAAUUAAAUUUCUGCUCGUGUAUUGAUGGUAUGCAUGAGUUCCUAUCUCAACCGUUAGUGCAGAGACAAACAAAAAACAGGAUAAAGUUCGACGCAAAAUUUUAUUAGUAUACAAACGUAAGUACACUAUUGAAUAUGAAUAUGCUUUAAACAACUGCCUUUUUUCCUGGGAUAAUCACAUUAUAUAUAAAAUAAUACAACAAAAGAAUAGAAGUACAAGUAGAAAGGCAGUAUCUAGGUUGUCUCUGCUACUCGGCUUCCAGUUCCACCCAAAAACUGCUCAAACAUCUUCGUUCAGGUAACCAAUCGCAGACUCUGUUAUUGCUUUAACUAAUUUAUGGCAUUACCAUAAUUUCCAGAACACCUUGCGCUUGUUCAAUGGGUUGUUCAACUUGAGGAGGAGCCAGCAGAUGUGCGUUGACAGAGGUGACAAUGACGACAGUGAGACGUCGAAGCCCGUAGAAGAAGUGCUGAAACAGGGAAGCUAACAUUGCAUAACAGAGUGAUAAGAUUAUGAGGCACAAAUAGGCUACCAAGAACAGAGACGGAGCCAAAAUGACAGAGGCGACUGCUGAGACAGCCAACAGAACGGAGAGUUCUCCACAACUCACGGAAAUGGGUCGGCUCACUUUGAGAGGGACUCUGAUGGGUGUGAGGAGGAAGACCAGUAAUGGGACGACGACGGCAGGAAUCAGGAACCACAACUGAAGCUUUAACAUUGGGUACAAAAGUAUCUUACUCGUACCAUCUUGGACGUCCCAAGAGUUGCCAUCCUGAGCCUUGAGGAACAGAAAAAAGAUUAUAAGAUUCAGCAAUGGAAGAACUAGAAACCUCAAAUCGAUUGAAAAAUUCAUGCUUGUGAGUAUAAGACUUGGCCGAGAUGAUUGAGUUUAAUUAUUAUGAAUAAGAUUUGGCAAUUUAUAGGGUGUUGAAUGAAGCUGCUGGUGUUGAAAUUGACUCAAAAAAUUGUUCAAAGCCUGCACGUUGAUUGGGAGAGACAUAAAUUCUUAAUUUUUGUUCUUUUUUAUGCUUGUCGAUUGUGUCCGCUGAAGUUUGCCAAAUGACAUCUGCAAGGUGAACAGUAAUAUCCAAUUGAUGCCGCUCUAUUUUCUUCUACAGUAAAGUUAAAAAGUGCAUUUGCUUCUCCUAUUGGGAGUGUCGUGUUUAUAUUUUCUUCUACAAAAACAUUAAGUGAAUUUUUUGAGUCAAUUUCACCAGAACAAUUUUUUGAAAUUGACUCAAAAAAUUUUGAUUAAUAGUAAGACGCAGGUUGUCUUACAUAUGUGGUGAAAUUGACUCAAAAUUUUUUGAAAUUGACUCAAAAAAUUUUGAGUCAAUAUUAAUAUUUCGAUUCAUACAAGUUUUAAUUAAGUGAUCUUAAUAUUAUAUAUUUUUGUAGUAAAAUACUGUGAUUCUUGGAUUUGCCUAAGCGGACCUAAUUGUGAUUCUUACAAUACAACAGUAUUUUUUGUACUUGUCUUAUCUGGAAAAGAAAUCAGAUUAGUUCUUCAUGAAUAAUAUUGGCAUGGCAAAUAAGAACUUGGAUUAUUUUGUACUUGUCUUAUCGGAUGGAAACUUUUUCUUUUGCUUUCUAUUUUCAUUUUCCCAUUCUCACCAUGCCGUUAUAUUUUUUUAGCUUUUGUAAGAAAAUCCUUUCGUUUGAAGUCCAUUCAUCUAAAUUCAGGUUUUGCGAGAGACUUACCAGGUUUUGGAGUUGCGAGAUAACAUGGGGGUAAAUACCUUUCUAUAUCUCAUUAAAUAUACCAGCUCACUCAUGCCUUAUUAUAACUAAGAAUUUAAAGAAGUGGAAGUAAUUCUAAGUUCAGGGGUUUCUUUUGACAUCAUUAUUCAUUAUGCAUAUAGGAGAAUCUAUUAUGCCAUGACUAAAGAAUUUGAGAGACUUUACAUACAAAUGAAAGAAUGGUAACCAGAGCUCAGUCUUUUACCUCAAUAUUCUUUUCAUUCCCCCUAUUGUAAACCCUUUCUUUAUGAAGUUAUUUAUUUUAUAUCGAUCUAUCGCUGUAUAUUAAUAUCAUUUGAAGGUUGUUAUAUGAGAAGUAUCACUAAAUCACAUCUGUUGAUAUUGUUUCAUGAUGAUUAUCAUCACACUGAAGCAUUGAAGAUCUUUCCUCUGCUUGUGCCCUUGCUCGUUGCAUGUUCUAUGAUUGGUUUCUCAUUAUAUCCUCACAUCUGCAAAGCUUGAAGCUUUUUUAUAACUUAAAGACAGUUAAAUGUGGUGUUGCUCGUUUUCUGUGAUGUUUUCAGAUUGGUGGAGGAAGUUUUGAGAAUUUACAAACGCGAGGUCCAACAAAAAAUUUUGGAAACUGUUGACAUCUCCGCUGAACGAGUCAGAAAACUUUUAAUUUAACUAUUUUGCAGGUGUACUGGUUGCUUUUAUGUGAAAUUUUCAUUGUUGGCCUUUAGUUCGUUCGAAGAAGUAAGAUCUGACGUUUGACCACAAGGUUCAUUAUAUCAGCUUUUUUAACUCUGUUUUUUUAUUUCAUUCUUGUCUAUUGGUUAUAAUACAGUGGUGGCUUGGGGAGUUACUGCAACACCCCAAAUUUAUCCUUGGUUGAAUUUAUCUAUUUAUUUUAUAACUGCGUAUGUUUAUUUUAUUAUUAUUGUCGUUGUUUUAAUUGCUCUAAGCUUCCCCUGUUGUUUUUUUUUUUAAUCUAUAAAUAUUAUAAGGUGUCUUUAUUCUUUGGUUAAGUUCUGUAACAAACAAAAUCAACGUUCGGUAAUAAUAAUAAAAAAAAAGAAGAGGGAGAAAGUAAUUCCUUUUGUGAAGAACCCAUUUUGGUACUAAAGGUAGGUUGAUAACCCACAGCGAAAGGCAUUCUACUCAAUAAGGCGGAUACCUCGGAAUAGCAGAGAGAGAACGAGAAAAAUAAAAAAAUAAAAAAAGAGAGGAGAGGAAGAUAAAGAAAUGGAGGGAAAGAGAGCAAUUGGGUUUUAGAGAGAAUAGUUGUGCAUUUAAGGGAGCUGAGAACAACAGCAAGUAUGAAAUUUCUGGGAAACCAACAUGAGUUUGGCUGGAUUUUCUCAUAACUCUAAUCCUUUAGACCUGGUUUGGGUAAAUUUCUGUGCAUGCAUGGUUCAAUUUUCAAGUCUUGUUACUUUUAUUAAUGUUUUUUUUUCACUUACUUUUCUUAAUUGUUUCCUUUCUGCUGCUGCAACUCACAGCAAGUUUAGGAUUAUGUUAAAUUUGGGAUUCUUAAAUUAUUGGCAGUAUGGUUGGUUAAUUUUUGUAUUACCAAUAGGAAGUGGAGUUAGAGAAGAAGAGAAGUCUUUGGAGAACUAGGAGCUGUUGUUGCAGGAUUAAAGGAGGUGUUUAUAUGCAAUUGAGUGCUUUUGUUACUCAAAACUGAAAAAUCAGGUUGUUUUUCUUGCUUGAUCAUGUAAAUAUUUUUUUUUUUUGGGUCCUUAUAAGUUGUUUUGCUGAGAUUUAAUGUGCUAAUGGCUUAAUUGCUUCCUUUAAUAAUUAAUGCAGUGGGUGUAUGGGUAGCCAUUUAAUUACAUGACUAUGUGGCUAAAAUAAACAAUUGACAUGUUAGAAUUAUCAACAGGAUUGCGAGUUUUAAUUGAAGACCGUGUAUUGUUAUUACUUGAAUCAGUUAUGAUAGUUAAUUUGGUUGAUACAUUCAUGAAUGAGAAUUAAACUUUAACGGUGAUAUAGCCAAGUUUGGAAUAGGAAGUGUAGCUGAAUUGUGUUUAUGUAUCCUGCAAUGGUAUGGUGUUUUUUUUGCAGUUUUAAGUUUGUGGAUGUGUUGUUAAACUGGGGAUGUGCUGAGGCUCUGUUAUCUAUAACUAUUGUUAUUGAGAAGCAUCAUGUGUCUGAUGUGUCAUUGUAAGGAAACUUACAUUGAUGCUAUUGAAUGAAUUAAUAAUUUUUAUUCCUGAAGUUGAGGUUUGAGAAGGUUGAUUGGUGAUAGACGGAUUUCCUGUCCCGCGGUGAAGCCCGCAAAAGAAAUUAUGGGCGAUGGCCCCUGGGAAUAAUGCCCCAAAAGUUCGCUAUGCUGGAUUGACCUAUGUCAGAUUUCUAUCCCGCGGUGAAAGUCUACAAAAGAAAUCAUGGGCGGUGGCCCUGGGAAUAAUGCCCCAAAAAUAUGUAGGGUAUUUCUUUUCAAGGCCAGUGCUACGUUACGUUAAUCGUAACGUACGCCACACACAACAACAGUAGCGGAUCCCACCAUAAGUACUGUUGUUGUGUGUGGAUGUACGUUACGAUAAUCGUAACAUAGCGGGAUCCUCUUUUCAAAAUUAAUGUUGGGGGAAAAAGUUUGAUGAGGAUUUACGGCUUACUGACUUGUCAGGCAUGUUUUUAUUUUGUAUUAUUGAAAGAGUAAUUUUAGGAUUUCUUUAGACGUAACUACGGAAAGCAUGAGCGCCACUAUAUUUGUACGUGUGUAUGUUGUUAUGAUCUUGUCCUAUGACAUUUAUGUUGAAUACCAACUUUCAAACUUAAAAAGUUUAAGAAAUAAAUAGGGUCUGGCUACGGUGCAACUAUUGUAUCGUGUCGCAGUUGCAUUCAGCCAUUCGAUGUACUUGAAUGGAUGGGGUCUACUGGCAUUUAACGACUGGAUGCAACUAUGAUACGGUACCACAGUUGUACCACAGGCUUUCCCAAAUAAAUAUUAUAUAUAUACAUAUAAAUGGUUUAUGUUAGAAAUGCACCGAAGUUGUCCGAAGUAUUUGGGUUUUAAAAAAAAUAAAUAUAUAAUAUUAAAAAAAUACAAAAUUUGGGUACUCGGAUUAAAACCCAGCCUAGUGUUGGGCUUAAAAAACCCAACCCGGAUAUUUAAAAAUUGCAUCCGGCUCGGAUUCAAGCAUUGCAAUACUCAAACUCGGACUGGGUUUUGCCAACCCUAUAUGCCGGUGUUUUUGGUCACGCCACUAGUGAUAUUGACACGAAAAGCUUGUACAUAAAAUAUGGUUGACAUUUAUUAUUAUAUCACUUUGUUUCAUAUGGUUAUACUUGUUGUGCAUAAUCCCAUUUUGAUCACACUAACAUGAAAACAAAGGUAGGUUAAUUACACGUAAUUAUAGUUUAGUCUUGGUGUAUUUCUUUCUAACACUAGUUUAAUUUGUAUCUUGUGAGUAAUUCUAAUUUGUUACAUGCAUCUAUUUAUUGGAACAUAUAUCAUUCGUUCAUAUAUAUUUUGUGCGCAGUGUACACAAUAUAUAUAAACUUUGAAAAGGUAAGUUUGAAAAUACCUUUAUAGGAAAAAAAAAGUAUCAAAUCUUUUAGCAAGGGAAAAUGAUAAAGGUACCGAGGUUUUUAAAACCCGAGAAGACCGAAACGACAACGUUAAUUGUGUUUUAAAAUUUUAAUGAGUCUCACGUGUUUUUCACGUGAUAUACAGUAAAAGCAAAAUAAAAAAUAGAAAAAUUCAGCCCAAAAUCCUCAACUCCAUUAUCUUCCAAAUUGGUUCCGCAAAUAUUAUUGAUGACGUGUAUCGAACCGAUAACAUUUCAUCGUCAAGGACCUCAACCACUAUGAAAAGCCCCCGACUCACCGCGUUUAAAAAUCACUCUAAUUCGUGCAUACUUCACUUUAUUGAGUUAAUAGUUAAUUUUCCUUGUUUAUAUGAAUUGGAAAAAUUCUACGGUACAUUAGAGGGUCCGUGUCAUAAUCUAAUGUGGAACCAUCAACUAAUAAUAAUUAGACAUGUGGCUAUUAAUUUGAAUCCUAAAAAUUUUCCUUUUUUUCCAUCCUCUUUCCUCCAUUUUUAAGAAUUUUUGUUUUCCUUCUUCUCUCUCAUCCCUCUUGAAUUUCCUAAUUUAAUAAAAUAGAAGACAAAGCAUCAAUAAUCAUUAAACCUUGCUCAAGUCUAUUUAGAAAUUGGAAUGAGGACCAGAAUUGCGUGCAAGCAAAAGGAAUUAGACAUACUCUACAAAGAAGAGAUUUUUAGAAAAGAGCCAUCUUCAGAUCUUCUUAUCAAAUCGUGUUUAUAAGAACACAUUGACUUUGAUUUACAAAAAAAAAAAUCCCCUUUUAUCCUCUUUCCUUAAUUUUGAAUACUUUGUUUCCCUUCUUCUCUUUCCCUUCUCCCGAAUUUCCAAAACUGAAAUUAUUUAGUUUCUCUCACAUUCGAUCAGACUUGGUUUCUCGUCAUGUGGUGUAUAAUCUAUCUUCAACAGCUGCCAUAUUUUUUUUUUCCUAUUUGUCUAUAAUCUUGAAAUUUUGUUUUUUUGCUUUUUAAACUAUCAUUUUAAAAUGUUGACAUUUUGCAGAAGUUGGAUCUCUUUUUCCAGACAAUCUAAGUUGUCAUGCGUCAUUCUACUUCAUCAAAGUAACAAUAAACAAAACAUCAGUGGACGCUAGAAAAUAUGGUGAAAUCUCUCAAAAUUCUAAUAAUAAAAAACAAGUGUUGAAAGUAUUGAUAACCCCAAAAUAUACACAAAUUAUGUGAAUUAAAAUGACUGAAUUUUCAGAGAGCAUAUCCUUACAAUUAACAAAUCUAAUGGAACAAAAAAAAAAUUAAAAUUUAUAUUUUAAUCCCUUCUUCUUCUUUGCUGCCAAAAUCAGGCCAUAAAUAUUUUCCUGGCCAGUGGCCAAGGAGAGAUUUAAACACUUUCAAGCUUCACGCAUCUAUUUUCCUUCUCAAUCUGGUUUGAGCACUCUGUUUCAAUGUGGCAGAUUUGCACAUUUCUCAUAGACAUAUAACCAGUUAUAAUGUGGCGCAUGGGCCACAUAUAUGAGUCCCAUAUUUUCACCUCAAAAUAUAGUUUCUUCCCAAGCUCGCCUUCCAAUAGCUUCAAGCACUCUGUGAACUCUGUCCUUUGUUCAUCCAGAUACUUGCACAAAUUUUUACCAUGAAAAUUAGACCAAAACUUGGCUCGGAUGAUUGCUGGUAAGGAUCAGAAGGCGACAAUUAAUGGAAACUUAGUUCCAAAUUGUAUCAAUAAACUUAGUAUAGUGAGAGAUUCACUACUACUAAUGGGUUUGUUUUUUGUGAAUUAGAUCCCGUAUGUUCUAAUAAACAGGAUCUGAUUGAAGAAGAUGUUUUUUUAUUUAUGGAAAUCUCUUCUUUGUAGAGUAUAUUUAAUUCUUUUUGCUUGCAUGCAAUUCUCACCCACAUCAUAAUUUCCAAACGGACUUGGCCAUGCAUUAAUGAUUAUUAAUGUUUUGUGUUCUAUUUUGUUAAAUUGGGAAAUUCGAGACGGAUGAAAGAGAAGAAUGAAAAUAAAUACUUUUAAAAGUGGAGGAAAGAUGAUGGAAAGAUUAAAAUUAAUAGCCACAUAUCCAAUUAUUGGUUGGUGGUUACAAUUUAACUUAUUUGACAAUGGAACAUCUGAUGUGCUGUAUGUGAAUUGGGUAAAACUUGUCUUACAAAUAAUGUAACAAACAUCCAAUAAAUAUAAAUCAUUGAUUUUGAUAUUUCUUAAAUUUAAUGGAUGAAAAUAAUUUUAACAUGAAAUGAGGGAUGGGUGUAAAAAUAAUUUGUAAAAAAAUUUAUUUUUAAUCACAUAUUUACUUUUUUUUUUCAAAUAAGUCCUCGAUAAUUUUGUAUAACUAAAUAGUUUUGUAGUUCAUCUCUCUUACAUCUAUUUUAAAAUUUCAUAAAACUUUUACUGUAUUUUUAUAAAAGUCUAAAUGAUUAUUGUAUUAAUAAAUAUUUACAACUUUUGAAUAUAUUUUUCUGCCUUUAUAAUUUCUUGUCUCUAUUGAGACAUAUACUAAAUUUUUCUUCUAACACACACACACACACACAAACACUCACUCACACACAUUGAUGCUGCGUUUACUUUUUGGAUUGGAGCGGGAAUCCUGAGGAGUGGGAAUCCUUAGAUUAGGAGUGUGGAGUGGGAGUGGGAGUAGGGUGUUUACUUAGACUAAAUGAAAGUAUGGAUUGUUAAUCAGAAUCCUAAUUAUUUGUUUACUUUGUCUUGGAUUGGGAGUAAAUUAUUUUAAAUUACAAUUUUAUCCUUAUGUACAGAAUUAUAAUUUGUAAUUAAAAAAUUAAUAAAAAAUAUAUUUGGAAAAUAAAAUAAAUAUUUUAUUAUAUUUAUAAAUUAAUAAUAAUUACUAAUAUUCUUAAUUAUGUAAAUCAUAAUUUUUUAUUAAUUUUAAUUUAAAUUAUGUGAAUAAAAAUUAUUAAUAAUAGCAACACAAAUGAAAUAUUAUUAUUGAUAAUAUAGUACAAAAUUAAUAUUUUUUAGAAUAAAAUUUUAUUAUUACUAAUUAAAUAAAUAAUUAAUAUUUAUUAAAAUUAAUGUUUAAUAUUAUUAAUUUAAAUAUAAUAUUUAUUUAUUUUUAUUUUAUUAAAUUUAAUAAAAUAAAUAUGAUAUAAUUAUUAUUUUUAAUAAAUAUGAUAUUAUUUAUUUUAUUAAAUAUGAUAUUAUUUAUUUUAUUAAAUAUUAUUUAUUUAUUUAUUUUUAUAAGGAUAAAAUGGGAAGAGGGGGGAGUGGAUUCCCACUCCCACCUCCCCCCAUGGGAGUGGGAAUCCCACUCCCCACUCCAAAAUUGGGUGGGACCCACGAAUUCUCACUCUCACUCCUUCCUUUUUUAAGGUAAGUAAACACUAGAGUGGGAGGAAUCCACACUCCACACUCCCACUCCAGAAAGUAAACACUACCUCAAUCUACUUUCCCAUCCUAAUAUAUACCAUCAAUGUUGCCACAUAGAUUUUGUAAUUUAAAUUUAUUAUCCUAAAUUAUGAGAGAUAUUACAUAAGUUAAAUAUCUCAUGAAUCUAACGAAUUAUUAGAAACAUGAAAUAAUGAAUAAAUUAUCAGAACCUCUAAUAAUUUCAUAAAACAUAGAAACCAAUAAAUUACCAACUUCUAACUAUAGGUAAAGAGAAUUUUUUUUUUUUUAUGAAAGAUUUCAACCUUUUUGAUCUGAUCAAUGAUUUAGAAAUGUGGAGAAAUAAUAAAUUAAAUUGAAUGUCAUUAUAUUUAUUAAAUAAAUUAAGAAACCCAAAUUUAUCUAUAAAUGAUAUAGAAGGUGUAAAUAAACUAUUAGAAAUUAAUAAUUUCAUUGAAGAAAAUAUAAAAUAAAUUAAAAAGUUAAGAUAUUAACUGAGUAAAGAAUUUAAUAAAGGUAAACAAUUAAUAAAAGGCUUCAAUAUUGAAAAUCAUGAUAUAUUAAAGUAAGAGAUCAUUAAUAUAAUUAAUAAAAACUCAAUAGAUAUAAGAUUAAACAAGUUAAAGAUUCAAUUAAAUAAAUAAAAAAUUAUUGAGCAAUUUAGUACUAAAUUUGCUAUAAAUAUAAAUAGAAAAUUUAAAAAAAAAUUAAAGUUCUAACCGUAUUGUUGCCUGGCUGCAGCCUGAACUCUAAAGCAAAACUUAACAUCUUAUUGAUGUUUUUAAUAAUUAUUAUCUUUUCUAAGGAUUUAAAAACUUAUAGCUGUAACGUACAAUUGAUGUAAGAUUAGCUUCGCCCAUAAUUAAAUAUCAUUAUGUUAAAUGAAAUUACAAUUUUACCAUAGACCGACAUAGAAAUGUUCCAUGUUUCCUUUACUUUCUAUUUUUGCUUUUUCACCCAUUAGAGGGUUGAAAUUAAAGUCAGCUUAAUUAAUCGAACCAUUAUUGAUUAUUAUAUCCAGUAAAGUUGCAUGAUACGAUAUUGAUUCUACAUGACUUAAUUCUCAUGAUACAAUUGUACGUUCUAAAUAGUAUCGGAUUGGAUUCAGCACUUACAGAUACAGAUGAAUCUCUUCGUGGCGGGGCUUUGAUGUUGUAAUAUGCAAUGAAAGAAACAAAUCAAAAGUAACUCAACCAAGUUUUAAAAAGACUUAUCAAAAGAAUGAGCAAUAAUUUCUGGUUUGAUGCAAGUGUUCUUAAUUAUUCAGUAAAUAAUGGAGGAACUUUUGUCAACUCUCAUAAAUUUAUGUUCUAUUGAACAAGUUUCUGCAAGUUAAAGGAAUUCUAAUUGUUGUUGUUGUUGUUGUUGUUUUUUGGGUUUAUGUGUUAUUCACCCAAUUUUGAAGGACUAUUAGUGUUGAAACUUCCUUGUGUCAAUAAGGUGCUUUUGUGGUUCUAGUCUUUAGGAAGUUUGUUGGUAAUGAUAUUAAGAUUGUGUUUACCUAGUCUUUAGGUUGUAGUUACUGGAAAUGGUUGCAGUAUUUGCUGGAUAAUGGCUGCUAUUAUUUUGUUAAGUUUGUUCAUGUAACGCCUAUAAAAGGCAACUUAUUGUGAAUAAAAUAUGCAGUACUUUCAUCCAUUUAUCCUUGCUUUGAGUGUACUAUUUCAUAUUCACUUAUAACAGUGGUAUCAAAGCUUGAAUUAGAAAAGUGGGAUUGACAGAGUUAGUAACAACAGUUUACUUUUUCACUUGUGUUGGAGCAGCAUAAAUUCAUGGCUUUUGAGAAUUUUGUUCAACUUGCAAUUCCCCGCUUUGAUGGUCACUAUGACCAUUGGAGCAUGUUGAUGGAGAAUUUUUUAAGGUCCAGGGAGUAUUGGCAGGUUGUUUCAACUAAAAUAACUGAACCACCAACCAGUGUUGUUUUGACAGAUGCUCAGAAAAUAGAGCUUGAAGGGCAACGAUUAAAGGAUCUCAAGGAAAAGAAUUACUUGUUCCAAGCUAUUAAUCACUCAAUCUUAGAAACAAUUCUUAACAAAGUACCAAGGGACAGCAAGGGCGAAGCGGGUACACCUUCAGACACUUCAAGCUGAAUUUGAAUCUUUAUGAAUGAAGAUAGGAGAGUCAGUCUCAGCAUAUUUUGCAAGGACAAUGGCAAUCGCAAAUAAGAGAUGAAUUUAUGGCGAACAACUCGAAGAUGUUAUCAUAAUUGAGAAGAUUCUUCGAUCUUUGACGGAAAAAUUUAACUAUAUUGUUUGUGCAAUUGAGGAAUCAAGGGAUAUUGACACACUUUUGAUUGAUGAAUUGGAAAGCACUUUGCUAGUCCAUGAGCAGAAAGUAAUCCGGUAGGAUAAGGAAGAACAUGCAUUACAGGCAGCAGAAAAUCCCAAACCAACUGCAAGCACGGGCAGAACAUAUUAGAAGAAAAUGUUGAUGAUUCUCAAGGAAAAGGAAAGGAUUGUGAUAGUCAGGAUUCGACAGGACAUAAACCAAAGUCUAAAGACAAAUUGAAUGUUAAAUGCUUCCGUUGUCAGAAGUAUGGUCAUUACCGCUCCGAGUGCCGUACUAAUUUAAAUAAGAAUCGUGGUCAGAAAUCUAACUUUGCAGAAAAGGAGGAAGAAGAAAUUUUCCUUCUUAUGACAUGUCAUACAAAGGAGAAAAGACACCAAAAUCUAUGGUACUUAGAUACCGGUUGCAGCAAUCAUAUGUGUGGGGAUAAAUAUGCUUUUUCUGACUUGGAUGAGACUUUUCAAAAUACUGUAAAAUUUAGUGGUCAUCUCCACCGUUUCUGUCAUGGGGAAAUGAAAUGUUGCAAUCCAAACCAAAUGUAAUUGUUGAGCAAAUGUAAUUGUUGAGAUUAUUGAGCAUGGCUUUAGAUUCAAUUUGAGCAAAUGUAAUUGUUCCUUUUAAGGUGAUGUAAUUGGUGUAGGGAGAGGAUUUAAUUCGAAUGAUUUAUGGUUCUAGAAAAAAACGAAUUUUCUUUAUGUUAACUUGAAACAAUAUGUGUGUAAAUUUUUACGAUGUUAGCAAUAUUUAAUAACAGAAUAGUUGAAAUAUUUUUAAAUUGCAUUGUAGUUUUUAAAAAUAUAAAAUGGAUAUACGAUUUUUUUUAUUGCAAUCUUACUACAAAAAUAAGGGUUUUUGGUAAUUGAAAAAAAAAACAAAUUAAUUAUUUUAAAAUAAAUAAUAAUAUUGACCCAAAUUUUUGACAUAAAUUAAGUUCAAAAAAUUUAUUUAGCAUAAAAUGUCACAAGCUAUUGAUUAGUAUCUAUCAUUGAUUUGUGAUCGAAUUAUGUUGUUAUGUAAGCAUAAAAUUUAUUUGCCAUGUCUGCAAAAUAUGAUAACAUGUCAUCUACCAUGUCUAAUGCCAUGUUUUCAAAAUGAGAUGUCAUGUCAUUUGCUACAUCAGAUUCCAUGUAAAUAGAGAAUUGUAACACAAUUCCUUGACUGAAAUAUUUUGUCACUAAUUAUUGAAUUUUCUGUCACUAUAUUAUUACAAGGGCUUUUUUGACAGAAUAAAAUUAUGCCAGUAGCAUGAUUUGUGACAAUUAUUCUGUCAAAAAAUCCCAAUUUUUUAGUUGUGUAUGAGAAAGGAAUUAGUUGAUGGUUAAAGCCUGUGCAAUGAGAUAUCUCACUAGUUCAGAUUCAAUAUUGACGAGAGUUGUGUUGAUUAUUUUAAAGAUCUUGUAUUGUGUAUUUAUUUAUUAUAUUAUAUGGGUAUGAGUUAAUUACAAUAUGUAUCAUGAAAACGAUAUUUACUCAUAAAGGGUCCUCGGCCAUAGUUCUUUCAUCUUUGUUUAUGUGGCAUUAUAGACAUUCGAAAAUCCAUUUAUGGUAUUCAUGAAUAAAGAAAAUGCUUCUAAUUUGAUCCAAUUAAUAAAAAGAGCGUACUUUUCAUAUUCGUGGACUAGGGAGACAUUUGAUUCAAUUCGUCGAUUUAUAGAAAUCUAUGGUCUAACUCAACUCAAAAACUAGUUCGAAAAUUAAAAUUUAUUACCCCAUUAGUCCCCACGUAAUUUUUAAAUACCUCUCUUGAGGUUUGAGGUAUUCAUUUAGAUGACGGGUUUACUUGUAUUCUCACAAGGUUUGAGGUAUUCAUUUAGAUGACGGGUUUACUUGUAUUCUCACAUACUUCCCUCUCUACUGUCUAUAUAAAUGCAUGUACGGUAUUAGUAUAUAAGGGUGAAUUCAGUAAGAGUGUUGGCUUGUGUGGGGAUCUCGUAAUCAAGCUUUUUUUCCCAAAGGAGAGAAUUUGACUGUGUUGCCAGCUUUCCCAAUAUACAAAAGGUGAGCACAGUUAAAAUUAGGUUGCGGAUUACGGCAGUAACUACUUAGAGAAACUUUUCCGUUUUAGUUGCUAAUUAGUCACUUAAAUUUAAAAAAAUUAGGGUCUCGUUAAUCGAUAACGAUAACAAACACCGGACCUAACUUAGGAGGCCACUCAACUUUUGAGGGAGUGGUUAAAACAGCUGCUCCAUGUUUAAAAGUAUGCCCUUGACGCCUAUAUUCUUUGAAAAGCUCAUUCUAGGAAUUGCCAUUUUUUUUUUUGAAAAGCUUAUUCCAAUUAUUAGUUGAACAAUUAAUAGUCAUUAAUACACACGCACGCAUACUUAUGGUACGGUUAGAUAAAACCUGUUAUAAAUUAAUUAAUUCCAACAUGUUUCUUUUACUAGCUAGUUGGUUUUUUAAACAUAUGUAUGAAUUAUCUAACGCUAAGUAACACGUAAUCCAGGUAAAACAAGAUUGAAUUAAACAGAAGACUUAUGAAGCUUGAGAGUCACAAAGCAGGCUUUUUCUCUAUUAUAAUACUGCACAGCAUGCAUGCAAAUUCAAUUUAACUUCUCAGAUCUCCUAAAGCUAUAUGAUUGGACCUUUAUUAAUAACCGAAGAAGGAAGCUUAAGAGCCCAUAGAUGUAUUAAGUACUUCUCCCCCAAUGCUUAUUUUAGUGGGAACAAAACAACUUCAGAUUCCCAAUAAGCCACCAGAGGAACAAAAUCCACAAGCCAAUAUUCCGAAAGAUUUUUGCUUUUCAUGAAUUAAUACUAUUAAUUUAAUGGGUCUGCCAUUACUCCCUUAUCUAUGUCUUAAUUAUAAUUAUAUGACUAGAACUUGAACAAAGAUUGACUUGUGGAUGUGUUGUCCGGCCGAAUCCACUUGUUGGGCAGUGAGGGUAAUUGCUUCCGGUGGAAAAAGAAAAAAAAGAGCUUAAAUUUAAUGUUAAUUUUGGGAUAAUUAUUUUCAGGAGUAAUUUUUUAAAGAGAUGAAUCAAUUUUAUAAAUUAUCUUUUUGCAGUGGGGACAAGUUAAUAUUUUCCAUUUUAUUUUAAAUCAGAGUCAUCACCUAGAAAAAUUAUUCUGCAGGGGAUAAAAAAAUAAGAACAAGGUUGCAAGAGAAAAAAAAGACUCCAUUUUAUUUUAGGAGUGAGAGAACUGAAAAAAAAGGAGCAAUGAUAUAGGCACAAACUCUUGUACAAAUUUAUUUUGUACAAACUGACGUGGCAUUAAUUCAUUAAUUGAAUGAAAAUAUAAAUUAAUAAAAAUAAAUCAUGUAGGUCAACUGAUAUUUAAUUUAAUUAAUUUUAUCACGCCAUAUCAAUUUAUAUAAAAUAAAUUUGUACAAGAAUUUAUAAGAAUUUGUGGUUGUAUUAUUAUAAAAAAAAAACAAAACAACAGAGUAAGUGGGUCCUUAUUACGACAUUGACGACACGAACUUGGGAUCGCUGUAAGUUACGUUUUAGCGUAACAGAGUAAGCGGUUGAAGUCCGUCUCAAAAAAUAGUCAACGAAAGAGAAUCUCUUCUACAGCCGGUCGUGACAAACAUAACGGCGUCGUUUACACCAUCAAAUUACGAGAGGAAUUCCAUCUCUUCCAACACAAGUACACAACCCCACCCCCCCCCCCCCCCCCCCAAAAAAAAUUCAGACCUCCACCACCGAAUUCCAGCCAAAAGCAUCAGUUAGCCGUUAAAGGAACCACACUUUAAACUCAAUUCAUCACAAAACUUCACGAAAAUUACAGUCGCAAUUAGCAACGCUAAUAAUGGCGGAUUUUGGAAACUUCCCGGACACAGACGAGGAGUCAGCAGUCGGGCAAACCCUAAGUUAAAUUUAUAUUUUCUAAUUCGAUGUUGCCUUUCGCCCCUCAUUUCCUUCGUAAACAGUUUUUCUCGCUUCCCUCCAACCAAACAGGCCUUUUGAGUUAGGGUUCAGGGUUUUUUUCCCCCUUUUCGUAAACUAUAUUCGUUUAUUUUGGUGUUAACCGAAAUGAGAAACUUACAGUUAUCGUUCAAUCAAACGCAAAAUGUGAGACUUGAAAAAGCUCUCGAAAAGCUUGAGUCUUUAUCCUCAAAUUCAAACCCUAACUCCAGUGUCACCGUCGGCGACACCAUCCCUGUUUACGAAGAUGGCGUCCUCAAGUAAUCACGCAUUCGGACUGAAUCUAUUUAUUUUCGCUUUAUUAUUUUUAUUUUUCUAAAUUAUGGAUUUAAUGAAAUACUGGGGACACGGAACCUCGGACUGUAAGGGCGAGCUUGUUGCUGCGACUGCUAUGGUGUUGUCGAACGCAUCAACAAGUUGAUCUACGUACGCGCUUUACGCUCCAGGUAAUUGGAAUUUGCUAGGCUUUAGUCUCUGUUUUAAAUCUUAUGCAUUUGUGUUGUUUGGUUCGGAAAAAUCGUUGCUUUUGUUUUAGUUCUAUUGUUUGUUCAUAGAUACAAGCCGGAGACGGGAGAUAUUGUCAUAGGACGUGUCAUAGCGGUAAAUUCAAAUUACUUAAUUAACUUCAUUAUUUGGAAGUUGAUUCAUAUCACAUUCUUGUACUGUAUUGUAUCUUCUACUUCUUCAAUUUUAAUAUCUAGAACCUUAAAAAUGUUCAUUGUUCAGGUUGCUCCAAAGAGAUGGAAAUUGGAAGUAAACUUCACCCAAGAUGCUAUUUUGAUGCUUUCUUCAAUGAACUUUCUGAUGGAUUUAAGGUAUCAUACUUUUUCUUGAAGGUUGGUCUAGUUACCCUAUUGGGUGACAUAUGCUAUAACUGGGAGGUAUCAAAAAAAUAAUUUUGUUCGUAAAUAGGGCACCAUAUGAGGCAUGGGGCUUGUCUUAUAUUUUUAUGUUUAAGAUCUGCCUAAAUGUGGAUAGUUUGGUAUUGAAUUUUCUCUUUUGCUUGCUAGAAGCGGCGAACGGCUGUGGAUGAACUCAAUAUGCGCAGUGUUUUUACAGAAAAUGACUUAGUCUGCGUAAGUGAAUUGCUAUGUAUUCUUAAUUUCUUUUAUGGUGAUUGUGCCAUCUGAGGGAGAAAACAAGUUACUUAUUUGAUGUUACCAAAAUCUGUUCUCUUUUACAGGCUGAAGUUGGUAGUUCAUAGGGUGAUGACAGUUUACAAUUUCAAGCAAGAAAUCAGAAGUAUGGCAAGGUGUGUCAUGUUUGAAAAGUUUUCAGGUGCAUCUUCUGCACUUUUUUAUCUUUACACUCACUCUUUUAUAAGGAAGAACAAUGUAGAUGUGAAGGAAUGGCCAAUACCAUCAGUACAAGAAAAAUAAUAAUAAUAAUAUUAGUAGGUAAAUUUAAUGUCCAACUAUCAAUUUCCCUUUUCCUUUUUGGCUUAGAAUUAAGCUGCCAAUUUGACUAACCUUGAGGAAUGGCAAGUUGUACUUUAAAAUUAUGCCUUGGCAUGGGCAAAUCAAUAUUUGCUUGCAGCUAACUAACUGUUGAGGAUGGGAACUUAAGAAUUCCAAAGAAGACUAGGAGUAACUUAGUGUAUUGAUAAUAACAAUGUUUAUGAUUCAUUUCUUCAUGUAGGAAACAGAAAAUUUUCAUUGUUAAAUUGUUUCUCUUUUUUACUUUAAGACCUAGCAUCAUUGCCAUCAACAUUAUUUCAUUAGCAUCAGUUUUUCAUCCUAUUCGUACCUGUAAUGUAUUGAUAUGGACAUGUACCAAUACGCCUUCAGCUCGAGAGGGGUCAACUGCUCAGAGUCGAUCCUUAUCUAGUCAAGAGACGGAAACAACAUUUUCACCACCUAGAACAGUAUGGAAUUGACUUGAUAAUUGGAUGUAAUGGAUACAUCUGGAUUGGUGAGCAUGUUGAAGCCAGAGACAAGACGGCGGUGGAUCAAGGAAGCGAUUCUGAACAACCAAUCACCAAAUAUGAUAAAAUUUCCAUGGAUCUUGAUGAACAAGAUGGAACUUGCACUCCACGAGAAGCGAGACAGAACGUUUGCAGAAUUGCAAUUUUUUUAUUUGGGAUUAGGUCUUUGGUGGUUUGGCAUUGUUUGCUUUUCCAUGUUGUACAUGUUUCUGGGAUUUGCUUCAUUCGUUCGCAGGGAGCACGGUUUAUUUCUUGUUAUCUCCAUAGGCGUGAAUGCUUAUAUUACAUGUUAUUGUUAAGAUGCAUGUACUACUUCAGUUCUGGUAACUUAUGUCCAUCAGGAUUAGGCAGUGCAUGUUUGUGUCAUCAUUCAAAGUAUCACUGCUAUUCGUUUAUAAUUCUGUUCAAUGUUGUAGCCCUUAACUCAUGUUUGUUCCUUCCUUCUGGCGAUUGAUCCUUGAAGUCUCUUUGUUGGUUCAAUUUUAGUGGUUAUGUUUGCACAGAAGAAUGUGGUCUGCAUAUUCAGUAUCAUUAAUUUGCAGUAAUGAUCAUUGUGUCCCUCUUCCUCUUAAAGCUUUUGGAAAUUCACAAUAAGCCCCGUGAGUCUGGGUCUUUCUAUAUGCAUGUGCCUCUAUUCGGGUGCAUGCUUGUCUGUGGUGUGUGAGCAUGCUUGUGAUACAAUUAUCUAAUGUCUACUAUUUCAUUGAUUGUGGAGAGGACUAGGGUGUAUGCACAUGGGUUAAUUGGCAGAAUGGUAUGUCUGACAUUGUUAUAUCCAUUCCUUCUCGAUAACAGUUGCAAAAUUUUUGUUACAAAGUUCACGGCCUUGCUAAAUCUUUCCCUACAAACGUGUACAGGUGGUCACUCACUCAAUCAUUUCCGUUAGUUACUGAUAUGGAUUCUCAACGAAGAUCAGACGCUGGUGUCACUAUCAAAUUCAAUAACACAUAGAUCCAUAAAUUAUGUUCUUGACAACAUAAUGAGUAAUUUCUGCUUCUUCAAUGCUUGUAAUGAUGAAGUUGGUGGAGCUAGUCUUUUCUUUUCAAAUGUACUAGUUCUGCUUUCCGAUUUUUCAUCUUCAUCAUUCUCACCAUGUCCAUCUCUAGUAGAGGGGGUGGACGACUCAGCAUUUUUGGCAGCAUUUCUUUUUCCAACAUUCAACCUGAUCUGCAACUUUCUUUCAGCAGGGUCGUUUGAGGCUCCAAUUUUUUAUUGGCAUGAAACUUUUGCGCCAAGUCCAAGCCUACAACAACAUGAGGAAUGUUAUUACCAGCAUCCUAUGAUGAACAAAAAAAUAAAAAAUCUAUGGUCGGGUUAGGAUGAAUACACUGACCUAGACGGCCUGGCCUCUUAUGCACAUACAUAGGCAACUGACACACAUACGUAGGCAUACAAAACUCAAUGCAUAUACAUAAAAACUGCACCAACAUCAGAUAAAUUAGACUCAAAUAACUUAAAUUAAAUUACAGUCAGUAAAAAAACAAAAUAAGUAUUACAUCCAUUAUCCAGAAAAUGAAAUGAUAAUCCUAGUGUUUUCUAAAGAAUUUUCAUGUCAUCUAUCCACUUGCUGUUUAUUACUAUUAAAAAAUUUACCAUGAACCUUCUAAUAUGAAAAUGACUCCAAAGACCAAAACACCAGAUUUUUAUACUCAAGAAUUAACCAUGCACCUAAUAAUACUUAUGGAUGCCACUGUUGCAAAAAAUAAUCCAUCAUCUUACUAUUUAAAGAUCAAACAUAUUAGAAAAAGGAAAAAUAAAACAAAACAAACAAAAACAGUUUGCCAAGUACACUGAGCAAGUAGAUAUUCCAACUUCACCAGACAUCCUAUUGUGCCCUUUUGCACUUGUUUUGGAGCUAUUAAUGUGAGGUAGUCAUGACGAAACAAUUACAACACUGACUUGGCAAAUUAUUAUAAUGAAAAUCAAUCGAUGUGAUCAAUCAAAAAAGAAAUUAAAUCUUACCCAGAUACAUCUCUAUGAAAGCGAUCUGCGACCCAUGCCAGCAGCUUGAGGAUGCAGUCAAUAGAUCCUCCUCUAGCUGCCAAGUGAAGAGGAGUGCUUCUUCUGCAAACAAACAGAAAAAGAAAUAAAUAUAGAAUAAAAAUGAAAAAGAGAAACGGACAUCAACAGGUGAAGAAUUACCAGAAUGAAUGUGAUCCCAAAGCUUCUCAAAGAUCUUGUGCCUUCUAUACGGUGAGAUUAUGGCCACAACGCCAGGAUUUGCACUUUCGGCUUAGGGUUGUUGUGUGUUGAUUGAAAGUUGUGACGGCAUAGUCAUCCAUAUACAACCAUGUCAAAAGCUAGCCCUGCCCAACUAAGUCCAAAUGGAUGACAAAAAGUGAACAUUAUCCCACAGACAAGAAACUUGGUCUUCCCUCUUAUAUUCAAAAAUGCAAUCUUGCCAAAUAACCCAAAAAGGAGCUAGAACAUCACACUGCCCGAGAACCUUAGGUUCUAUCCUUGCCCUAAAGCAAAAAAUAUUUUCCAUUAGCAAAUAGCUACAAGAAUUUGGAGCAUCCCAAAAUCAAUAACAUAAUUGAGAAUCAAUGCAUGUAUCCGCAAGCAUUUAUUUAGUAGACAACUGAUUCCCAAAACAAUUUUAAAUUUCUGACAGAAUUACUUCAUUGCCUAAAUUCUACCAAGCUUUUCAGUUAAUACGCUCAAAAUACAAUCCACGGGUGCAUUUAAAUAAAUUGGGUUAUUUAACGCCUACAAUCUUUGGAACCUCAUCGAAUUGCUACCAAAAGUAAUCCACACCAAACAAUCAACACGUGAAAUACAGGACCUUUUGACAGAGAAAAUACGGCUGACGAAGAAAUUGGAAACCCAUAGAGGCACUAUACUUCUCCUAAUACUAAUAAUGGAACAAAAUGACAUCAUAAAACACUCAAUAUGCCAUUAGAGGAAUAAAUCCAUACCAAUGACGAGCUAAAUAUGACAUUUUUCUAGAAUUAAUAAUUCUUGAAACAAAAAGCACAGUAAUUAUCUGCAUUUUAAAUAAUCCUAAAACCAGGAUAAUGACUUAUUUAUGUCAUGAAAAGAACCUACAAACGCUUAUUUUUUAAUCUUUUUUAUUUCCAAGCAAAAACAACAUUCUUCUAUUCUUUUGUCAACAACAAAACAGGUUAUGUUACAAUAAUUAUUUUCAACAUAGAACUUGAACCCUGGGAGAGAUAGAAGGAAAAGACAUAGAUGUCUGACUGAGAGAGAGUUAAGACAGUGUGAGAGGUAAAAGAACAACACGGCUUAGAAGUUAGAAUCAUCAUCCACUUAUCUCACUUAAUCGUUGGUGUAAAAGUCCUCAUAGAAGAAAGAAAUAUUAUUUUGAAGGGUAAAAUGUAAACAAAUUAAAAUUUUAGAUAAAAUUGUGACACGUUUAUAUUAAGCGUGUAUAUUAAGAUUUAAGAGAGAGUCACCAUUAUACCGCACAGGUCAGCUCCCAGUUGAACUUGCGAGUUUGGGUUUGAGUUCCAGUCCCACAGUUAGUGAAAGUAGGUAUUAGGUAAUCAUCUUUACCAGCUGAAAUAUCAAAACCUGUCUGUAUAAGCCUGCACAUUACAAUUUAAUCAUCAGCAAAGGAGGUGGCUGCAGCGAGAAACAAGACAUUAUGUAGUAAUUACAAAACAUUGAAAAUCAUCAUAUUUUAUCAGUCACAAAACCUAAGAUAGUCUCCCCAUAGCAACUAUAAAUAUUGGGGGGCAAAAAAAAGGACCACAAAGUAGAACACUCCCCUCUUUUUCCUCCAAACAUAUACAAAAUUUCAGUUCACUCCUAAGCUGAGAACCAUUCUACUUUCAAGAUUCAACCAAUGAAAUAACCAUAAUAUUCUUAUUAAAAAAAAUGAAAUAACCAUAGUACAAAAUAAUUAUCCUCUAAUUCAAAUAUUGCUUCAGAAUUUACAAUUUAUGCUAGAAUCAAUUGGUGAAACCUAGGGAAUCGGAAUGAUACAUUUAUUUAACCCAAAAGGUGAAUAUCAAGCUUAAGGUUCUUACAUAUUGAGACGAUCAAAUUUCAUUCAUUCUGAACAUGAGAUGCAACUUGAACUAUUUCAAGUUAUUCCAAAAGAAAGCAUUGAAAGAAAUUUGUUCAUCCUACGUGGUAUAAGUAGUCUCAGUUAGUAUUCUGCAUCAUCAGUUAAAUCAUUUGGAUUAUUAACAAUGAUCUUUUUUAUUAGCUGAAUUGAUAACUCUCUAAGCCACCACUGUAAAGCUAGCAUUUGGAUUAUAACUGAUAGAGAAGAAUAAAAUGAAAAAAAAACAGAGCUAAAUAGGUUGAUAUAAUGAAACUUGUCGUCAAAUGUCAGAUCCGACUUCUUCAAACGAACUAAAGUCCAGCAAUGAAAAUUUCACAUACAAGCAACUAGAAUACCUGCAAGAUAGCUUAAAUUAAAAGUUUUCUGACUCCUUCAGCAGAGAUGCCAACAAUUUCCAAAACCUUUUGUUGGACCUCACGUUUAUAAAUUCUCAAACCUUCCUCCACCAAUCUGACAACAUCAUGGAAAACAAGCAACACCACAUUUAAUUGUCUUUAAUUUAUAAAAAGCUUCAAGCACUACAGAUGCCAGGAUAUAAUGAGAAACCAAUCAUAGAACAUGUCAUGAGCAAGGGCACAAAGAGAGGAAAUAUCUCCAUUGCUUCAGUGUGAUGACAAUCAUCAUGAAACAAUAUCAACAUAUAUGAUUUAGGGAUACAUGAAAUAUAACAACCUUCGAAAUGAAAUUAAUAUACAGUGAUAGAACAAUAUAAAACAAAUAACUACAUAAAGAAAGAGCUUACACUGUUGUUUGUGUUUGUGUGUGUGUGCUUUUUUGUGUUGGGGGGGGGGGGGGGGGAGAGCUGAAGUUAAAAGCUGAACUCUGGUUACCGUUCUUCCAUUUGUAUGUAAAGUCGCUCAAAUUCCUUAGUCAUGGCAUAAUAGAUUCUCUAAUAUAUAUAAUGAAUAAUUCUUUUAAAAGAAGCCCCUGAACUUAGAAUUACUUCCACUUCUUCCAAUUCUUAGUUAUAACAAGGCAUGAAUGAGUUUUGCUAUUUUUAGUGAGAUAUAGAAAGGUAUGUACCCUCUUUUUAUCUUGCAACUUCAAAACCUGGUAAGCCUCUCUCAAAACCUGAAUUUAGACGAAUGGACUCCAAAUGAAAGGAUUUUCUUACAAAAGCUAAAAGAUUGAAUGGCAUGGUGAAAAUGGGAAAAUGAAAAUAUAAAGCAGAAGAAAAAGUUUCAAUCUGAUAAGACAAAUACAGAAAAGCCAAGUUCUUAUUUGCCAUUCCAAUAUUAUUAAUGCAGAAUUACUCUAAUUUAUUUUUCAGUUAAGGUUAGUAACAAUUUAUCUGAAAAUAACUGAACCAACUCGGUUACUACGACAUUACUCUUUCUCUUCUACUUCUGGUUCAUCAAUAGCCACGUUCACCAACACGAGUCCACUCUUCCCCCCUUGACUUAUUUCCCCAACCUUUAGGUCUCUCAAAGUGCAGCAGCAAGAAAUGAUCUUUGCAUCAGUAUAAGCAGUGUGAAGCCCUCCUAAGAAAUCGACCACCUGUUUGGCUAGAAAAACUCCAUUACUCAUUGCCACACCUUAUACUUUCACCCCUUUCAUUAAAACACAAGCAUUACUUACCCAUUUUUAGACAUAAUUUAUUUUUCUGAUAUCACAUCAUUCAGGGAGGGGGAAAAAAAAAAAAAACACACACACACACACACACAAUUAACUGACUUCAGCACAUAAAUUACAACAAGCUGUCAAUUCACAAAAAUAAGGAAAAUUAACUCAAUCAAGUGAAGUAGGCCACAAAAUGACCUCAAUAAAAUAUCAGGGACCACUAAAAUCGAACCAAAUUCAGUUAAACAAAGAAUCACUCAUCAAAGAUAGGCAAAAGGAAAAAAGAAAUGAAUAACAGAGAAAAUUGCUUAUAAAAAUUCAAUAAAAAAAUAAAAAAAGCUAAUCAUCUAUUUUUGAUUUAGUGAUUUCGUCCGCAUAUAAGACAAAAUAGAAAUUCUGAAAUAUACCUAGGGUUUCUAGCUUUGGAAAUUUACCUUACGAGAAACCAGGCUCUCUGUUGCUAGCGUUCUAACUUUACCACUAUGGCCAAGCGACGCCGAUCAGCUGGGAUGAUCGGAUUUCGCAGCGGCGACGAUGCAAAUGUUUUAUGUUUGGGUUUGACGGUAGACGAAGGAACGUUUAGUGUCUUGGGGGUAAUUUUGGGAUUCUAUUUUUUAUUUUUUUAAUUGAAGUAAAAUGACCACAAGGACCUUGCUAUGUUACAGCUUCUGCAAGUAACAUAGCCAAUGAGAAUCCUCCACUCGUGUUGGUGCUGAUGCAACCAGGGCAAGGCAACUGUUCAGAGAAUCCUCCACUCGUGUUGGUGCUGAUGCAACCAGGGCAAGGCAGCUGUUCAUGCAAAGUGAAAAUGCCGAGGCCGUUAGUUGCAGCUUCUGCAACGUAGCCUUGUCCCAAUAAUUUUAAGUAUCCCCAAGUUGUAACACAUUUAAUGUUCAGAGUAGUUAAACAAUUAAUUUUUCUUUUGCAUAAAAACAGAAUAUAAAUUUGGACACAGAAUUUUAUUAAUAAUAUAACGCUGUUCAAUUGGGCCACAUAAUACAAAGACAAUAAACAAUAAAAAAAAAAAUUUAAAAAGAAGUAAAAAUCUAGUCUGCUUUGCGCUUAUUUCCUUCGAGCAAAAGCACUUUCAGACCUUCAAAACUUCUAACUAAUUAGAAAAUGGAAAGAUGACAACAUAUUUACGAGGACCCUACAGUGGCACCAGAAAUAUAUACAUACAUAUAUAUAUAUAUAUAUAUAUAGACACACACACAGACAUCAAAUGGCCACAACUUCCAGGUUACUCUCAUGAUCGUCAGUUGAACUUGGCUGCAGGUUUUGGAUGUGGUUCGUUUCUGCUUCAAUAAUGUUCUCUUCGUCAACGUUUUCCGCAAUUUCUUGAUUCCGGUCCACACGAGUGAUCAUGAUACGUCGAAUCCAGUUGAAGCAGCGCUUAAACAGGGAAGCUAACGUUGCAUAACAGAGUGAUAAGAUUAUGAGGCAAAAAUAGGGCACCAGGAAGAGAAAUGGAGCCAAAAUGACAGACGCAACCACCGAGAUAGCCAACAGGACAGAGGGUUCUCCACAACUCACGGAAAUGGAGCGGCUCACACUGACAGUGAGUCUGAUAGGUGUGAGGAGGAAGAGCAGUAAUGGCAUGAUGACGGCAGGAAUCAAGAGCCAGAAUUCUAGCUUGAAAAUUGGAUUCAAAAGUAUCUUACUGGUACCAUCCUGGACGUCCCAUGAGUUGCCAUCCUGAUACCUGAGGAACAGGAAAAAGAUGAUAAGGUUUAGCAAAGGCGGAAACAAAUACCUCAAAUCAAUUAACAGAUCCAUGCUUAUGAGGAAGAUCAAUUUGGCAAUGGCAGGGGCUUGAAUUUUGAUUUUAUUUAUUUUCUUUUUUUUUUUUUUUCCUUUCUUUCUCUCUGCUGCUAAAGAUGCCGAGAGCUUGUGUGUGCAAAGGGUAACUGGAGGAUUUAUAGCUCCGGGGAUGUCUACGAAAGUACCCGGAAGGGUUACUAGCUCGAAAUGCUGUGUGUGUACAAAGGCUUGUCUUUUUCUUCAGAUAAAAACAAAAUAGUGCCAUGGUGGACAUGCAAGAUGACAUCACAUCUUGUUUUUCAAAUAAAAAACAAGAUUGCGCCAAGAAUCGUGUUAAGGAUUGUUGCUAGUUAUAAAUAAUCUUGUUAUGUUGUGUCACUAAAAUUAAUAAUUAAAUGGACACAAGUAAUUAGGUGUUUGAUAAAUCAUCUUAAAAAUAAGUGUGUAUCGAUGAUGGCAUUAUAAACUCAUUCUAACCCAGUUUAAGUUAAAAUAAUUUUUCAUUAAACAUUAUUUUUUUAGACUACUAUGACUUUUUUUAUUUCAGCUAAGUAUAUGAAUUUUUGUUAGGGACUAAUACUUUAUUAAGAUUAUAAAGAAUCGUGUUAAGGACCACUAUGACUAUUGAUUAUUUUAUUAAGACUUGUAUGAGAUUUUUCAAAGAUCACUAGGCUCAUAGCUUUCCAUUAGGUGUGAAUGUGAUUGACAAAUUUAUUAUUAAAGUGUUUUCUUGUAUGACAACCAAAAAGAUAUAAGGUCAAAUUGUUUUAACUAGUGCCGACCGUCAACGUGCCAACGUCACGUGUUGGCCAAGUCCUAUUAUCCUGUCCAAAAUUUGGAGAAAUUUUUUAAUUUUAUAAAAUUUUUGGGCUUUCCCUCAUCGGCUAUUUCUUUUCUUCUUUUCUGAUAAAUCUUAUGUGCUAUUCAUUAAUUGCUUUUAUUUAUAUUUUUAAACACUAUUCAACACAAGUUACUUAACAACAAAGGCAUACGCAAAAUUAAAACUUAUUCAGGAUUUAUAGCUUUUGACAAAUCACAAUUUGUCUUUGAGUCUGUGAUGCCGAUGCGGGACUACCCCUGACGAGAUAUGGCUGGAUAUAAAUAUAAAAAUUGCAUUCAGUCUUCUAGUAGGUAGGCAACGAUAUUCUGGAAGGAAAUGUUAUGCGAAUUUUGUGAUCCAAUUUGCCCUGACUUUGGGUCCCUCACCAUUUCAAUUUCAACAAACUACCAACAUACAGAUUUUGUAACUUAAUUAGACCCAAUUAAUACACAUACAUACAUACAUAAAAAUGUAUGCUCAUAGUACAAAUAAAGGCCAUUGGACUUGUUACCAACAGCAAAUGGUGCAUUUCGAUGCCAUUCACGUGUGAAGCAACAUUAUUAUUGUGUCAGUGUUUUCACUUCUGUAGACGAGGGAAGGACAUCUAAGUUUCUUGAUGAUUGACCCGCAUAGCUUUGCUUCAAUUUGGCUAUUGACUACAUAUUAAUCACUUACCUGCUUGCUAAAUCAAGGACUCUAAAUCAUACCAAUCUUUUUCCAUGUAUCUAUUUGCGAAUCUUUGACCAUAGUUAGCGAUGUUAUUUACUUUUUAUCAUAAAUUUACAAAUGCAAAAACUUAAUGCAUUUUAUUUUUUAUUUUUUCCUAAAUGGAACGAUAAUGAAUUUCCAAACCAUGCUUCCAUGCAACUUAGGGAAUCAAGGAGACAAGGACUCGGAGUGGUUUGUUCUGCACUUCCACAAAAGAAGAAGCACUGGAUUUUGCUGACAAAAAACGUCCUUGUUUAUGAUAUCUUUUGGUCUAUCUCAAUUUGGUGUUCUCUCCCUUUUUUCUCUUAAAUGUUUCUAUUCAAGUGAUGCGAUAAAAAUGGCAAACGAGUCCAAGUGUUGAUUCUUUGAUCCAAUAUUGUCAAUCUGUCCGGUUCAAGGAAGCAUAAUUGAACAUAACACGAAAUCACUUAAACUCGAAUUGUUAUAUAUCAAAGGGUAGAUUAUCAGUUAAUAUAUUGUCAAUACUCCUCCUAGAAUAAUUUUUUCAUUAUUUUUAAAUGUACUUUUGCUCAUAUUUAUUAUAAAUUAAAAUAAACCAUAUAAUAGAAAUUAAAAUAAAAAAUUUCAAAAUUAAAAAUAAGAAAUAUAAGUUUCGGUGUGAAUAAAAAUUAAUAAUAAGAUAAUUUUUCUUAUAUUUUUUUUAUUAUUUUUUAAAUAUUUUUCUUAUAAUAUAUAUACAAACACAUACAUGCAUGCAUGCAUGCACACACACACAUAUAUAAGAUAAAUUACCAAACAAAUGACUGAUUUUCUUUUAAAUUUUUGGUGCCGUGGGAGUUUUCGAAUUGUAUGAAAGCAACUUGCGAUAAGUUAUAUAUAUUAAUUUUAAUAGGGCAUGGGAGAUUGACAAUCCUCCCAUAUCAAAUCUAUUUGCAGUUCUUUUUAAUUCUUAUAUUUAUAUGCAUGAUUUUCUUUUCUUUUAUUAACAAAUCUGCGUUAAGGAGGAAAUUUUUUUUCCCCUUACAACGAUACCCUUAAGAUGCCUGCUGCAUGCAUAUUUAGUUAGCUGUUAAUGAUUUACUGUUAAAAUUUAUUUUUUGUUUUUAUUUUUUAAAUUCACUCUAGGUUUUGCAGUGGCAGGAGCAUGGAAAAGUUUGUCGGUUAAGUGAUUCGAAAUUUUUUCUCCUAUUGAUAAAUAACUAAUUAAGUUUUCUCUUUCCUUUUUUUUAAAAAAUUUUUUAAUCCGACCGAUGACUAUUUAAUUGAGUUUCACCAGUUGAAAAGGACUUAUUGGAGUGUAAUAGAUUCAAAGAAAACUUCAAAGGAUAAGUCUAUUAUUGGCAGAUUGACGAUUGGGUUGGAAUAAUCAAAGUAGAAGGAUAAACCAAUUAUCCACGGGCACAAUUAAAAUUUCAAAUAGAUAUAUAUUUAAUUAUGUAAUUGCCUAAAACCUCCCAAGCGUCUUACUUAAUCUGCUCAAAAUAGAAUAUUCUACAGCCACUUUUUUGAUAAAUUGGGUUAUUUAACGCCUAAAAAUAAGCUUCAAUAGAAUUUUCUUACCUAACCACUUAACUCAUAGAUGUAUUAGGUAGGUACUUUCUCCUAAAGCUUAUUUUAAUUGAACAAAACAACUUCACAUCAAAUUUGCAAAGUCAAUAUUCCACAAAAUUUUUCCUUCUCAUGAAUUAAUAACUCUACCAAUAUAAAAAAACAUAUUUCACCUACACGUAUGGAAAAUUUUUUUUAUUGUGUCUGUUUGUGACCAUCAUUAUUAGGUUGAGUUGAGUAUACACGUAUGGAAAAUUUUUUCUAUUGUGUCCGUUUGUGACCAUUAUUAUUAGGUUGACCAUUAUUUUUUCUAUGGUUAUUUUUUUAAUCUUAAAUUUUAAAAAUAAAUGCAAAAUCGUAGUGUAUAAAGCCGAUUUUUUUUUCCCCAUAAUGAAUUUUCAACCAUGCUUCCUUACAACUUAGGGAAUUAAGGAGUUGGGAGUGGUGUGUUCCGCACUUCCACGUCCUUGUUUAUGAGAUCUUUUGGUCCAAUAUGUCAAUUUCAUAUUGUCUCCCUCUCUCUUUUUCUUUUUUUCUUUUUUUUUUUGUCUAUUUAAGGUUUCUAUUCAAGUAAUGCGGUGACAAUAGCAAACAAGUCCGAGUGUUGAUUGUUUGAUCCAAUAUUGUCAAUCUGUCCGGUUGGAAGCAUAAUCUACUCCUCGAAAAUAUAAUUUUACAUUUUUCAGAUAAUCACGAGAUUCCUCUCUCCAUAAAUCUUAUGUUAAUUUGCACACCACAUUACCUUUUCUCAUACCCAAUAUAAUGCACAAAUAAAUCAAUCUCUUUUGAUAUGAAUAUGCAUAGCGACGUUGUUAUGAUCAAGUUAAAAGUUCUAUGAUAAAGAAGAGUUCGCUCUAAUUUCACGUAAAAAAUUGAAUUCAUAAUAAAACUGUUCCAAAUUUUAAAUUAAUGACGAACUUGCUCCAAAAAUUUAGUUUGCUAUAGGGUGAACAUGAUUUUUCUUGCUCAUAAUAUGGCAGCACAAGAGCUAUUCAUCUAUUGCUAUACGUACUAUAAGUGGGCCAGCGGAGGUUCGGAGUGCACACACGUGGCGCACCAACGAGCGGCGUUGCAAAGCACUGAUAUCAUAUCACUCGUGGCCCAUCAGCUACACGAGGGAAUUGUAAGAGAGAUUGUAACAUCUUUCAAGUUUUUUUUUUUUUUUGGUUUGAUAUUCUGGACGAAAACGGUUUACCGUUUAUUGAGAAAACGGCUAACCGUUUAAGUCCAGAGAGCAUGUUUUCUGUUCUGGGUAAAACAGCGUACCGUUUAUGGAGAAAACAGCUAACCGUUUAACUCCAGAGAGCAUGUUUUAUGGUCUAGAGAAAACGGCUCACCGAUUAUUGAGAAAACGGUUAACCAUUUAUGUACAAAGAGCAACGUAUUUGACAUUCUGGAAUAAAACGGCUCACCGUUUAUUGAGAAAACGGUGAACCGUUUAUUUCCAGAAAGGCGUCAACUAGAAACGGUUGACAAGCUUGAAAAUUUCAAGUGUUGAUCGUUGCAAAUUCAAACCAAAAGAGUUUUUUGAAGAAGUACCAUUUCGAAUGGUUGCAUUCUUUUGAAUUAACAUCUUCUUCAUAAAGGAAACAUAUACAAUAAGAUUAAAAUCAGAUUUGUGCAGGUUUAAUAAAUGUUCUGGAAAUACAAUCUUAUUUGCUAAAGAUUGUAUUCAGGAUUUGAUAUAUCUUGGGGGUAAUUUGCCAUUAAAACUCUAUAGCAAACCAAGAUUGGUGAGGGCAAAUAAAACCUUAAAGGAAAGUGUGUAAACACGUCUCAAAUCCUAAGAAAUUUCAUUGUUCUUUGCCUCCAUAUUCUCAUAAUUCACCAACAAUCUUUAAGGUUUUAUUUUGUGCAAAUGGAGGUUGAGAAGAGUUUGACAUCAUUUCUGAAUCCUAGUGUCCAUCUCGAUCGUUUUGAUGGAACUAAUUUCACUCGUUGGAAGGGAAAAUUGUUCUUUCUCCUUACUGUUCUUAAAGUGGCAUAUGUUCUUGAUCCGAAAUUGGAACCAUUUCCAGAACCAAGAGAAGAUGAUACCGAAGUUGUUAAGGCUGCAAGGAAACGUCGUGAAGAUGAUGAAUUGAUAUGCCGGGGUCACAUACUCAAUACGCUUUCUGACAGAUUAUAUGAUCUCUACAAUUCUAUGACUUCUCCGGUGGAAAUUUGGAAUGCUCUUGAAUACAAAUACAAAACGGAGAAAGAAGGUACUGACAAAUUCCUUGUAUCUAAAUAUUUUGAAUUUAUUAUGGUAGACACAAAAUCCAUUCUUGAUCAAAUACAUGAGUUACAAAUUAUUGUUGCUAAGCUUCGAGAGUUAAAAGUUGAAAUUUCUGAAUCAUUUCAAGUUGGGGCUAUUAUUGCUAAAUUGCCUCAAAGUUGGAAUGAUUAUAGAAAGAAACUCCUUCAUAGUAAAGAGAACAUAACUUUAGAAGAAUUGCAAAAACACUUGGUAAUUGAAGAAGAGACUAGGUCUCGUGAAUCCAAGGAUAAGCAUGAUUCUACUAAAGUUAAUGUUGUUGAAGCUAGUAAAUUCUCAAAGAAUUUUAAAGUCAAGAAUGACAAGAAAUUCAAGAAGUCCAGCACACAAAAGUUUUCUGGAAAUUGUUUCUUUUGUGGUAAGAAAGGCCAUCGCCAAAGUGAUUGUAGAUUCAAGAAGAAAAAGGAAGAAGUGAAUUCCCAUAAAGCUAAUGUUAUUGAAAACAAAUCUGAAGAGAUUUGUGCUAUGGUUUCUGAAAUGCAAAUUGGCAUGAUUACCGAAACCAAUAUGGCUGAAACUAAGUCCUAUGAUUGGUGGCUUGAUUCGGGUGCAACAAUUCAUGUUUGUAAUGAUAAGAAAUUUUUCUUAUCAUACAAAGAAGAAACGGAAGGACAAAUGGUUCUCAUGGGGAACAAUAAUGCAGCCAUAGUAGCAGGGAAAGGAGUAGUUGAGAUCAACUUCACUUCUGGAAAGAAAGUCACAUUGUAUAAUGUCUUUCAUGUACCUUCCGUUAGGAAGAAUCUUAUUUCUGCUAGUUGUAUGUGUAAGCAUGGGCUUAAGAUUGUGCUUGAGGGUAAUACUUGUAUUGUGUCAAAGAAUGGAUUAUUUGUUGGGAAAAGGGUAUUCUUGUGAUGGAAUGUACAAACUCAGCAUUAAUAAUAAUAAUAUCAACUUAGCUUAUAUUGUUGAGUCUUGUGAUGUUUGGCAUGCUAGAUUAGCACAUUUGAACUUUAGAUCUUUGAAAUACAUGUCUAAGCAUGGUUUGAUUAAUUGCAAUGAUGUUAAAGGUCAUAAGUGUGAAAUCUGCAUCCAAGCUAAAAUAACUAAGAAACCUUUUCCUAAAGCUGAACGAAAUACUCAAAUAUUGGAUUUGAUACAUACUGAUAUUUGUGAGUAUAAUGGCAUUUUAACAAGAGGAGGUAAGAGAUACUUCAUCACUUUUAUUGAUGAUUGUUCUAGAUACACUUAUGUGUAUUUACUUAGAACAAAAAGUGAAGCUUUUGAUAAAUUUAAAAUUUUCAAAGCUGAAGUUGAGAACCAAAAAGAUAAGAAAAUCAAAAUGGUUCCUAGUGAUAGAGGUGGUGAAUAUUUCUCAAUUGAAUUUAAUAAAUAUUGUGAAGAAGUUGGAAUUAUUCACCAAAGAUCAGCUCCAUUUACUCCUCAACAAAAUGGUUUGGCUGAGAGGAAGAAUAGGAUCUUCACGGAUAUGAUAAAUUCCAUGAUCCUUAAUGCAAAACUACCAAAUAAUUUGUGGGGGGAAGCAUUACUCACUGCAUGUCAUAUUCAUAACAGAAUUACAUCUUUGAAAACACAUAUAUCUCCUUAUGAAAUUUGGAAAGGAAGAAAACCAAACUUGAUGUAUUUAAGGGUCUGGGGUUGUUUAGCUUUUUAUAAAAUACAUGACCCUAAGUCAUCAAAGUUGAGUGCUAGAGGUAUAAAAAGUGUUUUCGUAGGAUAUGCUGAAAAUUCCAAGGCUUAUAGGUUGUUAGAUUUAGAUUCUAAUGUGAUUGUGGAAUCUAGAGAUGUUGAAUUUAUUGAGAAUAAAUUUCAACAUGAUUCUAAUAUUGAAUCAGAAUCAAUUAUUGAUCAACCAUGUGUUAAUACUCUUGUUACCUCCACUAAUAAUAAUAAAAGGAAAGAGUCUACGACAUCUUUCGAACCAAGGAGGAGUCAACGUGAAAAGAAAGAUAAGAGUUUAGCUCCGGAUUUUAUUUCAUCACAAGCACUACUCUUCUUGGUUGAAGGGGAUAGAAAGAAUGUACUUAACAAAGUACCAUUGUUGUUAAAUAUUGAAAAAGAUCCAAAGACAUUUAGCGAGGCUAUGUCUUCUAGAGACGCUUCUUUUUGGAGAGAGGCAGUAAAUGAUGAAAUGGAUUCGAUUAUGUCGAAUCAAACAUGGGUCUUGGUUGAUCUUCCUCCAGGAUCUCAACCAAUUAGCAGCAAAUGGGUAUUUAGAAGAAAGUACAAUAAUGAUGGUUCUUUGCAAACUUUUAAGGCUAGAUUAGUAGCCAAAGGGUUUAAGCAAAGAAAUGGUAUUGACUAUUUCGAUACAUAUGCUCUGGUAGCUAGGUUAACUUCUAUAAGAGUGCUAUUUGCAAUUGCUUCAUUGAACAAUUUAUAUGUGCAUCAAAUGGAUGUUAAAACAGCUUUUCUUAAUGGUGAUCUUGAUGAAGAAAUCUAUAUGGAACAACCUGAGGGAUUUGUUUUGCCUGGAAAUGAGAAAAAGGUAUGCAAGUUAAUCAAAUCUCUUUAUGGCUUAAAGCAAGCACCAAAACAAUGGCACGAGAAGUUUGAUUCGGUAAUUUUAUCACAUGGUUUUAAGCAUAAUAAUGCUGAUAAAUGUGUAUAUUUUAAAUAUACGAAUGAUUUUGGUGUGAUUAUAUGCUUGUAUGUUGAUGACUUGCUUAUCUUUGGAACAAAUAUACAAGGAGUAGAUGAUACAAAGAAGUAUUUAACUUCACAAUUUAAGAUGAAAGAUCUUGGUGAAGUAGAUACUAUCUUAGGUAUCAAAGUGAAUAAACAUAGUGGGGGUUACUCGUUGUGUCAAUCUCAUUAUAUAGAGAAAGUGCUUCUUAAAUUCAAUUAUUUGAAAUUUAAAGAAGCUAAUACCCCAUAUGAUUCUAGUAUUAAAUUACUAGAGAAUUCAGGCCGAAUAGUAGCUCAACUAGAAUAUGCUAGUGCUAUUGGUAGCUUGAUGUAUGCUAUGCAUUGUACGAGGCCUGAUAUAGCAUUUGCAGUUUGCAAAAUGUCAAGAUUCACGAGUAACCCUAGUGUUGAACACUGGAAAGCAAUUGGUAGGAUACUUGGUUAUCUUAAAAGGACCGUUAAUUUGGGUUUGUUUUAUAAUGAUUAUCCUGAAGUACUGGAAGGAUAUUCAGAUGCUAGUUGGGUAACCAAUACAAGAGACAAUAAAUCCACUUAUGGUUGGAUUUCUACAAUCGCUGGAGGAGCGGUUUCUUGGGCUUCAAAGAAACAAACGUGCAUAACUCAUUCAACAAUGGAAAGUGAGUUUAUAGCACUUGCAGCUGCAGGCAAAGAAGCAGAAUGACUGAGAAAUUUGUUGUUUGAUAUAAUGUUGUGGCCACAACCGAUGCCAUCUAUUUCUUUGUACUGCGAUAGUGAAGCUACAUUGUCUAGAGCUUAUAAUAAAGUGUAUAAUGGAAAGUCUAGACAUAUUAGCUUAAGACAUGAAUAUGUGAAACAAUUAAUAGCAGAUGGUGUUAUUAAUAUUGUUUAUGUUAGGACUAAUAAAAACCUAGCAGAUCCUUUAACAAAAGGUCUUUCAAGAGACUUAGUUAAGGAUACAUCUUUUGGAAUGAGAUUGAAACCUUUACACAAUAAAGUCACCAACGACGGUAACCCAACUAUGUAGUAGUUAUACCGCUACUCCAUAGUUAAAUGGGUAAUAACAAGUUGUUGUUAUGUGACUGGAUUGGCACCGAGUAAUAAAUAAUCCCAUUCGAGAUAUUCGGUGCAAAUAGCUACGAGGUUGAGGUUGAGUAUUUAUUCUUAAUGAAGUUCAAGUCUUAUAGUAGCUAAAGACAUGAUUUGAAACUUCACCUAAGUGAACAUAAGAAAUGGUGCUGUUUCUAACAAGGUCCUGGUUUAAUCUUGUAAAUGUUCAUGAAUCCAAGAUAGAGCACAAGGCCGGAAUAGUGCUAACUAUUGGAACACAACUUUGAAAUCUGGGAUAACUUAUAUGUGAUGUAUCUCCGGUAUUUACUUAAGAGACAAAGUUUAAUGCUUAGCACACUAUUGUCUUGUAAAUGCUUUGAAAUACACUCACUAAUUAAAGGUUAAAAUCGAAAGAUACAUUUUUGUAUGUAUAAGUUUAUUAUUAAUAAAUCUGAAAAAUAUUACAAUCUAGUGGGGAUUGUAAGAGAGAUUGUAACAUCUUUCAAGUUUUUUUUUGGUUUGAUAUUCUGGACGAAAACGGUUUGCCGUUUAUUGAGAAAACGGCUAACCGUUUAAGUCCAGAGAGCAUGUUUUCUGUUCUGGGUAAAACAGCGUACCGUUUAUGGAGAAAACGGCUAACCGUUUAACUCCAGAGAGCAUGUUUUAUGGUCUAGAGAAAACGGCUCACCGGUUAUUGAGAAAACGGUUAACCGUUUAUGUACAAAGAGCAACGUAUUUGACAUUCUGGAAUAAAACGGCUCACCGUUUAUUGAGAAAACGGUGAACCGUUUAUUUCCAGAAAGGCGUCAACUAGAAACGGUUGACAAGCUUGAAAAUUUCAAGUGUUGAUCGUUGCAAAUUCAAACCAAAAGAGUUUUUUGAAGAAGUACCAUUUCGAAUGGUUGCAUUCUUUUGAAUUAACAUCUUCUUCAUAAAGGGAAAGAUAUACAAUUAGAAAUAUCAUCAGAUUUUGCAAGUUUCAUAUAUGUUCUGGAAAUACAAUCUUAUUUGCUAGAGAUUGUAUUCAGGAUUUGAUAUAUCUUGGGGGUAAUUUGCCAUUAAUACUCUAUAGCAAACCAAGAUUGGAGAGGGCAAAUAAAACCUUAAAGGAAAGUGUGCAAACACGUCUCAAAUCCUAAGAAAUUUUCUUUGUUCUUUGCCUCCAUAUUCUUAAUAUUCUCUAACAGGAAUAGUCCCAAAGCCGAAGGAGGUGGCUGAGAAAUGUAACAGCAACUAUAUUACAUUUUACAUGUUAUUAGGUUUAUCGGUUUCUUUAACUUUAAUACAGAUGGCCGGCUAGAGAGUGAGACCCACAUGACUAACUGAGGAUUAUUCCAAAUUAGAGUUAAUUAUAAUAAUACAGUCUUUAAUUCAACAAUGUUAAUUGUUAAUAGAUAAUGUUAGGUCUGAGUCACUUUGUUGAGUUUUUCAGGGAACUUUGAUAUGGAGAAAGAUGUGCAGUUGCUGGCCCUGAUUAAUUAAAUUAUAUACUACUAAAUAUUUCCUUCCCCCACCUCCAAAUUGCAUAUAUGAUAACCAAACUACUAAUUAAUAAUAAUUAUAAACGAAAACAUUGACAAUUUUAAAGGCUGUCAUUUUCUUCGAUCAAAUUACCUCAGCCGGAAAAAAAUUGAUUUGGAAAUUAAAAUAUAUAGUCAAUACUCCUCGAAAAAUAAUUUUACAGUAUUUCCAUUAUUUUUAAAUAUACUUUUGUUCAUAUUUAUUAUAAAUUAAAUAAAUCAUAUAAAUAGAAAUUAAAAUUAAAAAUUUGAGAAUUAAAAAAAAAUAAGUUUCGGUGUGAAUAAAAAAUAAUAAUAAGAUAACUCUUUCUUGUACUUUUUGUUAUUUUUUAAAUAUUUUUCUUAUAACACACACACACACACACACACACACACACACACACACACACAUAUAUAUAUAUAUAUAUAUAUAUAUAUAUAUAAUUUUCAAGAUAAAUUACCAAACAAAUGACUUAUUUUCUUCUAAAUUUUUGGUGCCGUGGGAGUUUUUGAAUUGUAUAAAACAACAAGUUAUAUGUGAUAUAUAUAUAUAUAUAUAUAUAUAUAUAUAUAUAUAUAUAUAUAUAUAUAUAGAUUUUAAUAGGGCAUGGGAAAUUGACAAUCCUCCCAUAUCAAAUCUAUUUGCAGUUCUUUUUAAUUCUUAUAUUUAUAUGCAUGAUUUUCUUUUCUUUUCUUUUAUUAGCAAAUCUGCGUUAAGGGAAGGAAUUUUUUUUUUUUUUUUCACUUACAACGAUACCCUUAAGAUGCCUGCUGCUUACAUAUUUAGUUAAGAGUAAGCGCAAGGCCUUAGGACAACCUUUUUAUCCUAUCAAUGUGACCGCAAUAAUCUCUCAGAACCCGUAAAUCAGUACGGAGAUAUAAGAGAUGUGAAGGAAUUAAGCAUCUUUAAAAAAGAAAAAAUAUUUAAUGCAUUAGUUCUUUUGGAUUUUCAGCAACUUGCAUUGCCCAAAUCAUUAUCUCAAUUUACCCCCCUCGUUAACAAUAUAAGCUUUCGCACACGAUCCAAAGUUAUUGAUGAUUGACCAGCAUACAUAUCUGUUUUCUUGAAAACUUUUUCUGAAUGAUGGAUUUGAUCCUACAACGCAUCAGUUCAUUACCCUUCCCCAUAAGCUACAUGGUUUUAUCAUUUGAUGAUGACAUUUUAAUAUGUAAUUUCUUUCUUCCAAGACAUUCCUUUGCGACUGAUACUACACAAUCCAUAAUUGCAUUCCCAUCAUACAAGGGUCAUCCACCCUUAAAAAGAGGAAGGGGGGAAAAAGUAUAUGAAACUUAUUAAAUGUUUAAUUAGUAGAAAAUCUUGGGGAAAAUACUUGAAAAAGCAUAAAUUGUGUAUGACAAGAAACAACCAUGCAUGUUUAAUCUUUUGCAAGCAUAGCUCAUAUAACAACUUUAAACAUUUUCCUUGCAAAAAUAUGAAUGAAUCUACAAACACCUGAAAAGUUCAACCAAUCAGCGCAGUUUACUGAUGUUAAAAGAGACAUUCAAUCAAUUUGCCGGACUUCCAAACUUCAAUUUAAUGCAAUCACAGUCAUCACCCUUCUAUCCUUACAAUAGGAUUAGAAUUUCUAUUUAUUGUAUAUUUAACUGCAGUUCUAGACUCUGUCUGCAAAAGUAAAACAGAUAAUUCUUGUUAAUUUCCCUGGAUGAUCAGUAUGCUCUCAAUCUCUAUGCUUAGUCAUAGAUAUACAACCAUGUCAAAAGCUAGCCCUUCCCAACUAAGUCCAAACGGAUGACAAAAAGUGAACCUUGUCCCACUGACAAGAAACUUGGUCUUCCCUCUUAUCUUCAAAAAUGCAAUCUUGCCGAGUAACCCAAAAAGGAGCUAGAGCCAGAGAACCUUAGCUUUCUAUCCUUGCCCGAAAGCAAAACCAUUUUUCAUUAGCAAAGAGCUACAAGAACUUGGAGCAUCCUAAAACCAAUAACAUAAUUGAGAAUCAAUGCAUGUAUCCGUAAGCAUAGUACCCAAACCAAUUUUAAAUUUCUGAUAGGCUUACUUAAUUGCCCAAAUUCUACCAAGCUUUUCAGUUAACCUGCUCAAAAUACAAUCCGCAGGUACAUUUAAAUAAAUUGGGUUAUUUAACGCCUAUAAUCUUUGAAACCUCAUCAAAUUGCUACCAGAAGUAAUCCAUACCAAACAAUCAACACAUGAAAUACAGGACCUUCAGACAGAAGAAAGAUGGCCGAAGAAGAAAUUAAAAACCCAUAGAAGCACUAAAUACUUCUCCUAUUACUAAUAAUGGAACAAAACAACAUCAAAAUACGCUCAAUAUACCACUAGAGGAAUAAAUCCACACCAAUGACAAGCUAAAUAUGACAUCUUUCUAGAAUUAAUAAUUCUGCAACCAAAAAAGCACAGUAAUUAUCUGCAUUUUAAAUAAUCCUAAAAACAGGACAAUGACUUAUUUAUGUCAUAUAAAGGACCUACAAACACUUAUCUUUUUAUCUAUUUUAUUUCCAAGCAAAAACAACAUUUUUCUAUUCUUUCUUCAACUGGAAAACAGGUUAUGUUACGGUAGUCACUAGACAGUAGGCAAAACACUUGAUAACUAAAUAUAUAAAAAGAAAUAAAAAAGAGUUAAAAAAAAUUACAAAAGUUAAAAUCGAAAAAACAAAAAGAUUAAAAAUGAAACUGCUUGUGAAAAAUGAAAAUAUCAAACCCCCUUCUUCAGAACAAUUCAAAGAGGGAGUUGCUGGUUCUUAAUGCAACAGUAAGUAACAUGCCACUGAAACCCCAACCUUUAAACAUAGAACUUGAACUCAGGAAGAGAUAAAAGAAAAAGACAUAGAUGACUGACUGAGUCCGACUGAAAGAGAGUUAAAAAGAAAUAAAAAAGAGUUAAAAAAGAAAUAAAAAAGAGUUAAAAAAAUUACAAAAGUUAAAAUCGAAAAUACAAAAAGAUUAAAAAUGAAACUGCUUGUGAAAAAUGAAAAUAUCAAACCCCCUUAUUCAGAACAAUUCAAAGAGGGAGUUGCUGGUUCUUAAUGCAACAGUAAGUAACAUGCCACUGAAACCCCAACCUUUAAACAUAGAACUUGAACUCAGGAAGAGAUAAAAGAAAAAGACAUAGAUGACUGACUGAGUCCGACUGAAAGAGAGUCGCCAAUAUACCGUACUGGUCAGCUCCCAGUUGAAUUUGCAAGGUUGGGUUCGAGUCCCAGUCCCACAGGUAGUGAAAGUAGGUAGGUAUCGUAAGUUCCUACUAACCAGCUGGAGUAUCAAAACCUGUUUGUAUAAGCCUGCACAAUACAAGUUAAUCAUCAGCAAAUGAGGGGGCUGCAGCGAGAAACACAGAUCAUGUAUUAAUUAUAAAACAUGUAAAAUUAACGUAUAAUAUAAGUCAUAAAACCCUUUUUCUUUAGAGAUAAUCUCCCCAUAGCAACUAUAAAUAUGGAAAAAAAAAAUGACCAAAGAGUAGAACAGUCCCCUCCUUUUCUCCAAACAAAUACAACCAUUUCAGUUCACACCUAAGCUGAGAACCAUUCUAGUUUCAAUUUUCAACCAAUGAAACAACCAUAGUAUUCUUAUAUAAAAAAAAUGAAAUAACCAUAGAAUAAAAUAAUUAUACUCUAAUUCAAAUAUUGCUUCAGAAUAUAGACUCAAUUGGUCAAACCUAUGGAAUUGGAAUGAUGCAUUUAUUUAACCCAAAAGGUGAAAAUCAAGCUUAAGGUUCUUACAUAUCGAAAUGAUAAAAUUUCAUUCAUUCUGAACACGAGAUGCAACUUUUCAAGUUAUUCCAAGAGAAAACAUUAAAAGAAAUUUGUCCAUCCGACGUAGGCUAAAUCAUACGGAUUAUUAACAUUGAUAUUUUUUAUUAGCUGAAUUGAUAACUUUUGCACCCUAACUUAAGGGCACAUGUGAUAAGAAAUUUUUUUCUACAUCAGGCGCAAGUAUAAGCUUUUAACAAUUAAGCUUUGACUGUUUGCUUACAAGAUCAAACAUAUACUAAUAGAGAUGAAUAAAAUCCAGCACUUCAAGAAAAAUUUGACAUUAUAUCCCCUAAAAUGUGGAUAUUAUCCAAUAUAUCAAACCAGCAAUUUUUAUACUCAGCUGCUUAAAACUUCAAAAACAAAAAAUAAAAUAAAAUAAAAUAAAUAAAAUAUAAUAAAACAUAACCUUCUCAAGUCAACUCUACUAACCUUCUCAAGUCAACUGUACUAUGACAAUUGGUUAAUACGACAUUUGGGGCCUCCAGGACCCUAUUACUACAACACUAACAGAUAUAAGUGCAUCCUACCAACGUAGCUUAGUCAUUCUAAAUACAUGUAUUAAAAAGCAUAAUAUCUACAAAAAGGUAGCUUACUAAGUUUACUAGGCCAGCAAUGCCAAAGCACAACCAGAACAGUAACAAAAAUAGACGAAGACGGUUCUUUAUUACAGAACACAACUUUCAAAAGAUGCAAUCUCCAUGUUAAACCCCAAAUCAAAAUCAAUCCUCCACUGACCACAAUACUUUUCACCAUCAUUGCCCAAACCUGAAAAGUAAGGGGUGAGCUAACGCACAGUAUGUAGUUACACACAACAAAGGAUCGUUUUAUUUUUUUAUCUUUUAUUGUUUUUAAACACCCAAAUAAUUCACACAACUUUGGUACAUUUCUAACAUAGACCAUUUAUAUGUAUAUAAAUAUAUAUAAAAUAUUUAUUUCUUAAACUUUUUAAGUUUGAAAGUUGGUGUUCAACAGAAAUGUCAUAAGACAAGAUCAUAACAACAUACACACAUACAAAUAUCAUGUUGCUCGGUAGUUACGUGUAAAGAAAUCCUAAAAUUACUCUUUCAAUAAUACAAAAUAAAAACAUGCCUGACAAGUCAGUAAGAUGUAAAUCCUCAGCAAACAUUUUCCCCCAAUAUUAAUUUUGAAAAGAUAUACCCUACAUGCUUUUGGAGCAUUAUUCCCAAGGCCACCGCCCAUGAUUUCUUUUGUAGACUUUCACCGCGGGAUAGAAAUCUGACAAAGGUCAAUCCAGCACAGCAUACUUUUGGGGCAUUAUUCCCAGGGGCCAUCGCCCAUAAUUUCUUUUGCGGGCUUCACCGCGGGACAGGAACAUGUCUAUCACCAAUCAACCUUCUCAAACCUCAGCUUAAAUAAAAGGAAUAAAAAUGAUUAAUUCAUUCAAUUGCAUCAAUGUAAGUUUCCUUACUAUGACACACCUAGGAAUGGCAAUGGGCACCGCCCGCAGCGGGUUUGUCAUUACUAAACCCAAACCUGUACAAAAUUUAAAUUACCAUCCGCAGCGGGUUUUAACAAUUACCAAACCCGCAAUGGUAUCCGGCGGAUUUUUUACGGGUUUCCGUAUUUAAAAUCAAAAAUGUUUAAUAUAUAAAUUUAUAAUAAUAACCUCAAAUUCCAUAUAACAUACUCAAUUUUAUAUUUAAAUAAUGUAAAUGAAAAAUUAAAAUUUCCACAUCAAUUCAACAUAAAUUCUCAAAUUAAGUAUAAAUUACACAAAUCCAUUUAAAAAACACAAACUAGUAUCUAAAAAUAAUAAUUACAUUUCAUAUUAUCAUUUAAAACAAGCUCCAAGAAAAGAUAUUCAUUUCAUUCACCACCAUAAGCACGCAUCCAACACAAUGCUUAUAAUAAUAAUUAAGAUUAAUAUUUUCAAAUACUAAUUCGAAGGAAAAUGCCUUUAGUUUUCUUUAGAUUAUGACUUUAGAAUAGGAUAUAGGCCACAUACACACAUACACAACUUUGAUCCUUUGGCUAUUUGGUAAUUUAAUUAAUGACAUUAUUUUCUUUAUACAUUUUUAGAUUAAAAUUAAAUUAAAAAUAUUUGAAAAAAAUAUUGCGGGUUUGGUGGAUAUCCAUGCGGGUAUCCACCGGAUAUAAGGUUAAUACCAAACCCACCCGCAUCCAUGUGCGGGUUUUAAUUUAUAAUACUAAACCCGCCCGCAACGGGUAAAAUUACCCGCAACGGGCGGGUUUUGGCGGGUGGGUUUGUGCGGGUUUACGGGUUUGCGGGUACAAUUGCCAUCCCUAGACACACCAGACCCAUGAUACUUCUCAAUAACAAUAGUUAUAGAUAACAGAAUCUCAGCACAUCCCAAGUUUCACAACACAUCCACAAACUUAAACCGCAAACAAAGCACCAUAUCAUUGCAGGAUACAUAAACACAAUUCAGCUACACUUCCUAUUCCAAACUUGGCUAUAUCGCCGUUAAUGUUUAAUUCUCAUUCAUGAAUGUAUCAACCAAAUUAACUAUCAUAACUGAUUCAAGUAAUAACAAUACAUGGUCUUCAAUUAAAACUCGCAAUCCUGUUGAAAAUUCUAACAUGUCAAUUUUUUAUUUUAGCCACAUAGUCAUGUAAUUAAAUGGCUACCCAUACACCCACUGCAUUAAUUAUUAAAGGAAGCAAUUAAGCCAUUAGUACAUUAAAUCUAAGCAAAACAACUUAUAAGGACCCAAAAAAAGGAAAAAAAAAAAAGAGAAAAAAAUUACAUGAUCAAGCAAGAAAAACAACCUGAUUUUUCAGUUUUGAGUAACAAAAUCACUCAAUUGCAUAUAAACACCUACCUUGAUUCUGCAACAACAGCUCCUAGUUCUCCAAAGUCUUCUCUUCUUCUCUAACUUGGCUUCCUGUUGGUAAUACAAAAAUUAACCAACCAUACUGCCAAUAAUUUAAGAAUCCCAAAUUUAACAUAGUCCUAAACUUGCUGCGAGUUGCAGCAGCAAAAAGGAAACAAUUAAGAAAAGUAAGUGAAAAAAAAAAUCCAUUAAUAAAAGUAACAAGAUUUGAAAACUGAACCAUGCAUGCACAGAAACUUACCUACACCAGGUCUAAACAAUUAGAGUUAUGAGAAAAUCCAGCCAAACUCAUGUUGGUUUCCCAGAAAUUUCAUACUUGCUGUUGUUCUCAGCUCCUUUAAAUGCACAACUAUUCUCUCUAACACCCAAUUGCUCACUUUCCCUCCAUUUCUUUAUCUUCCUCUUCUCUCUUAUUUUAUUGGUAAAUUAUCAGCCAUAUACUCUUAAAUAACAUCCGUAUCAAACGUGUGUGAAUAUUUUUCAAGUGUAUCACUCGUAUACCCUAAAUUGACAAAAUACUUCUGCCGUCCACUAAUCCGUUAACUUCCGUUUGCAAGCGCUGACAUCAUAAGGGUAAUUUAGUCUUUUAAGAUUGACAAAACUUUGAUUAAAAAAACGAAAUGUCAUCGCAUUUACUAGUAAAAAAUGACAUGUCAUAUGAUAUAUAUUAAUAAAAAUGACAUGUCAUCCCAUUUAUUAGAUAAUUGUUAAUAAUUGCUAAAAAAAAAUUACUUUACAACUGAAUCUACUCCUCCAAAAUUUAACCUAAAUUUUUUAAAAUCUACUCCUCCAAGCUCCAACUGGAAAUUUUUAUGGUAUAAUAUGUAUAAUUGUAAAUAAUAUGUUGUUAAUAAUUUUUUAUGGUAUAAUAUGAAUAUUUUUUAUGGAUAAUUGGUAAUAAUAUGUACCAUUAAUAAUUCAUUUUUUUAAUAAAAAAAUAUAUUGUUAAUAACAAAAUAAAAAAAAAUUAUGUAUUGAAAAUUUACGUUAAUUUUUGGGGUAAAUUUAUAUUUUUAUCUCAUUUUGAGUUUCAAGAGCAAAAUAGUCAAUUUGCCAUAAUUCUGUUAACUUUCUAAUGGAAGUUAACGGAUUGGUGGACGGUAGAAGUGUUUUGUCAACUUAGGGUAUACGAAUGAUACACUUGAAAAGUAUUCACAUACGUUUGAUACAGUUGUCAUUUAAAGGUAUAUGACUGGUAAUUUCCUUUAUUUAUUUAUUUUUUUCUCGUUCUCUCUCUGUUAUUCCGAGGUAUCCACUUUAUUGAGUAGAAUGCCUUCCGCUGUGGGUUAUCAACCCACCUUUAGUACCAAAAUGGGUUCUUCACAAUAAAGAAUUCCCUUCUCCCUCUUUUUUUUAUUAUUAUUCUUAUUAUUAUUACCCGAACAUUGAUUUUGUUUGUUACAGGAACUUAACCAAAGAAUAAAGACACCUUAUAAAUUGGUUGUGGGCUGGGCUUAGUUAUUGAUUAAAAAAAAAGGAAAUUAUCAGGUAUAUACCUUUAAAUGACACCCGUAUCAAACGUGCUACAAUACUUUUUAAGUGUAUCACUCGUAUACCCUAAGUUGACAAAAUACUUCUGCCGUCCACUAAUCCAUUAACUUCCGUUAGAAAGUUAACAGAAUUGUGGCAAAUUGACUAUUUCGCCCUUAAAACUCAAAAUGAGAUAAAAAUAUAAAUUUACCCCAAAGAUUAACGUAAAUUUUCAAUACACAAUUUUUUUUAUUUUGUUAUUAACAAUACAAUUUUUAUUAAAAAAAUAUGGAUUAUUAAUGGUACAUAUUAUUAACAAUUAUCUGUAAAAAAAUCCAUAUUUUACCUAAAAACUUAUUAACAACAUAUUAUUUACAAUUAUACAUAUUAUACCAUAAAAAAUUUCAGUUGGAGCUUGGAGGAAUAGAUCUUCAAAAAUUUAGGUUAAAUUUUGGAGGAGUAUAUUCGGUUGUAAAGUAGCUUUUUUUUUAAAGUAAUUAUUAACAAUUAUCCAAUAAAUGGGAUGACAUGUCAUUUUUAUCAAUAUAUAUCAUAUGACGUGCCAUGUUUUACUAGGUAAAUGAGAUGACAUAUUUUUUUAAAAAGACUAUAUUACCCUUAUGAUGUCAGCGCUUGCAAACAACAGUUAACGGAUUGGUGGACGGUAAAAGUGUUUUGUCAAGUUAGGGUAUACGAGUAAUACACUUGAAAAGUGUCGUAGCACGUUUGAUACUGGUGUCAUUUAAGGGUAUAUGGCUGAUAAUUUCUUAAAAAAAAAACAACAAAGGAAGUUUAGAGCAAUUAAAACAAUGACAAUAAUAAUAAAAUAACAUAUAUAAUUAUAAAUAAGUAGAUAAAUUAAACUUAGGAUAAAUUUGGGGUGUUACAAUAACUCCCCAAGCCACCACUGUAUUUAACUGAUAGACAAGAAUAAAAGAAAAAAAAAGAAUUAAAAAAGUUGAUAUAAGGAACCCUGUGGUCAAAUGUUAAAUCUGACUUCUUCGAACGAGUUAAAGGCCAGCAAUGAAAAUUUCACGUAAAAGCAACCGGUAUACUUGUAAAAUAGCUUAAAUUAGAAGUUUUCUCACUCGUUCAGGAGAGACACCAACAAUAUCCAAAACUUUCAAAUACAACUUAAGUUACACUAAAUCAUAAUCAUUUCAUUCUUUAUCUAAAUAUCUAAAUAUGUUUACGAGGGGAAGAUGCCAACAAUCUUCAGCUAAUCCUCUUGAACACACCCUUUUCUCCUUUGUUGACAAAUAAGAUUACUGUGGGGAUCUCAUAAUCGGGCUUUGAUCUCAAUUGAGUUUAUAAGCCUUUGUCAGUUGGGCUGAAUCCAAUUGGGAUUUUUAGAUUUAUAGAAAUCCAUGGUCUAAUUCAACCUAAGAACUAGUUCAAAAAUAAGAAAUUCCUCAAGUUUACAUUGUUAGCCUAGUCACUGUUCUCCUCCGAUGUGAGAUGAAGUAUCCUCAACAAGAUUCCCAUUGUGCGGCGCAGUUCGGAGAUGAUACAUGUAAUGGUAGGCAAUCUGUGGGGUUGAAUCCAAUUUGGUCACCGCCAUCUUCAAGCUGGUUCAAAUUGAAUAUCAUUGAUGCUGCAAUGAAUGAUGAAUCAAACGGGUGGGGAUAGCAGGACUUAGGCGGCCACAGGAUUCUGGGCCUAUUCAUUUCUCGGGCCGUCUUCGUAAUGGACCUUUUGGUCUUCUUAAUUAGGCCCGGGCUUGCUGUAAUCCCUCAAAGCAAAUGUUUUUGGCAGCUUGGGUCCUGCGUUUCAAAUAUGCAAGUCAUGUUUUGUUAAUCAAUUGUCAACUGUACCAUUUACUCUGAAAUAAAUUGAAAUUUCAUUUUCACAUAGAGAGAUUUCAGUAAAGUAGUACAUCCUCCAAACACACAUCAACAUCAAAAUUGAUUAAAUUAUUAUAUUUUCAAAUUAUGAGAGGAAGAAAAAAUUGUUUAUAGAUGCAAUGUAUAUUCAUUCUUUGCUAAAUCCACAGGUAAUUAAAAGUUUCAAAUAUAUAUAUACACGUAAUUGCCUAAAGUCCACCAAGCUUCUAAUUUAAUCAACUCAAAAUAAAGUUUUCACAACAGUCACAUUUUUUAUAAAUUGGGAUAUUAGCCCCUUUAUUCUUCGAAAGCUUAUUGUUGGAAUUGGUUGCUGAGUUUCCAAUUAUCAAUUGAACUGUAGUCAUUAACACACACCCACAUAUGCUGAUGGUACAGUCAGAUCGAAUCUGUUAUAAACUAAUUAAAUUACAAUAUGUUUCUUUUACCAGCUGUAUGAUUGACUGUUAAUUAAUGACCAGAGAAGAAAUUAUAAGUACUCCUCCAAAAGCUAAGAUUAAUGGAUCAAAACAACUUCAGAUAUUUCCCAAUAAGCCACUAAAUCAGGAUCAAAUUCACAAGUCAGUAUUCCUCAAGAUUUUUCCAUUUCAUGAACUAACAGGUCUGCCGUUACUGGAUUAAAAGCUAAUAAAAAUUAAUUCCUUAGCAUGCAUUCUAAAUCAUCCUUAAAUUUUAUAUGUUCGGUUCCAGCUGCAGGCAUAACUUCGGCUGAAGUACAGAAAAAAAAUAAAAUAAAAAUUAGAAAAGAAAGAGUAAAAAUGAAAAAGAAAGAAAAUAUCGAUCAAAACGUACGACUCUUUGACCAAACAAGUCAACUGUCACAUGCACACGGGGCCCAUUUUUGAAAACUUUUUUCUACUUGUCUGUAUACAAGUUUGCAAGCUUGAUGUAGGCAAUGAGACUAAAGGCAAGUGAGUUGCAAAGAGCCCUGAAGAGGUGAAGGCGGUGAGGUCAGGUUUUUUAUUUUAAAUUUAUGAAAGUCAAAUAUUAAUUUAUAAAGCCGAACGGGUAUCAUAUACGGGGUCCAGCUACCGGGCCCCCAGGACACCGUGCCUCCUUCAUUUGUCAUUAUCUAGUCCAGCCGUUAGAUUAUAAAGAGUGUUAUCCAACGGUUGAGAUUUUAGUCACGAACAAUGUGUGAAGCGGGCAAUUGCCCAAACCCAUUUGAGGUACAAGAGUAGUUUUAGGGAUCUGUAAAUCCUUAACCGUAUUUGGCCUGACGUGAGCGAUUUCCCUAAAGCAACCACCAGUUUCGUAAUUGUGUGUGACUAUAGCUGCUGCAGCGACGCUGAAUUAAAUUUUCGAAGACGAUUGUGGUGACUUGUGGAUUUGUUGUGGUCGUAUUGAAGAAAUGGAUAGGAUUGCGUAAACCAUCAUUAAAGGUUAGUGAAAUUUUAAUGUGAGAUUUGUGACGUGAAUCAUUUGUAGCUGAUAAUAUAGUUGGUGCGAAAUUAGAUUUCAUUGGUGCGAAAUUAGAUUUCAUAUGGAUAAUGGGAAGAUAUGAGAGUGCAGGGCGUAAAUUUUUAAAUUAAAUUUCUGGAAAUUUUAUGAACAGUGUAGUAAUAUAAAGGAGUUUAUUAUUAUUAUUUUUAUGUUAAUAAACACGUGUAUUGAAAUUGUACGAGGGAGGGAUUUCGGCAACAGAAAUUCAGGCUAGUGGCAGCUGAACCUGAAAUAAUUGAGUUGAAUAUUGUUGCUGCGAAUAAUGUGGUGGGAAGUUAGAUUUCCUAUAGAGAAGUAGAAAAUAGUGGAGUAAAGGAGAAAAAAUAUUGAAAAUGAUUUAGGGAUUAUACUCUAACAGCUGAACACGGCCCAUUUAAAGUUGUAUGAUUGAUGAGAAACUUGUGGUUUGCUCUAUGUGUUUGCCAUAUUUCCUUUUCUUUAUCUUCAGACUGACUAUGCCUUCGGCUGCAACUUUGUAGAAGCAUCUACGAAGUGACAAGUCAGAUGUGAAUCACACAGAAAUUUUGAAAAUGAUAUCAUAAUUUCUUGUGCUUGUAUAAUAACAAUGGGACUAAUUAGUUUAGAUGUUUUGUAUGUUUUUAAGUUAAUGUAAUAAAAAUUGAAUGUAUGUCUGGCAAUUCAACAGUAAGGGGGAAGUUAGUAAGUUGUACUAUGAACAUGUGUGGAAAGUACAAACAGGAAAAGUGAAAUUGCAGCAAGUAAUAAAAUGAAGUUAAGUGCAAGCAUUUAGAUGGUGAUGCAAGGGAAAUGGUACAUGUUUACAGCUCGUUGUACAUAUGUUUCAUUGACUGUAUGCUAAUGUAACAAAUAGCUGAUCAAUUAACAAUUGCCCAUGUCAUAACAGUUUCAGUACAAUCCAUAUUUGGCCGAAACUCUUACCGCUGGACAUGACUUCUUGCGAGUACUAUUAAGCAGCAAUGAUGACGACUCCAUAAGUAAGUUUGUCACACAGUUAUUCAUAAUUGCAUUUUCACUUACUCUUUUUGCUAUUUGAAAUUGCAGGCCUGUAAAGGUGACCGUGUCCCAACAUGCAUGAUCCCUAAUGCUGCCAUGUGCUCGCCCUUCCACAUCUGUCCAUGUUAUCUUUUUUCCUAUGAUUGAAGCCGAAGCUUAUCUAUUUCUUACAUUCAAACCGAUGCUGUCAAAGGAACUCCACCAACUAGGAUGAAAUACAAGUAUGCAACCCAAGAGGGGGGGUGAAUUGGGAUUCUAAAAAAUUAUUCAAUUUAUUAAAGAAAAUCUUAAUGCAAUUAUAAAUCAAAUUCAAAACAAUAAAUUCAAUCAUGCACAAUAUUAAAAGAGUAAGGGAAGAAAAAACAAACACAAGGAUUUUUACGUGGUUCGGCAAUCCCCGCCUACGUUCACGCCUCCAAACUCACCCGCUUGAGGAUUUCACUAUCCAAGCCUCCAAGGCUUCAAAUGCUUACAUUUGACUUCCAAGGUAUCAAUGAACCUUUACAACAAGAGAUUAUCCCCAAUCUCUUAACCCAAGUGUAUCCCAACACUUACAAUCACUCAAAAUAAAAGAUUAUAAAUUGUUUUGCCUCUCACAAUAUAUAAGAUUACACAAUGAUGCUUAAUAUGUGAAUAGAUGAAGCAAGAAUAUGUUCUAAGCUCUAUGAAGAUUGUAUUCUCGAAUAUUAGCUCAAAUGGUCGUGUUGUGAUUAAUCAUCUUUGAAUUUGAAUGAGCUUAUUUAUAUUUGGAGCCGAAAAUCUAGUCGUUACAAACUGUCGGACAGAAAACGGUUCGCCGUUAACCAUAAACGGUUAACCGUUUAGGCUGGUCAAAGUUACCGUUGGGCCAGAUUUCAAAUAAUCGGUUUGCCGUUUAGGAUUGCCCUUUCGCCGUUAACUUCCAGAGACCUGCAAAAUGAGUAUUUGUUAUCCGUUUACGCUAAACGGUUAAGGACUUGCGUGAAGUGGCUUCUCUGGAAAUUAUCGGUUAACCGUUUGAUAUAAACGGUUCGCCGUUUGUCUCCAGUAACCUGCAAAACAAAUUUAGCCUUAUCAGUUUUCGUUAAUCAGUGCCAGAGGAGGACAACCUUCAAUUUUGGACGUUAUCGGUUAACCGUUUAAAAUAAACGGUUCACCGUUAGGUUCCAGUAGCCUUCCCAUCUUGGGUGUUUUCUGUUAAGCAUAAACGGUUAGAGCUUAGGUAAUAUGUUGCUCUCUGGUUCUAAUCGGUUAACCGUUUAAAAUUAACGGUGAACCGUUUAUAACCAGAAUUGCAUUUUAAACCAGUUUUUGCAGAGAAUCUUUUUCUAAUUUUAAAGUCCAUCUUUUAUGAAGCAUGAAUGGAAUGAUUACUAAGGCUCUCGUUUAUUAAGAAAUAGCUCCAAUACUUUUAUCAAAAAAUCAUUUAAAAUUUGUUAGCAUCAAAAUCAAUAUUAUUAAUAUAUUUAUGUUAACAAUCUCCCCCUUUUUGAUGAUGACAAAUUCUAAUCAAUGUUUAGCUCCCCCUUAAUAUGUGCUCCCCCUAAAUGUAUGGCCAAAUUGAGAAAUGUGAAUAAAUUGCCCCAUUUUAAAUCCAUCUUAAAAACAAAUAUCUCCCCAUUUAAAAUUAAAAAAAAAUCUUAAAAACUUAAAAACCAUCUUAAAAACUGUAAUUAUCUCCCCCUUCAUCAUCAAAAGGAAAAAGGAAAUAAGAAAUACGCAAAUCCAUGAAAGAAAGUGCCCGGUUUUGGCAAGCGAAAAAAAAUUUUGGCAGAGUUUCCCCUUAAAAAUGAGUAAAACCAUAAAUACAAAAUGAGAUAAAACACUUCCAAAAUUAGAUCAACAUUAACUUCUGCGUUCAACAAGCCAACAACUCCAUGAACAAGACAAAAUAACACUUCAAUAUCCACAAAUAUACCAACACUCCAAUAUCCACAAAUAAACCAUUUCUACAAUAUCCAACCAAUUAGGCAAUCACAAAGCAUCAAUAAGCUAAUCAUCAAGAACAUCACACACAUAUGCAUCAAAAUCAAAAUAAUAAUAAAAAUGCUAGCAACCAGAAUGUAAAAUGUAUGUGCGAAGACAAAGCUCAGAAACUACGGAGGCGGAGAAGAUGUGCUCCCUGGAUCAUAGCCGAAAUAGCCGAGAAUAGUGCGCUGUCCAGCGAUAAGCUCCAUCUGCUGAUCAAGGCUCUGCCGCUGGAAUAUCUGAAAGUCAGAACGCAGCUGCUGGUGGUCACGGGAAAGAGUGUCCAACCGAUCAAGAAUCAGCUGCUGGCGCUUCGAAAUCCGCUGAACAUCAGAGAUCAGCUGCUGCACUGCGUCUGAAGCAGGGGGCUGAACUGGAGCUGGAGGCGGCAUAGAGGCAGAUGGCUGCUCGGGAACAGCAGAAGGCUCAGGAGCAGUAGGCGGCUCGGAAGAGGAGGGAAUAUCAGCAUCCAUCGCACGCUCCUCAGAGUCUGAGUCAGCUGGAGGCUGAGGAACAAAACGGCGACGCGGAGGAUGAGGAUGAGCGCCUAGUCUAAAGUCAGGAAGCUGGUCGGGACGAUAGACAUCAUUGAGCAUCCGAUCGUCCUCUGGAGCAAUCAAGGUAUCCCGGUUUUUGGAGUUGCUUGUCUUUAUCCACACUCCAUUCUUUCUAGAGAAUCCGAUACUGGUUACUGCCUCGGAACCAAUCCGUCGAGUCUCCAUAUGUCCAGUAUCAAGAAGUGGCACCUCAAAGCGUCGCAGUAUUUUAGUGAUGAUACUGCCGUAGGGAAGCAAGCGGUGGUUGACCACUGGAGUACUCAGCAUAUGUCGCACAAUAAUAUACCCGAGGUUAAUGGGACGGUCUGUAAGAAGGCUAUCCAAUAAGGCGACGUCUAACCUCGUAACCUCAUCCGAGUGACCCUUCCUAGGAGUCACUAUGUGCUGUAGAAUAGAGUGAAGAAUACGAACUUGGAGCGGUAAAAGUUGAGACCGAAAUGGAAGCUGACAGAUAUCAUCCGAUAAGUCUCGACGACGACAUAUAUUACGGACGCCGUGAGUAUGAGAAAAAGUAUCAAAGGAGAGGGUUUUCCUAGAAGUGUAGAUGUCAAUCCCCUCACAAGAGAUACCUAGAAAGUCAGCUAAGUCCGCAUCAUCAAAUUCUAUGGGUACACGGCCGACUUGAGUGACUAUCCUAUUUGGACGAGUAUUGGAGAUUUCCAUGUUCGAAUAAAAGACUCGCACUAAGUUUGGAUAAACUCGGUCAUCAAAAUCAAUGCCAGACUCCCAAGGCCGAAGCAUAUCCCGAAUACUUCUACCACAUACAACCAAAUUAUGGAAAUCAUCAAUGUCAACAAAGAAGGAGUCAAGUACCUUUCGACCAUUGAAGCGUUCUUCGAAUCGCUUGGCCAAGGAAGGAGUGGGGAAGUGAAUCCUUGCAAAUUCCGAGACGUCCCGAGGUGGUAUGAGAUUCCUUGGAGGCACAGAUUUACGUCUGAGAUUUCUCCGAGGAGGUUCAGCCAUGGAAACACGUAAUGAGGAGUAGAAGAUGUGAGUAGGAUGUUUAAUUUGGUUGAAGAAAGGUGGAAAUCGGAUUAAGGACAGAGAAACCCGACUCGCGACAGUUAGGGUUUAGAUUUGGGAUUUUUGAAUUUUGGGUUCGAUUUGAAGUUUUGAAUCGGUAGAAAUGUUCUAAAGGUGAUAAGAAAUGAUUUUGAGAAUUUGAUUUGGCACGGAAAUCAAGAAAAAUGAGGAUUUGAGAACAAAGAGACCUUCGGCUGCGCAACAAUGGAGGAAACGGUGAGAGGGUAACUGGAGAAGGAGAAGAAAACCUUUAAACAGUUUAUAUACUUCGCGAAAACGGUUAACCGUUUAUUGAAACGGUUAAAGGGUAACGUCCAGAGGCUGAAGAAAGGGAAACGGUGAAAGCCUAAGCGCUUAACGGCUAAGGAGUAACUGUUAGAGGACUCUCUGUUGAAAAACGGUUCACCGAUUGUGGAAAACGGUGAAAGGGUGAACGGGCAGACACAUAAUCUCGUUUCUGGAAUUAAACGGUGAUCCGUUUAUAGGAAACGGCUAACCGUUUAUUCAAUCUGUAAUUUCGCACAUUUGAUUUAAUUUUUGGCCAGCAAAUAAUAUAUUCCAAGAUCAUUUAAUUGAUCUGAAAAUAUUUUAUGAGCCAAUUUAAUGCAUGAUUCAUGGACAUGUUUUCAACCAAUCAAUUCAUAUAAUCAAGAGUUAUUAAUGCAAAUUCAUCAUUUGUCUACCAAGCUCAAGCAUUUCAUAAAUAGUAAUCAAUCAAUUCAAUACACUCAAUAGCAUGAAUAGAGAUGUUAAUGCAAAAAUUUCAUCAUCCCAAGUUCAUGCCGAAUUUUUGAAAAUUGUUCUUCGCAAAGCGGUUUUGUGAAAAUAUCGGCAAGUUGUUUUUCCGUGGAUAUAAACUCUAAUGCAAUAUCUCCCUUUUGAACAUGAUCUCUCAAGAAAUGAUGUCUUAUUUCUAUAUGCUUGGUUCGAGAAUGUUGAAUGAGAUUCUUUGAAAGGUUUAUAGCACUAGUAUUAUCACACUUAAUAGGAAUUUGUUCAAGAUUAAUGCCAUAAUCUCUAAGUGUUUGUUUCAUCCAAAGUGCUUGUGCACAACAACUUCCGGCAGCUAUAUAUUCAGCCUCAGUAGUUGAAAGUGCAACAGAAUUUUGUUUCUUGCUAAACCAUGAAACAAGAGAGUGUCCUAGAAUAUAGCAAGUUCCACUAGUGCUCUUCCUAUCCACUUUAUAACCAGCAAAAUCCGCAUCCGAAAAAUAUGUUAAAUCUAUAUGAGUUCCCCUAGGAUACCAAAUGCCAAUAUCUAUGGUUCCACUCAAAUAACGGAAAAUUCUUUUAACAGCGAGCAAAUGAGAUUCCUUGGGACAAGACUGAAAUCUUGCACACAAACAUACACUAAACAUGAUAUCGGGUCUACUUGCAGUCAAAUAGAGUAGGGAUCCGAUCAUACCUCGAUACAUUUUGAUAUCCACUUCUUUACCUUUUUCAUCUUUGUCCAGCUUGGUUGUUGUGCUCAUUGGUGUAUUCUUGGUCUUUGAAUCAUCAAUGCCGAAUCGUUUGAGUAGAUCUUUUACGUACUUAGCUUGAUUUAUGAAAAUUCCUUCCUCGCUUUGUUUGAUUUGAAGUCCAAGGAAGUAUUUCAACUCUCCCAUCAUACUCAUCUCAAAUUCUUUGCUCAUACACAAUGAAAAUUCUUUACACAACAACUCAUUAGUAGAACCAAAAAUGAUAUCAUCAACAUAAAUUUGAACAAUAAGUAUGUCUUGGUUCUUAUGCUUAACAAAAAGAGUAGUAUCCGCUUUACCUAUAGAGAAGUCAUUUUCUAGCAAGAAAUUUUUAAGUCUAUCAUACCAUGCUCUAGGUGCUUGUUUUAAUCCAUACAAGACUUUGAGCAACUUAUACACAUGAUUUGGAAAUUUUUCAUUUUCAAAACCAGGAGGUUGUUUCACAUAAACUUCCUCCAAAAUAUAUCCAUUUAAGAAAGCACUCUUGACAUCCAUUUGAUAUAAAAUAAAAUCCUUAUGACAUGCAUAUGCUAACAACAUCCUAAUGGAUUCUAACCUUGCUACAGGUGCAAAGGUUUCAUCAAAAUCAAUUCCUUCCUCUUGGUUGUAACCUUGAGCCACUAAUCUAGCUUUGUUUCUUACAACCACACCGGAUUCAUCCAUCUUAUUUCUAAACACCCAUUUAGUACCUAUUAUAGAUUGAUGUUCAGGUUUAGGAACUAGUUCCCACACAUUGUUUCUUUCAAAUUGAUUUAACUCCUCUUGCAUUGCCAUAAUCCAAGAUUCAUCAUUUUCUGCAUCCUCAAAGGAUUUUGGUUCAAUUUGAGAGAUGAAUGUAUUAUGCUCACAAGUAUUUCUAAGUGAUGAUCUAGUUGUUAUACCUCGUGAGGGAUCUCCUAAAAUUACAUCUUUAGGGUGAGAAGAGACAUACCUCCACUCCUUGGGGAGUGUUUGAGAAGUACCUUCAUUUUGCUCCACAUUUGGUUCUUCAUGAUGUUCCUCUUGAAUUCCAUGUGGUGCAUCCUCUUGAUUGUCAUUUGAUGCUUCUUCUUCUUGUUCUUCUUCUCCUACAUCAUCAUCAACAACGACUUUCUUCGUAGAGGAGGGGUUAGACUCAUCAAAUGUGACAUGCAUAGAUUCUUCCACAACUAAAGUUCUUGUGUUAUAAACUCUAUAAGCUUUGCUUGAAUUUGAAUAACCAAGAAAAAUACCAACAUCGGAUUUUGAAUCAAAUUUACCAAGAUUGUCUUUUGUGUUCAGAACAAAACAUUUGCAUCCAAAAACUUUAAAAUAGCCAAUGUUGGGUUUUCUAUCUUUCCAAAGCUCAUAUGGAGUUUUAUUAAGAUUAGGUCUAAUCAACACCCGAUUUAAAACAUAACAACCGGUGUUGACGGCUUCGGCCCAAAAAUAUUUUGGUAAUGCAUUUUCAUUUAACAUGGUCCUAGCCAUUUCUUGAAUAGACCUAUUCUUUCUCUCAACAACUCCAUUUUGUUGUGGAGUUCUAGGUGAAGAAAAUUGAUGCUCAAUGCCUAGAUUAUUGCAAAAACUCUCAAAUGCAUGAUUUUCAAAUUCUCCUCCAUGAUCACUCCUAAUGCAUACAAUACCAUGCCCUUUUUCAUUUUGUAAUUUCUUACAAAGCACUUUAAAUGCAUCAAGAGCAUCAUCCUUAUUGGCUAAGAAUAAUACCCAUGUAUAUCUAGAAUAAUCAUCCACUAUCACAAAAGCAUAAUAUUUGCCAUUUAGACUUGCAUAUCUAGAUGGCCCAAAAAGAUCUAUGUGAAGAAAUUCAAGUGGUUUUGAAGUAGAAAUAUGGUUUUUAUUCUUGAAAGAAGUUUUAAUUUGUUUUCCAAAUUGACAAGCUUCACAAAUCUUAUCCUUUUGAAAACCAAUUUUCGGAAGACCUUUAACUAAAUCAUCUUUCGAAAUUUUUGAAAUCAAAUCCAUACUUGCAUGUCCUAACCUUCUAUGCCACAACCAACAAUCAUCAUGCAAUGCCGAAAAACAUUUAUCAAGAGUAGAUGCACAUUCUAUGUCAAUGAUAUAAACAUUACCACAUCUAUUUCCAACAAAUAAGGUUUUGCCAUCACAUGAGUUCUCAAUAACACAACUAAAUUUAUCAAAGAUAACUUUAUAACCUUUGUCACAUAAUUGACUAAUGCUAAUUAAGUUGUGUUUCAAGUUUUCAACCAAACAUACAUUCUCAAUUAGAGUUGAAGAAACUUUACCAACAUUUCCAAUUCCAAGGAUUUUUCCUUUUGAGUUGUCUCCAAAGGAUACGUCUCCACCAUUUUCAAUUUUGGUAAAGCUUGAGAACCAUGCAUAGUUUCCGGUCAUGUGCCUUGAACAACCGCUGUCCAAGUACUAUUUAUUCUUCUUCUUCUUCAAGCCCUACAAGAAAAAGUCUCAAGUUUUAGGUACCCAAAGCUUUUUGGGUCCUUGAGAGUUAGCAACGGUUCCUUUUGGAACCCAAAUGCACUUGACACCAUAAUAUGCAUUCCUUUUCACGGGACAUUUAAAUUUCAUGUGACCAUUUUGAUUACAAUAAUGACAUACAAUCUUAUGAUCAUUUGUGGAGGUAGCUUUAACAAAAUAAUUCUUAUAAUACUUUUGCUUCAAAUUUGGCUUAUAUCCAAGUCCUCAUUUAUCAAAAACACAUUUUUGUGAGUUAAGCAUAUUAUCCAACAUCUUUUGCCCAUUUGUAAAUUUCAAAACAAUUUCAUUUAAUUCAUUAUUCUUUUUCUUGAGCAAUUCGUUCUCAUUUUUCAACUCAUCUAUGUGUGAUUUCAAAUGCUCAUGUAAGAUGCUAGGUUUCUCAUUUGAUAAUGCAAUUUCAUCAUGCAAUGUUUUGUUUCCUACUUCUAGGCAUACAAUUCUUGCAUUUAGAGAUUCAUUUUCAUUUUUAAGCUUUGCCAUUUCCUUUUUAAGACAUACAUUCUUUUUACCAAUUUUCAUUAACUCAUUAUGCACAUCUUGAAAAGCAUCAUAUAAUUCAUCAUAGGUAGGAUCACUUACCUCAUUGAGAUCAUCAUCUCCUCCUAUUGCCAUGAGUGCUAGGUUUGAUACUUCUUGCGAUCCUUCUUCAUCAUUUGAUUCUUCCUCACUAUCAUCCCAAGUUGCAACCAUUGCUUUCUUCUUGAGUUUGUUGAUAAGUGGGCACUCCGAUCUUAUAUGUCCAGGCUUCUUGCAUUCAUAGCAAGUGAUUGCCUCCUUCUUCUCCCUAUAGUUCUUGAAGUUUCUGAAAUUUCUUCGCUCUCCGGUUUUCUUGAAGAAUUUUCUGAACCUCCUUGCUAGCAUGGCUAGUUCUUCAUCAUCCGGUUCACUCUCCUCAUCACUCUCAUAUUUUGAGGCUUUGAGAGCAAUGCUUUUCUUCUUCUCCUCAUGUCCUCUUUCUGCAGCUAAAUCCUCUUCAUACGAAAUAAGAGAACCAAUUAAAUCAUCAAGAGGUAAAGUAUUUAAAUCUUUGGCCUCUUCAAUAGCGGUUCUUUUGGGUCUCCAUUCUUUUGGAAGAGACCUAAUGAUUUUCUUAACUUUCUCACUAUUUGAGAAGGUUUUCCCUAAGGCACCUAGGGUGUUCACUAUGUCCGUGAAUCUAGUAUACAUAGAAUACACAUUUUCAUUUUGUUCCAUUUGGAACAACUCAUAUUGACGAGUGUAUCUACUGAUUUUAGACUCUUUCACUUGAUUUGUCCCUUCAUAGACAACUUCAAGUUUGUUCCAUAUCUCUUGUGCACUUUCACAACUAGAUACUCUAUGGAAUUCUUUCUUAUCAAGGGCACAAAACAAAGCAUUCAUAGCCUUGGAGUUUAGAGACAUCUUUCUCUUUUCUAACUCACUCCAUUGACUCGAUGGUUUAGGAAUAUCAUCUCCUACUUCAUCUUUGAACGUAGGCAUGAAUGGACCAUCACAAACAACUUCCCAAAUUUCAUAAUCUAAGGCUUGCAAAUAAAUUCUCAUUCUAGUUUUCCAAUAAGCAUAGUCAUUACCAUCGAAAAAUGGUGGUCUAGUUGUGGAUUGCCCUUCUCUAAAGGUUGAGUCAUUUAGGGUUGCCAUGGAUCUUUUACUCUAGACGAUUAAGUCUUAACAAGAGAACGAGGCUCUGAUACCAAUUGAAAUACAAGUAUGCAACCCAAGAGGGGGGGUGAAUUGGGAUUCUAAAAAAUUAUUCAAUUUAUUAAAGAAAAUCUUAAUGCAAUUAUAAAUCAAAUUCAAAGCAAUAACAAUUAAGAGAAUCACAAUAUAAAAAGAUAAGGGAAGAGGGAUUCAAACACCGAGAUUUUUACGUGGUUCGGCCAACCUCGCCUACGUCCACGCCUCCAAGCUUUCCGGGCUUGAGGAUUCCACUAAGCAAGCCUCCAAGGCUUCAAAUGCUUACACUUGACUUCCAAGGUGUCAAUGAACCUUUACAACAAGAGAUUAUCCCCAAUCUCUUAACCCAAGUGUAUCCCAACACUUACAAUCACUCAAAAUAAAAGAUUAUAAAUUGUUUUGCCUCUCACAAUAUAUAAGAUUACACAAUGAUGCUUAAUAUGUGAAUAGAUGAAGCAAGAAUAUGUUCUAAGCUCUAUGAAGAUUGUAUUCUCGAAUAUUAGCUCAAAUGGUCGUGUUGUGAUUAAUCAUCUUUGAAUUUGAAUGAGCUUAUUUAUAUUUGGAGCCGAAAAUCUAGCCGUUACAAACUGUCGGACAGAAAACGGUUCGCCGUUAACCAUAAACGGUUAACCGUUUAGGCUGGUCAAAGUUACCGUUGGGCCAGAUUUCAAAUAAUCGGUUUGCCGUUUAGGGUUGCCCUUUCGCCGUUAACUUCCAGAGACCUGCAAAAUGAGUAUUUGUUAUCCGUUUACGCUAAACGGUUAAGGACUUGCGUGAAGUGGCUUCUCUGGAAAUUAUCGGUUAACCGUUUGAUAUAAACGAUUCGCCGUUUGUCUCCAGUAACCUGCAAAACAAAUUUAGCCUUAUCAGUUUUCGUUAAUCAGUGCCAGAGGAGGACAACCUUCAAUUUUGGACGUUAUCGGUUAACCGUUUAAAAUAAACGGUUCACCGUUAGGUUCCAGUAGCCUUCCCAUCUUGGGUGUUUUCUGUUAAGCAUAAACGGUUAGAGCUUAGGUAAUAUGUUGCUCUCUGAUUCUAAUCGGUUAACCGUUUAAAAUAAACGGUGAACCGUUUAUAACCAGAAUUGCAUUUUAAACCAGUUUUUGCAGAGAAUCUUUUUCUAAUUUUAAAGUCCAUCUUUUAUGAAGCAUGAAUGGAAUGAUUACUAAGGCUCUCGUUUAUUAAGAAAUAUUCUUUCUUGUUCUAGCAAUUCUAUUUUCUGGGUUAUUAAACCAAUGUAUGUAACUAAUAUAUUUUCCCAUCCUAAAAUCAUAUGAUCUAUGCAAUCUGCUAAUUCAUGUAUUUAUAUUAAAUGCAUGUUGAUUUUGAUGGUUCAUAAUGCUUCCUUUUUGUACCAGUAUACCAGAAAUUUUAUAAAUUCAUCUAUAAAUUUCAUUUUCUUUUCUAUUAAAAUUUCACCUCCUAUUGUGUCUAUAUUUCUUUCUCUGAGUUCUUCUGUUAAUUCGAGUUCUAUAUUUCUUAUAUUAUUUUUAUCGGUUUUUAAAGCCAUUAUAAGACUUUUUAUUUCUUCUUUGUUAUACACUUUUAGUGUAUAUAAGCUAUUAACUAUUGCUUGUAUUGGAUCCAUCAUUUAAUUCUAUGUCAUUUUUUCCAAAAAUUUAACAUUUAGGAUCUAUAGUUAUGGCUCUGAUACCAUCUUGCACGUAUGUGCCAAAAAAAGUACAAAUAAAAAUUAUUAAAUAAAUAGUCAAAUAUUCUCAAUGGAGUACAAAUAAAAAUUAUUAAAUAAAUAAUCAAAUAUUCUGAAUGGUUAAACUACUUCUAUUUUCUAAAUUAUCAUAUUUAUUGUUUUUAUUCCAAAAUUAAUUAACUAGAAUAAAUAUAUAGAUAUAUAUAUAUAUGAUUAAUUAAACAAAUUAUUUAUAACCAAAAAAAGUAUGUGGCGUUGACAAAGUGAUGAGAUCCUUGGCAAUUCAGCCAAGAUAUUUAAUUCUCCUUUGGACCAAUAGCCCGCACACCUUGGUUUCCAAUCUAUAUACUUUUUUCAAUUUAUAAUUCAAUUUCUUCAUUAUCUGAAUUUACAUAUGAAGGUCCAUCCUCUCUAUUUUUAUUUUCUAUAUAUGCUAAACCUAUAUCAAUUCCUUGUUCUACUGUCAUCAUAAUUAUGUUAUGCUUUAGAUUUUCUGAUUCGAUAUAGUUUAUUAUUUUCCGUUUUAUUUCUUGUGGGAGAUCUAGUGAAAAUACUGCUAACAGAUUUUCGGUUCUAACAAGGUCUCUUUUACUUAAUAAAUAUGAAUCUUGUUUAUAUGACCCUAAAUUAAAGUCUAUUAUCAUCAUAAAGUUGUUAUAUGUUAUUUUAGUAUUAGGAUCUAUCAUGCAUUCUUUACAUUCACCUAAAUAAAAUCUAUGAUUCAUUUUACAGAAAAGAACCAAAAACUUGUUUCAUCUCAAAAAUAUGCUCUUCCUCCAUAAAUCUCCUCAUCAUUGAUCACCAACAAACUUCCACCAAAGAUAAGGUUUGAGAAUUAUUGCCUAACUUAUUCUUGUUUCCUUGCCUUCCAAUCCUUUUCCAGUGACCUGCAGCCUGUGUGUCCUUAUUCCCUCAACGGCUCCUCUGCCUCAACGGGAUCAGCGGACUAGAUCGGCCUUACUGUAUGCACUUUGAUUGUUUGGCUUAGAAAUGUUGAAUAACUAUAGGUUUCUCUUUCCUUUCUAUGGGGUUAUUUGUUUUCUUGAUCAGUGAUGUUUUGAUUUAGGAAUUAAAGCUGUAGAGUUUAGUUUUUCAUUUUUCAGAGGAUUUUCAAGUUUUGGAAGAACUGAAUUUUUUGUGAAUAAUUAGCUCUGAGAGCCUUCUUCUUUUUCUUUCUUUAUUUAUAUCCGAAGUAAUCUUCGGUUUGAUUACAUUUUUGCCCUUAGAUUAUUAGGCACUUACAUCACUGCUUACAUCACUACUUAACUUUUUAUUACAUUUUUGCCCUUGUGUUAUUGGGCACUUACAUCACUGCUUACAUCACUGAAUUAUAUCUUAUCUUGGGUAUCUUUUUUAUUUUGUCUGCCACAUCUUGUCUGCCACAUCUCGGGUAUCUAUUUUGUCUGCCACAUCUUGUCUUUGUUGGUCUAUUGCUUUCUAUCGCUUUCUAUUGCUUGCCAGUCUGUUUUAUCUCCAUGAGUUGGUAAACCUGCUCCAUGGUUUUGCUGCUACUGGGAAAUCGCAUAGUACUUAUCUCGUUGAUGAAAUCUAGUAACAGGUUCGAUGGUGUAUUCCCAUCUUCAGAAGUGAUGAGGAUGUAAUUUUGGAAUUUUAUAAUAGUCCUAAAAUUUCUCUUAUACAAGUCCUUUGCUAUGCUCCAUAUGGCCUUAAUCCCUCUGGCUCUUCGUGUUCUAAUCCAAGGUUCAUUUAUGUGAGGAACAUUGGUGUAUUCUGUUCCUACUUUGACUUUGAAAUUUUUUGUGAGGUGGCCUACAGAUAUCAUGUAAAAGGCUUGAUACUCAACAUUCUGAUAAUAUUCUGGGCUUAUGGUGUAGAAUUUUAGGUAUAUGGGUCUUUUUUGGGCAAAUCUUGAGACUUCUUUAACUAAUAAGUCAUCAAGGCUGGCUAUUUCUUGAAGGUUUAUAUCUGGAUAUAUUAGGUCUAAAUACCCAUAUUUUGCUAUUUUCCCAACAAGGAGUGGAUCUGCUCCUUUUGUAACAAUCAUUCUGGGGUACAUAUUUUUUCCUGGUGCUUUAAAAAUUGUAUUAUUGUGAGAACAAGUAGAGUAUACCCAUGAAGAGAAUUGUUUAUACUCUUCUUCUUUUGGAUUUAGGGGUUUUUCCUCUUCUUCUGUAUAAGGAUUGUUUAUUUGGAUAAACUUUUUUGGAAGGUCUGAUUUUGGUGACUUAAUUUCUAUGGAUAUGGUUUUAUUUGGAGUUGGGUCAGAGAUUGGUUUAUCUCCUCCGAAAGGUCCACCACUGCUUCCUAUAUUUAUCGAGCUAAUGUUUAUUGGGCUUGUGUUUAUAGAGAGUGUCUUUGUUAGGUCGUCUAUGUAUGACUCUAACAAAUUUACUCCAACAAAUUUACUCAUUUCUCAUGGGCUUCAGAAGCCUCUUUUAAAUAGUUUAUUGCAUCAAUUAUAUCAGAUGCUUCAGUCUUGAGCCUUUGAAUUUCGGCUUCUAUUUUGCCAAGGAUUCUAUUUACUUCGGGAUUCAUUCUCCAAAUUCUAUGUUCCUGCUUAAAAAGUCUGCAAGGAAAUUGUUAGUUCCUUUAAUAUGUAUUAUCUUAAAAUUAUAAUAAGAUAGGUAAGCUUGCCAUCUAUGCAAUCUUCUGUAUUGGGGUUCAUUUGGUAAAAUUCUAGUGAUAAGAGAACUUACUUGAGAAUUAUCUGUUUCUACAAUGAACUGUUUUUGAAGUAAAAAUAAUGAAAAUUUUUUAAUUCCUUUAUAUAUUGCAAGGAGUUCUUUUUCAUGAACUGGAUAAUUUGUUUGUGCCUGGUUAAAAGUUCCACUGGUAUAUCGACAAAUUUCAUUUAUAUCAGUUUUAAGAAUUGCUCCCCAAUAUAAGUCAGAUGCAUUUGUCUGUAUUAUUAGUUUAUCUUUUUCGUUUGGUAAUCUUAAAGCUGGUAGAUUUUUAUAUUCUUGUUUUAAAUUUUUUACGGUUUCUGUAUGUUCCUCAUUCCAUCCUUUAGUAUUGUUUUUUCUUAAUAAUUUUUUAAGUAUAUUUCUCUUUUUCGCUAGAUCUUUUAUAAAUCCUUCUGCAUAAUUUAAGCAUCCCAAAAAUUUUUGUAUUUGUUGUUUAUUUUCUAAUCUAUCUGGGAACUCAGUUAUUUUUCUUCCUAUAUGGCUCUGAAGCCUGAUUCCUUGUUUAUCAAGAAUCAUUCCUAAAAAUUCUAUUUUUCUAUGUUCUAUAACUGCUUUUUUACUCGAUAAAACUAUUCCUUCUUUUAUACAUAUAUUAACAAAUUCCUUUAAAUGACUUUUAUGUUCUUCUAAUGUUUCUGAUGCUAUCAAUAUGUCAUCAACAUAGACUAUAAUAUAAUUGUAAUUUCUAAAUAUUUUAUCCAUUCUACUCUGAAAGAUUUGAGGGGCAUUUUUUAAUCCAAAAGGCAUUACUAGCCAUUCAUAAUGUCCUUGUGGGGUACUAAAAGCUGUAUAAGGAAUACUAUUUUCUUCCAUUUUUAUCUGCCAAAAUCCUGAUUUACAGUCAAAUUUUGAAUAAUAUGUUUUAUUUUUGACAAGAUUUAUUAAUACUUCUUUGUUAGGGAGAAAAUACCCAUCAAAUUUUGUGUACUUAUUUAGUUAUUUGUAAUUUAUUACCAUUCUUGUCUUUCCUCUAACCUGUUCUGCUCUUUUUCGAACCAUAAAGGCUGGACUGUUAUGAGGGCUAUUACUGCUCCUAAUGAGUUUUAAAUUUAAUAGUUCUUUUAUUUGGGUUUUAAAUUCUUCUCUAUCCUCUUCUGUAUACAUCAUGGGUUUUAAUCUUAUUAUCCUAUUUUCAAUUAACUCUAUUUUUGCCUUAGGAUGAUCUGGUUUCCAUAAUGCUAAUGGUUUUUUUUAUAAACUUGUUCAAGUUGUGACUUUAUUGUUUCUAAUUGUAUAUUGUAACUCUGUCCUUUCUGUAUUAAAUAAUGUUUUACUUAUCACCACGCUGGGCUGGCUGAACUCUAUAAGGUUUGAACUCACGAGGAACACGAAGUAUAUGGUUACAAGGAGUCUUGAGAGUAAUCAUAUAUGGAGUUUGUUGGUAAUAUACAAAUUGUUGGAGGAAAUCAUUUCCUAAAAGAAUAUCACAAUCCAUAUGAUUAUACUGAAAGACUUGGGAAAUACGAACUAUUUUACUUCCUAAUAAGAUUUCAAAAUUUAAGAUAGAUUGAUUUACUUGUUGUUUAUCUCCUGUGAUACCGACAAUUUUUAAGUGUCCAUUGUAUUCCCAUUUAUUGGAUAAAAAGGAUUUCAUAAUAGUUAUUUCGCUACAUGUGUCUAUUAAAGCACAAGUAUCGAUAGCUUGUUCUGUGAUAUGUAUUUGUAUAUAGACAGACAUAGGAUAUUUUAUAUAAACUUGUCUUAACAUGUUGCACAAACUAUUUUUUGGCCUUGUAUUAGGAAAGUUAUUUUAUUUGGUUCAAUCUUAUAAUAUUCUAAAUCAUUUAAAAAACUAUUUCCUAGAAUUAUAUGUUUUUCUGGAUCUGUAGUCAUAAAUGAAUCUAUAUAACAAGGUACUAUGAUUCUAAGUCCUUCUAUUAUUACAGGAACUUUGACUUCUUGUUUGCAUAUAUGUCUAUUUCCGUUAAAAUCAGUAUAUUCAUACGGGAUUUCUCUUUCUCUUACUAAAAGUCCUUUAUUUUUAGUGUGAUUCAUAUAAUUAUAACUUGUACCUGUAUCUAAUAGUAUAGGUAUCUUUGGAGUAUAGUCUAUUCUAUUAAAGUAUUGUCCAAGUAUUUUUACUACAUUAUUUGCUGAUACUGAUUUAAUUAAUUGUUUAUCAAUGCUUAAUCUUCUAGAGGAACUUCCUCUUAUCAAGGUUCUUCCUUUAAAGCUUAUAGGGAUAAUGGAGUUUUCAUUAUUAUUAUCUAGGAAUUAUUUUUUGUCAUCUAUUUUUAAUUCGUAGUUAAAAGGGAUUCUAUAAUCUUGACUUACUGGUUCUAUAAAAGUUGCUAUAUCUUCACAAUCCUUAUUUAUUUCAAUGUAAGGUUUAUUACCAUAUAUUUCUCCAUAAUUUGAAUUACAAAAACUAUAUAAAGCUGAAUAAUGUAUUGUCAUUAUUCUAUUUCUUUCUUUCAUUAGGUUCUUUUUUUAAUAAUUUAAAAUGUAGGCUUAGUGUUUCAUCUAUAUUCCUGUCCUUUAUAUGUACACAAUAUCUAGGAUGGCAGGUAAAUAAUAAUUUAGUAUAACACAAGUUUCCUUCUAUUGUUCCCAAGUGUCCUAUGCUAGGGUCUGUAAAUCUUUGGUCGUGUAAUGAUAAAACUAUGGGGCUAUCUAUCCCUUCUUUGAAAAGUGAUUUGAUUAAUAUUUGUAUUUCUGCAAGAUAUACAUAUUGAAUUUUUUCUUUAAUUGAUUCACUUUUUAUUUUUCUUAAUGCUAAAUCUACAGAUAUUUUAUUUAUUAGGCUAAAUCUAAUAUUUCCUUCUGCUUGUGUAAUUGUUACAGCUUUUUCUUGUUCAUAAUAUUCGUGUAAUAUUAUUCUUUUUCUUUUAAACAUAUCUCUAAAUCUAUGGAUUAUACUGUACUCUGGUUUUUCCAUAUUUAAUUUUAAAAGUUUGUUAUAUUUUUCUUUAUUAAAUGUAGCUACAAUACUAUAUCCACUUUUAUUUUCUUCUUUUUCUAUUUCUUCAAUUUCCUCUAUUUUUUCAUUCUCUAAUAAUUCUUCUUUAUUCUGAUUCAUUCUCUGAAUCUGAAUUUUUCAUUAUAUAAAUUUCUUCUCCUUCAUAAUCUGAUAAAUCAUUUAUUUCUUCUAAAUCAUCUUUUAUAUUUUCAAAAUCUUCAUUAAGAAUUCUGACUUUCUUUUUUGUACAAUCUGUACUUAUAUGUCUUAUUUCUCCACAAUUCCAACAUUUACAUUUGGAUUUAUCUAGUACUUUUCUUUGGUUUUUAUACUUCCUUUUAUAAUACUUUCUUACAGGUUUUUUAUAUUUUCUUUUGAAAUUAUUAUAUUUUUUAUAUUUAUAUUUUCUUUCCUUCUGGUAAGACUUUCUACGUUGUUUAUGAGGUAUAUAACAUCCCCAUUGAGUAGGCAUUUCCGUCUUUUCACAACAUAUUUUAGUUAUAUUUUUACUCUUUUUUAUUAAACUUCUUUGGAUGCAUAUUUCACUUAACCUUGUAUUUAAGAAUCUUAUCCUAGCUCCUAAUGUAUCAGGGAGUCUAUUAUUGCUAUUGUUAGUAUAUUUUUCAUAUUCAUUAAUGAAAUAUCCAUUCCAAGGAUAUGGUAAUUUAGAAUAGUAUAGAUUUUUAUAAAUAUUUUGGUCUUCAUGACUCAUGAAUUGUGUAUAAUAAUAUUUGCUAAAUUCGCAUGUAUAUUCUUUUACAAAACACAUAUUACAAAUUGUCAAAUUUAUUAAUUUCAUUCGAGCGUCUAACUUAUCACUUUUUGCCUCAUUUUCUGAAUUUUGUAACCAAUCUUCUCCUAAAAAUUCAUUAGCAAUGUACUCAAUUAUUCUUUCUAUGCCUAAUCCUUUAUCUCGUCCUAGUGCUAUUUUGGUCGAAUCUUUGAUUAAUUUUUGUGUAUCCUCACUUAAUCCUUUCCACCAAUUAAAUACAUUUCCUGUAAAGCUUGCUAUUAAAAUAUCAACAAAUAUAUUUAUCUUUUCUUCCUCUGUUUCUACAUUCCAAUCAUCCCUAGAUCCAUUAAAUAUAAAAAAUAAUUUCAUUUGCAUUCCCCAUUCUACCAAUGCUUUUCGAGAAUCUAUUUUACAAUCUAAGUCUAAAAAUGUACCUGCAUUGCUUAUUGGUAUUAGAUGGUCAUUAUUAGGUUGGUAUUCUUUUUUCCAAGGGGUAUUUUUAAUGGGUGGAUAAUAUUCAAAAAAUGGUCGAUUUUUCUUUUUAUUAGUCCCAUAUUUAUGGCUUGAUUCUCCUAUGUCAGGUUUUAAUUCCGGACCACCUGCAACAUUCAUUUUUAUGCAAUAUUCUUUUUCAAAUUCUUCUAAGUCGCUAAGAUUAAUAUCACUAAAUUUUUCUGUUAGUUCUUCUAGUGUGUUUUCCAUUAUUCUGAAUCGUUAGGUGUAAUUUCUUCUUUUAUUUCUAAUUUUUCUUUACCUUUUUUCUUACUUUGUAAUUCUGCUUUUAAGUUUUCUGCUUCUUCUAAAAUUUUCGGGUAUUGGGUUUUUAUAAACCAAUCAUCAUAACUUCCUAUUUGUGGUUUUACUAUUGGCUUUUUAAAGCUUGUUCCGAUUAUUCCUGACUUUAGUAUUUCGAGUUUUUCUACUUUUUUAUUUUUCUUUUGGAUCAUCUUUAUUGUAGAUAAUUCUAUUUUUAUUUUUCCGAUUUCUUGUUUAAUUUCCUUCAUUUCCUCCUUGAGAUUUAAAAGAAUUUCUUUUAAUUCUAUAAGUGUUGUUUCCAUUAAAUUUAAGGGUCCUGGUGAUAUUGUCUAUUUGGAAUGUAUGUUACGUUCAUCGUAACAUAGAGUUAGCCAUAUAUUAUUUAUGAUUUUUAAUAAACCAAUCUCCAAGCCAACGAGAUAGACACACGCAGCACGUUGUAUGCUAACAUCUCAAUCAAACAAGGCUUCCGAGAAUUGAAGUUUUGAUUGGUCUUCUUUUACCCCCACUAAAAGCACGAGGUUAAAUAAAAAUAAGGCAAUGUUGUCGGAUCAAUCCCCUGUCGAAUCUCUCACUCCACCUACUUGUUUUAAACUUUAUUUAAUUUAACAACCACCAAAUAAAAAAAGGCAAUUGUAAAUUCGUGAUUCCGUUAAACCCAGAAGCAUCCACUGUGGAGCAGCACCACCACCACCACCAGUCGAGACAGAGCAGAGACGCAGCACCACCACCACCACCAGCCGAAACGGAGCAUAGACGCAUCAGUAGCAGCAUCACCAAUUAUUCCUCAAGAGAGACGCAACAGCAGCAACAGCAGUAGUCGAUCCUUAAAAGAGAAGUCGUUGCAGCACCACUACCACCAAUCGAGAGAAGCUGGGACACGGCAGCAGUCGAUUCUGGUUGAAGAACUGUGAUGGAAAGGGAGACAGUUGUGACGAAUCGUGGUUGAAGAACUCUGACAGAGAGAGAGAUGUGAAUUUCAAUCGGGAUAAGGAGAUUAGGCUUGGGUUUUGUUUUGCAAUUUCUUUUGUGAUAUAAUUUGUGAUUCAUCUGAGAACGUGUUAAACACGUUCUCAGUUUUAUAACAAUAAAAAAGAAUAUGAAUUAUUUGUUUUAUAAUUCAUUUUUGGAUCCAGCCCACUGAACAAGAAUUACAUAUGUACUCUCAAAACGAAAAUGAAAACAGGGCCCUGAAAAUGAUACCGAACAGGCCCUAAUCUUCUUCAACUCUUUGCUCAAUCUUACUGGUUUAUCAUUGAUUUCUUGUCCCAUAACUCGACUCACGAGAUUAGAAGAGUCUUUGUUAUUAGAUCUUUAAGUUCUCCAAGCUCUUCUGAAUCUUUACCAUAAAUCAUACAUAAGUGAAUGCUUUAUUCUUAAAAUUUGUUGCCUAUUUGUGACUCUGUAACAGCACAUAAAAUAGUAGAAAGCAACAAUAAUAAACAUCAGAACCAGCAAGUAUAACAGCAGCAAACAGCAAGUUAAACAACAAAAAAUAGUAGUAAAACAUAACAAGUAAAACAACAGCAAACGAUAGUAAUAAACAGCCGAAAUAGCAAGUAAAAUGCAGUAACAAGUGAGUAAAAAGAAGCAAACAGCGAGUAAACCAGCAAAAACAGCAGCAACCAGUGAGUAUAACAGCAGCUUAAUUGUAGACUUGUAAUAUUAAGUAAGCUUAAUUGCAUUCAAUUAAGUAAAACAACAGUAAAAAUAGCAAAAACAGCAAGAACAACAAGAACAGCAAGUAAAACAACAAAAACAACAAGUAAAACAGUAGUAACCAGCAAGUAAAAUAGUAGUAAAAAACAGCAGAAAUAGCAAAAACAGCAGUAAAAAAUAACAGCAGUAAAAAAAAAAAGGCAAAGAUAACAGCAGUAUCCAGCAAGUAUAACAGCAGUAACCAGCAAAAACAGCAAGUAAAACAGCAAAAACAAUAAAAAAAUAGUAGUAACCAGCAAACAUAACAGCAAAAACAGAAAGUUAAACAGCAAUAAACAGUAAGUGAAAAAAAAAAAAGAAGCAAAUAGCAAUUGAAACAAAAAUGAAUUGCAUAUCUUGGGAACAUACUCCUAAAGCAUUAGUGGCAAUGAUAUAACAAUUCUGUUAUUAAUGCCAAAGAAAAAAAAAUAGUUAAUUAUUUAUAUCAUACAGCAUAUAAACAUCAAACAUAUUAGAAAGAGGGGAAAUAAAACAAAACAAAACAAACAAAAGCAGGACCAGCUUUGUUUGAUAAGGGCCUUGUGACUUAUAAGUGUAUCAAGCAUUACAUAGUAAUAAUUAAUAUUGGUUCUUAAGGCAUCUCUAGCUAGUUAUUAUUAAUAUUGGUUUGAUUCUCCUUUUAAGCUUUUGUGUAUAUAAAUGCAACCGGAUGAAAAAGCUCAAGUUAAUUGAAGGGAACAAGUUUCAGCCAUCAAUUAUGAUUUAAGUAUGUAUAUAUAACUGAGACUGACAUUUAAUUAACCAUCUAAUUAACAUCUUAGCAGUUCAGAUAAAAAACAUGUAACUGAAUUGCUAAGGUGUGUAUAGUAGUUAUCAAUUAAUCCAAGAUUCAUUCACUUCUUGUAAUCUUAGCUAUGUAAGAUUCAACCCAGUCAUAUAUAAUUUAUAUGUCAUAUUGCACUUCCCAUGCAAAAUCAAUAAGAAGAAAAAGAUAAAUAAGUUAUAGAGCAACAAAUUAGAGACAGUACCCAAAAUGUGUCAGUCUAACACAAGAAGUCAUAUAUAUAUAUGCUGUAUCAAUAUUACCCUCAACAGUAUAUCCAGUCAAGGUAUUAAGCCAAAAUACGACUUACAUAGUUUGGCAAAGAAAAGAUAAAAAACAUGUAACUGGGCAACUACUUAAACCAUGAUAUAUUGCAGUGGAAAUUGAACAUAGUUAAAAAAAAAAAAAAGAGAUCCCUGGCUUACAGAAUGGUCAGUAAUUGUACAGCCAUAUUCACCAGAAAUGUAGACAUAAUGUAAAAUUCGAAACGAAUGAAGUUGAAUGAACACAAAUUGCAUAUUACAAAUUGCAAACAACAAAAUAGGGCUAUGACAAAUCAAAUUAAAUCUCCAGUUGUAGCAGUGUACCCAUUGCACAUGUGCAAUUUAGCUUUAACAACCAUCUACGAGAAUAAUCUCAUUUCUCAUACACAAAGAAGGCACCAUCUCUACAACAGUUAAACCAAGUGUCAAACCAGAAACACCAUAAACUAUACACAUCUUAGCAAUCCCAGCGACAUUUUCAAUCAAAUCAAGAAUCGAAUCAAAUACCACCAUUCAGAAGCAAAUUUGAAGCAACACAACAAUGAAAAAGAACCAUAACCCACAACUCACGACAUCGCACUGAAUUGAGAUACCAAGUCAAUAAUAAUUCAUCUUAUAAGCUGGAAUCAGUUAUCCAAUGAAUCGUAACACAACUUAUAAAUUGAUUCCCAUUAACUUUAUGGCAUGAACAAUUGCAACAGCCAAGAACAUCCAAACAGCCAUAAAAAAGGAAUCAACAAGGGCAUCCAAACAGCCAAAAUAACAAAAUAAUACAUGGAAGAGAUGAGAAAGAGUACCUAAUGUGAGAAAUUGUGAAGCUAAAGAGUCGGAAAUUGCUAUGAUAACAGUGAAAGCUAAACCGAGAACUGAUGAAGCUCUCCGGCGAAUGCUAUUGUUCAAAUUCUGAACAAUUUCGUAAAGGAAGAUGGAUGAGAUAAUCCGAACGGUCUCUUGUGCUCAAACGCUGUCAGCAGCGCUCUUUAUAGCCGGUGAAAGCUGCCGGAAGUUCAUCAAUGACUUUGCUAUAGAGAUUUUGACAUUCUAUGAGUUGCAAAAUCGAAAGGAGAAUGAGGAUUAGGGUUGUUUGAUUUAGACUUCUUGAAGGGUAAACUUGGAGAUUAAAAAAUAAAUGAGGGUAGAAUAGAGAAAUAGAUCUUUUUAAUUGGGUGGAAUCCAGAUUUCCGCACUCAAUAGAGAGGAAAGUGAAUUUCUCAACUCAUGGAAAUUGGAGAAAAGUCGGAAUUUGAUUUCCAGUCAAAUUCUACCAACCGAACAGUGGAAAACUAGCAGGAACCAGAAACCCUCUCCUCUCCAGCCUUCUCUGCUGCCAACCGAACAUGGCCUUAAUGUAACUUACACCACUCACACAAAUUACUUCUUCAUAUCAUAACUAAUUAAACAACCGCUUCUUUCUUGAAGAAUCGUAAAUAUUAAAGUAAAAAGACAAAAGUAAACAAAUAUAGAAAUAUGGUCCGCACAAUAACUACACGGUAUCUAUCAUCGGUUUGCUCCCAGAAAUAGAAAAGUGCUUUUCAAGUCUUCUCUUUAAUAAAGCCACAAAUAGCAACUAACUAAAAGCUAACUGCUAUAUCCACUGAUGUUGUCACAUUGACGAUAUAAACCAAACAUUUUCCAAACCCAGAAAAAAAAAAAGGGACAUUGAUUCCACUUUAUAAAUAUAAUUAGGCAGCUGCUACUUUGAAACUGUUACAAUUGUUUCAGAUUCAGGUAUAGACAUCCAACGGUUUUGGGGACUCCUCUAUCUCAGAACUGUUUUAAGGUAGCUGAACUCAUAUAAUUAACGUAAUUACAAUAAUUAAAUUUAAUAUUAUGAUUGAUACAUAUUUAUUAAAACAAAAUGUAAAUAUAAAUAUAAAAACAACAAUUAAGAUAAAAUAAGUUUCUUUAAAACAUCACAAUGAGAAUUGAGAAGCAUCUAUUGUUAUUAUUUUAAUUUAUCUGCGAGCCCCACAUAUUCAUUUAACAAAGAAAUCAUAAAGCAUUGCCAGAAUUAAAGUUUUAUUGAAGAAGAAAAGUAAUUUAUAAAUAAUAUUCUUUUCAACUUUAGUACUGCGUGUUGAUGGGGAGACAAAAUGAAAAGUGUUGACAGGCAGAGACACACGAAUCUCAUAAAUAUUAUUAAAAAAAAUUCGUUGACAGGGAGAGACAAACGAAUAUCAUAUAUAUUAUUGAAAAAAAAAAAUCAUAGUCUGUAUCGUCUAUACAGAAUCGUAUGCAUAACUGAAAGUCUAAAACAACUGAUCUGGCUUUUAUAAAAAUAGAAGAUAAUAUUAUUACUGUGGCACCUGUACCCAGCUAUAGGAAGUGGUAGUUGCAUGGAAGCUCAAGUCACCACAAUUACACCAUAUCCCCAGAUGGACUUGGCAGCAGGUCUUGGAUGCUGCCUCAUCAGUUAGAUCAUUUGGAUUAUUAACAAUGAUAUGUUUUUAUUAGCUGAAUUGAUAACUCUCCAAGCCACGUCUGUAAGGCUAACAUUUGGAUUAUAACUGAUAGACAAGAAUAAAAAGAAAAAAACAGAGUUAAAAAAAGUUGAUAUAAUGAACCUUGUGGUCAAAUGUCAGAUCUGACUUCUUCAAACGAACUAAAGGCCAGCAAUGAAAAUUUCACAUAAAAGCAACUAGACUACCUGCAAGAUAGCUUAAAUUAAAAGUUUUCUGACUCAUUCAGCAGAGACGCCAACAAUUUCCGAAACUUUUUGUUGGACCUCACGUUUAUAAAUUCUCAAAUCUUCCUACACCAAUCUGACAACAUCACAGAAAGCAAGCAACACCACAUUUAAUUGUCUUUAAGCUACAAAAAAAGCUUCAAGCUCUGCUGAUGCCAGGAUAUAAUGAGAAACCAAUCAUAGAACAUGUCAUAAGCAAGGGCACAAGCAGAGGAAAGAUCUUCAAUGCUUCAGUGUGAUGAUAAUCACCAUGAAACAAUAUCAACAGAUAUGAUCUAGUGAUAAAUGAAAUAUAACAACCUUCAAAUGAAAUUAAUAAACAGCGACAGAACGAUAUAAAACAAAUAACUUCAUAAAGAAAGAGUUUACAUUUUUGUCGGAAAUCUGAUUACCGUUCUUUCAUUUGUAUGUAAAGUCUCUGAAAUUCCCUAGUCGUGCCCAAAUAAAUUCUCUUAUAUAUAUGAUGAAUAAUGCUGUUAAAAGAAGCCCCUGAACUUAGAAUUACUUCCACUUCUUUAAAUUCUUAGUUAUAAUAAGGCAAGAGGGAGUUUUGGUAUUUUUAGUGAGAUAUAGAAAGGUAUUUACCCUCACUUUAUCUUGCAACUUCAAAACCUGGAAAGUCUCUCUCAAAACAUGAAUUUAGACGAAUGGACUUCAACUAAAAGGAUUUUCUUACAAAAGCUAAAAAAUGCAACAGCAUAGUGAAAAUGGGAAAAUGAAAAUAUAAAGCAGAAGAAAAAGUUUCCAUCAGAUAAGACAAAUACAGAAAAUCCAAGUUCUUAUUUGCCAUGCCAAUAUUAUUCCUGCAGAAUUACUCUAAUUUAUUUUUCAGUGAAGGUUAGUAACAAUUUAUCUGUAAAUAACUGAACCAACUUGGUUAUUACGACAUUACUCUUUCUCUUCUACACUCAUUUUCUGCAUAGUUGCGGUUAAUCAACGACCACAUUCACAAACACGAGUCCACUCUCCCCGGCCCCUUCACUUAUUUCCCCAACCUUAAGGUCUCUCAAAGUGCAGCAGCAAGACAUGAACUCCGAUCAAUAUAAAGCAAUAUUAAGCCCAGCUAAAAAAUCCAACACCUAUUUGGCUAGAAAAACCCCAUAACUCAUUGCCACACUCUCUAUUUUCACCCCUUUCAUCAAAACACAAGCAUUACUUACCCAUGUCCAGACAUAAUUUCGUUUUCUGAUAUCACGUCAUUCAGGGGGGAAAAAGCAAUUAAAGGAUUUCAGUACAUAAAUUACAACAAGCUGUCAAUUCGCAAAAACAAGGAAAAUUAGCUCAAUCGAGUGAAGUAGGCCUACAAAAUGACCUCAAUGAGAUAUCAGAUACCUCAAAAAUCGAAUCAAAUUCAGUUAAACUAAGAAUCACUCAUCAAUAUGAAUAACAGAAAGAAAUUUCUCAUAAAAACUCAAUACAAAUAAAAAAAAAUUAGCUAAUCAUCCUUUUUUGGUUUAGUGACUUCGUCAGAAAAUAAGACGAAAUAGAAAUUCUGAAAUUUACUUAGGGUUUCUAGGUUUGAAAAUUUACCUUACGAGAAGCCAGGCUCUCUGUUUCUAGCUUUGUAACGUUACUAUUAUGGCCGAUCUACGCCGAUCAGCUGAGAUGAUCAGAUUUCUCGCCGGCGACGACGCAGACGUUUGGAUUUGGGUUUGACGAUAGACGAAGGAAUGUUUAGGGGUCCUGGGUGAUUUUGGGACUUAUUGAAUUGAAAGACCAAAAUAACCUUUAAAAAUUUACACAUGUAAUAUUCGGGGUAGUUAAACAGUUAAUUUUUUUUUUAACCAUAAAAACAGAAUAUAAAUCUACAUACAGAAUUUUAUUAAUAUACCCUUGUUCAUCCGGACCAUAGUACAACGACAACAACAACCCAAAAAAAAAAAAAUCUAGCCUCUGUCUGCAAGUGCUUUUUCAAGCAGAAGCCAAAGAUAGCAACUAAGCUUUCACAUCAAACUGUUCAAACUUAUUCGGGUAACAACAGACUAUAGGCCAUUGUAAUAACUAGUUCGCAAUGGAAAGAUAUAAAACUCUCAUAAUUCUACACUUUGUUAGUUUGUUACUUUAGCAGGUACUAGGACCCUACAGUGGCACCAACAAUAUCGUCUACCACAACUUCCAGGUUGUUCUCAUCAUCAUCAGUUGAGCUUGGCUGCAGGUUUUGGUUCCCGUUCAGACGGUUGAUCAUGAUCAAGAUUGUGCCAGUAAUGGGCGUUAUUAUUGCAGUGAGAUUCCGAAACCAGUUGAAAAUGUGCUGAGACAGAGAAGCUACGGUUCCAUAACGGAGUGAUGAGAUUAUGAGGCACAAAUAGGCCACGAAGAAGAGAAAUGGAGACGAAGUGACGGAGGCAACCACCGAGAUAGCCAACAAAACAGAGGUUUCUUCAAAACCCUCGGAAAUGGAGCUCCUCACAUUGAAAGCAAGUCUGAUGGGUAUGUGGCGGAAGAGCAGUACUGGCAUGGUGACGGCAGGAAUCAGGAACCGGAACUGAAGUUUUAAAAUCGGAUGCAAAAUUAUCGUACUUGUACCACCUUGGACGUCCGAAGAAUUGCCAUCCUGAGACCUGCGGAACAGAAUAAAGAUGAUAAGAUUUAGUAAUAGCAGAUAUAAAAAGCUCAAAGUGAUUGACAGAUCCAUGCUUAUGAGGAAGAUCAGGGGCCUGAAUUUUUAUUUAUUUAGUUUCUUUCUCUCUGAGGUUAAAGACGUUGGUUGAGUAUGACAAGAACUUUUGAGUUUGAGCAGGAUUUUAUAGUUGGGAAUUGCAUGGGGGAAGGUUCCUGGAAGCUGCUGCCUCUGCUUGACCAAGCCUAUUUGGUCUUUUAAUAUUGAUAAGUAAUAUUAUCAUUAAUAUUAGGUUAUUUUGGUCUUUUAACACUGAUGAGUCAUGUUAAGUGUUAUUAGGUUUUGGUCUUGAUGACUUUUCUUGAAGCUAUAUUAUAUGUAGGCAAACACAACCUUACAAUCAAUGUAUGGUACAUCCCUCACUCAUGAACAGUGUAUGAGUGGGACCCACUCACUGUUCACAUAUGUGAGGGAUAUACCAUACAUUGAUUGUAAGGUAGUGAGAUCCUUAUAUGUAUAAACUUUCCAUGACAAUAUCACCAGUGGCAUAGACCAAAAACAUCGACAUUCACGACAAUCUCUUAAGAGGAGGGAUUGUCAAUUUCCUCAUAUUAAAUUCAGAUUGAUGUAAGUUAUAGAUUUUAUAAUUUAAUAAAACGCAAUUAAUACACAUACAUAAAUGUGUGUGCUUACAUUGCAACAUUUUUUGGGCUUUCUCUUUUGGGCUAUUCAUUAGUUGUUUUUUUAGAGUAUUAAUAUAGUCAUAAAUUUGUAUAUAAAUUUAUUUUGUAUAAAUUGAUAUGGUGUGAUAAAAUUAGUUGAAUUAAAUAUCUCUUGGCUCACAUGAUUUAUUUUUUAUUAUUUUAUAUUUUCAUUCAACCAAUUUUAUUAUGUCAAAUCAGUUUGUACAAGAUAAGUUUGUACAAUAAUUUGUUACUAUAUCAUCACUCUUUUAUUUAUAUUUUGAGUAAUGAUACAGUCACAAACUUUUGUACAAACUUAUUUUGUACAAAUUGAUGUGCCAUAAUAAAAUUUGUUGAAUUAAAUAUCUCUUAGCCCACAUGAUUUAUUUUUGUUAUUUUUAUUUUCAUUCAACCAGUGAAUUAAUGUCACAUCAGUUUAUAUAAAAUAAGUUUGUACAAGAGUUUGUAGCUCUAUCACCACUCUUAUAUUUUAGUUAGUCAAUCUACUUAUAUAGAACUGGGAAAUAAAAUAGAAGUGUAGUUUAAGGAAUAAAUUUAUGGAAAAAUAAAUAAAAAGAAAAAUCAGAAUCAAGAUAAUGAAAUAACUAAAGGCUAUUGGACUCGUUGCUAAGAGCAAAUGGCGCAUUUCAUUGUCAUUAACGUGUGGAGCAAAUUUUUCAAGAGCUUUUGAAUUAAACGGCGCCCUUCUUAUAUUUCAAGUCCUUUCAUCAAGUUAGCUUCGCUUUAAUUUGGCUAUUGACUACAUAUUAUUGCCAAUUUCUUAUUAAAAAAAAAACGUUGGUUUUGGACAUAGUUAAGAGAUUAAAAAACGAAAAAUAAAAAUAUGGAUGUAUAAUCGGAGAUUUCUUGGCUCGUUGCCGAAAGUAAAAGGAGUGUUGUGAUUGGUUCAAGAAACGGAUCUGGCCUCUAUUUGAAAGUCAUAAAUAGUCACUUGGCUCGUUGGUCAGUUGAUUCAAUUUCUCAAAAGUAAUUCACAAAGAGAUUGCGACACGUGUUGUUAUAAUCUCUCGUCUCGCUAUAUCUCUCCUUCACCGUUAGUGAUCGAAUUUUCUGAAUUCACUGCAAGAGACUUCCUGCGGAAGACAUCAACUUGCAGACAGGGAAAAAAAUAAAUCAAUGAGUAAGAAAGCAUUAUGCCUUUGAACUUUUCCUUGCCAUUUUCUCUCGCAAAAUAAUUGAAUUUAAAGCUUUUAUUUUAAAUGAUAUUAAUCAAAAUGAUUAAGUUACCAUUGAAAUUGUUGAUGCGAAAAUAUGAGAUGAGUGGUGUGUAAUCAAUAACUCUUCGAGUUGGAUCGUGGCACACCAAUAGUUAUCUUUUAAAGGUCAAAUUUCAACACACAAAUAAGUCUUGUAAUGCUAAAUUAGCCUUAAAAGUUUAUGGAUUGCUUACCAUUAAAAUUAAUGUAGUUACGCGUGUACUUUCUAUUUCUUCAUAAAGUAUUUUCCCUUAUCAAAAAAUUAAUUAAAAAAAAUUAACUCUUUGACUAUGAUUAGUCCCUUGUUAUUAGGCUGCUUGGGUCCGUAUAUUAUCUUUAUCCAACCUUCGAUUAUGGGUUUGGGAUAUUUGGGUGAAUUAUUUUUAAGUCCCGGUAACUUUUCAAAAUUUCAUUAAUUUAGUAACUAAUUAAAUCAUCUUUAUAAUAAAAGCAAUUUGAUUAUUUUAUCCUUGUAACAUUAAAUUGUAAAAAAGUCUGAGAUAAUGCUUGAAUUUAUUUAAAAAAAAAUUAAAAGCAAAAACCCAUCAAUUAAUUAAAGCGAAGAACACGAUAAAGUUAACUUAAAUCAUCAUUUGAUCAUUCAUAUAAAGAUAUAGAAUACUUGUUCUAAAUUCAAAAAUUUGAGUUGCUGCUUCUUUUUUACACUUGGCUUCUCAUUCUUAUACAAUUCACGGUUUGAAUUAUCCUCGUCCACUUUUUUCACCCCACUCAUUACACAAUAAUUAUCAUCAAGCCCACAAGUUUGCAAAAAUUAUUUGAAUUGGACCAUUAGCCUACGUUUUGGCCUCGGGAUGCCCCACUCCAGCCUUUAUUUGUAAAUAUUAUUUUCCUCUUAAUGAAGUUACUACUCAAAAAGGAAAAAAAAAAAAAAGGUAACUUUUUUAUGAUCAUCUUCCUCCCUAGCAUGAUUAUUUUGUUUCAAUUUAAAAUUUAUUAAAAAAAGCGUAAUUAAAUUUUGGUUUAAAAAGGACGUUGAUGAUGAUACAUCGGUGCCAAAAGCCAUCAAAGAAAGAAAAAAAAAAAAUCCCCAUUGGUUGUGGGUGGACAGAGUUUUAAGCAUAAGAGAUUGUUUGUGUUUCAAAUGUGAGUUUAAUUAGAUAUACAUUUGUCGUUUCAUCUAAUUUUAAUGAAAGUUAAAGUUAUAAAAUACCUAAGGGGUUUUAAAAGAUAUUUAAGGUGGUGCUAAUAGUCCAACUGUGUUCGUUUUUCAUGCAGAUGAAUACUUAAAUAGGCCAUGCAUCAAGAAAAAUAAAUGCAAGAGGCAAUAGCUGAUAUUGCCAAAAGAAUCGAGAACUUUCUAAGAUGCAGAAAAUGUGACGGAUAGUGAGUAGGAAUUUGGUGGGUGGACAGAUGUAUGUUUGUAAAAUGCAGAAAAAUAAACGACCAAUGAUUCCCAUUUUCGUUUUGUUUUGUUAUGCAAGAAUUAUUUUCGACAAAGAAGCUGAAAGCCAGGAGACAUAGACAAAGGAGCGACGAAGAAAUAUUUUUGCGAAUUUUUUUUUACCACUAGCACUAGGUAGCGUGUGUUUAUUUAUUUUUUAUUUUAAAUUUAUAAAUGUAAAAUAUUAAUUUAUAAAGCUGAAUCGGUGCGUACGUAUAGAAAACAGUUAACCUGAUAACCGGUAAGUUAAAUGGGUCUGCAUUUGGCUGUUAAUAAUUUGUUCGUUGCUCCUGCAACAGGCCAAUUCUCUAUAUUCAUAUAAAGUUUUAAUGGCUAUUACUGAGUGAGUGUGUAGGGUACUGGAUAAAAAUGAAAAAAACAGAAUAAAUUUGACACAACAUUUUAUUUAAUAUACCCUUCUUCAUAUCAUAACUAAUUAAACAGCCUCUACUUUCUUGGAAAAUCAUAAAUAUUUAAAGUAAAAAGACAAAAAUAAACAAAUAUAGAAAUAUGGUCCGCACCAUAAGUAUCUUUCAUCGGUUUGCCCCCAGAAGUAGAAAAGUGCUUUUCAAGUCUCCUCUGUAAUAAAGCCACAAAUAGCAACUAACUAAAAGCUAACUGACGCCGUCACAUUGACGAUAGAGACCAAACACUUUCCAAACUCGGGAAAAAAAAAAAAAGACAUCGAUUUCACUUUAUAAAUAUAAUAAGGCAGCUGUUACUUUGGAAGUGUUGCAAUUGUUUCAGAUUUAGGUACAGACAUCCAACGAUUUUGGACUACUCUACCAUAGAAUUGAUGUAAUUACAAUUAUUAGAUUUAAUAUUAUGAUUGAUACAUAUAUAUUAAAACAAAAUGUAAAUAUAAAUAUAAAAAGAACAAUUAAGAUAAAAUAAGUUUCUUUAAACAUCACGAUGAGAAUUGAGAAGCAACUAUUGUUUGUUAUUUUAAUUUAUCUGCGGGCCGCACGUACUCAUUUACCAAAGAAAUCGUAAUGAAUUACCAGAACUAAAGCUUUAUUGAAGAAGAAAAGUAAUUUAUAUAUUAAUAUUCUUUUCAACUUUAGUACUGCGUGUUGAUGGGGAGACAAAAGUAAAAAAUUGUGAACAGAAAGAGACAUACGAAUCUCAUAAAUAUUAAAAAAAAUUCGUUGACACGGAGACACACACGAAUGUCAUAAAUAUUAUUGAAAAAAAAAACAUUCAUUGUCCGUAUCGUCUAUACGGAAUCGUGUGCAUAACUGAAACAACUGAUCUGACUUUUAUUAUUAAAUUCACUUGCUAAGAUAUUGGAGUAGUGUUGAUGCAAUUUUCUGUCAUGCCUGAAGAUUCAACUUGCCAGGAUUUCGGUUAUGCCUUCAGGUUCAAGUAUUGUUGCUGAUUAUGCGAGCUGUUGAGAUAAUUGAGCAUGGCUUUAGAUUCAAUUUCAGCAAAUGUGUGGGGAGAGGAUUUAAUCCGAAUGAUUUAUGGGUUCUGGAAAAAAAGAAAUUUUCUUUAUGUUAACUUGCAACAAUAUGUAUGUAAUUUUUUACGAUAUUAGCAAUAUUUAAUAACAGAAUAGUUGAAAUAUUUUUAAAUUGUGUUAUUUUCAAAUUAUGAGACAAAGAAAAUAAUUUUGCACAAAAGAUAUACUAACAAUACACUAAAAAUGCAUGAACGAAUAAUACAUGAAUAUUUCAAUAAAAGAAAUGUAUGUAGCACAUUUGGAACCACUCAGGAGAUACAACUCUCUUCUAAUUGUCCUUCACCUUUAAAUUUGUUCCACUGGUACAUGGAUAGACUAGUGUUGGAAAAGGAACAUGCCAAAACUAAAUUCCAAUUACAUUUUUUUUUCCUAUCAUUAAGUUUCUGUAGUUAAAUUUAAGGGUAAUUUUCGGAUACCUCCCCUGAGGUUUACCCCUGCUAUACUUAGAGAGAAUGUAUGAAUAUAUUGACAUAUAGCACCCCUGAAUGUAUAUAAGCGUUAGAGAGCCCUUUGGUUUGACAAUAAAAAUACAAUAAUGCCCUUCAUUCUACAGUACAAGAACUGACAAUUGGUCUUACAUUACAGAGUUGUCAAAUCAUCUUUUGCUUCUUGGCGCCAAGUGCAUAAGAACAUCUCUUAAUAUAUCAAUGGAACACCUAGGAGUUAAAAUGCGAACAAGAGCCUCUUCCAUUGCAGCCUGCAGUGGUAAUUUUAGCAUGAUAUUAGUCUUAUAAAAAAAAUGCAAGAGAAAACAAAUCGGAGAAUUCAAAUAUGAGACAAAACUAAAAAUCAAAUACCUGCACAAUUGAAGAAAUCAUUGUAAAUGAGGCUAGCUUUUUGCCUUCAAGACUUGCUGCAACUGAUUCACAUAGUUUCUCAACUAUCUCCUUAGCCUAAAAUGUCAGUGCUCAAGUCCAUUAGCAACUUCUUAAGAAUGAUCAGAAUAGCCAAUGAAAGAAAACUAAUAAACAUCAGAGGAAAAAGGUAAAAGAUUCAGAUACAUACAACAUUCUUGGUCAUGAGCCUAUCCUUAAGAGAUUUCAGAGCGGGUUCUAAGUCUGCCUUAUCCAAGUUUGCCUUUCCAGCAAUACUGAGUUAAAAAUAAAGACGAUUUAAUAAAUAGAACAUAUUUUUAACAAACAGAUUUAUUGAGAGAUUAAUCAAACAAAAUUGAGUCGUCAAGGAAAAAUACCUAUGGAACAUAGAUGAAAACCAGCCCGUCUUCUUAGCAUCAGGCUUGUUGUGCUUACCCACUUCUUCAUCUUCUUCGGAUUCACUAUCACUGCUGAAAACCUCUUCCUAGUCCAUCAUACUUUCACCAUGAUUUGAUGCCUCAACCUCGAUAUUACUGCCAUUUCCACCUGCAGGAUCCGUGAAGUCCAAUUUGGACUCUGGAGGCGAUUCGUCCUAAACUCUGUUCUUCUUUGUUGUCUUUUUCUUUGGGUUCGGUUUUGAACCCUUGCUAACAAUAGUAUCAGUUUUCUUACUACCUUUAUUUCUUAACUUCUGUAACUUGCAUCAAAAGCCCCAAUAUUAGAACUUGUAUUUUCUUUACCGUUAGCAAUACCUGUUACCCUAGAUUUUUCAAUCUCAACAUUGCUGACAUUAGAGUGUCCAUUCUCCAAUUUAUGGCCUCUCAUAUUAUCACUAUCCCCGUCAUCAUUUGCCGACCCACCUCCACUCCUCUUACUUCCCCUUUCAAAUCCACUCUUUUGCAGCUGUCCUCCCUGCUUCUUAAGGUUAUUCAUAGGCAUAGUAACUUGCUUUGAUUUUUUUAACUCCUCCGCCCUCGCUUCUGCCUCCUUCCUAAGUUGUCUAAACAUUUCAUCAAAAUCUGAAUAGUUAGUUCGUUUUCAUCAAAAUCGUAAAUAUCAGUCUUGUCUUUGUUCUUAUGCACUUGGCGCCAAGAAGUAAGGGAUGAUUUGACAACUCUAUAAUGUAAGACCAAUUGCCAGUUCUUGUAUUGUAGAAUGAAGGGUAUUAUUGUAUUUUUAUUGUUAAACCAAACGGCUUCCUAAUGAUUAUAUACGUUCAGGGGCGCUAUAUGUUAAUAUAUUCAUACAUUCUCUCUAAAUGUAGCAGGGAUAAACCUCAGGGGAGGUAUCCGAAAAUUACCCUUAAAUUUAAUUAUAGAAACUAAGUGAUAAUGUUAUUGUGCGAACCAUAUUCUAUAUAAUAAAUAUGCCUUCGAUGACUAAAAAAUACGACAUUCACAUUAAUCUCUGAGGGCCCAGCUUUAAGAAGAAAUCGAUUAGUGUGGAAAUAUGAGACGUGAUGGAAUCAAACGUAUUUAAAACUAAAACAUAUAAAGGGACACGUCAUGAAUCAUCUUGAGGCAGCAAACCAUCCAGAUUUUCGUUCAUCCACUACCACCCGAGCAAAAACGCAAACGGUAGGUGAUUUACUUUUAUUGCUCUUUCACUACCACAUGAUUUAUUUGCAUCUCAGUACAGAUGCAACUUGCAUUAUCCAACCAGUAGAUGGUGGGAAAAAAAAUAUAUGUUUGCCCUCACGAGAUGGAGGGUAAUUCUGGCAUUUUGAAAAUUAAGGAAGUUGCACAGAAGUUGCAACUUGCAUUAUCCAAACCAUUCUCUCAAUUUUCUUUAUGCUUUUAGUCAUACUAAUUUCACACGUAUGAGAGAGCCAAGUAACAUAGAAAAGAGCUAUAACACCAAAUGUUCCUAAAACCUUAUUAACUUUCUUUCCUUGCCCAGAAGCAAAAACAUUAUUCUCCAUUAACAAACAGCUACAAGAACUUGGAACAUCCCAAAACCUUAUUCUCUAUUUCCUCAUCUUUUUAUUAUUCCUGGUAACAUUGCACUAUAAAUGAGAUAAAUGCAUUUAUCCGCACCCAUAUUAAAAUUUCCCAUGCAUAAUAAACCAAUUACCCACAGGUACACUUAAAGUUUCAAAUAGACACAUUUAUGAAAAUGCCUAGAGCCUACCAAACUUCUUAGUUAAUCUGCUCACAAUAGAACAUUUGACAGCCACUUUUUGAUAAAUUGGGUUAUUAAUCGCCUUUGUGUUCUUUGAAACCUCAUUCUUGGAAUUGGUUGCUGAGUUUCCAAUUAUUAAUUGAACUCUAGUCAUUGAUACGUAUGAAUGCUUAUGGUUCCGUAAGAUGGAAUCUGUCAUAGACUGAUUAAUUAUUUCAUGUUUCUUUUACUGGCUAAUUGGUUUUUUAAACAUAUAUAUAAAAAUUAUCUAACACAAUGGAUAUCAUCAAAAGACUCUUUUGAUUUUACUCUUUAAAUAUCUAUUUACUUACUUAUGCAGUAAAUAGAAAAGUGAAAAAAUAAACUCUCCUUUAAAAAACUCUUCAAAUAAGAUAAGAUAAUAUUAUUUUAAUUAAAUCUUUUUCUUUACCAAAUUUAAUUACCCAUCAUUUUAUCACUCCAACUAUUUUAGUCAAAUCUUUGCUGUUACGUAAUUUUAUGUUGAUUUUAAAUGUCGUUGUCAUUGUUGUUGUUAUAUUUUAAAUAUGUUUAUCUGUUAGUAAUUCUGUUAAUAUGUUUUUAGAUUUUAUGUUGAUUUCCCGCGCCUGCAGGGUCCAUUUUGAAAAAAUUUUACUACGUUUGUGACCAUUAUUAUUAGGUUGAAUAUGUUAUUUUUUUAAUCUUAAAUUUUAAAAAUAAACGCAAAAUCUGAAUGCACAAAGCUGGUGGAUUUGGCGCAUAUAGAAAUUAGUUUUUCGAUCUUUUGGCUGUGUUUUAUUCUUAUAAUAGAUAAAAUAUCAAAUCCUACAUGUAUAUUGGUCCAUUUGGCUUCUGUUUUGGAAAAUCAUGAAUAUUACAAUGGAAAAGACAAGAAUAAACAAAUCUAGAAAAAAGCACAAGAAGCACUACGUAUCCAACAUUGGUUUGCUCCCAGAAUCAGGGAAGUGCUUUUCAAGUCUUUUCUUUAAUGAAGCCGACAAUAGUUAGCAGCUAAAGGACAAAGAUACCAUGCAGAAUCAAACACUGUUCAAACAAAAAAGUCCUGGAUUCCACUUUAUAAAUAGAAAGUACAAUUAUUUAAUUUUUGGAGAAAGUCAUAAUGGUGCUUCCUUAAUCGUUUUUUUUUUUUAAUUUUGGGGCUCGAAUAUGCGCAUUACCUUGUUUAGCAGGUGGCUUUAUGUGAAUCUGUGAUACUGCCAAGAAGCUUUGUACUUCCCAAUCCCAAUACCUUAACCACAUCCAUCAGGAACCUUUUUGAUUUGAGAUUUUUUAUUUCCGCCAAUAUUAAAUCUUUUAAUCUUUCAUUAUGUGCUCGAAAUCUUAUAUAUAUAUAUAUAUAUAUAUAUAUGUAAACGGGGACAAUUAGUUCAUGUUCAUUCUUGCCAUCCAUUUUUUACUCUUGUUUGCAAGCCCAUAUCUUCCACAGGAAGUUCACUUCGGCGGAUUGUGAAUACUUCGCCGCUAAUUAAGCGUACUAAGCAUCAACGUACUUUUUCGAAAUUGAUGAAUGAUAGAGAUCUGGCGGGACGAGGGAUAUUAUAACAACACGUGUUCCAAUAAUCUGUGUGGGAAUUACUUUUGACACUUGAUGAACUAUAGAUGGUCAGUUUAUGUAUGCUGCUGUUUUCAGUCGUGCCAUUAUCGACACUGUCAUUGGAAAGCCCGUACAUUGAACAUGGUUCGCAUUUAUUAUUAUAUCGUCAUACCGUAAUAUUAGUUUUUUUUUAAUAUUGUCACUAACAAAUCAAAAAAUAUAAAUUUUAAUACACUAACAAAUAAAAAAAUAUAUAAUUUUUAAUAUAUUAAAAUUUAUUAAGAAUAUAUCCAAACGGAUGACAAAAAGUGAACAUUGUCCCACUGACAAAAAACUUAGUCUUCCUCUUUCUGAAAAAAAAAACUUAGUCUUCCCUCUUAUUUUAAAAAAUGCAAUCUCGCCGAGUAACCCAAAAAAGAGUUAAGAGCCAGAGAACCUUAGCUUUCUAUCCUUGCCCAAAAUCAAAAACAUUUUUCAUUAGCAAAGAGCUACAAGAACUUGGAGCAUCCUAAAAUCAGUAACAUAAUUGAGAAUCAAUGCAUGUAUCCGCAACCAUUUAUUUAGUACCAAAACAUUCAAUUUUAAAUUUCUGACAGACUUGCUUAAUUGCCCAAAUUCUACUAAGUUUUUCAGUUAACCUGCUCAAAUACAAUCCACAGUUGCGUUUAAAUAAAUUGAGUUAUUUAACGCCUAUAGCCUUCGAAACCUCAUCAUAUUGCUACCAGAAUUAAUCCACACCAAACAAUCAACACAUGAAAUACAGGACCUUCAGACGGAGGAAAUACCGCUGAAGAAAAAUUAAAAACCCAUAGAAGCACUAAAUACUUCUCCUAUUACUAAUAAUGUAACAAAACAGCAUCAUUAUACGCUCAAUCUACCAUUAAAGAAAUAAAUCCAUACCAACGACAAGCUAAAUAUGACAUUUUUCUAGAAUUAAUAAUUCUGCAACCAAAAAAGCACAGCAAUUAUCUGCUUUUUAAAUAAUCCUAAAAACAGGACAAUGACUUAUUUUUGUCAUAAAAAGAACCUAUAAACACUUAUUUUUUAAUCUAUUUUAUUUCCAAGUGAAAACAACAUUCUUCUAUUCUUUCUUCAACAGGAAAACAGGUUAUGUUACAGUAGUCACUAGGCAGUAGGCAAAACACUUGAUAACUAAAUAUGUAAAAAGAAAUAAAGAAGAGUUUAAAAAAUUACAAAAAUUAAAAUAAAAAUACAAAAAAUAAAAAAUGAAAAUAUCAAACCCCUUCUUCAGAACAAUCCAAACAGGGAGUUAGCGGUUCUUAAUGUAACAGUUCUUAAAGUAACAGCAAGUAACCGGCCACUGUAACCCCAACUUUUCAACAUAGAACUUGAACUCUGGAAGAGAUAAAAGAAAAGACGUAGAUGACUGACUGAAUCCGACUGAGAGAGAGUUACCAAUAUACCGCACUGGUCAGCUCCAAGUUGAAUUUGUAAGUUUGGGUUGGAGUCCCAGUCCCACAGGUAGUGAAAGUAGGUAGUUAUCCUAACCAGCUGAAAGUAUCAAACCUGUUUGUAUAAGCCUGCACAAUACAAGUUAAUCAUCAGCAAAGGAGGAGGCUGCAGCACAUCAUGUACUAAUUAUAAAACAUGUAAAAAUAACGCAUUUUACCAGUCACAAAACCAUUUUUUCUUUAGAGAUAAUCUCCCCAUAGCAGCUAUAGAUAUGGAAAAAAAAAAAAUGACCUCAAAGUAGAGCAGUCUCCUCUUUUUCACCAAACAAAUACAACCAUUUCAAUUCACACCUGAGCUGAGAACCAUUCUAGUUUCAAUUUUCAACCAAUGAAACAACCAUAGCAUUCUUACAAAAAUUAAAAAAAAAAAAAGAAAUAACCAUAGAAUAAAAUAAUUCUACUCUAAUUCAAAUAUUGCUUCAGAAUUUAAGAUUUAUGCUAGACACAAUUGGUGUCUAGCAUAAAUCUUGGUCGCUGUAUUGUCUCUCUGCGGCUGGAUUUUUCCGUAGUAUAAAGACCUAACAAUCCAAGGAUGAAGUGGAAAAAGCAUGAUUGUUCUGAAUUACCAAUUCUUUCUAUAGAACCCUUUACUUUGUGUAUAUAACUGAAUACUGUUCUUGAUUCUUUGGAGAAACAUAUUUGUCCUCCUCCUAUACUGGAAAUGAUUAUGAUUUCUCUGGACUUUGUUACUGGAACUUUUAAUUUAUCAGGUUCCAUAAACGGGAAACACUAUCACAAUUAGAGUGUGUGUGUAUAACCAUCCUCUAACAAAGUGAGGAUCCCUAUAAAAAACCAAAAAAAAAAAAAAACAGAUUUUAUUCUCAUUUUGUUAAAGUGAAGAUGUCACUAGAAUACAAAAAAACACAUAUUUCAAUACAUUAAAAAUUGUAUCUGUUAGUGUAUUGAAUUUUUUUUUUUUAUUUACUGUAGUGCCAGACUCUUUCUACAAAAGUGAAACAGAUCAUUCUUGUUAAUUUCCCCAGAUGAUCAGUUUCUUUGGUAAACAACUCUAGCACUUAUAGCCACUGGGACUUCAUACAAUAAAAAACACAUAAUGGUGAAGUUAGACCAAGAAAAAUAAGCUAUUGGAAUUGAGUAAUACCAUGAGAACCACAUUGCUUUCCAUAACAAUGACUAGAGGCAUCAAGCAUGAUCAAAAUAACAGCAUGGGAAAUAAUCUCUCAGCCACUUAUAAGUCAUUAAUCAAAAGCAUGCACCUUUAAGAUGGCAAAAAUUUAUAUACACACACACAGUUCAAUCUCACUAGAGUUUCAGAAACUAGCAUUAUCGAGAUUAUGCCCUUCAUCUCUAUGCUUAGUCAUUGGUACACAUCCGUGUCAAAAGCUAGCCAUUCCCAAGUCCAAACGGAUGACAAAAAGUGAACAUUGUCCCAGAGACAAGAAACUUGGUCUUCCCUCUUAUCUUCAAAAAUGCAAUCUUGCCAAGUAACCCAAAAAAGAGCUAGAACAUCACACUGCCAGAGAUCCUUAGCUUUCUUUCCUUGCCCAAAAGCAAAAACAUUUUCCAUUAGCAAAGAGCUACAAGAACUUGGAGCGUCCCAAAAUCAAUAACAUAAUUGAGAAUCAAUGCAUGCAUCCGCAAGCAUUUAUUUAGUAUGAAAACCAAUUUUUAAUUUCUGACAGACUUAAUUGCCCAAAUUCUACCAGGCAUUUCAGUUAACCUGCCCGAAAUACAAUCCACAGGUGCAUUUAAAUCAGUUGGGCUAUUUAAAUGAAAUACAGGACCUACAAACCUCAUUGAAUUGCUACCAAAAGUACUCCAUGCCAAACAAUCAACACAUGAAAUACAGGACCUUCAGACAGAGGAAAUAUGGCUGAAGAAGAAAUUAAAAACCCAUAGAAGCACUACAUACUUCUAAUACUAAUAAUGGAACAAAACAACAUCACAAUACACUCAAUGUACCAUUAGAGGAAUAAAUCCAUACCAAUGACGAGCUAAAUAUGACAUUUUUCUAGAAUUAAUAACUCUGCAAACAAAAAAGCAUGGUAGUUAUCUGCAUUUUAAAUAAUCCUGAAAACAGGGCAAUGACUUAUUUAUGUCAUAAAAAGAACCUACAAACACUUAUUUUUAAUCUAUUUUAUUUCCAAGCAAAAACAACAUUCUUCUAUUCAUUCUUCAACAAAAAAACAGGUUAUGUUACAGUAGUCACCAGGCAGCAGGCAAAACACUUGAUGACUAAAUAUAUAAAAAGAAAUAAAAAAAGCUAAAAAAUCACAAAAAUUAAAAAUUGAAAAUAAAAAAAGAUUAAAAAAGAAACAGCAUUUAAAAAAUGAAAAAGUCAAACCCUUCUUCAGAAAAAUCCAGACAGUAAGUAAUAUUCCACUGAAACCGCAACCCAAUAUCUGAAUUUUUUUUUUUUGGGGGGGGGGGGGGGAGGGGGGUAAGAAUUAUUUUCAACAUAGAACUUGAACUCUGGAAGAGUUAAAAGGAAAAGACGUAGAUUACUCACUGAGUCUGACUGAGAGAGAGUCGCCAGUAUACCGCACCGGUCAACUCCCAGUUGAACUUGCAAGUUUGGGUUCGAGUCCCAGUCCGACGGGUAGUGAAAGCACGUAAUGAUGCUAAUCAGCUGAAGUAUUAAAACCUGUUUGUAUAAGCCUGCACAUUACAAGUUAAUCAUCAGCAAAGGAGGGGGCUGCAGCAAGAAACAACACAUCAUGUACUAAUUAUAAAACAUGUAAACUUAACGUAUUUUACCAGUCACAAAGCCCCUUUUCUUUAGAGAUAAUCUCCCCAGAGCAACUAUAAAUAUGAGAAAAAAAAUGACCACAAAGUAGAACCAUCCCCUCUUUUUCUCCAAACAAAUACAACCAUUUCAUUUCACAUAGAACCAUUCUAGUUCCAAGUUUCAACCAAUGAAACAACCAUAGUAUUCUUAUAAAAAUAAAAAAUGAAAUAACCAUAGAAUAAAAUAAUUAUACUCUAAUUCAAAUAUUGCUUCAGAAUUUACGAUUUAUGCCAGUUUCAGUUGCUCAAAAAUAUGGAAUUGGAAUGAUGCAUUUAUUUAACCCAAAACGUGAAUACCAAGCUUCAGAUUCUUACAUAUUGAAAUGAUCAAAUUUCAUUCAUUCUGAACAUGGGAUACAACUUCAACUAUUUCAAGUUAUUCCAAGAGAAAGCAUUAAAAGAAAUUUGUUCAUCCUACGUGGUAUAAGUAGCAUACUUCAGCUAGUAUUAUGCAUCAUCGGUUAAAUCAUUUGGAUUAUUAACAUUGAUAUUUUUUAUUAGCUGAAUUAAUAACUGUUGCACCCCUAACUUAAGGGCACUUGUGAUAAGAAAAAUUUAUCAACAUCAGGUGCAAAUAUAAGCUUUUAACAAUGAAGCUGUGACUGUUUGCUUACAAGAACAAACAUAUACUAAUAGAGAUGAAUAAAACCCAGAACUUCAAGAAAUAUUUGACGUUAUCUCCCCUAGAAUACGGAUAUUAUCCAAUAUAUCAAACCAACAAUUUUUAUACCCAGCUGCUUAAAACUUCAAAAAAUCGGUCAGCACAACAUUUAGGAUCUCUGGGACCCUAUCACUACGACACUAACAAUUAUAAGUGCGUCCUACUGAUGUUGCGUAGUUAUUAUAAAUACAUGUAUUAAAAAGCAUAAUAUCCAUAACAAGGUAGCUUACAAAGUUUACUAGGCCAGCAAUGCUAAAGUACAACCAGAACAAUAACAAAACAUACGAAGACUGUUCUUCAUUACAAAACACAACUUUCGAAAGAGGUAAUCUCCAUGUUAAGCCCCAAAUCAAAAUCAAUCCUCCACUGACCACAAUUUUUUCACCAUCAUUGCCCAAACCUGAAAAGUAAGGGCUGAGCUAAUGGCCCGUAACACAAAGGAUUUCUUUUUUUCUUUUAACACCAAAAUAAUUCACACAACUUGGGUACAUUUCUAGCAUAAGCCAUUUAUUUAUAUAUAAAUAUAUAAAUUAUUUCUUAAAACAUUUUGAGUUUGAAAGUUUUGGUAUUCAAUAGAAACAUCAUAAGACAAGAUCAUAACAUACCCUAGGGUUACUCAUACUUUCUGAAGUUACAUGUAAAGAAAUCCUAAAAUUACUCUUUCAAUAAUACAAAAUAAAAACAUGCCUGACAAGUCAGUAAGCUGUAAAUCCAACCAUAGAACAUGUCAUAAGGAAGGCACAAGCAGAGGAAAGAUCUUCAAUGCCUCAGUGUGAUGACAAUCAUCAUGAAACAAUAUCAACAGAUGUGUUUUAGGGAUACAUCUCAUAUAACAACCUUCAAAUGAUAUUAAUAUACAGCGAUAGAUCGAUAUAAAAUAAAUAACUCCAUAAAGCCAUAAAGAAAGAGUUUACAUUUGUGUUGGGGGUGGGGGGAGUUGGGGAGGAAGGAAGUAUGUAAAGUCUCUCAAAUUCUUUACUCAUGGUGUAAUAGAUUCUCCGAUAUACAUAAUGUAUAAUGCUGUUAAAAGAAGCCCUGAACUUAGAAUUACUUCCCCCUCCUCAUAUUCUUAGUUAUAAUAAGGCAUGAGUGAGUUUUGGUAUAUUUAAUGGGAUAUUGAAUGGUCUUUACCCCCAUUUUAUCUUGCAAUUACAAAACCAUGAAAGCCUCUUGCAAAACCUGAAUUUAGAUGAAUGGACUUCAAAUGAAAGGAUUUUCUUGCAAAAACUACAAAAUACAAUGGCAUAGUGAAAACGGGAAAAUGAAAAUAUAAAGCAAAAGAAAAAGUUUCCAUCUGAUAAAACAAAUACAAAAAAAUCCAAGUUUCUUAUUUGCCAUGCCAAUAUUAUUCAUGAAGAACUAAUCUAAUUUCUUUUCCAGACAAGGUUAGUAACAAUUUAUCUGUAAAUAACUGAACCAACUUGGUUACUACGACAUUACUCUUUCGCUUCUGCACUCAUUUUCUGCACAGUUGCAGUUCAUCAACGGCCGCGUUCACCAAAACGAGUCCACUCUCCCCACUUCACUUAUUUCCCCACCAUUUAAUGUCUCUCAAAGUGCAGCAGCAAGACAUGAACUCCUAUCAUUAUGAGCAAUAUAAAAAGCCCUCCUAAAAAAUCCACCACCUGUUUGGCCAGAAAAACUCCAUUACUCAUUUCCACACUCUCAAUUUUCACCCCUUUCAUCGGAACACAAGCAUUACUUACCCAUGUUUAGACAUAAUUUAUUUUUCUGAUAUCACAUCAUUCAGGGGAAAAAAAAAACAGACUUCAGCACAUAACAUAAAUUACAACAAGCUGGUCAAUUCACAUAAACAAGGAAAAAUUAACUCAAUAAAGUGAAGUAGGCACAAAAUGACCUCAAUGAGAUAUCAGAGACCUCUAAAAUCAAAUCAAAUUCAGUUAAACAAAGAAUCACUCAUCCAAGAUAAGCAAAAGAAUAAAAGCAAUGAAUAACAGAAAGAAAUUUCUUAUAAAAAUUCAAUUAAAAAAAAAAAGCUAAUAAUCUUUUCUGGUUAAGUGAUUUCGUCCGCAAAUAAGACAAAAUAGAAAUUCUGAAAUAUACCUAGGGUUUCUAGCUUUGGGAAUUUACCUUAUGAGAAAUCAGUCUCUCUGUUUCUAGAUUUGUAACUUUAGUAUCAUGGCGAAGCGACCUCACUCAGCUGAGAUAAUCGGAUUUCGCACCGGCGACGAUGCAAAUGUUGGGGUUUGGGCUCGACGACAGACAUAGGAGUGUUGGGGUUUUGGGUGAUUUAAGGAUUUUCUUUUAUUCAAGUAAAGUGACCAAAUUAACCUUUCAAAAUAAUUAAAGUAUCCCUAAGUUGUUACACAUUAAUGUCUAGAAUAGUUAAUUAAAUUUCUGCUCAUGGAUUUAUAUGGUACAAGUGAGUUCGUGUGGGGAAAAACGAAUAACAGGCUAAAAGGAAAAUUCGACGCAAAAUUUUAUUAGUACAAGCAUUACGUAAAUACAUUAUUGAAUAUGCCUUUUUUUUCCUGGGAUAAUCAUAUUAUAAGUGACAAAUAAUACAACAAAAGAAUAGAAGUACAAGUAGAAAGGCAGUAUCUAGGUUGUCUGCUACUCGGCUUCUAGUUCCACCCAAGAUACAUCUUCGUUCAGGUAACCAAGCACAGACUCUGUUACUGCUAUAACUAAUUUAUCACAUGACCAUAAUUUCCAGAACACCUUGCGCUUGUCCAAUGGGUUGUUCAACUUGAGGAGGAGCUAGCAGAUGGGCGUUGACAGAGGUGACAAUGAAGACAGCGAGACGUCGAAGCCAGUAGAGGAAUUGCUGAAACAGAGAAGCUAACAUUGCAUAACAGAGUGAUAAGAUUAUGAGGCACAAAUAGGCUACCAAAAACAGAGACGGAGCCAAAAUGACAGAGGCAACUGCUGAGACAGCCAACAGAACAGAGAGUUCUCCACAACUCACGCAAAUGGGUCGGCUCACUUUGAGAGGAACUCUGAUGGGUGUGAGGAUGAAGAGCAGUAAUGGGAUAAAAAGAACAUACAAAUGCUUAUUUUUAAUCUAAUUUUAUUUCCAACCAAAAGCAACAUUCUUCUAUAGGUUAUAUUACAGUAGUCACUAGGCAAUAGGCAAAACACUUGACAACUAAAUAUAGCAAGAAAUAAAAAAGAGUUUAAAAAAAAUCAAAAAAAUUAAAAAUUGAAAAUAAAGAAAAGAUUAAAAAAGAAACUGUAUUAAA
rnacentral:lncRNA from 1 species